AUGGUUUGCUUCAUUACUUCACCUUCUCCCAACAAUUUGGCAACGCCAAAAUCUCCAACAUGUGCAACCAUGUCUUCAUCUAGUAAAAUAUUUCUUGGUUUUAUGUCACAAUGAAUUAUAGGUGUUGGAUGUCCAUUGUGGAGGUGUUCUAUAGCUCCCGCAACAUCUAUCAUUAUGUCGACCCUUUGUAUGAUAUCAAGGAAACAAAUUUCAGAGUGUAACCAUUUCUCAAGGUUUCCAUUAGACAUGUAAUCAAGCACCAAGGCUUUGAAGUCAACACUUGAGCAGCAAGUAAUGACCUUCACAAUAUUACGAUGAACUAUAUUACGCAUAGCAUCACAUUCAAUGUCAAAACUCCUAAAUGCUCCCUCUGUUUGCAAAUUGAAAACUUUUAUUGCAACUUCCAUUCCAUCUGAAAGCCUCCCUUUAUAUACAUAUCCAAAACUCCCUGAACCAAGCAUAUUGCUUUCCUCAAAUCCAUUAGUUGCUCGUGAAAGUUCAGCAUGUGAAAUUCUUCUCGGUGUCUUCAAAGACAACAAAUCAUCUUUAAUUGGUAGAGUUGUACUUCUCCUUUGGCAACUUCUAUACAUAAUAGUUAAGACUGUUAGUACUACGACAAUACCAAUUGUUGUAAACCAUACCUAAAAGCAUGCAAUAUAAUCAUUUGGGAGUUUUUGUGGAUGUCGUUUUUGCAAGGUGGGACUAGCAAUCUAGGUGGGCCACAAAGUGCAUAAUUCUUCAUGAAUGAUGUGCUAGAAAAGUUUGAAAAACAUCCUUUGCUGGGAAUUUCCCCUUCAAGUCUAUUGAAAGACACAUUAAAAUACUUUAGAUAUAAAAGCUUUUCCAAAGAUUUGGGAAUGACUCCAGAGAGAUUGUUAUUGCAUAAAUCCAAGAAUUCCAAACUAAUCAAUCCAUCAAAUGAUUCAGGGAUAUGACCAUGUAGUAUAUUAUUUGAUAAAUCUAAUGAAACCAAAGUUUGAAGACCCCCAAAUGUGGAUAAGAUAUCGCCCGUGAGAAGAUUCCUUGAUAAAUUUAGUUUCAGUAGACUCCUAAGAUUUCCAACAUCAAUAGCAUGUGAAUUGUGAAGAUGGUUUGAUGAUAAAUCUAUUUUUAAGAUAUCUUUAAGAUUCCACAAAGUUGAGGGUAUUGCAGAACUCAAUUUGUUGGAAUGUAACCAAAGAUAUCCCAAAGAAGUAAUAUUACCCAAACAAGAGGGUAUAGAUCCAUGCAGCUUAUUCAACCCUAAAAACAAGUUGUAUAAUCUCUCCAAAUCACAAAGGCUUUCUGAGAUGGGCCCUCCUAAUUUAUUAGAGGAAAGACCUAGACUUUGGAGAUUCCGCAGUCCUCCUAUUGAUGUUGGAAUGAAUCCACUUAAUUUAUUAUAGCCAAGUUCUAAAAGCAACAUGUUGCUUAAGUUACCUAUUUCCAUAGGAAUAGUGCCUUGAAGCUCACAAUCUUCGGCAUAAAAGUAUUGAAGGGAUUUUGAAAGGUUCCCAAUAUAAGUAGGAAGAACGCCACUCAAUGGAUUUUCUGAAACUCCUAUGGUUUUCAAAUUCUUACAAUUCGUCAAAGAAGAAAGAAAGCUCCACUCAUGAUCAGUAGCAGAUCCUGUGAUCAAAUUAUUGUUUACGAUUCGGAACCAUUCAAGCUGUCUUAAGUUGCCAAGCGUUUUAGGGAUUGGGCCAGAGAAUAAGUUAUCUCCCAAGUCUAGUUUCGUAAGCAUGGAAGCAUUGGAGAUAGAGUAGGGAAUGUUUCCGCUAAGUUUAUUUCCCCCCAAAAAAAGAAACUCAAGCUUUGGAGCAUUGGUAAUGGGUGGUAAAUUACCUGUAAAAUAGCAUCUUUUAGUAUACAUAUUAAUUGAAUACCAAAUUCAUAAAAUAUAUAAUACAUUAAAAUAAAAACUGUAAAACUUCAAAUCAAUUAAGAAUAAAAUUUUGGCAUGGAAAAAUGUGAUGAAAUCAAUUAGAAAGUUGAGACAUAAUAAGAAGUUUUGAGUAGUAAUUACUCAUGAUUUCUAUAGACAAAACAUAUAAUACACUGAUAAUUUUUUAUAAUUUUUACAAUAUUUACAAUUUCUAACAAUUUUUAAUAAUUUUAUUAUUUAAUACAAAUUUAAAAUUUAACAAUUUUUUAUUUUUUUAAAACAAUUAUAUAUUUAUAAUGUAGUUAUUUUUUUUAUAAUUUUUUUUGAAAUUUUAAAGAUUUUUUUGGUUUUUUUUCUAGAUGAUGAUGCCAUCAUGAUGACAUCAUAUGCCACAUGGCAAUUUAUAAUUAGUUAAAUAUCUCAAUCCAUUUUUCUAACGUCAAAUGGACUAAAACAAGAACACCUGAUAAUGUUAGAGACUACACUUGGAAUGUUUGAUAAUAUCAGGUACUAAAGUGGGCAAAAAAAUUAAGGACUAUAUUAAAAAUAUAUCUAUAAUAUAUAUAAAUGCAUGGAUUUUGAGAAACUUUUGAAAUGAUAAUUAUAUAGUCUUUGUUUUUUUUACUAUAUUAUUGAAUUUUUUAUUUUAAAUAUUUUUUAUUACUUUUAAGAUUUAUCAUAUGUAUGUAUAAGAAUUUUGGUUUUACUAAAAUAUUUGGUCAAAUAAAUUCACUUUAUCAAAAAAUCUAGCAUCCUUAUAAAUAAAAAUUUUGAUUCUAUUAAAAAAAUUAUUUUAAAAAAUAUAUAAUAAAAAUUUAAAAUUUAUAUUGAAUUACUUUAUACUUAAAUUAUUAUUAGAAACUUUAUCAUACACAUACGUGCAUUAGAACCAUGUAUUUAGAACUUAAAUUUGUGUUUUAAAAUAACUUAUGAUAAAUAAUGAAAUGUAUAAUUUGAAACUAUUUAAUAAUAACACAUGACAUAUCUACCAUAUUAAAAUAAAAAUAGAUUAAAUUGUAAGUAAAACAUAAUUUAAACAUAUGAAUACAUCAAAUUACGAAUACUAAAUGAAUACAGUUAUUUAUGAUGAUGUUGUUGUCAAUUCCUAAGUUGGUGUCGAGUUAAUUUGUGACAUCAUAAAUUUAAGUGAUAAAUUUAAGGUUUUAUGUAUUGAUGCGGAUUCAAAUAUCACCAUAAUUUUUUUUAAAUAAAAAACUAAAGUACCCUCAAAUAAUAUAACUUAUAUUAAAUAUGAAAGGGUAGUUUUGUAAUUUCUCUAACGAGUUGGUGCCCGGUUGACUCAUGACACCAACUCAAUCAAAAGCUUCAAUAAUAAUAUAGAUAUUCACGUUAAAAAAAAAGUACUUUAGUUCCAAAUAAUUAUAUAACAAGUAAAUUUAUAAUUGAUGAAUAAAUUUAUAAAAAUAUAUUUAUAUGAUCUAAUAUAUUAUAUUUAUAUUAAUUAUAUAUCAUCUACAAACUUUGAAGAUCAAUUCAUUAAGUAUCAAGAAAGGAAAAAAAUGAAAUUGAAUUAACACUAAAUCAAUUUUUAGAUUUUGUACAGAUGAUUUAAUGAUGAUAAAAAAAUUAUUAGCACUAUUUUUGAAUUAACAAAAAAUUAGUGAUAUAUUUUAAUUAUAUUUAUUAUUUAUUAUUUUUAAUAAUGUUUUUUUAAUUAUAUGAAGUAAAAUUACAGUGUAUACUAAAUAUGGUACAUAUACUUUAAUUAUAACUAGAAAAUUUAUUAUAUAAAUUAAUAUAUUUUAAUUAUAUUCAACCAUUUGAACAACAAAAUAAAAAAAAUAAUUAGAAUAAUUUAUUUUUUAAAGUUUAAUGGAAAUUAAAAAAUUAAAAAUAAAUCAAUUCAUAUAAAUUUUGUUGUUUAUUUCAGAUGAAAAUGAUAAAAGUAUAUGACAUAAAUAGAAGAAACAAAUUCAACACCAUGUUUUUGGAGUUUGGAAAAAAUUAAAGUGAAAAACAUACCUUCUAAUUUGUUGUCAUGGAGACCUAUUUUUUCGAGCAUAGUUGAAUUAAAAAUACUUGAUGGAAUCUGACCUGCACACAUAGUCGAAAAUUGAAGUGAAAAACAUACCUUCUAAAUUGUUCAACUAAAAAUACUUUAAGCAUAUUUUUUAGUAAAGCCCUUCAAGCUUGGGAAGAUGUUGACACGUUGACACAUAUCAUUAGGCAAAGACUAAUAGCUUUCAAAGAAGAAAUCUUGAAGAUGGAAGAUGGAACCUGACCAGAUAAUUGAUUGAGUCCCAAGUUCAAGAUCUCUAGAUUAGACAUGUUAGCAAGUGUUUCAGGGAUUGUGCCUAUAAAGUUAUUAUUUUUCAUUUCCAGCCUUCGAACUCUGUGUAUGUUCCAAAGCCAUGAUGGAAUUUCCCCAUUAAGACGGUUGUAGCUUAAUCGAAGGAUCCGCAAACGAUGCAAUUGGCCCAAUUCUUUAGGGAGAUGGCCAUAGAAAUGGUUGCUACUCAAGUCGAGAGAGAGUAGAAAUGAAAGAUUUCCAAGGUGUGGAGGGAUAGUACCCCUAAGAUUCAUGCUUGUAAGAUUCAAAGCUGUAACUCUUUUAUGGAGGAUGCCACAAGAAACACCAAUCCAAUUGCAAACAGAGGUUGAGACAGUCCAAUUGUUUGGCAAGACAUUUUGAGGACCGGCGAUGCGAUCCUUAAACUCGAGAAGUGCAAACUGAUCGGAGUUGAGAUUUCUGACUGUCAUAGCCAAGCAAAGUACGGAACAUGGUAUGAAUAAAGCUAAAAGAAGAUGAAAGCAAGUGUUGUAGUUCAUGAUUGCAAGACAGAAUAAGAAAAGAAAAUAAAAUAAAAAAAAGUAGGAAAAGGGAAGUUGAGUUGAUAAAAUAGUUUGGAUGAUGAAGAAAAGCCCAGACAGCAUGCUUUAAUAUGUUUGGAUGAUAAAUUUAAACUUGAUAAAUUUAAGACUACCCUAAAAAUACGUACAAAGAAAUUUCAAAAUUUCAAAAUAAAUACGUACAAAGAAGCGAAUUUUCAAAAUUUCUCCUAAAUUUUCUUCACAUUACUCUACAUAAUCCAUUAAAAAAAACUUAAAAAAUAUAUUUUAUUAAUUACUAUAUAUUCUUUUAUUUUCAGAAUCAUAAAUUGUUUAAAAUAUGCUAUUAGUCCCUGUAAUUUAAAAGUUAAAAAAAUUCAAUCCUCCUAUUUUUCUAAUUUAAAAAUUCUAGUCCAAUCAAUUUUAAUUCCAUUAAAAAAUUUCAACUUAAUAGAUUUUUUAUUAUCAAUCAUAUGCAACAUUAUAUGAAGACAGUCUACUCAGCAUAUAUCCAAGUUUACAGAUUUUAAUAGAAAAUACUUACAAUCCUAAUGGUAGGACUAAGUUUUUUAAACUAGAAAAGUAAGAAGACUUAAUUUUUAACUUUUUAAGUACAAGGAUUAAAUUUUAAAUGUUGUCAAAGUACAAGCACUAACAAAAUAUUUUGAUCUAAUAAAUGUAAAAAACUUUUUAAACAAAAUAAGGUUUGAAAUAAUCUAUUUGUCCUUGUAAUUUUAUAAAUUUGAGAUUUAAUCUUUAUACUUAAAAGGUUAAAAAUUAAGUCUUCUUGUUUUUAUUUAAAAAUCUUAGUCCUAUUGUUAAUAUUAUUUUUUUUUUGCCAAAAUUUGUCAACUUUACAUAUUAAUUAGGUUUCCCUUAUAUGUCGUGGUAUAUGACUAACACAAAAUAAGCAAGUUGACAAAUUCUGACAAAAAAUAUCAAAGAUGAUAAUAAUUGGAUUAAAAUUUUUAAAUUGAAUUAAUAACCUUUAAUGUAUAAGGAAUGGAUAUCAAAUAUUUAUAGGAAUAAAGGGACUAACAACAUAUUUUAACCAGAAAAUAAUAUGAGUGAUUAGAAUGAAUCUAAAAUUUUAUAGAAAUAAAAGAGACUAACAACAUAUUGAUAACUUUCAAAUCUCCUUCGAUCAUCCUUUUUCUACGUAGAAAAAGAAAAUUAAUUAGCAUCUAAAGUGUCAAUUAAUGAAACCUUCAAAAGAAAAUGUGAAAGUGAUUUAUCAAACAAUAAUAUUCUAACUUAUAAUAUAUUUAAUUACAUUUAGUAAUUUAUCAAUCAAAACUUAUUUAACAUCCAUCAAUACUUCAUACAUAAAAAACGCAAGCAUAAAUUACCAUUUAACUCAGAUUUAACUUUGCAAGUAAACUUAAAAUUUUAUUUAAUUUUGUUACUAAAUUUGAUUUGUUCACUAUAGAGUUUGGUGACUUAAAAUAAAAGUAAUAAAAAGUUAUUCUUUCAGAUAUCUUUUUAAUGUUUAAUAAUAAAUUAAUUUAUAAAAUAUACUUUCAUUGGACACAGGCCUCCAAAGCGGUGAACCACUAAUCAAAUUAAUUUGGGGAUACCUAAAUUUGUUUUCAUCAAUUAAGAAAUUUAAAAAAUUGUUGAGACCUCAUGAUUAUCUUUUAUAAUUUCAGUCUUAUCACCAAAAACUAAAAAAUAAAAACGUCGACAUUAAAUUUGUUGGUAUGCAAUCAAUUUUAAGAUGGUUUUUGGGGUUAUAUAUCACUUUAGCAUUGACUUACUUUUCUACUCUUAGUCUUCUCCAACAAGUUAAAUAUUUGAAUUUUAACAACAUUGGCAGGUCUUUGGGGUAGGGUCGACCAAAACUUAAUAGAAACAGAUGAUAUAGGUUGAGUUGGCUCGGCCAAGUCGAGUCGACUUGUUCAAAUUAUUUAAAUUAGUAAAUUUUAGGGUGCAGUUAGAAUUUUUUGUUUUGAGAUGCUAAGAUUAAAAAAUUUCAGUUGCUAAAACAAAAAAUUUGUAUUUAAAAAGGCAUAAAUUAAAUAAUUAAGUUUUUCAAGUUUCCAUUUAAUCAAAGGUUAAAAGGACUAAAUUGAAGCUUUUUAUUUUUAAGAAAGGCUGAAUGCCAAAUUGCCCAAAGCCCAUGCCCCUAGCUAUACAACUAACUUUUCUAUGAUUAGUCCUUGGUUUGCUUUGGGUGGAAUCUUCCAACUAGCCUCAUCCUUCGUUUUACUUUCCAACAAUUAGUUUAUCAUGAGUUUUGUUUUCUUUAAAAAAAUAUUUUUGUGGAUAUUAGGAGAUAAUGAAAAUUAAUUUAGUAUGAAAUUUUAAUAAAACUGGAAAAUAAGUAAUUUAUUUAAGAGAUCACAAUUAAACGUUAGAUUUCCAAUUUUUAAAUUUUAAAUUAUUUUGACAAUUGCAUAAUAUUUUGAGCAUUGUAGGAAUGCCAUAAUCUUCCCUACGCAUAAUCGACUCUUGAGCAUGAUGGAUCCUAGGCCUUCUCCUCUAUUCUCGUACCACAAACUGCUUCGAGUGUGGAUUCGAACAAUCACAAAUUAAACACAAAACCAGAAAUGAUUUAUUACUUUCAAUAGCAAAGUAAUUCUCUCUCAAUAGAAACCAAUAGAAUUGUAAUUCCUAAAAAAUAAAAUUUAUUUUUGGAAAAUAUAUUCCCACUACUUUCUAGCAGAAUAAUAAUAUGUGAAACUUAUGUCUUGUGUUAAUAGCUCUACCAGCACUAUCUAUUUAUAGGGAGAGACGAGAAUCCUGGUUGACUUAGUAAAACACGAAUAAUAUUUAUUUCAUUGAAAACAAUAUUCCACCCUAAGUAGAUCAAGUUUGUAUGACGCAUGGAUCGAAGCUCAAUCUAGGAGAAAAAAAAAAGGAAUUUUCUUUGUAAAGAAAAUCUGAGAUUGUACUAUUUUCAAAGUUAUAAAUAAAAUUAUAAGCUAAAUUUUCAAGUCAAUUUUCAACUCCAAUUUUGUAUGCACAAAUUUCUAAUACACUUGGUGGGACAUUCUUUGACUUUUAUCUAUUCUCUCAAAAAGUUAAAGUUCAAAGUUGCAUUAAACUCAAAGAAGAUAAUCAUUAGUAAACCAGCUCACAAGCCUGCUCAAGCUAAUCCUACAACUUGUUCCACUUCAUCAUCAAACACCAAUGUUCUUGCUUAUCCUUAUGGAAUUAAACAGUCUCAUUUUCUGCAUUUUGGAUACACACCUAGUUUUGUUUGAUGCUAAAACAGUCCCUGAGCACUCCAAAGCCUAUAAUUGAACAAAUAACACUAAUUUAAUCUUACAUAACGUGAUCCCAAAUUGAACUUGUAUCGAGGUUUUAACCCAUAAGUGACUAAACUUUACCUUCAACCGAUGAACAGUAAUUCCCACAUAAACUAAGACUCCGAUUGGCGAUUACGAGCCCUUGAAUCCUCCCCUAAUUGGCAUAAACAAAACACUUCAGAAGAAAGUUAACAAACAGAGACAAAUCACUUAUCUAAAACUUACUGAAUGAUCACAGACAAACGUGGAGCGACACAAGGCAGAGUGGGAAAAGAAAAAUCAAGAGGAUGAAGGGUGAAAGAGAGCAGAAAUUCGGUAGCAAUAAAGAGAAAACGGUAAGAGGGUGGAGGGAUUUUGGGGAAAGUAAAAAAAAAAGAUGAACAGAAUAUUUGAUAACUACCCCAAUCCCUUAUUUCUCUCCAUCAAACUCUCCACUAAAUCCACUACUCGAAUUUUUAGUCCAUCUCAAACUCUCCUGGACGCAUGAGCAAAAAAUAAUGCCCAUGCCAAAAUUUGAACACAUGACCUCCUUCACACCAACACUCCACUUAUCCACUAGACCAACAGGCUCAUUCUUUUAAUUAUUUGUCAACUUUUACUUAAAAGCCUACUGACCAAAAAAUACCAAAAUUUGCCCAAGUCCUAGAUUGAACUUGGGACCUCCCAAACACACCCAGAACACAUAGCCAAUUUUCAAGCAAUCUGACAUGAAUUCUCAAUCACAAUUAAUUGAAUUCAAGAUAUAUUUGGAUGAGAAGACAAAUAUUUCAAUUUUAACACAAACCAAUGCUUGGGAUGAUUUGGGAUAAGAACUCCAACAUUUUAAGAUCACAUUUUCUUUUAUAAUUUCAGGCUUAUCAACUAUUUUGAAAACAACAAAACGUCUUACACCAAAAACUAAAAAAUAAAAACUUCGACAUUAAAUUUGUUGGUAUGCAAUCAAUUUUAAGAUGGUUUUUGGAGUUAUAUCUCACUUUAGCAUUGACUUACUUUUCUACUCUUAGUCUUCUCCAACAAGUUAAAUAUUUCAAUUUUAACAACAUUGACAGGUCUUUGGCCGAAUAAUUUUAAACGUCUCAUCAUUGCAAAAAUGAAAUAAUAGAAAAGAAAGAGUAGCCAUUUUAUGAAAUCUAUAAUUCCAACUGUGAAUAAAAUAUAAAUUUUAUGAAUGUGGACAAGCCAUUUUAUUUAUAAUUUUCUGUGUUUUUCUGACUUUUUUUAAGUCAUUUUCUUUGUUUCCUAACCAAAAAAUUUGCCCAUCACUUUAAAUAUAAAUUUAAAUAUAAAUUUUCUUUUUAAAAUAUAAAUUACUUGUCACAAUUCAUAUUUCUAAGUCAAUUUGCCAUCACUUUAACAUACACUAACUGUUCUAUGAUUAGUCCUUGGUUUGCUUUGGGUGCAAUCUUCCAACUAGCCUCAUCCUUGGUUUUACUUUCCAACAAUUAGUGUAUUACGGGUUUUGUUUUCCUUAAUAAAUAUUUUUGUGGAUAUUAGGAGAUACUGAAAAUUAUUUCACUAUGAAAUUUUAAUAAAACUGGAAAAUAAGUAAUUUCUUUUAAGAGAUCACAAUUAAACAUUAGAUUUCCAAUUUUUAAUUUUAAAGUUUUUUGACAAUUGCAUAAUUAAUAAGGUACCAAUUUUGAGAGUUGUAGGAAUGCUAUAAUCUUCCCUACGCAUAAUUGACUCUUGAGCAUGAUGGAUCCUAGACCUUAUCCUCUAUUCUCGUACCAGAAAUUGUUUCGAGUGUGGUUCGAACAAUCACAAAUUAAACACAAAACCAGAAAUGAUUUAUUACUUUCAAUAGCAAAGUAAUUCUCUCUCAAUAGAAACCAAUAGAAUUGUAAUUCCAAGAAAAUAAAAUUUAUUUUUUGAAAAUAUAUUCUCACUACUUCCUAACAGAAUAACAAUAUGUAAUACUUAUGUCUUGUGUUAAUAGCUCUACCAGUACUAUCUAUUUAUAGGGAGACACACGAGAAUCCUGGUUGAAUUAGUAAAACACGAGUAAUAUUUAUUUCAUAGAAAACAAUAUUCUACCUUAAGUAGAUCAAGUUUGGAUGACGCAUGGAUCGAAGCUCAAUCUAGGAGAAAAAAAUAAAGUAAUUUUCUUUGUAAAGAAAACCUGAGAUUGUACUAUUUUCGAAGUUAUAAAUAAAAUUAUACGCCAAAUUUACAAGUCAAUUUUCAACUCGAAUUUUUUAUGUACAAAUUUCUAAUAGACUUGGUGGCACAUUUUUUGAAUUUUAUCUAUUCUCUCGAAAAGCUAAAGUUCAAAGCUGCAUUAAACUCAAAGAAGAUAAUCAUUAGUAAACCAGCUCACAAGCCUGCUCAAGCUAAUCCUACAACUCGUUCCACUUCAUCAUCAAGCACCAAUGUUCCUGCUUAUCCUUAUGGAAUUAAACAAAAGACAAAAGCUCUCUAAGAGUUAUUUGAACAGACAAAAUAUUCAGAUGUGUUGAGAUGGAAAGUGACAACGCAAAGUUGAUUGAAACUAUUUGUAACGGGUUGGCUACAAUAAGUAGUGUUGUGAAGUAAGAUAGAUUCACGAUUGGUGUUCCAAAAUUGAGUAGCUAGUUAUCUUGGAAGAUCCUCCACAUUAUGUGAGAUGCUGGCUUGAAGAAGAUAUUAGACAAUUGCUAGUGACUGAUGAUAAUUUUCAUUUGGACUGAUGCUUGCUUAAUUUUCUAAGCUUAUGUUCAACCAAAAAAAAAAAAAUUAAAUAUGUCUAAAUGAUCAUAGAGUUAACAUUUAGUGUAUAAAAAAUUAAUAUAUAAUUUGUUUUCAAUUGUAGUUUAGUUCUAGAAAUACCAACGAUGAACCUUAAAACGGAAAUGAAAAUUACAAAAAAAAAAACAAACCACAUCUAUUAUCAAACCAACAAUCCAUGUCUAAACUUAAAUUAACAAAAUUCGUUACGCAACUCGGUACACUAUUUUAUAUAAUCAAUAUAUUAGAUUUAUUCUUGAUGCACAUGUUUUAUUAUAGUUAAAAAUUAAAAUAUAUGAUUUACUAAGUUUUAAUUGAAUUAGUAUUGGUAUUAUAUCAGUGUAGGAAAAUGUGAGUUUAAUCGUACUUAAAUAUGUAUCCUCCAACUCAACAGUUGGGAAAAGGUUAUUGAUAAUUAAAUUAUACCAAUUUUUACAAUAUCUAAAAAGCAUUCAUAAACAUAUUCAUAUUGAUGGGCUCUUUCAUUAUUAAACUUUUUUUCUCUCACAAGUAAAAGUACUUGUGGUGAGGAUCAUGUAAAAUAAUAAACUGAAUAAUUUUAAACGUCUCAUCAUUGCGAAAAUGAAAUAAUAGAAAAGAAGCCAUUUUAUGAAAUUUACAAUUCCAACUGUGAAUAAAAUAUAAAUUUUAUGAAUGUGGACAAGCAAUUUUAUUUAACUUUUUUUAAAGUAAUUUUCUUUGUUUCCUAACCAACAUGAAAUUACUUGUCACAAUUCAUCUUUUUAAAUGAGAAACAUUUUCAACAAUUUGCCAUCACAUCAACAUACACUAACUUUUCUAUGAUUAGUCCUUGGUUUGCUUUGGGUGCAAUCUUCCAACUAGCCUUAUCCUUGGUUUUACUUUCCAACAAUUAUUGUAUCCUCCUCAUUACUUUUACUUACCGACGGAUGAAAAAUUCACUGAUCAAAUUAAUUCAAAGAUUUUUUUUUUCUAAAUCAAGUGAAUUCACGAGUUUUAUUUUCUUUAAAAAAUAUUUUUGUGGAUAUUAGGAGAUACUGAAAAUUAUUUUACUAUGAAAUUUUAAUAAAAUUGGAAAAUAAGUGAUUUAUUUAAAGGGAUCACAAUUAAACAUUAGAUUUUUAAUUUUUUAAUUUUAAAUUUUUUUGACAAUUGCGUAAUUAAUAAGGUACUAAUUUUGAGCAUUGUUGGAGUGCUAUAACCUUCCCUAUGCAUAAUCGACUCUUAAAUUCACUUUUUUCUCUAGAAUUUUAACAAACUUACAAAAUGAUUUAAUGAUAUUUAAUUAUUGAUGGGUAAAAAAAUUAUAUCAUAUAAAUUCCGAAUAAUUAAUUAUAUAUCUACAUAUUAUAACCAAUUCAUCUUUCAAAAUUAUUUCCUUAUAAUUAAAGCAAAAAUUAUAUUUAUAAAAUUCUAAAUAUAUUAUAAUUCUUGUAAAUAUAUAUAUUUACAUAUAUAAGUCCAAAUUGUAAUAGAGUUAACAUUUAUUGUAUAAAAAAUGUCUUGAAAUUUUUUUUUUCAAUUUCAAAAGAACUAUUCCAUUUAUAAAACCAUAAAACUUUAAAAAUAUAAACUCUAUUAAAUAAAAAUAAUAAUAUUUUUAAACAAUAAAUAUUGACUUUAUUUUAAAUUGACAUUAUCUAAUUCUUUUUAAUAUGUAUCGCUAAGCUUUACAUUAAUAUACAUGAUUUAUUUGUUCGUUAUUAUUAUUAUUAUUAUUAUUAUUAUUAUUAUUAUUAUUAUUUCUAUGAUUAUUAUAUUAUACUUAUCGGACUACAAUCAUAACCAUGUCUAUUAUCAUUCGAUAAAAAAAAAUUAAGUGUUGAGUAUAAUGACAAGGCACAUUACACUCUGAAGGGGAGAUUAAGGUUUGGACAAAGGAAGAAUAUGAUUCAAAUUUUGGAGACAACAUUCUUGAAAUGAGCAACCAUAAACCCCGAUUAUGAACCAUAAAACGAUCAUGAAAAGUACCCAAAAAAACACAUUUAUUACCAAAUAGUAAUCCAUCUAAGGAUUAAAUUAACAAAAUUCACCAUCCAACCGUGUAGACUAUUAUAAAUAUAUAUACUAUAUUUAUUCUUCAUGCAAAUGUUUAUUAUAUUUAAAAAUUAAAAUAUAUGGUUGAUUGAGUUUUAGUUGUGUUAAUAUUGAAAUUAUUGUCAGUGCAAAAGAACAUGAGUUCAAUCAUGUUUAAAUACGUUUUAUACUCCAAUUUAGGAGUUGGAGAGGAUUCUCAAUAGUUAAAUUAUAUUAGUUUUUGUCUAUUUAAAAAUGAUUUAUAAAUAAUAUAAGUAGAAAAUUUUAAAAAAAAUACAUAUUCAUAUUGAUCGGCUUUUUCAUUAUUAGACUUUUUUCCCCACAGUUAAAAGUAUUUAUCGAAUUCAAAUUUUGGGUUUUAAAUAAGGGUUUCGGAUUUUUUUUAAACAUUUGUGUGAGUUUUUGCCAAAUUUUAUAUUUUCGGAACGAAUAACUAAGUUGAUUUUUAAUUACUUUUUCAAACAAGUCGAUGUAAUUCCUCAAAAAUCUAGUCAAAGCGUCUAGGCUGGGUUUGGAGGUGUUACACUAACGUUACUAAAGUUAAUCUUAAUCUAUUUAGUCUAGAUCUAAACAUCAAUAUUCUCUUCCAAGAAAAAUCAAGAUUAUCAAAUUAUUACAACUGUGUAGCCAGACAAUCAUAUUAAAUAUGCAUAAAACAUAAUAAAUAAUUAGCGAAGAUUGAAACAAUCAAAGAAAAAAAUAAAUAAAUAAACUAAGAAAUAAGGAUCCAUUAUUGUUUCAAGAAAACAGAGUUUAGUUCAUAUUGAGUUGAGAAAACCAGAAAGGAGAUUCAAAACAAACUUGUGAUAAGGGGAACAAUGUCAAUAGAUCAUAUUCAAGUUGUUCGACUUCAGAUUUGACCUGAAAAGAAGAAACCAAACAUAUUUAGGAAAACAAGAAAAAACAAAGAAAAAAAACUAAAAUGAGAAAUUUAAGAAUAAAUAAUAAAUAUUAAAAAUAAAUAAAGAAAUUAUAGAAUAAAAAGUGGCAGAUGGAAUGAAGAAAUGAUGGAUAUAAAUAAAAGAUGGAUAUGACAUAUAGAUGAAUAAGUGUCUGAUAACUCUUGAAAAAAAGUUAUAUUUCAUGCCUUUAGACCUAGCUAAUUGCUUGUACUUAAGUAUAUUUUGUUGCUUUUUAAGACAUUUUAGUGAGCAUUUUUAAUAUUGUAUUAGGACUUAGACUGAGUUGGAAUUAGGUGCUUUUAAUCGCUUGUGGUGGAGUUUUUUGUGUGUUGGUAUGGCAGGAACAGGUUUUAGAUCGAGGAAAUAAAUGAGUGAAGUUUUGUUUGGGCAAAAGUGCAUAUAGUUUUCCAACAAGGAUGCCGUGGCAAUGCCGAGAAGACCAAGUUCAUAUUUUUUGUGCAACAGUCCUAGUUCAAAUUCAAACUUGUAUGAGAUAAAUCCCCCUAAAAGAGGAGAAGAUAAUUACAUUGAUGUUAGUUGACCCUAGCCUAAUCUAUCUAUUAAAUCCAAUGAAAGGGAUCUCACAAAUGGUAGAAAAAAGUGAGAGAGAUCUUUAGGGGUGAAUAAGGGUUUGGCUGUGCAAAGGAAAAGAAGUCAAGGGCAAUCAUUCUUAGCCUUCACAGGACGUUUUGUUGCCAAAGUGUGGACUGGGCAAGUGAAAGCUGUUUCCCAAAGUUCUUCUGUUAUUUCCAUCAGUGUUCCUUCGAAAGAUUGAAUUGAAGUAGUUGAACACAAUGUCAGAUAAUAUUUUGGUUUGAAAUUCUAUUUCCCAGUUUAUGAGCUAAAUCUCAUAAGGUUGGGAUUACUUUCGAUGAAACCUUUAAUUUUUUUUAUGGAUGCAAUAUAUAUCUAAUUUACAUUACAGUUUCAUUUGAUUGUUCUUAUUUCUUAAUUAAAAUGCAAAUGAUCUCUAGACAUAGAAGACUAUUCACAUACUUAUAAACUGAUUAUAAUUCUAAAAGGGUUGGAUUAAAAUUAAAUGAAAUGAGCAAGUAUUUGAUAGACACUUGUAGCCGACUCCAGACAUAGAGUCACGAUCAUACAGAAGGAACCCAUGCAAGAUAUCUGAAAAGCCUUUAGACACAGGCAAGGCAACUUGAGGUUAUUCUCUCACACGAGGCAGACCAUUUUAGAACUCUUCUGUGUUGUAAAGUAGAUACGAUUUUGCCAAGGCAUUAUUGACAAUAAGGGUUGAUUCUGGGUAAUCCCGACCUUCCAAAUCCACAUCGUAUAUCCUUCAUUAUUUUCCAUAGUAUCUUUUCCACAUCAUUAUUAAUUAUUUAUUUGUUCAUUUACAUAAUAUUCCCAUAGUAAUUCUCAUAAUUGCCAUUACAUUUCUACUCUCGAUUUGCCAUAGCAUUACCAAAUAUUCAUUAAUUCCACAUAUUGAUUACAUCAUUACUCUACUCAUUGCCAUUGCAUAUUUAUCAUUGACUUUGUCACAACAUUAAUUGUAUUUUAUGAUAAUAACUUGAUCGAUUUUGUGCCUCAAUCUGAUCAUCGUGGGAAUGAUACUCACUCAUCAUUUAUUACUUGAUUCAACGUGUAUACUUGCACAAAUCGCAUAUCAUUUCACAUGCGACAAUGUCCAAUUGAACCCUUUAAGAUAUAAACUCAAACAAACUCAAUUAAUGGCUUUAAUCAACCCACCAAGAAAUAAUCCUUGGCAAAUUGAAGGAUGAAUAAUGAAUUCCCAUGACUCCUUAAAGAAAAUUGAGAAGAAAACUGCUUCUAAAAAUUACAAGAAACAAUCUUGCACAAAGAAACUAACCUUGAGAGUUGGAAAUUUUAGUAACGAACAAAGACAAUUGUGUCUCUAAUGACCAUGAAAGAGCUUUACAUAGGCUAGAUAAGUACAUCCAAAUAAAAUUUCGAAGUAUCUUAAAACUUUAAUUAAUGUAAGCAAAAAGUAAUUUUCAACUAAAAUAGUCAUAAUUUCCGUAAUAAUCCCGUCUAGAAAUUCUACUCACAUAGUCAUCACUAAAAUAGUCAUCAUUUGAGCUCUUGAACUAGAAAUUGAGUGAAUAAAAGUGUGUUUGAUAGACCUUAGAACUCCAUCAAGACAUAUCAAUCGAAAAAUAUUUGGAUCCCAUCCAAAAAGUCAUUGCAAGUUAACUGAUUUUCCAAACUUGAAAAUUGGCAGCUUCAGUGAAUGAAAUUUAAUAAAGUUCACCCCAUCUGCUCAUGUAUAAACUUGCAGUGGUAAAAAGUAAAAAGAAAUAAUCUAUAGAGAAAAUAGUUGAAGAAUUUAUGACAAUUUAUUCAGACCUUUUUUUCUUCUAGCCUUUGCAAGCUUGAAGUUUCCGUUGGUGUGUGAGAGUUGUUCCUUACCCUUUAAGUUAUUUCUUUUCUUUUCCUUCUUUUUCUUUCUCUUCGAUCUCAUCACCUAAGGGUGCUCAAACAACUGAUUCAGUUAAUACCCGAACAAAGCUAUCAUUAAAUGAAAUUUUGAAACCCUUAAUCAUUAAUGAAACCAAUUUUUUGUUGAAACCUAUUAACCGGCCGGAUUGAUUUCGGUUAAUUUGUGCAGUUAACCAGAAUUUAUACAUUGUUUGUUUUUUAUCAAACAAUUUUAAAACAAAGAACAAUCCAUGACAACUUUUUCCUUGUUUUUUAUUCAAAAAUUAUUAAAAGAACUAAAAAAAAUAACAUAAUAACAACACUAAAUUAAAAACAUAAUAGCAUUCAUUACAGUACAAAUCUUUUUUCUUUUUUUUCUUUUUGUUGACUUUUUAGUUUAAUUUUAGUUUUUUUUCAAAUAUUUUAGUUUUCAUAUUCUUGUUAAGCUUAUUAUAAGAAAACUUAUAAAUCCAUUAGUUUUUAUAUAUUAGGUUUGUAUAAUGUAUUGGAGCUAUCUCUAUAAUAUAUUUUUAUUGAUUUCGGUUAAUCAAUUAAUUCGGUUAAUUAGUCGAUUUCAAACGAAACUAAUUGAUAAACAAAAUCUUCAAAAACAUUUAACCAACUCCCAACCAAAUUAGAUUCGUUGAUCGCCUGCUUAAUCAAGUUAAUCAUAUGGUAAAAUGGCAUAGUUUUGGAAUGGUUUUUUGGAAUUAUUGGUAUAGGUUUAAGUUAUGAUCUUGAGAUGUUGAGUUGAAUUAAGUUUGAUAUGUAUAUUGUGAUGCCUUCAUUGGCAUAUUGGUUAGAUAUUAAAGGAUGGUUGAUUUGGUAUGUUUUUAAAAUGGUUGUUGGUAUGUGUGAUCUAAAUUGAUUAAAUGAACUUGUAAUGUUGAAUGGUAUAAUAUUUGUUGGUACAUUAGUUAGUCUUAUAGGUUGAUGGAAUUGGUAUGUUUUAAAUGUGUUUAAAAUGUGUUUUGAUUGUUUAAAUGUUUGUGGAAAUGGUGUGUCUUGGUGUACAAGAUUUGAAAUUGAAAUGGCUUGAUUUAGAAGCAACUUAUGUUGUACACCACCUGGGACACUGGUUGUCACAUGGUUGUGUGUCAUUAUUGUUUUAGGUACAGGUUUCACACAAUCUGAGACUCGGCUCACGACAUAGCUGUGUAUCACAAGUCAGUAUGUAACACGGUUUGGUACAUGGCCUGCGACAUGACCGUGUGUCCAAACUUCGAAUGUCCACACGGUCUGGGCUAUGUCACACGGGUUGGCCACAUGGCCGUGUGACCCUUGUUUUCAAGUUUUCUAAAAUUUUCUAUUUUAUUUCAAAUUGAUCCUAGAAUAUUCUCAAACUGUUUUUAGGGCCCGUAGGUUCGAAUUAAGGCCCAUAAGUGUAUGUUUGCUAUAAUUAAGUUGUGUUAAUUAAUGUUAUUAAUUAAAUGGCAUGAAUAUUUUAUUGUAAGUUAAAUGUUUUAAUUUGAACUAUAAUGCUCCGUAACUCUAAUCUGGCGACGGAGACAGGUUUGGGGUGUUACAAUUUUGGACUUGAAAUUUGUUUUGGGGCUUUGUUCGAUGUUUGUUGGAUUUUAGUGUUUUAACAUUAAACUACAAAAUUGUAUGAUUUAACAAACUAAAAAUUAGGUUUUCAAAAUUAAAACUCUGGAAGUUUCUGUUUCAAAGAUUAAGUAAUCACUUAAGUGUUUUCCCAUAAAUAAUUAAAUGGUUUUUAACAAAUGUUUUCCUUAGUUUUGGAAAUGAUAUGCCAACAUUAGUACUUUUAAAACACAUGAUUUCAAAUUCAAAUUCUUGGUUUUAAGUAAGGGUUUUCAAACUUUGAUUUUUUUUAACAUUUGUGAGAGGUUUUUGCCAAAUUUUAUGUUUUCAGAACGUGUAACUAAGUUGAUUUUUAAUUAGUUUUUCAAACAAGUCAAUGUAAUUCCUCAAAAAUCCAAUCAUAGCGUCUAGGUCGGGUUUGGGUUGUUACACUGACGUUACUAAAGUUAAUCUUAAUCUAUUUAGUCUAGAUCUAAACAUUAAUAUUCUCUUCCAAGAAAAAUCAAGAUUAUCAAAUUAUUACAACUUGGUAGGCAGACAAUCAUAUUAAAUAUGCAUAAAAGUUAAUAAAUAAUUAGCGAAGAUUGAAACAAUCAAAUAAAAAAUAAAUUAAUUAACUAAGAAAUAAGUUCCAUUAUUGUUUCAUGAAAAUAGAGUUUAGUUCAUAUUGAGUUGAGAAAACCAAAAGCGAGAUUCAAAACAAACCUGUGAUAAGGGGAACAAUGUCAAUAGAUUAUAUUCAUGUUGUUUGACUCAAGAAAGAAAUAUUCGAAUCUAACUUGAAAAGAAGAAACCAAAUAGAUUUAGAAAAAUAAGAAAAAAAAACAAAGAAAAUAACUAAAAUGAGAAAUUUAAGAAUAAAUAAUAAAUAUUAAAAAUAAUAAAGAAAUAAAGAAAUUAUAGAAUAAAUAAUGGAAGAUGGAAAUGAAACGACGGAUAUGACAUAUAGAUGGAUAAGUGUCUGAUAAUUCUUGAAAAGAGUUAUAUUUCAUACCUUUAGACCUCACUAAUUGCUUGUACUUAAGUACAUUUUGUUGCAUAUUGAGACAUUUUUGUUCGUAUUUGUAAUAUUGCAUUAGGACUUAGAUUGUGUUAGAAUUAGGUGUUUUUGAUCACUUGUGGUGGAGUUUUUAGUGUGUUGGUAUGGUAGGAACAAUAUUUAGAACGAGGAAAUAAAUGAGUGAAGUUUAGUCAGCGCAAAAGUGCAGAUAGUUUGCCAACACGUAUGCCGUGGCAAUGUCGGGAAGACCAAGUCAACAAAUUUUUGCGCAACAGUCCUAGUUCAAAUUCAAACUUGUACUAGAUAAAUCUCCUUAAAAGAGGAAAAGAUAAUCACAAGUUGUUAACCGACCCUAGCCUAAUCUAUCUAUAAAAGCCAAUGAAGGGGAUCUCACAAAUGGCAGAAAAAAGUGGAAGAGAUCCUUAGGUGCGAAUAAUGGUUCAGCUGCGCAAAGGAAAGGAAGUUGAAGGCAAUCUUUUUUAGCCAUCACAAGACGUUGUGCUGUCGAAGUGUGGACUAGACAAGUGAAAGUUGUUUCCCAAAGUUCUUUCGUUAUUUCCGUCAGUGUUCCUUCAAAAUAUUAAAGUAGUUGAACAUAAUGUUGGAUAAUAUUUUGGUUUGGAAUUUUAAUUCCUAGCCCAUGAGCUAAAUCUCGUAGGGUUGGAAUUACUUUUGAUAAAACCUUAAACUAUUUUUAUGGAUGCAGUAUAUAUGUAAUUUACUUUACUGUUUCAUUUUAUUAUUCUUAUUUCUUAAUUAAAAUGCAAAUGAUCUCUAGACAUUGAAGCCUUUCACAUACUUAUAAACUGAUUUUAAUUCUGAAAGGGUUGGAUUGGUUGGAUUAAAAUUAAAUGAAAUGAGCAAGCAUUCGGUGGACACCUGUAGUAGACUUUAGACAUAGAGUCACGCUCAUACAGAAGGAACCCAUGCAAGAUAUCUAAAAAGCCUUUAGACAUAGGCAAGGUAACUUAAGGUUUUGCUCUCACGAGAGGCAGGCCAUUUUAGUACUCUUUUGUGCUUUAAAGUAGAUACGAUUUUGCCAAGGCAUUAUUGACAGUAAAGGUCGAUUAUGGGUAGUCCCAACCCUCCAAAUCCACAUCGUAUAUCCUUUACUCUUUGCCAUAGUAUAUUUGCCACAUCAUUAUAAGUUAUUUAUUUGUUCAUUUACAUAAUAUUUCCGUUGUAAUUCUCAUAAUUAUCAUUACUUUCUACUCUCGAUUUGCCACAACAUUACUAGUUAUUUAUUAAUUCCACGUAUGGCUUACAUCAUUGCUCUACUAAUUGCCACUGUAUAUUUACCAUUGACUUCGCCAUAGCAUUAAUCAUAUUUUAUUAUAAUAACUUGACCAAUUUUGUGCCUCAAUUCGAUCCUCAUGGAAAUGAUACUCACUCAUCACUUUAUUUGUAACACCCCAAACUCGGCCUAGACGUUAUGGCCGAAUCUGGUGAUGUCACAUGGAGAGGGAUUUGAAGACAAGAUUGUUGAGUUUAAAAACCGUUACAGUAAGUUAGCUUUUAUUUAGGGAAAAUCGUGUUUUGUAGAGUUGUAGUUUUUAGGAAAAAAAUCGUGUUUUGUAGAGUUGUAGUUUUUUUAAAAAACCCAAUAAAAAAUAGUAUAAAGUCCCAAAUUUAAAACCAAUCAGUCCAUAGUCCAGAAGAUACAUCAAAAACUCAAAAUAAGUAAUAAAUUCUAGGCAUUAACGGAAAACAAUCUAAAAUUUACGUGUGGCCACCAUUGAGUCCUCUGCUGCACCGAUUCGUCAAGUCUGAGGAUUACCUAUACAAAUUAAAUAGAGAAAGGGUGAGUUGUCGCAAACUUAGUGUGUAAUCCCCACAGAAAACAUGCAUAGAGAUAAUUAACAAAAUUUAGUUAGAUACAGUCUAGGGCCUGUGCCCAUCAUAGAAUCAGUUUGGGCCUUAGCCCAUUCAGAUAUAGUCUUAGAAAUACAUUAGGGCAUUGACCAGCCUCUACAAACCACCUCCAUCCAACCAUACACACCAUGUGGGGAUUAAAUCAACCAACCCAUCCCUACACACCAUGCUGUACCGAAAUGCGGCACAUAAUUAGAAGGUUGCAGCUGGGCUGCCAGAUAACAUAAGUCAUGCUCGGUAUAGAAAUCAGACAGACAGAUCACACAUAUAGGUGUCUAAGUAAAGCUUACUGACCCUACAGUAGGUCCACAGUUAACUUGGGCGACCCGUGCAAAAUUACAGAACUUUUUAGAAAAAUGGGCUUACACGCCUAUGUGGCCCACUCGGCCCAAAUUGGCCUUGACCACGUGAUCCAUUUUUAAUGUAACCAGUGCUAGUUAAUUAUUCAUAUAUGUUUUCACUAUUUACUUAUAUGUUAAUUUAAAGCUGUCUACUUGAGUCACUGUUACUAAAUUAUUUAUAUCUUGAGCUACAGAAUUUCAAAUUAAGAUCCGCUUAAUGUCUUUGAAACUAGACUCAAAUAUCUUUCUACUAUAAAAUUUUUAUAAUUUUUGGUUGAGCCAACAAGUACAGUAAAAUCUUCAAACCUUCCCCUAUUCUGCUGUCUGACAACUUCAACCCUUCUUUGCUAAGAAUUAAUUAUCUCUUAGUACAAGAUUUGGAUGAUGUUUACAUUUGUUUCUAUUGAAAAUAAACUCAUUAAUAAUUUAAAAAUGUAAAUUUUAAACCCCUAAUUAUUUUUCUCCAAUUUUUGAUGAUUUUCCAAAUUUAGAACAGGGGAACCUUAAUUCUUUCUGACCUUGUCUCACGAAGUUUAUUAUACCUCACAAUUUACAAUUCCAUUACUUACAUCGUUUAAGAUUUAAUUCCAUAUUUUUUUCAUCCUCUAAUUCAAUUUCCACAAUUUAUGGCAAUUUUUCAAAGUUAACCUACUGUUGUUGUCCAAACAGCAAGCAAUUUUGGCUUUUCGCCGAAUCCUUUUUUUUGCAUUUCGGGUACACACCUGGUUUUGUUUGAUGCUAAAACAAUCCCCGAACACUCUAAAGUCACCAAUGAUAACCAUCCAUUUAAAUAUUGUUAACACGAGAACACUGAAUUCACUAGUCCGAGUCUCCCCCUACGCCCAAAUCGCAGAGAAAAUACGUUACCACUUUAGUCGCUAAAAGAUUCAUGAUAGAAAAGAAGAGAAACACUUACCGAACUAAGCGAGCACUAACCGUGUGUGAAAAUGAAGGAAAAUAAAUGGAUUAGGGAAAAAUCAAGAACAAGAAAAAGAAGAAAAAGAAAAACUCAGAGAAUUUCAACAAGAGGAGAGGGAGAAGAAUAGACGGCGAAUAAAAUUCUGAUAACCCCCAAAAUCCCUUAAUCUUCUCCCCUAAUUCCCACUACACAUCCACUAUUCAUAACCCCCUAUUACAUAACUCUAUCCGAAAUCUGAUAAAAAAAAACAUAAUACCCUUGCCUGCAUAGGGGUUCAAACACAAAACCUCUACUAUAAUAACACAUCAUUUAACCACCAGACCAGCAGGCCCAUUCUGAUGUAAUUUACCCAAAAAUCAAAUAAAAGCCUACUCAACAAGAGUAAAGCCUAAUUCAUUCAAAAUACCAAAAUUUGCCCAAGCAAAAGCUUGAACUUGGGACCUCCCAAACACUCCCAGAACACAUAACUACUAAAGCUGACAAAUAUUUGUGUCAUAUUUUCACAAUAAUGAAAUUAGAAAUUUUGGGACAUUACAUUAUUACUUGAUUCAACUCUUGCACAAAUCGCAUAUCAUUUCACACACAACAGUGCUCAAUUGAACCCUUUAAGAUAUGAAAUCUAACAAACUCAAUUAAUGGCUUUAAUCAAUCCACCAAGAAAUAAUCAUUGGCAAAUUGAAGGAUGAAGAAUGAAUUCCCAUGACUCCUUAAAAAAAUUGAUAAGAAAACUACUUUUAAAAAUCACAAGAAACAAAUCUUGCAUAAAGAAACUAACUCUCAGAGUUGGUAAUUUUAGUAAUAAACAAAAACAAUUGCGUCUCUAAUGAACAUGAAGGGGCCUUUACAUAGGCUAGAUAAGUACAUCCAAAUAAAAUUGUCAAAUAUCUUGAAACUUUAAUUAAUGUAAGCAAGAAGUAAUUUUAAACUAAAAUAGUCAUAAUUUUCGUAAUAAUCCCGUCUAAAAAUUCUGCUCACAUAGUCAUCAUUAAAACAAUCAUAAUUUGAGCUCUUGAACUCAAAAUUGAGUGAAUAAAAGUGCGUUUCGAAGUUAAGUGAUAGAUCCUAGAACUCUAUGAAGACAUAUCAAUCAAAAAAAUAUCUGGAUCCCAUCCAAAAAGUCACCGCAAGUUAACUAAUUUUUCAAACUUAAAAUUUGGCAGCUUCGGUGAAUGGAAUUUAAUAAAGUUCACUCCAUCCAUUCAUGUAUCAACUUGCAUUGGUAACAAGUAAAAGAAAAAAAUCUAUAGAGAAAAUAGUUGAAGAAUUUAUGACAAUUUAUUCAAAUCUCUUUUUCUUCUAGUCUUUGCAAGCUUGAAGUUUCCCUUGGUGUGAGAGAGUUGUUCCUUACCCUCUAAGUGAUUUUUUUCUUUUUCUUUCUCUUCGAUCUCGUCACCUAUUGGUGUUCAAACAAUUGAUUCAGUUAAUACCCGAACAAAACUAUCAUUAACUGAAAUUUUGAAACCCUUAAUCGUUAAUCAAACCAAUUUUUUUAAAAAAAACCUAUUAACUAGCUGGAUUGAUUUCGAUUAAUUUUAGCGGUUAACCAGAAUUUAUACAUGGUUUUUUUUUGUUCAAAAAAUUUUAAAACAAAGAACAAUCCAUGACAAUUUUUUCCUUGUUUUUUAUUGAAAAAAUUAAAAGAACUAAAAAAAUAACAUAAUAACAACAAUAAAUUAAAAACAUAAUAGCAUUCAUUACAUUACAAGGCAUAUAUAUAUAUUUUUACUUUUUCUUCACUUUUUAGUUUAAUUUUAUAUUUUUUAAAAUAUUUUUAGUUUUCAUAUUUUUGUUAAGCUUAUUAUAAGAAAACUUAUAAAUCCAUUAAUUUUUCUAUAUUGGUUUUGUAUAAUGUAUUGGACUUAUCUCUAAUAUAUUUGGCCUAUAAUAUAUUUUUAUUGAUUUCGGUUAAUCAAUUAAUUCGGUUAAUUAGUCGAUUUCAAACUAAACUAAUUGGUAAACAAAAUCUUCAAAAACCUUUAACCAACUCCCAACCAAAUUAGAUUUGAUUGCUUAAUCAAAUUAAUUAGGUUUGAUAAAUUAAUUCGUUAAAACCAAAAAAUCCACACCCCUAUCAUCACCUUUAUUUUUAGGGAUUUUAAUCAUGUUGCUGCACCUGAUGCAGAAGUUGAGGUGGAACGAACUGCUUGCUACCACAAUUUAUGAAUUAUAGAGCAUGCUCCACCGUAGUGAAUCAAAUUCGGUGGAGUAGAAGACUUUUCUUCACUACUUUAUGCUCUAUGCUCCAAGUCUUCUAUUCUUCUUCUGAGACCUACAAUGGGAAAAUAAAAACUAAGAAACAAGUCUAAACUAACUUUGAAAAUUAGAAAUUUUCAACAAAAUUGAAAUAAAAUAUAAUUAAUCCAUAAAAAACUAUAAAAUGCAAUAAAAACAAACCUAAAUACUAAAAUUACCUCCUAAAAUGCUGUGGAAACUAUACUAAAAUAACUCUAAAUAUGAUAGUUAUCAGAAGCGACUUGAAUAAGCCAAUCGAGUAGAUGAUUUCAACUAUUGCAAAUAGCAUCAGUCGAUUAACCAUCCUCUUGAGAAGAUCAUAGAGUUGAAAGAAAAAAUCAUACAACUCCAUGAAGAAGAAAAAAUCAUGUUUGAAAAAGAAGUGGCAUUAUCAAACUUGACAUCAAUGCUUUGGUUUCUCAAUACAAUAUUAAGGAGAAAUUCAUCAAAUUUGGCUCUUUCACUCCUAUUACACUAGCUCUAAGUAGAAGUAAGAUGGUGAAUUUCGAAGGGAUUGGGGACAAUCAUCUAUUUUUGGAAUAUCAGAAUGGUCAUGAUUGGACUCAAAGAAGCCAAUGAAAUGCAUCUCUCCUAGGUAUAAGCUUAUAUUGUCACAUUGCUCCUAAGCACGAGCAUAAAUUGUUCAUCCAAAAUGAUGAUGCUCCUAAGCAUGAGCUUAAACUGUUCAUCUAAUGCUCCUAAGAAGGAGCCUAAACUAUUCAUAAAAAAUAAAUGAUGAUCCAGUGAAGCACGAGAUUAAACUAUUCAUACGAAAUAAAUGAUUACCUCCUAAGCAUGAAUUUAAAUUGUUCAUACAUAAUAAAUGAUGAUACUCCUAAGCAUGAGCUUAAAUAGCAGUCCAAAAAAAAUUGAACAACAUUAUAACUUUAUCUUUUAAAAAUGAAGGUACGUAGAUAGCCUGGUUUCAUUGCCAAGUUCAGUCAGUGAAACAAAUUCUUGAAAGUAGGAAGCAAAUAAAAUUUCAAGACUUGUACCCUUUCUACGCCCAACAAAAUUCAGAAUUCAGCAUUUGUUAUUACUGUUUAUCUCUAACUAAAUUAAUGAAAAGAUAAAUCAAGAAAUUAAAUCCUUUUAGAACUGUCUUAUAAAGAAACCAUAUUCUUUAAGGAUUACUUUAUCUAUAAUUAAUUAAAUUAAUAAGAUAUGAAUAAUAAUAAUAGAGUUUAAAUUCUUAUAGAACACUCAAAUGAAAAAGCUAAAUUCUACAACAACUCUCUUAUAUCAAAGUGAUUGGGCACUAUAAAAAUGGGUCACCUCCAAGUCAUUCUACACAUUCACAAGUUCAAGAAGUUCAAAAAUUCUUUACGAAAAUAUGAAGAAACUAAAGAAGUAGAAGAAAUUCUGAUGAACAUCAUAUCAGUUCUAAAGAAAAACUGCCUCCUAUCCAAUUCAAUUGAGAGGAGGAUGUCAACAGAAGAGAAGAAUCGAAGAAGUUUUGUUUGUAAAUAAAUUCAAAACUAUACACUCUUCGAAAUAAUAAAUAAAAUUUGACGCAAAAUUUUCAAGUCAAUUCUCAACUUAAAAUUUGCGUGUACAAUAUAUAUAGGAAAGAAUCCAUUUACAUUAUAUAAAACUAGUGUAUGUAUAAUACAGAAAUAUUUAGUACAUUAUCAAUAAAGUUUUUAAACUAUGCACUGUGAUUAAAACCAAAAUAAUAAUAAUAAUAACAACCAAUCACUUUAUUUGACUAACUUUUCCCUACAAGUCUUUAGUAUGGAGACAAAUCAGUUUAAUCAGCCUUUGGAGCUAUUAACUGACAUUUCCACCAUUGAUUUGAAAAUCCUAACCCAUCAAUUCACUUUAAAUGAAACGAGAUCCACUAGUGUUUGGUGUUAUAUUUUUAAAAUGUAUUUAGAUUAUUGUUUAUUAAUUUUAUUUGUUUAUAUUUAAAUCAAAUGUAAUAAAUUGUUGAAUUUAUAUACUUCAUAUUAUAACAAUAUAUUUUAACUUGCUACUUCUCUUUUUAAUUUAAUUUUUUGUAACUCUUCACAAUUUAUUUUGAAAAAAAUUGAAAAAACUAAAUGAUUAAAUUAAGGCUCAACUUUUCACUAACCUUAGUUUAUUUAGUCUAACUUUUCACAAAUUAAUAUACUCAUUUCAUGUUUCAUACCAACAACUUUUCUUUUUGGUAAAAAGAAAAAACAACUAUACGUUUUUUUUAAUCCCAAAAUUAAGGCUUUAUGAAUGAAAAUAAUAUUAUAUUAACUAUGAUAAUUAAGUCUUUAUUUUUAAUAUGAUUAAUAUUAUAUAUAAUAACUUUAAAUAUGCUUCCACUAAUCAGAUAUACUAAAGGAAAGAGUAACUUUCUUUUUAUGGUAACUAAUUUUCAAUUAUGUAUUUUAAUCUAUCACUAAAUAAUUAAUUAUAAUCAAGAUGUUAAUUUUCCAUAAAAUGUACAUAAUUUUGGUUGGUAUAUUAAUAAAUUUAGCCCUAAAAAUUUACACAUGCAAUUUGGUCUUAAUUUAACAAAAUUUUCCCGCAACAUUUGUGUAAAUAUGUAAAUGUUGAGGUUAAAUUUCUUGAAUUUUUUUUAAAAAAUUAAGGUCAAAAUGACAAAAAUAUAAAUAUUGAAAACUAAAUUUAUUACUGUACCAAUCAAAAUGACAAAAUAUAGCUAGGGACAUGGGCUUGACCGAGCCAACUCAACCUAUUUCAUCUGUUUCUAUUGACUUUUGCUCGACCCUACCCCAAAGACCUGUCAAUUUUGUUAAAAUUGAAAUAUUUAACUUGUUGGAGAAGACUAACUGUAGAAAAGUAAGUCAAUGCUAAAGUGAUAUGUCGACGUUUUGUUGUUUUCAAAAUAGUUGAUAAGCCUGAAAUUAUAAAAGAUAAUCAUGAGGUCUUAAAUGCAAUUAUGAUAUUUCUAAAAAGAUAUUUCUCAACAAUUUUUUUAAUUUCUUGAUUGAUGAAAACAAAUUUAGGUAUUUCCCAAUUUGUAAAAACAUGAUUUUUCUUUGAAUUUCUAGGUUUUUCUUAGCUUUUUUUUAUAUUAUUUUGGAAUUUUUGUAAUCUUCUUAUAAUUUCUUAAAAAAUAAUAUAUUUGUAAAAAUUUUUAAACCAUAAAUACCAAUUAAGAAGAAUGUGAUAAAAUUAGGGGUAAAUGUGUAUUUAAGCCAAAGAAAAUAAAAGAAUAAUAAUGAAAUUCACCUAAAAACAAUUACAAGGACUAGAUGAACAAUUUGACCUAAAACUUUGUUUGAAAUGAUGUCAUUAAUGUGUUACAUCAGCUUUCUUAGAGAGAUAAAAAUUAAAUGAAUAUGAGAUACAUGAAACUUGUAUCUCUUUCCAAUAAUUUAACAUUAUUUCAAUAUUUUCAUCUUGAAUUCACGAGUGAAGCGUACAUCAUAUACCAACUCAAUUGGAAAAAAGUCUUUAAAUUAUUUUUAAAUUGUAACAAAUAUUAUUAUUAAGAUGUUUUUCUUUUUAUAUUUUUUAUAAAAUAUAUUAAAAAACAAUUAAAAUAAUUUUAAGAGAAAAAAACUCAUACAAGGUAGAAUUUAAUCUAAAGAUGUCAAAGUUUUAAAGCCUCAACUUUAACAUUUCAACCGAAAUUCCAUUAGUAUAUAAAUAUUUAUAAAUAUAGAUUUUAUAUAAAAAAUUUUAUGUAAACUUUUUUUUAACCCGCAUCACAAGUACACCAUAUUUAGAGAUAUUCAUAGUUAGGCAGUCCACUUUGAGUCAAGCUUGAGCUUAGGUUUUCAAUCUCAAGUUGGCCCAAUUCAACUUAUUUUACUACUUAAAAAUAUAAAUAUAUGUUAUAUUGAUAUUUAUAUAUGUCUAUAGUUAAAAAAUUAUUAAAAAUAAAUUCAACUUAUUUAUUAAUUAAAAAUAUAAAUAUAUGUCUAUAAUUAAAUUUUAAAGAAAUUUAUUGUUAUUUUCUAAACAUAAAACAAAGAAAACUUUCACCCAAAUUAUAAGUUUGUGGUCAGGCAGCCCACUUUGGGACUGGAAUCAGCUUACUUUUUUAAUCUUGGGCUUUAAAAAUAAUAAAAAUAUAAAAAUAAUGUUCUAUUAAUAUUUAUAAAUUUUAUAAAUUUAAAUUUAAUUAUAUUUUUUAAACAGUAAAAUCAACCAUUUAUAUGGGCUAAAUUGAGUUAAGUUCGGUUUGCAUCAAGCCUUAACUUUGACCAAAUCCAACUAAAAACACCUCUAACCAUAAUCUAGUAUUGUUUUUAUGAAUUCAAUUUUAACUUGUAAUUUUCAAUUCUAUUACAAAAUUUCUUUGCCUACGAUAAGAAAAUAACAUAUUUGUAACUAAGUAAUUAAUUAAGUUAAUGUCACGAGUGAAUCAUACAUUAUAUGCCAACUCAAUUGGAAAAAGUUUUUAAAUUAUUUUUAAAUUGUAACAAAUAUUAUUAUUAAGAUGUUUUUCUUUUUAUAUUUUUUAUAAAAUAUAUUAAAAAACAAUUAGAAUAAUUUUAAGAGAAAAAAACUCAUACACGGUAGAAUUUAAUCUAAAGAUAUCAAAGUUUUAAAGCCUCAACUUUAACAUUUCAACUAAAAUUCCAUUAGUACAUAAAUAUUUUAUAAAUAUAGAUUUUAUAUUAAAAAAAUUAUGUAAACUUACAUAUAUGGUUCGUCAUGCAAAUGUUUAUUAUAUUUAAAAAUUAACAUAUAUGGUUAUUGAAUUUUAAUACUGGCUUGAGGAGUCGACUCUAUUGUAGAUUCUAGAUUAAUCUAAUAUUUCACCCUCUUUUAAUUUUCUUUAUUGGAAGAGUCUUUAAGAGAUAAGUUAAGUAGUAUAGCAGUUUCAUCUAAAACAACAUCUCUGCUAAUCACAACUUUUCUAUUUUUAGGACACCAUAACUUAUACCCUUUUACAUCAGCUUUAUAACCAAUAAAAACACAUUUAAUGAAUCUCGGUUCCAAUUUUUCAUUAUCAACAUGAGCUUACGAAGGACACCCAAAGAAUUUAAUCUAAAGAUAUCAAAGUUUUAAAGCCUCAACUUUAACAUUUCAACCGAAAUUCCAUUAGUAUAUAAAUAUUUUAUAAAUAUAGAUUUUAUAUAAAAAAAUUUUAUGUAAACUUUUUUUUAACCCGCAUCUCAAGUGUACCAUAUUUAAAGAUAUUCAUAGUUAGACGUCCACUUUGGGUCAAGCUUGAGCUUAUGUUUCCAAUCUCAAGUUGGCCCAAUUCAACUUCUUUUACUUUUUAAAAAUAUAAAUAUAUGUCUAUAAUUAAAUUUUAAAGAAAUUUAUUGUUAUUUUCUAAACAUAAAACAAAGAAAACUUUCAUCCAAAUUAUAAGUUUGUGGUUAGGCAGCCCACUUUGGGACAGGAUUCAGCUUACGUUUUUAAUCUUGGGCUUUAAAAAUAAUGUUCUAUUAAUAUUUACAAAUUUUAUAAAUUUAAAUUUAAUUAUAUUUUUUAAACAGUAAAAUCAACCAUUUAUAUGGGCUAAAUUGAGUUAAGUUCGGUUUGCAUCAAGCCUUAACUUUGACCAAAUCCAACUAAAAACACCUCUAACCAUAAUCUAGUAUUGUUUUUAUGAAUUGAAUUUUAACAUGUAAUUUUCAAUUUUAUUACAAAAUUUCUUUACCUACAAUAAGAAAAUAACAUAUUUGUAACUUCUCCAAUUCGACGUAAAUGUUCAGUCUGAAUUCAGAAGAUUACAUCAGCCAUAAAGAUGGCCUAGCAAGGUUAUUAGAGUUUUCAAAAACAGGCAUCUUUAAAAUGCUUGUUUAAUUUAUACAAAAACUUAUUUAAUUUCCAAAUUAUUUAUUACUUGAAAUCUUAAUUAUACUUUGAAAGCAAGAAGUGGUAACUAUUUAUUUUUAAUAAAAAUCAGGGUUCAUGUAUAAUUGAUUAAUAACUGUUAGAAUUAAGCGACCCGAAUCUUUAUUUAAAUGAAAUACAGUGGUAAAAUAAAAUAAAAUUAAAAUCCCUAUAGAACUACACUUAUUUUAUUUUAUUUUAGAAUAAGGAUUUUUAAACCUUAUUAAACUCCAUCCAUUUGAUAUUGAUUAGAAUAAGGUGUUUCAAUCUUACUACACUCCUAUUAGAAUAUGGUUUUACAAGCCUAUAAAUAGACAUAGUCUACUCCUCUUGUAAUUAUUCGAAUUCGACAUAGGGAUUUAUCUUCUCCUCUACCAAUAGCUUUUUCCCUGAAAGGGUUUCCACGUAAAAUCUGUGUGUUUUUUUUAUUUUUCUCCCUUUUAUUCUUUGCAAUACAUUGUCAUUACCAACAUUCUAUUUUUAGCAAAUUGGUAUCCAAGCUUCCAAUUUGUUCAUCUCAAUCAUGGUAAUGGCGUCUUUGAAGUAUGAAAUUCUGCUAUUGGAUCGCAACACCAGAUCCGCAUUGUGGCAGAUAAAGAUGCAGGCAGUUCUUACACAGAUAGACUUAGAGGAAGCCUUGCUAGGGGUAGAUAAAAUGUAUUCAACAUUAACAGAGGAAGAGAAGAAGCACAAGGAUCGAUAGGCGUUAACACAAUUACAUCUUCAUUUGUCCAACGAAAUUUCACAGUAUGGAGAAGACCGUCGCUGGAUUAUGGAAGAGGUUGGAACAAAUAUGUACGUCGAAUACUCUAACUAGCAAGUUGCAUAUGAAGCAGCUUCUUUAUGCUCAUCGUUUGGAGGAAGGUGUCUCUAUGCACGAACACUUAAUAGUGUUUAAAGGAAUUCUCUCGAACUUAGAGGUCAUGAAGGUUCAGUAUGAUAAUGAAGAUCUACGAUUGAUUCUACUUUGUUCGUUGCCUCUAUCUUAUUCAACCAUUAGAGAUGGGAUUUUAUAUAGCCGCGAGUCUCUCACAGUUGAUGAGGUUUAUGAUUCUUUAACCUCGUAUGAUAAGAUGAAGCAUCUUUUUCGUAAAACUGACUCUUAGGGAAUGGGUCUCAUUGUUCAUAGUAGAUAAGAUCAGAAUGCUGAUGAUGAUCGUGAAAGGACACAGGAAUAGAAUUCUCGCGAUAAAUCUAAGGAUAGAUCAAAGAUUUCAAGCAGAGGUAAAACUUGUAACUUCUGCAAGAAGAAAGGGCACAUUAAAUCUGACUGUUAUAAGCUACAAAUCAAUAUCAAAAGGGAGGUUGUGAAACAAAAUGGAAAACAACUAGAAUAUGUUGGUAAAGCUGAUGUUGUAGAAGACUAUAGCGAUGGUGAACUUCUAGUCACUUCUAUCAACAAUUCUAAAAUAAGCGAGGAGUGGAUCCUUGAUUUGGGCUGCACCUUUCACAUGAGUCCCAAUGGAUAUUGGUUUAUAACUUACGAAAUAGUGUUUGAAGGUGUUGUUUUGAUGGGAAAUAAUGCUUUAUGUAGAAUUGCAGGUGUUGGGACAAUAAAAGUUAAGAUGUUUGAUGGAGUUCUCAGAACACUUAAUGACGUACGACAUGUUCUAGAAUUGAAGAGAAAUUUAAUUUCAUUGAGUACUCUUAUUCAAAAGGUUAAAAAUACAUAGCUAAAAGUGGGGUUUUUAAUAUUUCCAAAGGUUCUCUCGUUGUGAUGAAAGGGCAGAGAAAGACUGCCAAGUUAUAUGUUUUGUAGGGUUUAGGAGUUCUUUGGCAUAUACGCCUAGGGCAUAUAAGUGAGAAUGACAUGGCAGAAUUGAGCAAAAGAGGACUUCUUGAUGGGCAAGGAAUUUGCAAACUGAAGUUCUGUGAUCACUGUAUUUUUGAGAAGUAAAAGAGAGUUCGAUUCAUCAGAGGAAUCUAUAACACGAAGGGAACAUUGGAGUAUAUUCAUUCUGAUCUGUCGGGGACACCCAGAGUGCAUUCAAGAGGUGGAGCUAAUUAUAUGCUAACUUUUAUUGAUGAUUUUUCUAGAAAAGUUUGGGCGUUCUUCCUAAAGCAGAAAAUCGAUGUGUUUUUCGCAUAUAAGUCUUGGAAAACUAUGAUUGAAAAACAUAUGGAAAAACAAAUAAAAUAUCUCCACAUAGAUAAUGGCUCAAAGUUCUGUUCUAAUCACUUUAAUAAACUGUGCAAGUCAGAAGGGAUCGUGAGACACUUGACAGUUUGCCACACUCCACAACAAAACGGUGUUGCAGAACGAAUGAACAGAAUGAUCGUGGAGAAGGUUUAAUGUAUGUUUUCAAAUGCCAACUUAACAAAGUUGUUUUGGGCCGAAGUAGCCUCUACUAUAUAUUUUUUGAUCAACCGAUCUCUAUCUAUUGCCAUUGAGAAAAAGACUCCACAAGAGGUAUGGUCUGGUAAUCCUGCUAACUGUUCUGAUUUAAAGAUCUUUGGGUGUCCUGUGAAUGCUCAUGUUGAUAAUGGAAAAUUGGAACUGAGAUCCAUUAAGUGUGUUUUUCUUGGUUAUAAAGCUGGUGCAAAAGGGUAUAAGUUAUGGUGCCCUAAAAAUAGAAAAGUUGUGAUUAGCAGAGAUGUUGUUUUUGAUGAAACUGCUAUGCUACCUAACUCAUCUCUUAAAUACUAUUCCAAUAAAGAAAAUAAAAAGCAGGUGGAGUAUCAGAGUAAUCCAAAAUCUACAACAGAGUCGACUCCUCAAGCCAAUACAAAAAUUCAAAAUAGAGUUGCUUCUUUACCACAAUACUCUAUCGUAAAAAAUAAAACUAGAAGAGAUAUUAAACCCUCAAAGAAAUAUGCCGAGGCUGAUCUAGUUGCUUAUGCUUUAAAUAUUGCUAAAGAUAUAGAUGCAAACCAAGAGCCAUCUAAUUAUUUUGAUCCGGUUAGCUAUAAAGACUCAGAAAAAUGGAUGUUUGCUAUGUAAGAGAAGAUGGAAUCACUCUACAAAAACAAAACAUGGGAUCUUGUAAAACUUCCUAAAGGUAAAAAGGUUGUUCGUUGUAAAUGGGUGUUUAAAAAGAAAAAGGGGACUCUGGGAGUUGAAGAACCCAGAUUUAAAGCAAGGCUUGUUGUAAAGGGUUACAGUCAAAUUCCAAGAGUGGACUUCACAGAUGUGUUCUCCCCAGUUGUGAAGCAUAGUUCGAUUUGAGCUUUGCUUGGUAUUGUGGCCAUGCAUGAUUUGGAGCUAACUGUAAAAACUACAUUUUUGCAUGAAGAACUUGAGGAUGAUACUUACACGCAACAACCAUAGGGUUUUAUAGUCUCAGAAAAAGAGGACUAUGUUUGCCUGUUGAAAAAGUCCUUUUACGGUUUGAAACAGUCACUAAGAAAGUGGUACAAGAGGUUUGUUUCCUUUAUGACUUCUUAUGAUUUUAAAAAAAGUAGCUUUGACAGUUGUGUUUACUUUAAGAAAAAUAGUGAUGAUUCUUUUGUGUAUCUACUUCUUUAUGUUGAUGACAUGUUGAUAGCAACAAAAGAUAAAUGAGAGAUAAGAAAGGUUAAAGCCCGACUAAGUGAAGAUUUUGAGAUGAAAGAUUUGGGACCAGUAAAGAAGAUACUUGAUAUAGAGAUUCUCAGAGAUAGAAAAGUAAGUAAAUUGUACCUAAGUCAGAAGGGGUACAUUGAGAAAGUUCUUUGCAAAUUCAAUAUGCAGAAUGCUAAGCCUGUUAGUACUCCUUUAGCAGCCUAUUUCAGACUUUCAUUGGCUUUGUCUCUACAAUCAAAUGAUGAGAUUGAGUACAUGUCAUAUUUUUCAUACUCUAGUACAAUGGGAUCUCUCAUGUAUGCUAUAUUUUGUUCACGUCCAAAUUUAUUAUAUGCAGUCAAUACAGUUAGUAGAUAUGUGGCAAAUCCUGGUAAAGAACAUUGGAAAAUACUGUUUCCAAAAAUUUAUGGAUUUCUGGUGAGUGAACUUCUAGUGAAAUUAUUGUGCUAAGUCCAUUGGGGCAGUCUGUUUGAGUAAGUACACUUUAUAGGAAUGUACCUUUGGAAGUACAAGGGAUUGUGUUUUCGGCAGAUCUGGUGAGGUUACUUCUAGUGAAAUUAUUGUACUAAGUCUGUUGGGGUAGUCUAUUCGAGUAAGUAGACUUUAUAGGAAUGUACCUUUGGAAGUACAAGGGAUUGUGUUUUCGGCGUUUUAUUCACAUAAAAGCAGCAAAAUUUAGCGACAUUGUCUACAGCGGCAUUUUUUACGGCGCUUGUGAAAGCGCCGCUAUAGGCCUAAAAAACACCGCUAAAAGCCUAUUUUGCUGCAGUGAAUUAAUAUUAUUAUAAGUAUAUUUUCACCUUUUCAUUCUUUUAUAUAAUCUUCAAGUAAAAUGAUUGAAAAAUAUUAUUUGAGAAUCAAACACAAGACUAACAAUAUUCAUAUAGAAAACGCUUAUCACUCCACUAAUAAUCAUUUGUUGAUGUAUUUUUGGUAAAAAGAGCCCUCCAAUCCCUCUUAAUUUCACAACUUCUCAAAUUAGUCCCUCUCAAAAAAAUUGGAGCAAUUUAAUCCCUAUCAAUUUUGAAAGUGAGUAACUAAGGACAAUUAAUUAUGGUGUUAAAUUCUUCAAUCAAUUGUACAUAAUUUUGAUUGGUAUAAUAAUAAAUUUAGCCUUUAAUGUUUAUGUAUUUUGUCAUUUUGGCCUUAAUUUUUUUAAAAAAAAUUCAAGAAAUUGAACCUCAACGUUUACAUAUUUGCACAAAUGUUGCAGGAAAAUUUUGUUAAAUUAAGACCAAAAUGCAAGUGUAAAUUUUGUUAAAUUAAGACCAUAUUUUCCCCCUUUAUUUUUUCAGUGCCGACCGGAAAAAAAAAUUUCAGUCUCAUCUAAAUAAGACAUACUUCAGCAGACCAAUAGACUGCAGAUCAGACCCAAUUCAAGGGUAAUGCAGUCCAAAGUUCCUUGAACUCCCUCCUCCAAAGUGAAAAACAAAUCUAUAUAUUUCUGCAUGAUUCAAACAGAAAGGACUGUUGGACAUGUAACUCAGAAAGAAUGCAAAUACAUUGAAAGUACCAUAGACUUUAUAAAUUAGUUUCAUGUUGUUAAAUUUCAACACUAUAAACCUAAAAAUUCCCAGAACGAAAUGCGGGAAUCAUGCCUUAAACUCCAAUACUCAAAUAAGAGACAGAUAAAUUGCACAUUUUUUAAUAUAAUAUUUACAGACUAGAGAUAAAAAUAUAGAAAAAUAUAAACAUGGACAUCGACAAAAAGACUAAUUGACUGUGCAUGUGUGCUAGAGAGUGGCAAUUAAACAUUAUCCAAACACAAUCAUUUCUCAACAUUUGUAAAACAAAAAGAAGAUUAAGAUUAGCAGUAAACUAAAUAAAACCAAAGAAGUGAGAACCACAAGUAAAUGAGAAAGAAAACAAAAUAGAGAUCCUAGUAGCUUUCCCAUUGAACUUCGUAUAAGAGAAAUAACAACAUUUGAACUUUAAGCAAAUAAAAAUGUAAAAUAUUCAGAAUCAAAACAAUCUUUUAUCAAAAUUCAAGCCAAAAACAAUGAGCUUCACUCUAUACAAGAAGCAUGUUAAAGUCAUAGGCUUUCUCGUUUCUGGAAACCAAAUCCAGAAACGUCUCCCACCAAAAAUCAAGAAAAUAACUUCUGUUUUUGAAAAUCACAUUCAAAUCGUGAAAUAGGAGCAAGGUCCUUCAAAUUCAAGCAAAGUUGGUAGUAAAAGCUUAACUUUCAAAGGUCAAACAACACAGCAUUAAGUAUAAAACUAACCCAAUCUCCACCAAUUCAAAAACAAGAAACCAAACACGAACCCGAAGAUCCAAACACGAUUUCGAAAAAAAAAAAUAGAUAUUCCUGAAAAUCGGAUAAAAAACUAGCAUAUACUUAAUGAAAAGAGAAAUUGACGAAAAAUCACAAGAGAUCUGCAUGCAAAUAUAGGCACACUUUUGCUUGAUUAUUCGCUUAAAAAAGUAACAAUGGAAAACAAGAUGCAAGUGUCACGGGCCGCAGUUCAAAGCCCGUGACCAGCGCACCAAAUGCAUCCAAUAGAGAUCUAUUGCUCAGAUAGGGAUCAUUUGGCCCACAAGAACUGGCUCGAUUCAAGGAGCUAUUGGACAAGCCUGUCAGAUUGAAGCCUGGUUGGCCCGAAAACGAAGAGAUGGCAACUUAGGCUAAUAUGGUAACUAAUCUUAGAAGAUAGAGGGAAUCUUAUCUUGUAAAGAUUAGAUUAGAUUAGAUAAGGCUUAUCUUGUAAAUCCCUAAAAUUAAGGGAUAUGGGUUAAUCUCAUCCGUCGAUGUAAAUGUAUAUUGACCGUCGAUUUUGGGGGAGAUCAACUAUAAAUAGAGAGCCUCCCCCUCAUUUGUACUCACUCUUGUAAUUAUUUCAUUAUUCUUUGUGAAUAAGAGAAUUGAGAGCAUUUACUCAAACACUUUACGAGCGUCCUUUCUGUUGUUCUUUUGUUUAGCUUCUUUUGGCACAAUCGCUUCCGCUAUACAAAUUGGUGCCUUGGAGGAGUUCUAAAAGAAUCCUCACUUGAGUUAAGCCUGACUUGGGCGAGUUUGGAUGAACAAAUUGUCUAAGGCUGCACGAAUUACGAGACGAAAGGUCUAGCCCUGUGACAAGUGGUAUCAGAGCCAAGUUUUGAACCAAGUGACAUUCGAGUUGGUUUGAAGGCACCGUUGGGAUGUCAAGAGAAGAGUUCGAACAAAGGUGGGAGAAGAAGUAUUUGAGGGAGACAUUAUCGGUAGUAGAGAAACGUGUGGGUAAACUCGAGGGAUCCAUGGAGGAUGUAAAGGAGGCACUCGAUGGGGUCGAGGAUCACAUUGCAAACUGGAAGGAGCAGUCUAGAGACUAUGUAAAGAUGUCUCUUAGUUCCAUCAUGGAUAUGGUAAACGAGUUGUUUAAUUCACACAGGGAUAAGCUGUCGGAAAGGAAUGAUGCUCUCGAGGCCAAAAUGAUGGCUUUGAAAGAGGAAACAAUGGCCACGACGAGGGCUUUGAGCACAAGAAUAGAGGAGCUCGAGGGAGAGCUGGCCUUGUGUUGAGCAGCCGUGAGGAAAGGAGUGGCAAAUGUAGCACUCAGUAACGAGGAUGUCCCAAAGCUGAAAGAGUUUGUGGGGACAAGGUCUGCGUGCGAUGUGGAUAAUUUCUUAUGGAGGAUGGAAAACUACUUCCGUGCCAAAGGCGUCAUGGAUGAUACGGUUAAGGUAAACACUACUUCAAUGUUUCUUACUGCCAUUGCACUUUUAUGGUGGAGAGGUAGGACCACAAAUAAAAGGCAAGGUGAGAUUGGGACGUAGCAAGAGUUCCAAUGCGAAUUGAAGGGACAGUUUUACCCAGAGUUUACCGAGGAAGAAGCUCGGGCAAAGUUGCAAGGGAUAACGUAACAGGGCACAGUGGGGGAGUAUGUUCGAGAGUUCAAGGAACUCAUGCUCCAAGUUUUAAAGGUGACCGAAAGAGAGGCAUUGCUUGCUUUUCAAAAUGGAUUGAAGCCGUGGGUCAGACAGGAGGUGGAACAAAGAGGUGUCCAAAAGCUAUCGGAAGCCAUGACGGUAGUUGAGUCUGUGGUUAAGCUUAGUCUAGGGAAAGACAAGCUUGGAUCUUCCAAGUCCGAUGGAAGGGGUAUAUGUGAAAUGGAUCAAAAGGAAGAUAGUGUUGAUGGCAAUGGCAACGGCAACAAUGGUGGUAAUGGGAAACCAUGAGUUGGGAAGAAGAAACCCAAGAGGAAAAGGGACAAGCUAAAAUGCUUUCUCUGCGACGGUCCACACAUGCUGAAGAAAUGUCUGAAAAAUUUGAGCUCAAGGAGAAGCCGGUGGGUAAGGCCUUGGUACUUGGUUCGAGCGCAAGGGGUGUCGAAGCCAAGAAGGCCAAAAGUAAGAAGAAGCCAGUGGAGUGGUUCUUGUGUCAUGGUCCGCAUAGGUUACGAAAGUGUCCGAGGAAGUCUAUCAUCGAGGGGAAUGAUGGAGCAGACAAGGAGCCCAAGAAGCUUGGUUCGAGCAAGGGAAAAGCCGAAGCCAAAGGGGCAAAAGGGAGCAAAAAGAAGCGAGUAAAGUGCUUCUUGUGCCGUGGUCCGCAUGAGUUACGGAACUGUCCAAAGCAAGCCGGAGUCAUAAGAAAGGCAACGUCUGAGCUUGGUGAGUCAUCGGAGGGGCUUCCACCCAAGGAAGAGGUGAGUUUGUCAUCGAACUUAAAGGAAAUAGUUGCGAUGAAAACAGUGAAGCUGGGACCAAUGAGGCUCAAGUUGAGUGAAGCGUCGGAGUUGGCCGAGUCAUCGAUAAGGCUUCCACCUAUGGGAGAGGUGGGUGGUGCAUCAGACUUCAAGGGAAAAGAAGGGAUGCAUGUGGGACAGUUGACCAGAGUAAAUGCGACGAGUAGGACGGUUUGAGUUAAGAAGCGACGUAAGCCGAGGCAAAAAUCCCGAAGGAAGGGAAAGGCUAAGGCAUUGAGACAAGACCGAGGUGAAUCGAGUCAGUGCCAUUCAAAAGUCACAACGAGGACGGUGCAAGAAUGUGUGGGGGAGAAUGUCACGGGCCGCAGUUCAAAGCCCAUGACCAGCGCACCAAAUGCAUCCAAUGGAGGUUUGUUGCUCAGAUGUGGAUCAUUUGGCCCACAAGAACUGGCUCGAUUUAAGGAGCUAUUGGACAAGCCUGUCAGAUUGAAGCUUGGUUGGCCCGAUAACGGAGAGAUGGAAACUUAGGCUAAUAUGGUAACUAAUCUUAGAAGAUAGAGGGAAUCUUAUAUUGUAAAGAUUAGAUUAGAUUAGAUAAGGCUUAUCUUGUAAAUCCUAAAAUUAAAGGAUAUGGGUUAAUCUCAUCCGUCGAUGUAAAUGUAUCUUGACCGUCGGUUUUGGGGGAGCUCAACUAUAAAUAGAGAGCCUCCCCCUCAUUUGUACUCACUCCUGUAAUUGUUUCAUUAUUCUUUGUGAAUAAGAGAAUUGAGAUCAUUUACUCAAACACUUUGUGAGCGUCCUUUCUAAUGUUCUUUUGUUUAGCUUCUUUUGGCACAAUCGCUUCCGCUAUACAAAUUGGUACCUUGGAGGAGUUCUAAAAGAAUCCUCACUUGAGUUAAGGCUAACUUGGGUGAGUUUGAACGAACGGAUCGCCUAAGGCCUCACAGAUUGUGAGACGAAAGGUCUAGCCCCGUGACACAAGUGCUAGGUAAAACCAUCAUGUCUGCUUACUCACCACAAACAAAGGCCCUCUAGGACCUUCAUGAAUUUUUGUCUUAUAAGUGCUUCCAUUGUGAGCCUGAACAGCUUGAUAGCCCACAAGAUAAGGAUAUCGAUCUUUACCCUACAGAUUAACAAGGUUAAAUCCACUUAAAUGAAGCACCAUUAGUCUAUAACAAUUUACUUCAAUUUUCUGCUGUUAGUUCAAAUAUUUAUUUUUUUAAUUUGCCAAAACUUGCUAGGAUCGAAGAUUUGGAAUUCCUAAAUUUCAAUUACAAAUUUACACCGUACUUGCAGAAAAAUAUAUUACUAUUAGAGACACCAGCAAUCAACCAGAGUUCUUUAGUUUUCAAUCAAGUUAUUCGACAGGUAUCUAUAUUGAUUACACAAAAAAAAUCAUACACCGUGAGAAUGUCGAGUAAAUUACAAAUACAAAAGCAAACGAACCCUAAAGGAGCUCCAAUACUUCUUCUCCCAGGGGCCUUUGUAUAGAGAUCCAAUGGAAACGAUCUCUAGAUCCUCUAAUUUCGUUGUUUGUUCUCCUUUUUUUGUUUUCGCCAUUCAAAGAAAUGAGAAGAAAGCAAGAUUUCCAAACAACUAACAAUAAGAGAGUAGAGAGGAUUUUCAAGAUAGACGAAGACAUGGCAUUUUAAAAUAGGGGAACUAAAAUCUUAAAAUGCAUGAUUUCCCUUGAAAUUCUAAAUAAAAACUUUAUUUGAUUAGGAAAAAUGUGAAUUGAUUUUGGGAAAAAGAAGGGAAAAAAAAGAAAAGAUUUCAUUUGAAAUAUUGGGAUAAAAAAAUAUAAUUACAAAACGACGCCGUUUUGAAAAAAACAUAUUCGUGGCGUUUGGAAAAAAAAGUCACUAUUGCUCGACUUUUAGCGACAUUUGGACCAAAAACGCUACUAUUGUUCAACUUUUUUCUGCAUUUACAACAAAAAAGCCGCUAUUGCUUACCUUUUGCGGCGUUUUUUUUAUAAAUGCCGCUAACACUUGACUUUUUUACAAUUUUUAUAUUGAAUUAUUGUAUCUUUCAUAUAAAUUUUAAAUGAAUAAUUUUUAGUUUUUGUAUUUCAUUUUUAUUUUUGUAUUUCAUUUUUAUUUGUUAUAAUUUUGUCCUAUCCAAAAUAGAUAGUUACCUAUCCAUAUCAAUCUGUUACUUUUUUUUAUUUAUUUAUCAAUAUUUUUUUAAAUUUAAUAGUUAAAUAUAUUAAAUGGUUUAGAUUUAAUAUUUUUAAAUAUAAAAGCAUUAAUUGAUUGUAUAAAAUUUUAUCAUUUAACAAAUCUCAAGUAAACCUUAAAUCCUAAACCAUUUAAUAUAUAUAAAGUUUAUCUAUUAUCUCUUAAAUAAUUUAAACUAUAAUCAUAAUUUUAAUAUAUUAAAAUUAAAAUUAAAAUGAUCUCUUUUACAAUUAUAUAAGAAAUUAUUUAAUAUAUAAAUUAAAAAACACUAAUUAACCUAAACCCUAAACCCUAAACCCCUAUCCCCUAAACCUUGAAUUAUAAAACAUAAAACAUAAACCCUAAAUCCCUGAAUCCCUAACCCUUAACCCCUAACCCCUAACCCCUAAACCUUAAACCCCAACCCUUAAACCAUAAUCCCUAAACCCAUAAUCCAUAAUCCAUAAACCUUAAAAUAGUAACUCUUAAACCUUAAACCCUAAACCAUAAACCCUAAACUAUAAUGAUAAUUAAUUCAAUAUUUUAAAAUUAAUACUAUCUCUUUUACGAUUAUAUAAGAAAUUAUUUAAUAUAUAAAUUAAAAACAAUCAGUCAUGUACCCAAGAAACUUUAAAAUUAUUUUAAAUAAUAUAUUUUAAUUUUUUCAUUUUUAACAAAUAUUUUCUAUGUUUUUACUUUCAAAAUUUCUCUACGUGUCAUUAUUUUUUUCUGAAGAAUUUAAAUAUUCAAUUAAAAAUAAAUUUAUUUUAAUUAAUAUAAAUAAAGCGGUUAAAUAAUAAAUAGACAGAUAAAAUACUUUUUGCGGUGAUUUUCAUAAAGUGCCGCUAAAGCUCGAUCUACAGCGGCGUUUUACGAAAAAGAGUCUUACUGAAUUUUUUGGGGCAUUUUUCAAAAAGCGCCACUAAUUCUCGAUCUAUAGUGGCGUUUUUCAAGAAGCGCCGCUAAUGCCACUAAAGCUCAACAUAAAACACCAGCAUUGAGCUUAAUUUUUUUGCGGCGUUUUUCAAAAAGAGCCGCUAAUGGUAGACCUAUAGCGGCGUUUUUCAAAAAGCGCCACUAAAGCUCAACAUAAAACACCGGCGUUGUGCUUAAUUUUUUUACGGCAUUUUUCAAAAAGCGCCGCUAAUGGUCGACUUAUAGCAGUGGUUUUAAAAAAGACCCACUAAUGCUCGAUCUAUAGCGGCAUUUUUCAAAAAGCGCCGCUAAUGCUCGAUCUAUAGUAGCGUUUUUUAUCCAAACGCCGCUAAAAAUGCCACUAAAAACCUAUUUUGCUGUAGUGAUUUGUGGGGUAAGUGGUUGAACAUUUUAAUAUAGACUGACUUUUCUAUAAUUAGUCCUUGCUUUAAUUACUUUGGGUGGAUUCUUCCAACUAGUCCAAGCAUUAUUGUACAAUUACAAUUAAUCUUUUUAAAUGAGACAAACAUUUCAAAUUUGUCAUUACUAUUUGUGAGUGAUUUGGGGGUAAGAAGUUUAACUCUUCUGGAUGUCUUAUAGAAUUGUGAUUAUACUUUUUGAGUAUUGACUCAGUUUUCCACAAUUGUGGGUCUCUAUUUGAGCAAAACAAUUUCAACAUUUCUUCAUCUCGUUUAAUCCAAAUGCAUUUAUGCAUUUCUUAUAUCAUUGAAUUUGCUGCUUCAUAUUCAAUUUUUGGACAAGUAGAAUUUUCUAACCUAUUUUCCAUCAACUUCACUUGAAUUUUCAAUCACAAUCAAUUGCAUUCAAGAGCACCACAUCUUUUUGGAUGAAACAAAAAUUUCAAUUUUAAGAUAAACGGGUCUUUAGGGUUAUAAUUUCAAUUUUUAAAAGUUUAAAAUAAAUUUGUAUUUUUAUUAACAAAAUGUAUAUAAAAAAAAACUUGUUUAGACAAGCCAAGAGACCUUUGGGAUCAUACGGGUGAUUUUGAUGAUGUUAAUGGUUAUUUUGGUGGAGAGAGUGAAAAAGAAACAAAUGAUUCAUUAUAUAUAUUAUAAUUAUGAAAUUCAAGCCAUAUAUUGUAUGUUUCAUACAUAAAAAAAAUUGGAGCAAUUUAAUCCCUAUCAAUUUUGAAAGUGAGUAACUAAGGACAAUUAAUUAUGGUGUUAAAUUCUUCCAUCAAUUGUACAUAAUUUUGAUUGGUAUAGUAAUAAAUUUAGCCUUCAAUAUUUAUAUAUUUUUUCAUUUUGGCCUUAAUUUUUUUUAAAAAAUUCAAGAAAUUCAACCUCAACAUUUACAUAUUUACACAAACAUUGCGGGAAAAUUUUGUUAAAUUAAGACCAAAUUGCAAGUGUAAAUUUUGAGGGCUAAAUUUAUUAUUAUACCAACCAAAAUCAUGUACAUUUUAUGGAAAAUUAACAUCUUGAUUAAUUAUUCUUAGUUGUUCACUUUCAAAAUUAAUAGGGACUAAAUUACUUUGAUUUUUUUAGGGUGACCAAUUUCCUCAAAGUGGAAAUUGAGAGAGACUAUUGAGAUCUUUUGCAUAUUUCUUUUAUAAAUAUAUUUUUUAAAUAUAAAAUAUAUUUGUUCACACACAUCGUGAGUAUGAUCUCAAUAGUCCACAUAAUCCAUUAAAAAAACUUAAAAAAUAUAUUUUAUUUUUUAACACCUAAGUGAUUCUCCAGCUAACGACCACCCAAGACACACCCCGACUUUAUAACACCCCAAUCUUAUUUAAUUAUUAGUUAUUUAUUAAUGCAGAAGUAAAUUAUGAGCCAAUUUUAAUCUUUUCCUCGGUAAUUUAACCUAAGGCCAAUUUCAUCAUUUUACCACCUAUUGUAAAACUAACCCGAUUUUAGAUAUAACAACAUGUUUGGUUUGGUGUAAUAGAUUAGCCAUUACACCCCUAUUUCGUGGGCCCCACUAAUCCCCACUUAUUCUUGUGUUUGGUUUGAUGUAUUGCCUAUUACAGGCCUAUUACAACACGAAUGUAUUCCUCAUUUUCUCUGCUUCAACAAUGAUUAGCCAUUCCGUUCCAAAAGUAAGGAUUAGCUAAUCGUCUCUGUUUUACCCUCCUCAGCCAAAAUCUACUGCUCCACCCCACCCUCUCCCUCCCAACAUCAACAGCAGUUUUCUUCGAACCAAAUCUCCACCGUCUCAGAUCGCCUGUGAGUAAUCUCAACAGCAGUUGCCAGUGAAAAUUGCCCUUUCUUCAAAAACCCAGCCCUAAACCCUUCUUCUCUUUCAAUACUCCAUUCGAACAGGUUGCGGUGUCUCCCUCCUCUGAGGUAUGGCUCUGUUUCUUUAACUUUAGCAUUGAGCGACUCUUUUCAAUUCCAAAAUUAGUCUACUCUGCUAAGGGUUCUUGCUUUUCAAACCAUUUUUUCACCAUUUUUCUUGUAAUUCUUUUUCUUGUUAGAGUUCAGAUUUUAGAUUUUUUUUAAAAAAAAACGAUUAGAUUGUGAGGUUCAGUUAAUUAUUAGGGUUUUCUGUUUUGGGUUUCCCUGUUGCGUGGUAAUUUUGAAGUGCAUAUAAAAUGGAUGCUUUUGAGGAUCUUAAGCAAUUCGGCGAUACUGAUAAAGGUUGAUAUUCGAUUCAUUUUGCUUUAAUUUACUUGGUUUAUGCAUUUUGGGGAUAAAAUUAGCUUUGUUUUCUUCUCUUUUGGUUGGCUUUAAGCUGAGAGUAAAAUUUGAAACCUUUGUGGUGGAGGAGUUACCGUUCUUCUGAGAUCAAAUGUAUAACAGGUUAGAAGGAAAUGAAAUUAGAUCCUUAAAUAUUGUGUUUUCAAUGUUAAGGGCAGGCUUUUGUUGCUAAAACAAUUGUGGUAACACUGUUUGAUUCAGUUAGAAGUCAAAUGUCGUUUCCAUGUGUGAACAAUUUCUGGUUUUUAAGUAGCGACUUUGUUUCAUGUUGGCCUGGACAUUUUCCAAAUUAGUAAUUAUAAGUUUGAAUUUGGCUACUAAAUCACGCCAAUUAAUGAUUUCAGUGUGCUGGUGUUUCAGACUUUCAGUUGAAUUGACUUUGGUUUCGAAUAUUUUUAGUGAUGGAAAUAAGCACGAUUUAUUUAAAUUAUGAUUGAAUUGGAGAAACUGCUUUUUGUACAUUUUGAGAAAUAUCAGGCCCUUGGAUACACAAAGGGUGUUAACUUGCGCCUAUCUCAAUUACCCCAUUCCUGCCCAUUGAAUUGGAGAAAGUUCUUUUUUUUAAUGAUUCUGCGUUGCUACUGAUUUUUAGUGAAAUGGUAUUUUUCUUAUGAUGUGUUUUCUUCUUUAUGAAGAGCUCAUUUCAGUAAAGUUAACCUUUCUAUUAUGCAGAAGGUGCAGUAUUUGAUGCAUCACAAUAUGCAUUUUUUGGAAACAAUGUUCUCGAGGAAGUUGAAUUGGGGGGGCUAGAUGAUGAGGAUGAGGAUUUACCUGCAGCUGGACUUGAUGAAGAGGAGUUUUUGUUUGAUCAAGAGGAGGUUAAUAUUCUUGUUUCUUUCAGUUUUAUUUUUCCUGUUUCGAUUGUUCUUGCAAGUUUCUGCAGCAUAGCACAACCAGUGACUAUUCGAUCGAAAAAUAAAUGUAUCCCUUCCAGGCGUCAUGCUAAAAAAUAGCCUUUUGGAUUAGUGUUGGAUUUUUUCUCCAUGUUCUUUAACAGAUAGAUUCCACUGCAUUCAAUUAGUGGUUGGCAUGCGAGUUUUAUUUGUGGAAUAAAGCUCUGUGGGAGUUCAUAUUAUAUAUUGUUCUAUUUGUCUGUGCAAAACAUUGUGAACCUUGUUCUCUGUAUUUAUAAGUUGACAAUGUAGCCAUCUUGGUUGGCUGCUUUCCGAAGUCAAUUUAUUUGAUUCGUUCUCUUUGCUCUUCACAAUGAGAGGUAGCUCUUUUGUACUUUUUUAAUAAGAUCAUAUUAUACAUGCUCUUUUGCAGUGGUCUAGUGGUUUAGUAUCUUGUUAAUAAAACCAUAUUGUAUAUUUGAAUAGUUUGGAGAUUGUGUUAACUGUAUUUGGUGCAUCUUGAAGUAAUGUUUGUUGUAUCUUAUAUGCUUCCUGAAUCAAAUAUGGAGAGAAGGUAGUAUAUGGAGUUUAUAUUUUCAAGUAUUUUUCACACAAUUGAUUUAUCUGUUCCCUUCAUUGAGGGGAAAACAUGGAAUGAAUUGACUUACACCUCACUUCUUCCUCAAACAUCUUUUGUACCACUUAUUUUCAUAAAAUGAUAAGAAUCUUUUUAGAUUACAACUUCCAGAGGUCUAUGUCACCUUCUUGACAAUCAGGUUUUUAGGAAUAUUUUUACCCAUCAUGCAGAAGUUUUAGACAAAAUCUUGUUCGUGGUUGCUGCUAGAUGCAUGAUACUGCCUCAUUUCCUUUGUGGUGGUUCUUCGCUCUCCCCCUUCUUAGUAUUUUUGGUUGUUGAGUCUUGGAGGCAGUUGUAUUCAGUAAUGGCUGGCUUGCUUUGAUGCAUUGCUUCUGUAUAUCUUUGUAGAAAACGAAUCUGUAUCUAUUAUUAACACAAAUUUGAUUAGUUCAUGCCAAUGGAUUUGUAAAGUUAAAUUAGUUAUUGGCGUUAGAAAUUUACUCUUAUGCCUGGAAGGAGAUCUGGCUUACAGAUCAACUACUGGAGUUAAUUGUGGAAAUUUGUUUGAUUUGGUUUCUUAUAAAAUUGUUACCCUGUUCUAUUUAUGUUGGAGUAGCUGAAAUCUGAGGUUGCAUUUGUCAUUAACAAAUAGAAAUCCAAAAAGAGAGGAAAGUGAUAUCAUCCCCUCCACUUUUUCCUUGGAAUUGCGUACUUCAAACUUUUUUAAUUGUAUAAAUUCAUAUAAGAAAAUUUAUUAUGAUGUUGUAAAACUAUAAAACAUAUGGAUUAUGAUGUAGAAUUUCAUUUUCAUCUAACCUUUUCUUAAUAUAAGUUAAUUAUGUUUAUGCAGAAUAUAAUCUCAAGUUAUAAUUUGAUUUUAGUAAAUUCAUAUAAGAACAUUUUAUUAUUAAAUUAUAUUUAAUAUUAAUUAUUUUAAAUUGUAUAAAUUCAUAUAAGAAAAUUUAUUAUCAAGAAUUUUAUGAAAUUAUAUAUCAUUAUUAAAUUAUAUUUAAUAUUAAUUAUUUUAAAUUAUAUAAAUUCAUAUAAGAAAAUUUAUUAUCACGAAUUUUAUGAAAUUAUAUAUUAUUAUUAAUUAUAUUUAAUAAUAAUUAUUUUAAAUUAUACAAAUUCAUAUAAGAAAAUUUAUUAGUUAUAAUUAUUUUAAAUUUUAUUAAAUCAUAUAUUUUAAUUAAAAUAUUUUUAAUAUUAAUUACUUCAAAUUAUAUUUUAUAGUAUCAUAUAUUAUGAUUUUAGUAAAUUCAUAUAAGAAUUUUGAUUAUUAAGAAUUUUAUUAAAUUAUAUAUUUUAAUUAAAAUAUAUUUAAUAAUAAUAAUGUUAAAUUAUCUUUUAUCGUAUCAUAUAUUAUGAUUUGAGUAAAUUCAUAUAAGAAUAUUAAUUUUUAAGAAUUUUACUAAAUUAUAUAUUUUAAUUAUAAUAUAUUUAAUAAUAAUUAUGUUAAAUUAUAUUUUAUAGUAUCAUAUAUUAUGAUUUGAGUAAAUUCAUAUAAGAUAUUGAUUAUUAAGAAUUUUAUUAAAUUAUAUAUUUUAAUUUAAUAUAUUUAAUAAUUAUUAUGUUAAAUUAUCUUUUAUAGUAUCAUAUAUUAUGAUUUGAGCAAAUUCAUAUAAGAAUAUUAAUUAUUAAUAAUUUUAUUAAAUUAUAUAUUUUAAUUAUAAUAUAUUUAAUAAUAAUUAUGUUUAAAUAUGAUUAAAUUAUUUAUUAUUGAUAUUAUUAAUCUUAUUAAAAUUUAAAUAACAAUAACAAUAAUCAUUUACCCAAACAAAUUUAUGCUAAUGGUAUUCUAGUCAUUUUAGUUUUUUUCCAUUAUGCUAUUACACCUCUAUUCCAUUCAACCAAACACAAGAAUACUAUUACGCCUCUAUUCCAUUACGCCUCUAUUCCAUUCAACCAAACAAUUGAUUUGCUAUUACGCCUCUAUUCCAUUACACCUCUAUUCCAUUACGCCUCUAUUCCAAUACAGCGAACCAAACGUGCUGUAAGUGUUUACCAACCUUCUUUUAGUUAAAUUAUGCAAGCCUAAAAUUUUCAGCUUUAUUUGAGUACGUUUUCUAUGUCUAAUUCAAGUUUUAUUAUUAAGGACUAAAUUGUAACUUAAACAAAUUAGAAUACCAAUUUAAAGAGACAAAAUUCAAAACCCCAAAACCCACACGGGCAUGUGGGUAAGUGGCACGGGCCAGUGGAGACUGGAGCUAUCACAUAAGGCGAGUGAGAUUGAAACAUAUGAAAUAAAUUAAUCCACUUAAUUUUCCAACAACCAUGCUAUACUACCAAACCAAAUAACGAGUGAAGCUUUGAAUAGGGGCGAAUCUAAAAAAAAAAUUAGAAGAAUUAGAAUUAAAUUAUAAAAUUUUGAGAAGUUAUCAUGUAUUAAUUUAUUAUUUUUUUAAAGGGUCCUAAUAGAAUUUUUUUCCCAUUCUGGUUGGGCCAAUACCUUUGACUGCCUCUUUAAAUUUGCUUCAACCCUAAACCCAAUAUUCGAUUUGGAUUAACAACAAUAUAUAGGUUUGUAUUUGUGGGAGUUUGACGAAUAAAAAUUUCUAUUUAAAAGGUUUAAAUUAUAAAUUUUUGAAAGUUUAAAAUAAAUUUGUAUUUUUUAUUAACAAAAUAUAAAAGAAAAAAAACAUGUUUAGACAAGACAAGAAACCUUGGGAUCAUACGGGUGAUUUUGAUGAUGUUAAUGGUUAUUUUGGUGGAGAGGGUAAACACGAAACAAAUGAUUCAUUAUAUAUAAUAUAAUUAUGAAAUUCAAGCCAUAUAUUGUACUUUUGGUUUUUCUGCAAUAUGAUACAUGUAUUUGGUAAAAAGUUAUAUAUUUUGAUACUUAAAAGUAACAUUGUUAAUUUUUUUAGUGCUUAAUCUGAAUUUUAGAGUUUAUUUAAUGAACAUUAAUUGUUAAUAUUGUUAUGUUUAUUUUUUUAUGAUUUUGUUAAUAAAAUAAAUUUUAUGUUUAUCUUGUUAUCUUUUUUAUUUUAGAAUUGAUUACAUGAAAGUUAAUUGCUAAUAUUAUUAGUUAACUAUUAGUUUUCUUCAAAUCAAAUUAAAACCCGAAAGAUCCCACUUUUUUUUUAUAUUAGUUUUAGUUAUCCAUUAAAUUUGUUUCUUUGUAAUAAAAUUAAAUUAUAGAAAUAACAUUAAAAUUUUAAAUAAAAUUAAUUCACAAUAAUUAUACAGAAUUUAAUUUUCUUUCAAAUACUGCAGUUAAUAAGGAAAGUGAAUAUAGUAAAAAGAAAUAUUGUUUAAUUAGUUAAUUUAAAAAUCAAUAGCGUCUAAAAACUGUCAGAAUGGAAUAUUAGAUUUUAUAAGAUUUCAUUAUUCUAAAAAAUAAAAUAUGACAAUGCUUAAAAAUUUUAUCAAAAAAGUUUUAAAUUUUAUAUAAAAUUUUAAAAAAUAAAAAAACAGUAUUAAAAAUUUUUAUAAGCAAAUUAAAUAUUAAUUAGUAAAUUAUUUUUGUAAUAUUUAUAUGUAUUUUCAUUUUUAUAAAUACUAUUAAAACUUUUUUUAAAAAAAUUGAAUGCUAUGUAAAAACAUUAUUAAAAAUAAAAUAUUAUAUGAAAGUUAAAAUGAUGUAAAAACAUAUUUUCAGUGUUGGCGUUGCUCGUUCGUAAAUGGGUUAGUUUCCGUUUUGAUGUGUUUUUACGUGGAUAGUAAAAGAAAUGUGUUAAUUUUUGGAUUAUGGAGUUGAUCGUUUUUAAUCAAUUCUCCAGUAAGUUGACUCGUUUGUUGUUGUUAUGUGCUAGGAUAAGAGAUUAAUUCUGAUUUGGGCCUGUGUGGUUGUGUAGAUUUUCCAUGUGAAAUCGUUUGGUAUUUUUAGGAUAAAUCAUUCUUUAAAUCGUAUUGCUACCAUCGCGAAUGUGAUGUUUUAAUUUAUGCAUUUAGGAUCUGGUAGUCUUAUAGGUGUUUUCGCAUAAAAAAUUGAACCAUGUGUGUAACGAAAGCUAAAAAAUUGCACUGUUGACGCCACACGGCCAUGUGACAAGUCGUGUGCUGGAUCAUGUGUAACACACGAUUUGAGCUAGUUGAGCCAUGUGGAAAACAAAGGUGUGUGUGAAGGCGUGUGCCACACCAUGUGGGCCACACAGGCUGGCCAUUUAGGCCGUAUGGGACCAAAAUUCUAAUUUUUUUCCUAGGGUUAUACACAGUGUGUAUACUUGUCUUUGAAUUGAAAAAUUCUAAACAACUCUAAAUAAAUGGAAAGCAGCAAAUUACCUGACGAGGCAAGCUAGGUCAAUUACGACCAUUGUGUUAUUCUUGUCUCUGAAUUGAAAAUUUUAGAAGAAACUAAAGAGAAAGUGUUAGAAAAUAAUUGAAAACAGAUAAAACUUAUGUCUCAUUGAUUGGAUAAACUACGAUCACCCAUAAUAGACCUUGUACUUGACUUUUUGUUUAGGGAGAUUGACUCUUUUAGGAGAAGUCUUUUGAGUGUUGUUUGCUAGGCAAUCGGUGCUGCCCUCAACAACUAAUGGUAGUGUCCCCAUGUUGGGAUUUUAUCCCCAGCCUCUGCGGAAUAAUCAUUGAGGAUAUGUGCGUAGGGAUUCAAACUACCAAUCAAUGCAUGUGUAGCCUUUACCUUGCAACCAUCUCCAUGAACCCAUAGGGUUCUUAGCGGGAUCAAGAGACGAAACCCUAAUGUGGGAACAAUACCAUUUGUUGAAGGCUUUGUUAAUAGGGUCACACCUAGGGGAGUUGGCAGGGGUCCCAACCCCCCUUAAAAUGAAAAAUUUUCCAUUUAGGCCCUUUAAAAUUUUUAAAAUUUUAAAUUAAUAAAAGUAAAAUUGUACUUUGGCCCCCCAAAAAGUGAUAAAACUUCGAUUUAGUCCUCUAAAAAUUAUAAAAUAUAGGCUAUUAAAAUGGUGAAAUUGCAUUUUUACUAUCAUAAAAAUUAUAAUUUAAUUUCACCCCCUAAAAAGAUUUUCUGGCUUCGCCCCAAAUAAAAUCUUUGCCAAAAGAUUAAAAUAAAAUUAUACCGUAAAUGAAAAAAUAAACUAAGAAAAUCCAAUCUAACAAAGAAAAUAACUUGAUGUCCAAAAGCUACCAUGAACCGUAAUUCAUGGGAAGUCUUGUUGCUCAUUUUAUUGGUUUCCAUUUUGAUUUUGCAAAAUAAGUUUGAAUUUUGAAGAGAGCCUACUACGUGAGAGCAAAAGAAAAAAAUUCUAUAAAGAUUUUGAAUUUUGAAUUUUGAAUUUUGAAUUUUGAAUUUUGAAUUUUGAAGCAGAUUUUCAUUAAGAUUGAAGAUUCCUAAUUGAUUUCUUAGGAGAUUAUCAUGAGUUCCUUAUUUCUUUCAGUUAUAUUGCCCUUUGGAUUUUUUAUUUUUAAUCAUGAACUACUUUUCUAAAUACGUAAGAGAGAUGAACCCUAUGAUAGAUUGUGACACCCCAAAGCUGACCGGGAUAGACCGGCCUGAAUUCAAAGCAUUACAUUAGCCACCUAAGGACCACUCAAGACACACCCCGACCUUAUAACACCUCAAUCUUAUCUAAUUACUAGUUAUUUAUUAAUGCCGAAGUAAAUUAUGAGCCAAUUUUAAAGUUUUCCUAGGUAAUUUAACCUAAGGGCAUUUACAUCAUUUUAUGACCUAUGGUAAAACUAACCUAGAAAUACCGAAAACAUUCCAAAAUAAUAUAAAAAAAAAGCUAAGAAAAACCUAGAAAUACAAAAAAAAAUUCAUGUUUUUACAAAUUGGGAAAUACCUAAAUUUGUUUUUAUCAAUUAAGAAAUUAAAAAAAUUGUUGAGAAAUAUCUUUUUAGUGAUUGUUAGCUUUGACAAGUUCUCUCCACCACUUCUCUUACGCUCCUUCCAGGAUCUUGCUUUUUGUGUGUUGAAAACUCAAAUGAACAAAAUAAAGUGAAUUUACGAGUUUUGUUUUCUUUUAAAAAUAUUUUUAAUAUUUUUGUGGAUACCAAGAGAUACCAAAAAUUAUUUCACUAAGAAGUUUUAAUUCACUCGAAAAGUUAGUGUUUUAUUUCAAGGGGUCAUAAUUAAUCAUUAGAUUUCUCAAUUUUAAAUUUUGAAUUUUUGACAAUUGUGUAAUUAAUAAGUACCAAUUUUGAGUGGUGUAGGGCUAGUACAAUCUCCCUUACACAUAACCGACUCUUGAUCUAAUAAAUAUUUAUCCUUAUACUUUGAUCUAAAUAUUUUGAUGUAAUCAAUGUAAAAAACCUUUUAAACAAAAUAAGGUUGAAAUAAUCUAUUUGUCUUUAUACUUUGAUAAAAUUUGGGAUUUAGUCCUCAUACCUAAUGUUGACACCAUUUUUUUGUGAAAACGGGGUUGACUUGGAUUUUGUAAACGAAAACGAAAACGGGGGUCGCCACCAAUUCUUUUUGAUAAGGUGUGAUCGGGCCACCUUGAAAAGUGGUUGUUUUUAAUAAACAAUUUAAUUUUAUGAAAACAACGAUUUUGGUCCACGAAAUUCAGAAAAACAGGUUCGGGAGUCGGUUACGUACGAGGAAGGAUUAGCACCCUCAUAACGCCCAAAAUUGGUACCUAGUUGAUUAAUUAAUGUCUUAGUGUAGAAGAUUGAAAACUCUAAAGAGAUUUAAAACACGAUCCUUUACUGAAAUGAUAAAAAUUUUCGGCAAAAAGGGCAUAUUUCACAUUAAUCGAGAAAGAGAAUUAUAUCCAAUAAGUUAGAACACAAUGUCUUGAAUUCCGAUGCGCGAAUGAAUACCAAAAAUUUACUUAUUUAAAAGAUAUUUAACUAUCUCGGAUUUAAAAAAGGGAUCAUGCCCAGUAAGUUAGGACACGAUCUUUUCUUAAUUCCCGAGAUCGUUUAAAACUUGAGAAAAAAGGGAUCAUGCCCAGUAAGUUAGGACAUGAUCUCUUCUUAAUUCCCGAGAUCGUUUUAAACUUGAGUUUGAAAAGAUUCGUGUAUUUAAAUUUAUUGUGAAAAUUGAAACCCCGUAAGUUAGGGUACGACCUUCUCGAAUCUAAACAUGAGAUUUUGCUUAUUCAAAAAAUCAUAAUUUAUGCAUUGAAUAAAAUUAAUCUAACACGAAAUAGUAGAAAUGCAACACGGUGUCAAUAUGUGUAACAAGACAAAAAUGAAUAUGAUAAUGUAAGCAUAAAUAGUACGAACGACAUCGUAAAUGAGAUAAAUAAUAGGAGAGACAAAUCCAUCAUAUCACAACAAAUAAAUAAAUGCAAUAUUAAGACAUUCUUUUCAAAUGAUAAUGAACAUAUACGCAAAUAAACAAAUUAACAUCGAGUGAAACAAAAAUGCAAUAACGAAAUUAAUAAAACUAUAAAAAGUAUAAAAAUAUGUGUGUAUGUACGUGUAGGUAUGCAUUAUAAAAAUAUAUGUGCAUAUAUAUAUAUAUAUAUUUGAAAUUACAAAAUAUAAAAGAUAUAUAUAGGUAUGUAUAUGUAUGAGUUAUAAAAUAUAUGUAUGUAUAUGUGUACAUAACUAAAUUUGAAAUAAAUAGAUAUAGAUAAACAUAAUAAUAAUAUAGUAAGACAGAUAUAUUUAAUAUUUAAAUAAGUGAACAUAAUAAAUGGGAGUAUAAUAAAUAAUAAUAAUAAUGCAAAGCUAGUAAUAUGAUAUAAUGAUAUAAUAUUAAUGACUAAGUAAAUAUAAGAAGAAAAUAUUAAUAGAUAAUGUAACAACCCGGUUUUGACCCUAAUCGGAAUAGUGGUUUCGGGACCACAAAUCCGAACUAGAAAAAUAUUAUUAAUAUUAUUUAGUGUGUUUAUAUUGUGUGCAUUUGAAUGUGUGAAAUUUUCGUGUUUUAAUUUCAUCGUUUAAGUGUCCGAUUUAAUAAAAGGGUUUAAUCGCGUAAAAUGAAAAAUUAGGGGUUAAUUAUAAAAGCACCUAAUUGUUGUUGGCUUUAUAAUUUAGAGGUUUUACUAUGAAAUUAGUCCACUAUAUAAGUUAGUGGGUGGCAAAAGACUAAUGUAACCUUAUUAUAUAUGUUUUAUAUAUAUAUUAGUAAAGGUUAAAAUAGUAAAUUAAUUAUAAAGUUAAUAUAUGUUUAAUAUAACAAAUUAAAUGGCUAUGUUCUUCAUCUUUUGGCCGAAUGGGUGAGAAAAUAAAAGGGGUUUAAAGCUUUUUGUAUUUCGGCAGAUUCAAGCUUUGAUUUAGGUAUGUUUUUGCUUCGGUUUUUGAUGAUUUUUACGUUUUUGAGAUCGUUGCUUUGAAUACUUCAAAACCCAUGUCUUAAUUUUGUGAAUUGAUGAAUAUUUUGAAUUAUGUCAUUGAUGAAUAUUUGUGUUUUGGGAUGUUUGAUGAUGAAUAAUGGAAGAUAUGUCUUAGAUUAACAUGUUUUGUAUUGGUAUUUUUGAUGAAUUUGAGUAUUUAGGGCUAAAUUGUGAAAAUAAAUUUUUGAGGGAUUAAAAUGUGAAAUAAAUGCAAUGUGUGGACUUGUAUGAGAACCAUGAAUAUUCGGCCCUUGUGUGGUAUGGGCAAAUUUUGUGUAUUUUGUGUUUUGUGCAAAAAGGACUAAAUUGCAAAAAGUGCAAAAUGUUAGGGGCAAAAUGGUAAUUUUCACAUUUAUGUAUUGAUGGACUCAAAUGAAUGUUUUGAUGAAUAAGAAGGUUAAAUUUGACUAUGUUUAGAUCAAGGAACGAAGAAAACGAAUUUGGAUCGGGGGAAGUCGAAAGUAAUCGAAUAGUCGAUCGUGUUUGCUGAUAUCCGAGGUAAGUCUAUUAGCAACUAAAAGUUAUUAAGUUAAUAUUUAUACAUGCAUACUAAUUUUAUCUUAUGAUUGAGCUAUAAUUUAAAGUAUAAAAGUUGAAUAAACUUUGGACUAUAGAUAUUGUAUAUAACAUGUUCGAAUAUACAAGUAUGAUCUUGUAUAAAUUAUUGGAUUAAUCAAAGAUAUGUAUAAGAUAUAUGUAUAUACAUAUAAGGUUUGAAUGAUUAUAUGAGUAUGUAUAUAUAUGUAUAAACUCUUGGAUUUGAUUUGUGAUAUGUAAUUUAUAAUUGUAUAUAUAUAUAUAUAAAGUCGAAUAAGCAUGCAAUUAUACAUGUAUGUGUUGUGUAUUGAAUUUAGAUAUGUCAUUAUAUAAGUAUAUGAGGAUUGAUUGUGAAUUUAUAUAUGUAUAAGUUUUUGUUUUGAAAUUAAGUAUGAAAUUAUACAUUCAUAUGGUAGAUUCGAAUAUGUAUAAAUGCACAUGUAUAAUUUCUUGAAUUGAAAUUAGGUAUGGAAUUAUAUAUGUAUGUGAAAGUUUCGAUUUGUAUGUAUAUUCACGUAAAAUUUUUUGAAUGGAAGUGAAGAUAUGAAAUUAUUAGUUUGGAUCAUUAUAAAGUGAUUGAAUGUAAUACAGACGUUACGUCUAGCAGGCUUGAUGCCGGUGAAGUAAUUCAGACUUUAAGUCUAGCAGGCUUAAUGCCGGUGAUACAUUUCAGACUAUAUGUCCAGCAGGCUAAGUGCCGGUGUACUGAAUCAGGCUUUAAGCCUAGCAGGCAAAAUGCUAGUGAAUCUUUUUAAAUUAUGUGAGAAUAUGCAAUUGAUAUAUCUAUGAUUUUGAUUAUACGAAAUAGAUGAAUACAUGAACAUUCGGUUUUUUUUUAUAUGCCUGGUGAGCUUACACCUACAUUCGGGUUUUAUAUUGGUUAAACAUAAUUGUAUGGAUUCGGUAUAUACAAUUAAUAAAGGCAUAUGUACAUUAGGUAUAUGCGAUUGCUGAAAUUAUAAAUGCAUAUGGUGAUAUGUGAUUGUUAAAUAUACACGUUGAGCCUAUGUGUUCGAUAAUUAAUUAUGUAUGCAAUUGAGAUAUGUAUAUAUAUACAUGUACUCAUUUAUAGGUAUAUAUAUUCGAAUGUAUAUACUAGCUAUGUAUUCAGGUAUAAAUCCAUAAUGAGUAUAUAUAUAUACAAACGAAUAUAAAAUGUGAUUGAUACAUAUGUGUUAGAUUCGAAUUGAUUUAAAGUUUACCAUGAGUAUACAUACACAUUCGGUUAAGAUAUGUGUAUAAUAUAUAUAUAUGCUCGAUUGUAUACAUUGGGUUGUAAUGUUGUUUUGUAUAAUAUAUAUUCAAUUGAUUUCAUUCGACAGGUAUACAUAUCUGACUAUAAAUAAAAUGGUCUGAGUACAAUAAUGUAUGAAUGUUAGUUGGUCGUGUUAGUUGAAAUUUCAGUAAAAUAGAUUAAAAGGUUAUAUUAAUUAUGUGUUUAUAUAUACAUUUAGUUAUGCUGUAGACUUACUAAGCUAUAAAAGCUUACUUCAUUUGUUUUCGUUCAUUUGUUUUUAUAGAUUUUGGAGACGCGUUACGAGCUCGGGGAUCAUCAGCAUAGUCCAUCACACUAUCGACUUCUUUUGGUAUUUUGUUAAAUAUUUGAACUCGAUCUUAUGGCAUGUAUAGGCUUGAUAAUGUUUUGGUUAGUUUUGGAUCCUAAUAUGUAAAUAGUCAUGCGAAAAGGGUUUAAUUUCCAUGCUUGAAUUUGACUACAUAUGAUCAUGAUUUGGGCUUGCAUUUGAAUGAGAUAUUCAAGUUACAUGUAUGUUAUAAAUUUUGGAUUAUGUUAGGUAUUAAAGUCAUGUUUAUGUGUGCUUUGUUUCGUAAUGCCUCGUAACCCUAAUUCGGCGACGGAGACGGGUUAGGGGUGUUACAGAUAAUAGCUAGGUUAAUAAAAAAAACAAAAUGGACUAAUUCAUGAUAAAAAUUAAAUUUAAAGGUUCAAUCUAUAAUAAAAUAAAUAAAGUGGGUCCAAAAUGAAAAGGCACGAAAGGGCGGAGGGCCAAAUGAGCAAUAAACCCAAAUUCCAGGCCACGCCCAGGGGUCCAACGAAUUGAGGAACGAAUUGAAAACCGCAACAAACCUACGGUCCAAAUUACAAAACGAGGGAAAAAAGAAAAGGAACUAAAUCAAAACAAAUCGAUAAUGCGGAGGGGCCAAAGGAGCAAAUAACCCAACACUUAACAAUGCACGGAUCCUCUGGUCGGGUCGAGUCGACGAGUGGAUCUGGGGGGCAAAACGACGCCGUUUUGGUACCUGGGAGGCCUGCCCAAAACGACGUCGUUUUAGGGCCUAUAUAAGUAAAAAAACAUAAACAAAAAAAUCAUUUUAAAUCCAUUUCAGAAAAAAAAAACUUUCCCUUUUUUAUUUUCUCUCUAGCCCCACUCCCUUCGAUCCAGACUCCGACCGAUGGCCGUCGCACCGCCCACCGACCACCGGCGACGGUGCCGCCCACUGACCACCGAUGACGGCGCCGUCGUGCACAGUUGUCGGAAAGUUCAAAACCCCUUUUUCUCUUCUCUUUUCGAGUAAAGUACCUAUUUGGGUUUAAGACAUCCCAAAAGUCCUUCAAAAUAAAAAAAGAAAGAGAGAAAAAUCUAGAGACCUUUCGGUUUCUCAUCACCGCCGAUGGAGUUUUUGGCGAACCCGUUGGUUUGACCACCCCAAGACCGGAGGUACCUCCGUCCGCGGCAAUAAAGGUAAUAGAUUUCUCUUUUUAUUUACUAUUAUAUUUAUUUUCGAAAUAAAUAAAUAAAUAAAAAUAUAAAAGAGGCACCUUUGUUUUUUCCAAAUCUGUUUCAAACUUUUUUAUUUUCGAAAAAAUCCCAAAAAUCCCCAUGAUUACAUUGAAUUUGUGGCUUUUAUAGCCCAAUGCAUAUUUUCUUUUUUCUUUUUGUUUAUCACUGCUUCUCUGCUAUUUGUGCUGUUGUUGCGUGUUUUUUUCAUGUUUUGCAGGUCUUGACGGAGCAGGUGGGCAGGUGGCAGAGCAAGUGGCGGUGGGUGGUGUCAGAGGUGGCAGAGGCAGAAGGUGACGCCAGAAGAUAGGAACCCCUAGGUGUGGCGCACCUAGGGUUUGACAUUGUUGUUUUUUAUUUGAUUUUUUGGGCUAGGUUUAGACAGUUGGGCCUGUGCAUUUUGCUUCGGGUUUGGGUUUAAUCUCGUUGGGCCGGGUGUAAUUGUGUUAGUUAGGCCGGGGCAUAAAUUGGUUAUUACACCUAAAAGGUUAAAAAUUAAGUCUUCUUAUUUUUUUUUAAAUCUUAGUCCUACCGUUAAUUUUUUUUUGUCAAAAUUUGUUAACUUGACAUAUUAAUUAGGUUUUCCUUAUAUGUCGUGGUAUAUGACCAACACAAAAUUAAACAAGUUGACAAGUUCUGACAAAAAAUAUCAAAGAUGAUAAUAAUUUAAUUAAAAUUUUUAAAUUGAAAAAGUAAGGGAUUAAAUUUAUAACUUUUGAAGUGUAAAGAAUGAACUUAUUGAAAUACAAGAACUAACAACACAUUUUAAAAUAUUACUAGUAAAUUAUAUAUCUACAACGUAAGCUCUUAUAUUAUAUUCUUGUAUCUAUUUUGUAUCUUUCAUUAUAAUAUGAUUUAUUAAUUUUAAUAUUUUUAUAGAAUAAUAUGCUUUAAACUAUUUUUUGUAUAAUUUAUAAAAAUUAUAAUAAACUUGCAAAAUGAUUUAAUGAUAUUUAAUUAUUAAUGGAAAAAAAAAUGAUAACAUAUAUAUUCUGUAUAUAUUAAGAUUUUGAGUCAUUAAUUAUAUAUCUACACAUUAUAAUAAAUUCAUCUUUCAAAAUGUUCCUUAUAAUUAAAGCAUAAAUUAUAUUUAUAAUAUUAUAAAUAUAUUAUAUCAUAAAUAUUCUUUCAAAUAUUUUUUAAUGUUUAAUAAUAAGUUAAUUUAUAAAAUAUUCUUUCAAUAAAUUAACGUGAUGCGAUCGUUAGGUGCUUGGAUUUGGUGAUGGGGGAUGAAGAGAAAAGGGAUGGAAGUGAAGAAAAAUGUUGAGAAAUGGAAAGGGUUAGCAAGGGAAGCUGCCAUGAAAGUUGGUUCUAUGGAUAUGAACCUUCAAGCUUUUGUGGAUGAUGUUACUCAAGGUUGUUGGAAGUAAAUUUUAAAAAAAUUGAGGUAAAAUUAAAAAAAUGUUAGAGCUAAAUUUGUCAUUAUGACUAAAAUGUAAAACCAAAAUUUUUUGAAAAUAAAAAAAAAUGGAAAAUAACAAAUUCUGUCACUCAUGUUUGCUUAAAAUAUAGUUUUGGUCACCAAUCUUUUGAAGUAAAUAUAUGGUCACCAAUAUUAUCCAUUUGUUACUCUGCAAUAACUCACCUCUAUGAAAUUUGGCAGGCCGUGUCAAUUUUGUAGAUUUGCGCUCUGAACUGUGAAAAAAAUGCAAAUUUUAGGUUAUUCAAGCAUUUUAAUACGUAUAUAUGAAAAAAAGAAGAAGAUAGGAGAGAACCUUCCUAGAAUAUUUAAGAAAAUAGCUCCAAAGACACUAUUGAAGUCAACUUUGAAGCAAAUUUUCAUCAAGAUUGAAGAUUCCCAGUUGAUUUCUAAAGAGAUUAUCAUGAGUUUCUUUAUUUCUUUCGGUUAUACUGCCCUUUGGAUGUUUUUAUUUUUAAGCAUGAACUAAUUUUCUAAAUACCUAAGAGAGAUGAAUCCUAUGGUAGAUUGUGGCACCCCAAACCCAAUCGGGAUAGACCGGCCCGAAUUCGAAGCAUUACACUAGCCACCUAAGUGACUCUCCAGCUAACGACCACCCAAGACACACCCUGACCUUAUAACACCUCAAUCUUGUUUAAUUAUUAGUUAUUUAUUAUUGCAUAAAUAAAUUAUGAGCCAAUUUUAAACUUUUCCUAUGUAAUUUAACCUAAGGGCAAUUUUGUCAUUUUACCACCUAUUGUAAAACUAACUCGAUUUUAGAAGUUUUUACCAACCUUAUUUUAGUCAAAUUAUACAAGCCUAAAUUUUUUAGCUUAAUUUGAGUUUGUUUACUAUGUCUAAUUCAAGUUUUAUUAUUAAGGACUAAAUUGUAACUUAAACAAAUUAGAAUAUCAAUUUAAAGAGAAAAAAUUCAAAACCCAAAAACCCACACGGGCAUGUGGGUAAGUGACACGGGCGUGUGGAGACUGGAGCUAUCACACACGGGUGAGUGGGAUUGAAAAAUAUGAAAUAAAUUAAUCCACUUAAUUUUCCAACAACCAUGCUAUACUACCAAACCAAAUAACGCUUGAAGCUUUGAAUAGGGGUGAAUCUUAAAAAAAUUAAAAGAAUUAGAAUUAAAUUAUAAAAUUUGAGAAGUUAUCAUGUAUUAAUUUAUAAUUUUCUAAAGGGUCUUAAUAGAAUUUUUUUUUUCCCAUUUUGGUUGGGCCAAUACCCCUACCUCUUUAAAUUUGCUUCAAUCCUAAACCCAAUAUUCGAUUUGUUGUGGAAGUUUGAUGCAUAAAAUUUCUUUUUUUAGAGGUUUAAAUUAUAUAUUAUUGAAAGUUUAAAAUAAAUUUGUAUUUUUUAUUAACAAAAUAUAAAACAAAAAAACAUUUUUAGACAAACCAAGGAACCUUUGGGAUCAUACGGAUGAUUUGGUGAUGUUAAUGGUUAUUUUGGUGGAGACAAGCCAAGAAAAGAAACAAAUGAUUCAUUAUAUACAAUAUAAUUAUCAAAAUUCAAGCCAUAUAUUGUCUGUUUCAUCCAUAAAAAUUUCAUGGGAGGUCCAAAGGUAAUUAAAUGACUUGUAGGCUUGCUGAAUUUCUUUGAAAGGCCCAAAGGCAAUUUAACACUCACAAAAUAAUCUCUAAAUACUGUAAAGACAAAUCAAAUCCACAGCAGCAUUAGAGUUGAUUAAGCUAAGCAUUGGCAAAUAUUACUUUGAUUUUGCAUGCAAUAUCGGCAAAACCCCCCUCUUACAUUAGAAAAAACAACAUAAUCCAUGUAACAUUGAUAGCCCAAUACAAAUUUCAUCAAGAAAAAAGUCUCUUUGUUUUGUAGAACAUGAUAGUAAAGAUGUGGAGUUUCAUUCUUCUUAUUGGCCUCCUUUAGUUUUCCUUGAUCAACAACCACUAGCCAAAAACACAAUUAGAUUAGAUUAUGAAUGAUACUUUCAACUAUGACAAUAUUAAAUACAAAACACUCCAAAUAACUCUAAAUAAAUGGAAAGCAGCAAAUUACCUGACGAGGCAAGCUAGCUUAAUUAAGACCAUUGUAUUAUACUUGUCUCUGAAUUGAAAAAUUUAGAAGAAAAUAGAGAAAAAGACUUAGAAAAUACUUGAAAACAGAUAAAACUUAUAUGUCAUUUAAAAUAAAAAAAAAUUAUUUAAGCUGUUUAAAAUUUUUAAGAUUUUUAAAAUUUUAAAAUGAUAAAGGUAAAUUGUACUUUGGCACCCCUAGAAAUGAUAAAACUUUGAUUUAAUCCUUUAAAAAUUAUAAAAAUAUAGGCUAUUAAAAUGAUGAAAUUAUAUUUUUACUAUAGUAAAAAUUACAAUUUAAUUUCACCCCCUAAAAAGAUUUUCUGGCUUCGCCCCUAAUAAAAUAUUUGGCAAAAGAUUAAAAUAAAAUUAUACCGUAAUUGAAAAAAGAAACUAAAAAAAUCCAAUCUAACAAAGAAAAUAACUUGAUGUCCAAAAGCUACCAUAAAUCGUAAUUCAUGGGAAGGCUUGUUGCUCAUUUUAUUGGUUUCCAUUUUGAUUUUGCAAAAGAAGUUUGAAUUUUGACGAAUACCGACAUAUUAUAUAUAUGACUAAAAUUCCAGAAUAGGUUAAAAAUGUUGAAUUAAAGAUGAAAUUAAGUGUGAAUUAAUAACCACAAGUGUACUCAUUACUCACCAUCUCUGUUAAAAAUGUUGGAUGUUGUUUAGCAACCUUUGUUUGAUUUUCUUCAGCUCAACCACAACAUCUUUCAUAUCUUUUCUUUCUUCUGGUAACUCAGCUGAACAAUUCAAAGCCAACUCCAUGAUAGAUGAAAUACAAUUUGCUUUAACAACAAUGUACUCAUCCUCUCUUCUUAGUAAAUCAACAUCUGCAAUUUCUAUCGCUCCUUUAGGCAAUGAACUUUCCAUCCAAUGCCUUAUAGUCUCUUCUUCAACAAAAACAUUAUCAGAUGGCUUUUUCUUUGUGAAAGUUUCUAUAAGGACGAUCCCAUAACUAUAGACGUCAGAUUUUAUAGAAACAAUUCCUGCUGAUCCAAAUUCUGCAUUUCAAGUAUAAUUAGAACAUCAUUCAUCCUCAAUUAUUUCUAAAAUGCUUAUUCUAAUAUCUAUCCAUAUACACAUGAAACAAAAAUAUAAAAUUCAAAUUAGGAAAAUAAUCAUACAAAAAUAAAAAAGAAUUCACCUGGUGCCAUAUACCCGAUAGUUGCAAGAGUCAUGGUUUGCUUCAUUACUUCACCUUCUCCCAACAAUUUGGCAACGCCAAAAUCUCCAACAUGUGCAACCAUGUCUUCAUCUAGUAAAAUAUUGCUUGGCUUUAUGUCACAAUGAAUUAUAGGUGUUGGAUGUCCAUUGUGGAGGUGUUCUAUAGCUAACGCAACAUCUAUCAUUAUGUCGACCCUUUGUAUGAUAUCAAGGAAACAAUUUUCAGAAUGUAACCAUUUCUCAAGGUUUCCAUUAGACAUGUAAUCAAGCACCAAGGCUUUGAAGUCAACACUUGAGCAGCAAGUAAUGACCUUCACAAUAUUACGAUGAACUAUAUUAAGCAUAGCAUCACAUUCAAUGUCAAAACUCCUAAAUGCUCCCUCUGUUUGCAAAUUGAAAACUUUUAUUGCAACUUCCAUUCCAUCUGAAAGCCUCCCUUUAUAUACAUAUCCAAAACUCCCUGAACCAAGCAUAUUGCUUUCCUCAAAUCCAUUAGUUGCUCGUGAAAGUUCAGCAUGUGAAAUUCUUCUCGGUGUUUUCAAAGACAACAAAUCAUCUUUAAUUGAUAGAGUUGUACUCCUUCUUUGGCAUCUUCUAUACAUAAUAGUUAAGACUAUUAGUACUACGACAAUGCCAAUUGUUGGUAAACCAUACCUAAAAGCAUGCAAUAUAAUCAUUUGGGAGUUUUUGUGGAUGUCGUUUUUGCAAGGUGGGACUUGCAAUCUAGGUGGACCACAAAGUGCAUAAUUCUUCAUGAAUGAUGUGCUAGAAAAGUUUGAAAAACAUCCUUUGCUGGGAAUUUCCCCUUCAAGUCUAUUGAAAGACACAUUAAAAUACCUUAGAUAUAUAAGUUUUUCCAAAGAUUUGGGAAUGACUCCAGAGAGAUUGUUAUUGCAUAAAUCCAAGAAUUCCAAACUAAUCAAUCCAGCAAAUGAUUCAGGGAUAUGACCAUGUAGUAUAUUAUUUGAUAAAUCUAAUGAAACCAAAGUUAUAAGACCCCCAAAUGUGGAUAAGAUAUCGCCCGUGAGAAGAUUCUUUGAUAAAUUUAGUUUCAGUAGACUCCUCAAAUUUCCAACAUCAAUAGCAUGUGAACUGUGAAGAUGGUUUGAUGAUAAAUCUAUUUCUAAGAUAUCUUUAAGAUUCCACAAAGUUGAGGGUAUUGUAGAACUCAAUCUGUUGGAAGCAAAGUAAAGAUAUCCCAAAGAAGUAAUAUUACCCAAACAAGAGGGUAUGGAUCCAUGCAGCUUAUUCAACCCUAAAAAAAAGUUGUAUAAUCUCUCCAAAUCACAAAGGCUUUCUGAGAUGGGCCCUCCUAAUUUAUUAGAGGAAAGACCUAGACUUUGGAGAUUCCGCAGUCCUCCUAUUGAUGUUGGAAUGAAUCCACUUAAUUUAUUAAAGCCAAGUUCUAAAACCACCAUGUUGCUUAAGUUACCUAUUUCCAUAGGAAUAAUGCCUUGAAGCUCACAAUUAGAGGCAUAAAAGUAUUGAAGGGAUUUUGAAAGGUUCCCAAUAUAAGUAGGAAGAACGUCACUCAAUGGAUUUCCUGAAACAUCUAUUGCGGUCAAAUUCCUACAAUUCGUCAAAGAAGAAAGAAAGCUCCACUCAUGAUCAGUAGCAGAUCCUGUGAUCAAAUUAUUGUCAUUGAUUUUGAGCACUUCAAGGUGUUUUAAGUUGCCAAGCAUUUUAGGGAUUGGGCCAGAGAAUAAGUUAUGUGACAAUUCUAGUUGCUUAAGCAUGGAAGCAUUGGAGAUAGAGUUGGGAAUGUUUCCGCUAAGUUUAUUUCUCCACAAUAAAAGAAUCUCAAGCUUUGGAGCAUUGGUGAUGGGUGGUAAAUUACCUGUAAAAUUGCAUCUUUUAGUAUACAUAUUCAUUGAAUACCAAAUUCACAAAAUAUAUAAGACAUUAAAAUAAAAACUGUAAAACUUUAAAUCAAUUAAGAAUAAAAUUUUGGCAUGGAAAAAUGUGAUGAAAUCAAUUAGAAAGUUGAGACAUAAUAAGAAGUUUUGAGUAGUAAUUAGUAAAACAUAUAAUACAUUAAUAAUUUUUAAAAUAUUGUAAAACUUGAAAUAAAAUAAAAAUAAAAGUUUGGCAUGAGAAUGUGGCAUCUAAUCAAUCUUAAAAAUGAGACUCACAUUGAAUAAUAAUUAGUUAUGAUUUGGGAAACAAAAAUGUUAAAGCCAUUGUUUUUAAUGUAAGCUGGUAUGACUUUUAUCUAUUGGGUUAAUUAUUUAUUUUUAUUAAAUUAUAGUGUAAAAUUUAAAUAUUAUUAUUUGCUUAAAUUUUUUGUAUUUUUCGUAUAUUUAAAAUUUAAUCUUUAUAUUUUUAUUUUCUGUGAUUUAGUCCCUCUACUUUUUGAAUUGAAAAUUUUAGGUUUAUUUAUUAACACCGUUAAAAAGUUUUUGUGUUAGUAUGGCAUUUUGAAAACUAAAAUAAACUUGAUAUCUAUGUUUUUAAUUAUUCCAAAUAUUGUUUUACUAUUUCAAGAUAAAUUAUUUGUGUCUAGACCAAUAUCUUAAGAACUAUUGUUGCAUAUUUAAUUAUUCUAAAGAAUUGUCGAUUGAAUCUUAGCUUGAUUGGCAUGUGCAUUGUUGCCAAUGUAGGAGAAUGUGGGUUCAAGCAUGCAUGCUGAAAUGCAUUAUCCUCCUAUUUAUGAAUUGGUAAAGUACUAAAUUUUGAUAUAUUUUAAAAUAUUAAAAAUUUAUUAAAAUAUUUUUUUAUAAAAAUUGAUUGUACCACAAUAUACAAUUUUAAUAUCAAAUUUUUAAUUUUUUUAAAAAAUAUUAGCGAAUAUGUACUUUAUUUCAAGUUACACAAUUUUUACUAGUUUUUAAAUUUUUUUAAUUUUUAUCGUCUUUUAUAAUUUCUAAUAAUUUUUUAUAAUUUUUUACAAUAUUUAACAAUUUCUAAAAUUUUUUAAUAAUUUUAUUAUUUAUUACAAAUUUAAAAAUUAACAAAUUUUUAAUCUUUAAAACAAUUAUAUAUUUAUAAUGUAGUUAUUUUUUUUAUAAUUUUAUUUGAAAUUUUAAAGAUUUUUUUGGUUUGUUUUCUAGAUUAUGAUGCCAUCAUAAUGUCAUCAUAUGCCACAUGGCAAUUUAUGAUUAGUUGGAUAUCUCAAUCUAUUUUUUUAACGUCCAAUGGACUAAGCCAAGAACACCUGACAAUGUUAGAGACUACACUACGAAUGUUUGAUAAUAUUACGUAUUAAAGUGGACAAAAAAAAUUAAGGACCAAAGUUAUAAAAAAAAAAAAAAAACAGCAAUCGGCUGCAGGGAAUAAACUGUGCAUUAAGCCAUUAAAAAUAUAUCUAUAAUAUAUAUAAAUGCAUGGAUUUUGAGAAACAUUUGAACUGAUAAUUACAUAGUCUUUGAUGUUUACUAUAUUAUUGAAUUUGUUAUUUUAAAUAUUUUUUUAUUACUUUUAAGAUUUAUCAUAUGUAUGGAUAAGAAUUUUGGUUUUACUAAAAUAUUUGGUUAAAUAAAUUCAUUUAAUAAGAAAAUUUAGCAUCCUUAUAAAUAACAAUUUUGAUUCUAUUAAAAAUUAUUUUCAAAAAUAUAUAAUAAAAAUUUAAAAUUUAUAUUGAAUUACUUUAUACUUAAAUUAUUAUUAGAAACUUUAUCAUACACAUACGUGUAUGAGAACCAUGUAUUUAGAACAUAAAUUUGUUUUUUAAAGUAACUUAUGAUAAAUAAUGAAAUGUAUAAUUUGAAACUAUUUAAUAAUAACACAUGUCAUAUCUACCAUAUUAAAAUAAAAAUAGAUUAAAUUGUAAGUAAAACAUAAUUUAAACAUAUGAAUACAUCAAAUUAAGAAUACUAAAUGAAUACAGUUAUUUAUGAUGAUGUUGUUGCCAAUUCUUAAGUUGGUGCCGAGUUAAUUUGUGACAUCAUAAAUUUAGGUGAUAAAUUUAAGGUUUUAUGUAUUGAUGUGGAUUCAAAUAUCACCAUAAUUUUUUUAAAUAAAAAACUAAAAUACCCUCAAAUAAUAUAACUUAUAUUAAAUACGAAAGGGUAUUUUUGUAAUUUCUCUAACCGAGUUGGUGCCCGGUUGACUCAUGACACCAACUCAAUCAAAAGCUUCAAUAAUAAUAUAGAUAUUCACGGUAAAAAAAAUUACUUUAGUUCCAAAUAAUUAUAUAACAAGUAAAUUUAUAAUUGACGAAUAAAUUUAUAAAUAAUAUAUUUAUAUGAUCUAAUAUAUUAUAUUUAUAUUAAUUAUAUAUCAUCUACAAACUUUGAAGAUUAAUUUAUUAAGUAUCAAGAAAAGAAAAAAUGAAAUUUAAUUAACACUAAAUCAAUUUUUAGAUUUUGUACAGAUGAUUUAAUGAUGAUAAAAAAAAUAUUAGCACUAUUUUCGAAUUAACAAAAAAUUAGUGAUAUAUUUUAAUUAUAUUUAUUAUUUAUUUUUUAAUAAUUUUUUUAAUUAUAUGAAGUAAAAUUAUAUUGUAUACUAAAAAUGGUACAUAUACUUUAAUUAUACUUGAAAAUUUAUUAUAUAAAUUAAUAUAUUUUAAUUAUAUUUAACCAUUUGAAUAACAAAAUAAAAAAAAACUAAUUAGAAUAAUUUAUUUUUUAAAGUCUAAUGGAAAUUAAAAAAUUAAAAAUAAAGCAGUUCAUAUAAAACUUAUUGUUUAUUAUCAGAUUAAAAUGAUAAAAGUAUAUGACCAAAAUAAAAGAAACAAAUUCAACUCAAUGUUUUUGGAGUUUGGAAAAAAUUAAAGUUAAAAACAUACCUUCUAAUUUGUUGUUAAAUAGAUCUAUUUCUUCGAGCGUAGUCGAAUUAAAAAUACUUGAUGGAAUCUGACCUGCACACAUAGUCGAAAAUUGAAGUAAAAAACAUACCUUCUAAACUGUUCAACUAAAAAUACUUUAAGCAUAUUUUUUAGUAAACUGUGCAACAGGUGAUAUGAGAAUCUAUGUAUAUAAAUGUAUAUGUAUAUAUAUCGUUGUUUCAUUUUGUAAAAUAAAUAUAUUUUCCACAUUGGUUUCUUUUCUUCUACAGACAAAGGAUUUCUAAUGAUUCUUUUUUAUUUUUACUUAUAAAAUAGGUUAGUUUCUGCAAUAAUAAAAACAAUUUCUAAUGAUUAUUGUUGUUACCAGAUAACUAAUUUUCAUUCAAGUAAAGCCCUUCAAGCUUGGGAAAAUGUUGACACAUAUCAUUAGGCAAACUACCUGAUAGGCUAUUGUUGGAGAGAUCAAUGGUCUUCAGAGAAGAAAUGUUCGAGAUCGAAGUUGGAAUCUGACCUGUAAGGCCUUUAAUUUCUUUAAUAUUAAGCAUUUCCAAACUAAGAAGAUUACCAAUUUCCUUAGGAAUUUGACCUGCAGACAGUCAAAAAAUCAAUGUUUUUCAGCAUAUGUUUUUCAUCAAAUGAAAUAAAAAGUUCUUCCUUUUGUUAUCUAUUACAAAUCAAACUCUUUUAUAAAAAAAAAACUUUAAAUUCAAGAAAUCAAGGAAAUUGAUUACCUUCUAGAUUAUUAAACCCUAAAUAUAACUUCUGGAGUCGUGUUAGAUUUCCAAUACUUCUUGGAAUGAUACCCAUAAAUUGAUUAUAGGACAACGACAAAAUUUGAAGGUUGUUGCAUUUGCCCAUGCCAAAUGGAAUGUUACCAGAUAAUUCAUUCAAACUCAAGUAAAGCCCUUCAAGCUUGGGAAGAUGUUGACACAUAUCAUUAGGCAAACUACCUAAUAGGCUAUUGCUGGAGAGAUCAAUAAUCUUCAGAGAAGAAAUCUUGAAGAUGGAAGAUGGAACCUGACCAGAUAAUUGAUUGAAUCCCAAGUUCAAGAUCUCUAGAUUAGACAUGUUAACAAGUGUUUCAGGGAUUGUGCCUGUAAAGUUAUUGUUUUUCAUUUUCAGCCUUCGAACUCUUUGUAAGUUCCCAAGCCAUGAUGGAAUUUCCCCAUUCAGACGGCUGUAGCUUAAUUGAAGGAUCCUCAAACGAUGCAAUUGGCCCAAUUCUUUAGGGAGAUGGCCAUAGAAAUGGUUGCUACUCAAGUCGAGAGAGAGUAGAAAUGAAAGAUUUCCAAGGUGUGGAGGGAUAGUACCCCUAAGAUUCAUGCUUGUAAGAUUCAAAGCUAUAACUCUUUUAAGAAGGAUGCCACAAGAAACACCAAUCCAAUUGCAAACAGAGGUUGAGACUGUCCAAUUGUUUGGCAAGACAUUUUGAGGACCGACGAUGCGAUCCUUAAACUCGAGAAGUGCAAACUGAUCGGAGUUUAGAUUCCUGACUGUCAUAGCCAAGCAAAGUACGAAACAUGGUAUGAAUAAAGCUAAAAGAAGAUGAAAGCAAGUGUUGUAGUUCAUGAUUGCAAGACGGAAUAAGCCAAGAAAAUAAAAAAAAGUAGGAAAAGGGAAGUUGAGUUGAUAAAAUAGUUUGGAUGAUGAAGAAAAGCCCUGAGAGCAUGCUUUAAUAUGUUUCAAUCAUCGCACACUUGAUAAACUUGAUAAAUUUAAGACUACCCUAAAAAUUAAAAAGGAAAGCAAAGUUUUGAAGAAAUUUCAAAAUAAAUGUCAAGUCUUCUUCUUUUAAAAAUACGUACAAAGAAGCGAAUUUUCAAAAUUUCUACUAAAUUUUCUUCACAUUACUCCACAUAAUCCAUUAAAAAAACUUCAAAAAAAAAUAUUUUAUUAAUUACUAUAUAUUCUUUUAUUUUCAGAAUAAUAAUUGUUUAAAAUAUGCUAUUAGUCCCUGUAAUUUUAAAGUUAAAAAAAAUCCAAUCCUCCUAUUUUUCUAAUUUAAAAAUUCUAGUCCAAUCAUUUUUAAUUCCAUUAAAAAAUUUCACCUUAAUAGGUUUUUUGAUUAUCAAUCGUAUGCAACAUUAUAUGAAGGCAGUCUAAUCAGCAUAUAUCCAAGUUUAUAGAUUUUAAUAGAAAAUACUUACAAUCCUAAUGGUAGGACUAAGUUUUUUAAACUAGAAAAGUAAGAAGACUUAAUUUUUAACUUUUUAAGUACAAGGAUUAAAUUUUAAAUGUUGUCAAAGUACAAGGAUUAAAUUUUAAAUGUUGUCAAAGUACAAGCACUAACAAAAUAUUUUGAUCUAAUAAAUGUAAAUGAACUUUUUAAACAAAAUAAGGUUGAAAUAAUCUAUUUGUCGUUGUAUUUUGAUAAAAUUUGAGAUUUAGUCUUUAUACCUAAAAGGUUAAAAAUUAAGUCUUCUUGUUUUUAUUUAAAAAUCUUAGUCCUAUCGUUAAAUUUUUUUGUCAAAAUUUGUCAACUUUACAUAUUAAUUAGGUUUCCCUUGUAGGUCGUGGUAUAUGACUAACACAAAAUAAGCAAUUAAGUUGACAAAUUUUGACAAAAAAUAUCAAAGAUGAUAAUAAUUGGAUUAAAAUUUUUAAAUUGAAUUUAUAACCUUUAAUGUAUAAGGAAUGGAUAUCAAAUUUUUAUAGGAAUAAAGGGACUAACAACAUAUUUUAACCACAAAAUAAUAUGGGUGAUUAGAAUGAAUCUAAAAUUUUAUAGAAAUAAAAGAGACUAACAACAUAUUGAUAACUUUGAAAUCUCCUUCGAUAAUCCUUUUUCUACGUAGAAAAAGAAAAUUAAUUAGCAUCUAAAGUGUCAAUUAAUGAAACCUUCAAGAGAAAAUGUGAAAUUGAUUUACCAAACAAUAAUAUUCUAACUUAUAAUAUAUUUAAUUACAUUUAGUAAUUUGUCAAUCAAAACUUAAUUAACAUCCAUCAAUACUUUAUAUAUAAAAAACGCAAGCAUAAAUUACAGUUUAAAGUAAUUGGGAUCUCGAGUGCAACAAAUUCCUCCUUUUAUUAUUAAAUGUUUUAUUUUAGUUACUCUAAUCAAAACUUAAUUAACAUCCAUCAAUACUUCAUACAUAAAAAACGCAAGCAUAAAUGACCAUUUAACUCAUAUUUAACUUUGCAAGUAAACUUCACUAAUUAUAGAGUUAUAGUGUAAACUUUGAAAAUAUAAGUAAAUUUACCAUUUAACUCAGACUUAACUUUGCAAGUAAACUUAAAAUUUUAUUUAAUUUUGUCACUAAAUUUGAUUUGUUCAAUAUAGAUUUUGGUGACUUAAAACAAAAUUAAUAAAAAAUUAUUCUUUCGGAUAUCUUUUUAAUGUUUAAUAAUAAGUUAAUUUAUAAAAUAUACUUUCAUUGGGCACAGGCCUCCAAGCCGGUGAACCACUGAUCAAAUUAAUUUGGAGAUAUCUUUUUUCUGAAUAAAGUGAAUUUACCAGUUUUGUUUUCUUUUAAAAAUAUUUUUAAUAUUUUUGUGGAUAUCAAGAGAUACCAAAAAUUAUUUCUCUAAAAAAUUUUAUUUGACUCGAAAAGUUAGUGUUUUAUUUCAAGGGGUCAUAAUUAAUCAUUAGAUUUCUCAAUUUUAAAUUUUGAAUUUUUUCACAAUUGCGUAAUUAAUAAGUUCCAAUUUUGAGUGUUGUGGGGCUAGUAAAAUCUUCCUUACACAUAACCGACUCUUGAACCUACUCUUUUCUUUAGAAUUCAAUGCAGACCUCAAAUUUAUCUUUUGAAAAGAAUUUUAAAAUCUCUGUAUAAAAGGUGUUUCUUUUUGUUACCGAUCACAUUUAACAAAAAUUUAAAAAUUAUUAAAAAAUAAUUUCUUUUUGAAAUUUAAAAUGAUCUAAAAACAUAUUUUUAAUUGCUUUGGACCAUCUAUUGCUGAUUUCCUUAUUAUAUUAAGUGUUUGCAAUCACUCUUAAUAUAUUGUGCUUGAGUUGUGACAAAGCCGAUCGUCAACGUGCCAUAAUGAUCAAUUGACGCUGAAACUGAAGUUUUUGUUAUAUUGAUAGAGCUUGUCCUUCAACGCAUACAACGUGUUUGUUAUUUUUCUCCCUUCAAAUUGUAUGAUCUUAUUCAUUAAAUGAAUUAAUGAAUAUCCCUUUUAAAAAGAUAUAUUUUUAAAAAUUAAAUACUUCAUAAAAUAUUUAAAACCAUUUAAAAAUUUGUUAGCCUUAAAACAAUCAACAAAAUAUAUUUUUCUCUAAAAAAUCAAUAAAAAUAUGUUUGAAAUUUUAUAUGAAAUUUAAAAUUUUUUAACAAUAAUAUAUUUUAAAAUUAUAGUAACGCUACAAAAUAUAUAUAUUUACUAAUUAUAUACACCUUUUUUAUAUUUUUUCCUAACAUAUCAUUAUUUUCAACAUUAUCGUAAUCCUGUUUUUAUAAUUCCCUUGUCAUACAUCCUUUUUCUACUUAGAAUUUCAAAAGAAAAUGUGAAUUAAUGUAGACGUGAGAAGACUUCAAGGUAAGUCACCCAAUGAAAGUGACCUAAACCGACUUAUGGAAGAAUCAAACAAUAAUUUUGUGUCUUGUAAUAUAUUUCUUGUAAUAUAUUUAAUUACAUUUAUUAGUUUAUCAAUCAAAACUUAAUUAGAAUCCAUCAAUAUUUCACACAUCAAAAACCCAAACAUAAAAUUCACUUCUAAAUUAUUUGGGAUAUAUUUGUAUUAUAGGAAAUGGAUUAAAUUAGUCUUUUUAUUAUAAAAUGUAUUAUUUUAAUCUUUGUAUUAGGUAUGAAUGAUAUCUCCUAGAUUGAACCCAAAGCUAUUCUUGAAAGACUGAAAUUAGGAUUUAGAUGUGUUGAGAUGGAAAGUGACAACACAAUGUUGAUUGAAACUAUUUGUAAUGGGUUGGCUACAAUAAGUAGUGCUGUCGAAAUAAGACAGAUUCACGAUUAGUCUUCCAAAAAUUGGGAAGUCAAAUUUCGACAUAUUUAGCGGAAUGCCAAUAAAAUUGUUGAUUGCUUAGCUAAGGCAAAUGGAGGGGUAAUUGAGCAGCUGGUUAUCUUGGAAGAUCCUCCGCAUUAUGUGAGAUGCUAGCUUGAAGAAGAUAUUAACAGUCACUGGUCUGAUGAUAAUUUUCAUUUGGACUGAUGAGCGCUUAAUUUUCUAAGCUUAUGGUCAACAAAAAAAAAUUAAAUACGUCUAAAUUGUAAUAGAGUUAACAUUUAGUGUUUAAAAAAUAUCUUAAAAUUUAUUUUUUCCAAUUGCAGUUCAAUUCCACAAAUAUCGACGAUGAACCCGAACAUAAAAAUUACAAAAAAAAACACAUCUAUUAUCAAACCAACAAUCCAUGUCUAAACUUAAAUUAACAAAAUUCACCACGCAACCUGGUACACUAUUUUAUAUAUAUAUAUAUACUAGAUUUAUUCUAGAUGCACAUGUUUUAUUAUAUUUAAAAAUUAAAAUAUAUGGUUGACUAAGUUUUAGUUGAAUUAGUAUUUGUUAAAAAUAUAAUGUUGGUAAUGACAAUAUAUAGCAAAGAAAAUAGAAAUAGAAAAAUAAAGAACACACAUAUUUUACGUGGAAACCCUUUCGGGAAAAAACCACAGGCAAAAGAGAAGAAAAUUCACUAUGUCGAAUUCAAAUCAAUUACAAGAGGAGUAGACUAUGCCUAUUUAUAGGCUUGGAAACCUUAUUCUAAUAGGAGUGAAACUCUUUAUUCUAAUAAUAUCAAAUAGAUGGAGUUUAAUAAGGUUUAAAAAACCUUAUUCUAAAAUAAAAUAAAAGAAGUAUAAUUCUAUAGGGAUUUUACUUUUAUUUUAUUUUACCAUAGUAUUUAAUUUAAAUAAGGAUUUGGGUCACUUAAUUCUAACAAUCUCAACCUUGACACGAAUUCUUAAUGAACAAGUUCUUCAUCGCGAACUCUCAACGAACAAGUUUCUCCACCUCUUCCAUAAAACCCCUUAAGGGUUUAUUUUCAACAAUGAACACCAACCAAGUCUAAGCAGUGCUCAAACUUGGUUAUAGGAAGUGACUUAGUCAUCAUAUCUACAGGAUUUUCAUGAGUACUAAUUUUGCUCACAACAAUAUCACCACGAGCAAUAAUAUCACGAACAAAAUGAUACCGAACAUCAAUGUGUUUUGUUCUCUCAUGAAACAUUUGAUCUUUUGUAAGGAAGAUGGCACUUUGACUGUCACAAAAUACUGUAUUAAUUUGAAGGUCUUCAUUGAGUUCACUAAAGAGUCCGUUCAACCAAAUAGCUUCUUUGCAAGCCUCAGUAAUCGCCAUGUGCUCAGCUUCAGUGGUAGACAAAGCGACUGUAGUUUGCAAAGUGGCUUUCCAACUGAUUGCACAACCUCCGAUUGUAAAGACAGAACCUGUGAGAGAUCUUCUUCUAUCCAGGUCUCCAGCAAAAUCAGCAUCAACAUACCCAAUGACUCCAUCUCUAGUUCUUCCAAACUGUAAGCAAACAUCGGUAGUACCUCGUAAGUAUCUUAAAACCCACUGAACUACUUUCCAAUGUCUUUUAUCGAGAUUCGCCAUGUAUCUACUAACUGCACUAACUACAUAUGAUAAAUCUAGAUGUGAACAAACCAUGGCAUACAUGAGAGAUCCUCCUGCACUAGAGUAUGGAACAUGUGACAUGUACUCAAUCUCAUCAUUUGAUUGUGGAGACAAAGCUGAUGAUAGUCUGAAAUGGGCUACUAAAAGAGUACUAACAGGCUUAGCAUUCUGCAUAUUGAAUCUAGAAAGAACUUUCUCAAUGUACCCUUUCUGACUUAGGUACAAUUUACUUGCUUUUCUAUCCCUGAGAAUCUCCAUACCAAGUAUCUUCUUUGCUGGUCCCAAGUCUUUCAUCUCAAAUUCUUCACUUAGUUGGGCUUUGACCUUUCUUAUCUCUCAUUUAUCUUUCGCUGCUAUCAAUAUGUCAUCAACAUAAAUGAGUAGAUACACAAAAGAACCAUCAUUGUUUUUCUUAAAGUAAACACAACUGUCAAAGCUACUUCUUUUAAAAUCAUGAGAAGUCAUAAAGGAAUCAAACCUCUUAUACCACUGUCUUGGUGACUGUUUCAAACCGUAAAGAGACUUUUUUAGCAAGCAAACAUAGUCCUCUUUUUCUGAGACUGUAAAACCCUCUGGUUGUUGCAUGUAAAUAUCCUCCUCAAGUUCUCCAUGCAAAAAUGUAGUUUUUACAUCUAACUACUCAAGCUCCAAAUCAUGCAUGGCCACAAUACCAAGCAAAGCUCGAAUCGAACUAUGCUUCACAACUGGAGAGAACACAUCUGUGAAGUCCACUCCUGGAAUUUGACUGUAACUAUUUGCAACAAGCCUUGCUUUAUAUUUGGGUUCUUCAACUCUUGGAGUCCCCUCUUUCUUUUUAAACACCCAUUUACAACGAACAAUCUUUUUAACUUUGGGAAGUUUCACAAGAUCCCAUGUUUUGUUUUUGUGGAGUGAUUCUAUCUCCUCUUGCAUAGCAAACAUCCACUUUUCUGAAUCUUCACAACUAAUCGCCUUAGAAUAAUUAGAUGGCUCUUGGUUUGCAUCUAUAUCUUCAGCCACAUUUAAAGCAUAAGCAACUAGAUCAGCCUCAACAUACUUCUUUGGAGGUUUAAUUUCUCUUCUAGUUCUAUUUUUGGCGAUAGAGUAUUAUGGUGAAGAAGCAACUCUAUUUUGAAUUUUCGUACUGGCUUUAGUAGUCGACUCUGUUGUAGAUUCUAGAUCAAUCUGAUGCUCCACCUGCUUUAGAUUUUCUUUAUUGGAAGUCUUUAAGAGAUAACUUAGGUAGCAUAGCAGUUUCAUCUAAAACAUCUCUGCUAAUCACAACUUUUCUAUUUUCAGGACACCAUAACUUAUACCCUUUUACACCAGCUUUAUAACCAAGAAAAACACAUUUAGUAGAACUCGGUUCCAAUUUUCCAUUAUCAACAUGAGCAUACGCAGGACAACCAAAGAUUUUUAAAUUAGAAUAGUCAGCAAGAUUACCAGACCAUACUCUUGUGGAGUCUUUUUCUCAAUGGCAACGGAUGGAGAUCGGUUGAUCAAAAAACAUACAGUAGAGGCUGCUUCUGCCCCAAAAUGACUUUGAUAAGUUGGCAUUUGACAACAUAUAUCAAACCUUCUCCAUGAUCAUUUUGUUUAAUUUUUCUGCAAUGCCGUUUUUCUAUGGAGUAUGACGAACUGUCAAGUGUCUCACGAUCCCUUCUGACUUGCACAGUUUAUUAAAUUCAUCAGAACAGAACUCUAAGUCAUUGUCUGUGCAGAGGCAUUUUAGUUGCUUUCCUAUCUAUUUUUCAAUCAUGGUUUUUCAAGACUUAAAUGAGGAAAACACAUCACUUUUCCGCUUUAGGAAGAAUGCCUACACUUUUCUAGAAAAAUCAUCAAUUAAAGUUAGCAUAAGUAGCUCCACCUCUCGAAGGCACUCUGGAUGGCCCCCACAGAUCAGAAUGAAUAUACUCUAACGUUCCCUUCAUGUUAUGGAUUCCUCUGGUGAAUCAGACUCUCUUUUGCUUCCCAAAAAUGCAGUGCUUACAGAACUUCAGUUUGCAAAUUUCUUGCCCAUUAAGAAGUCCUCUUUUGCUCAAUUCUGCCAUGCCAUUCUCACUCAUAUGCCCUAGGCGCAUAUGCCAAAGUUUAGUAAUAUCAUCAUCUGACAAGGAAGAGGAUGAGACAGUUGCAUCACCAGUAACAGUAGAACCCUGCAAAACAUAUAACUUGGCAGUCUUUCUCUGCCCUUUCAUCACAAUGAGGGAACCUUUGGAAAUCUUCAAAACCCCACUUUCAACUGUGUAUUUGUACCCUUUUGAAUCAAGAGUACUCAACGAAAUUUAAUUUAUUUUUAAUUUUAGAACAUGUCGUACGUCAGUGAGUGUUCUGACAACUCCAUCAAACAUCUUAACUCUGAUUGUUCCAACACCUGCAAUUCUACAUGAAGCAUUAUUUCCCAUCAACACAAUACCUUCAGACACUAUUUCGUAAGUUGUAAACCAAUCCCGAUUGGGACUCAUGUGGAAGGUGCAACCCGAAUCAAGGAUCCACUCCUCGUCACUUUGGAAUUGUCGAUUGAAGUGACUAGAAGUUCACCAUCGCUGUAAUCUUCUACAACAUCAGCUUUACCAGAAUUUUCUAGUUGUUUUCCAUUUUGAUUCGCAGCCUCCCUUUUGAUCUUGUUCUGUAGCUUAUAGCACUCAGUUUUAAUGUGCCAUUUCUUCUUGCAAAAGUUACAAGUUUUACCUCUGUUUGAAGACUACUUUUAGAUUUACUGCGAGGAUUCCGUUCCUGUGUCCUUCCAUGAUCAUCAUCAGCAUUCCGAUCUUGUCUCCCAUGAACAAUAAGACCCUCUCCCCGAGAGUCGAUUUUAAGCACAAGAUGCUUCAUCUUAUCAUACGAGGUUAAAGAAUCAUAAACCUCAUCAACUGUGAGAGACUCGCGGUUAUAUAAAAUCGUAUCUCUAAAGGAUGAAUAAGAUGAGGGCAACGAACAAAGUAGAGUCAACCCUAGAUUUUCCUUAUCAUACUGAACCUCCAUGGCCUCCAAGUUUGAGAGAAUUUCUUUGAACACUAUUAAGUGUUCGUGCACAGAUGCACCUUCCUCCAAACGAUAAGCAUAAAGACGCUGCUUCAUAUGUAGCUUGAUAGUUAGAGUUUUCGACAUACAUAUCUAUUCCAACCUCUUCCAUAAUCCAGCAGCAGUCUUUUCCUUCAUCACAUCCUGCAAAAUUUUGUUAGACAAAUGCAGAUGUAACUGUGUUAAUGCCUUUCAAUCCUUGCACUUCUUCUUUUCUUUCGUCAAUGUUGAAGGCAUCUUAUCUACCCCUAGUAGGGCUUCCUCUAAGUCCAUCUGUGCAAGAACUGCUUGCAUCUUUAUCUGCCACAAUGCAAAUCUAGUAUUGCGAUCCAACAGCAGAAUUUUGUACUUCAAAGACGUUAUUACCGUGAUUGAGAUGAACAACCCAGAAGCUCUGAUACCAAUUUGUUAAAAAUAUAAUGUCGGUAAUGACAAUAUAUAGCAAAGAAAAUAGAAAUAGAAAAAUAAAGAACACACAGAUUUUACGUGGAAACCCUUUCGGGAAAAACCCACGGGCGGAGGAGAAGAAAAUUUACUAUGUCGAAUUCAAAUCAAUUACAAGAGGCGUAGACUAUGCCUAUUUAUAGGCUUGUAAACCUUAUUCUAAUAGGAGUGAAACUCCUUAUUCUAAUAAUAUCAAAUAGAUGAAGUUUAAUAAGGUUUAAAAAACCUUAUUCUAAAAUAAAAUAAAAGAAGUAUAAUUCUAUAGGGAUUUUACUUUUAUUUUAUUUUAUCACAGUAUUUAAUUUAAAUAAGGAUUUGGGUCACUUAAUUCUAAUAGUAUUGAUAUUAUUGUCAGUGUAGGAAAAUAUGAGUUUAAUCAUGCUCAAAUGUGUUUUAUCCUCCAAUUCAAGAGUUAGGAAAAGGUUAUUGAUAAUUAAAUUAUACCAACUUUUAUGAUAUUAAAAAAGGGUUUAUAAAUAAUAUAAGGAAAAGAAAAAAAAGCGAGAAACAUAUUCAUAUUGAUAUUAGACUUUUUUUUUUCUAUCACAAGUAAAAAUAUCAAAGGUGAUAAUAAUUAAAUUAAAAAAUUUAAAUUGAAAAAAUAGGGGAUUGAAUUUAUAACUAACAACAUAUUUUAACCACAUAAUAAAAGUAGUUAUGAAGAGGAUCAUGUAAAAUAAUGACCUGAAUAAUUUUAAACGUCUCAUUCUUGCAAAAAUGAAAUAAUAGAAAAGAAAUAAGUGUUGGGUGUAGUGACAAUGUACAUUAUACUUCUAAGGGGAGAUCAGGGUUUUAGGCAAGGGAAGAAUUUAAUUUAAACCUACUUUUUUUUCUCUAGAACUCAACCCAAACCUCAAAUUUAUCUUUUUAAAAGAAUUUUAAAAGAUCUAUAUAAAAGGUGAUUUUUUUUUAUCGAUUACACUUAACAAAAUUUUAAAAUUUCUUUUUUUGAAAUUUAAAGUGACCUAAAAACAUAUUUUUAAGUCCUUCAGACCAUCCUGUGCUGAUUUCUUUAUUAAUUUGAUUUGUUCAAUAUAGAUUUUGGUGACUUAAAACAAAAAUAAUAAAAAAUUAUUUUUUCAGAUAUGUUUUUAAUGUUUAAUAAUAAGUUAAUUUAUAAAAUAUACUUUCAUUGGAUACAGGCCUCCAAGGCGGUGAACCACUGAUCAAAUUAAUUUAGAGAUACCUAAAUUUGCUUUCAUCAAUUAAGAAAUUAAAAAAAAAUUGCUGAGACCUCAUGAUUAUCUUUUAUAAUUUCAGGCUUAUCACCAAAAACUAAAAAAUAAAAACGUCGACAUUAAAUUUGUUGGUAUGCAAUCAAUUUUAAGAUGGUUUUUGGAGUUAUAUAUCACUUUAGCAUGGACUUACUUUUCUACAGUUAGUCUUCUCCAACAAGUUAAAUAUUUAAAUUUUAACAACAUUGACAGGUCUUUGGGGUAGGGUCGAGCAAAACUCAAUAGAAACAGAUGAUAUAGAUUGAGUUGGCUCGGCCAAGUCGAGUCGACUUGUUCAAAUUAGUUAAAUUAGUAAAUUUUAGGGUGCAGUUAGUAUUUUUUGUUUUGAGAUGCUAAGAUUAAAAAAUUUCAGUUGUUAAAACAAAAAAAUUGUAUUAAAAAAAGGCAUAAAUUAAAUUAUUAAGUUUUUCAAGUUUCCAUUUAAUCAAAGGUUAAAAGGACUAAAUUGAAGCUUUUUAUUUUUAAGAAAGGCUGAAUGACAAAUUGCCCAAAGCCCAUGCCCCUAGCUAUACGCCCCUGGUAAAAUCAAUUUUAAAAUUAGUUAUAAUAGUUGAAGCGAAUUGAUUAUUGAGUAAUGAAAUACAUAGUUCAACAAAAAAAAUAAGUUGACAAAUUUUGACAAAAAAAUAUCAAAAAUGAAAUAAUAGAAAAGAAAGAGUAGGCAUUUUAUGAAAUUUAUAAUUCCAUGAAUAAAAUAUAAAUUUUAUGAAUGUGGACGAGCCAUUUUUUUAUAAUUUUCAGUGUUUUUCUUCUUUUUCUUACUUUUUUUAAAGUAUUUUUCUUUGUUUCCUAACCACCAUGAAAUUACUUGUCACAAUUCAUCUUUUCAAAUGAGAAACAUUUUCCACAAUUUGCCAUCACUUCAACAUACACUAACUUUUCUAUGAUUAGUCCUUGGUUUGCUUCGGGUGCAAUCUUCCAACUAGCCUUAUCCUUGGUUUUACUUUCCAACAUUUAGUGUAUCACGAGUUUUGUUUUCUUUAAAAAAAUAUUUUCGUGGAUAUUAGGAGAUAAUGAAAAUUAUUUUACUAUGAAAUUUUAAUAAAACUGGAAAAUAAGUAAUUUAUUUUAAGCGAUCACAAUUAAACAUUAGAUUCCAAUUUUUUAAUUUUUUUUUUACAAUUGCAUAAUAUUUUGAGCAUUGUAGGAAUGCCAUAACCUUCCCUACGCAUAAUAUACUCUUGAGCAUGAUGGAUCCUAGACCUUCUUUAUUCUCGUACCACAAAUUGCUUCAAGUGUGGGUUCGAACAAUCACAAAUUAAACACAAAACCAGAAAUGAUUUAUUACUUUCAAUAGCAAAGUAAUUCUCUUUCAAUAGAAACCAAUAAAAUUGUAAUUCCUAGAAAAUUAAAAUUUAUUUUUUCAAAAUAUCUUCUCUCUACUUUCUAGCAGAAUAACAAUAUGCGAAACUUAUGUCUUGUGUUAAUAGCCCUACCGGUACUAUCUAUUUAUAGGGAGAGACACGAGAAUCCUAGUUGAAUUAGUAAAACACAAAUAAUAUUUAUUUCAUAGAAACCAACAUUCUACCCUAAGUAGAUCAAGUUUGGAUGACGCAUGGAUCGAAGCUCAAUCUAGGGGAAAAAAAUAAAGGAAUUUUCUUUGUAAAGAAAAUCUGAGAUUAUACUAUUUUCGAAGUUAUAAAUAAAAUUAUACGCCAAAUUUUGAAGUCAAUUUUCAACUCAAAUGUUGUAUGUACAAAUUUCUAAUACACUUGGUGGGACAUUCUUUAACUUUUAUCUAUUCUCUCAAAACGUUAAAGUUCAAAGUUGCAUUAAACUCAAAAAAGAUAAUCAUUAGUAAACCAGCACACAAGCCUACUCAAGCUAAUCCUACAACUCGUUCCACUUCAUCAUCAAACACCAAUGUUCUUGCUUAUCCUUAUGGAAUUAAACAAAAGACAAAAGCUCUUUAAAGUUAUUUGAACAGACUUCUUUAAUGGUAAAUGAUAAUCCACUCUAUGAUGCUUCUUCGCCCAACUCAUGAUUUAAAAGAAGUUUCUACUCAUAGAUCAAGUGUAGCUCGCCAGUUAUCAUUAAGGAGAAAAAGGAGUCAAUCAAGUGAAAAUUAUAUUCCAACAUCUCCCCAGAACCAAAUUUCAUAGUGAUGAAUGUCAUGACAACUGACACUACAUUCUUAGAAGAAUAAGUAGAUUUCUAGCAAAAACGAUGGAGAGUUUUACUACAAGCAUAAAAGAAAUGGAUGAUCAAAUUGAACAUCUUAGUGGAAGUAACCAAACCUUUUCCAACGAAACUCAACAUCCUCUUCACAAAGUUGUUGGAAUCUUAAUUGUUGAAGGACUUUAAAGUGUUUCUUUAGAUCAACUCAAGGAGUUUAUUAAAAAAACCAUCAAAGAUCAAGUCAAAAGUGUUACUUUGCCUUCAUAUACAUACUCAAAGUCAUACAUCUGAAGGAUUUAUCAUUUGAAUAUGCCUGAGCAUUAUCCACCUUUAAAAUUGUAAUAGUUUGAUGGUAAAGGAAAUCCAUGUAAACAUGUCGUUCACUUCAUGGAAACUUGUGAUCGCGUCGAUGUAACACCCCACUCGUGACCCAAUCGCUGGAUUCAAGAAGAGAGAUACCAAAAUCAUGUUGGAAAAAAUCUUCGAUAAGUGUAGCAUGAGUGCUCACACUCUCCAAACACUCCAUACUAUCUUUGGUAUUGAAGUUAAGCUUGACACUCCCUUAUCUCUCUAAUGUUAUCUUCAGGCCAUAAUGCCCUAUCACAUAGUAAAAAAGGUGAGUACUCACAAUCCUAUGGCAUGCCAAUGAUAUCUAAUGGUUUCAAGUGUUCACAAUGCCAACAUAUGUUUUGUAUCACAUUCACUUUACACAAUUUAAAAGGGCUCACAAUACAGCAGAUCUCACGUAUAAUAGUUUUUAAUAACACAAUUCACAUUUCUGUAGGGCUCGUAUUAUAUAUAAGUUCGUAAUAACAUGGAUUCGCAUAACACUUAUGGCUCGCAUAUAUUUAGGGCUCAUAUGUAACAGUUGGGAUCCUAUAUAUUUAAACUCGCAUAAUACAGGGGCUCGCACGACAUAUUUUGGCUUGCAUGCAAUAUAGGGCUUGAUCACAUAUAUAGGUUCACAUGAUCUUAGGGCUCGCAUCACAUAUAUAAGCACGCAUGAUACAUGGGUUCACUCAACAUGUAUAUAUCAACUCGUGCAUCAAAGUAUAGGCUCGCAAGCAUUAAGGUGAUAGAGUUUGCAAACAAUUUAGAGCUCGCACACAUCAUAGGCUUGCAUACAUACAUGUUAGCAAGGUCUGCAGGUUACAAAUCGAGGCUCACAUAACUAUAGAGGCUUGCAUGGAAAUAUAAAAUUGUUCAGAUAUCAUUUUAAUCGGCUUCACACAUUAAAUCAAAUGGUUUGCAUGCAUUCCUUGGCUUUCAUUAGCAUGCGAACUCGUGUUUUUAACACAGUGUGCAAGGACACUCACUAGUUGUUUGUUGAUACUGUCGAACCUAUACCACCUUUUGCUUGACUUUUUCCUUGCUCAUGGAUGCACCUUCACAUUGAAAGGAUUUGCAUAAAACAAGAAAUAAUACAGAUUACUACUUUCACAGACAUAAUAACCUUCUUAACAAACAUAGUAGCGAAUCUUCCAAUCUUCCUUAAUAAUUCCUUAAAUGAAGCUAAACCAAAAUGCAUUAUAAAUUCAAUCAAUUUACCAUUAAACCAGCCCCCAAACACCCACUUAUAAGUUCAAACUGAUCAUUGAAAUUAUAAUUAUUUUAUGAAUCCAAACUAGUUAGAUUCCUUAAACUGUAUUGAUGCGAAUUGUAUGUACAAUCGUUCUUCACCUUUACGGAUGAUUUGGGGUGUUUGGGUCAACACCUAAUUCAAUAAUAUACUGGAAAACUAGUAGUUAACCAAUUCAUAACCUUUACCCAACAACUAUGUCGAAAUAACAAACUAGUUUAUAAUUAAUCGUACUUAUACCAAAUUGCGAGAUCUGAAUGGCUAAUUGAUCAAGAAUGUGUUUUGUAACAUCCCAAAAAUUAGGUUAGAAGAAAUGGGGCUUUGAAACCAAGAGUGGUCAUCCCCCGAUUAUGAGUUUAGAUCUUGGAAAAUUUGACAAGUAAACUGAUCUGGUUAAUGGUUAAGUGUCUUGGUUAUAUGUGUCAGGUUUUGGGUUCAAAUCUUGUUUUUGGAAAUUUUGUUACUUUGCUUAAACUCUUACCUUGAAUGUUUGGUUUAUAAGUUAAAUUUAGUCAAUUGAUGUCAAGAAUGAGUCUAUUGGUUCAAUGGUUAAGUUUUUGUAUAAUCAUUGGUCUUGUGUUCGAAUCUCAACAAAAGUAAUAGGGAAUGUUUUGUUUUUAAAUUUUUUUUAUAGGGUAGUUAGUUUCGAUUGGUUAUUUAAAGCCUUCCAGAAACCUCUAUUGCUUUUAUUUUUAUUUUGUUCUUUCUUUUUCUGCGACAUUUUCUAUCAUUUUGUUUCUGUUCUUUAGUUUCGUCAUAUUGGUUUUUUAUUUUCAAGCAACUUUUUUUUUGUUAUGUUACAUUACGCCGAUUGUGUACGGAGUCUAACUUCACCCUCUAGUUAAUUCGCUGGCCGGUAAGUUCGAUUUAAAGUUUUGGUGUUGAAAGUUUUUUAACGUAAAUUUAAUUUUGAAAUGUUAGUUUUUAGUGGUUUAGCUGCAAAUUAAUCGUUUGUUGGAAAAUUGCUUGUCGUUCAGGGACAUGAAUUUAUCCUUGUUACUCUUGCAUCAAGUUCGUAUCAAGUGGGUAUCAGAAAACCCUUCUUCUUUAAAUUUUAGUUGUCAAAUAAUGGCACUAUCGAUGCCACAUAGCUGUGUGGCAGGCCGUGUAACUUACUGUUCAAAAAAAUUAGAGGCAUACGAGCGUGGGCCCAAAUUGUGUGUGGUUAUGAAUUGUGUAGGGUUCACACAGGCCAGUGACACUAGCAUGUGUCAGGUCGUGUGGGACACACGGGCAAGUACACGAGCGUUUACCAGACUGUGUGGAGUCACAUGGGCCAGUUCUCUAGGCCGUGUAAAACCAUAUAGGUAUGUGAAGCAAUAUUUGGAAUUUUUCCCUUGGGUUACAAGAGUUGUUUGAAACAAACGCAUAAAUACUGUAGGGUCCGUACGAUUUGGAUUAGGCUAUAUAACUUGAUAUUUGAUGAUAUGAUGAUGAACAACUUGUGAUCUAUACGUAUAUUUGUUAUGUUUGAACCUAUGUGAGUAGGAUCUGUUAGAAUGUAACAUGUUAUUUUUUGUUGUGUGUGAACUAUCCAGGUACAAUUUGUAUUCUAUUAAGUUUUUUGGUACGCCUAUGUGUUACUCUAUUGAUGAAGAAUAUGUGACAUUUGAUUAUGUUAGAUUGAUUGUUACUGAUUAUAAUUUAUAACCCUCUACGUUACUUCAUUGAUGAGGAAUACACGUAUAUGAAAAUGUUAGAUUGAUUGUUACUGAUUCUAAUUUAUAGUCGUGUAUGUGACUUCAUGGCAAAUAUGAUAUGAUUUGUUGAGGUUUGAUAAGUCUAUUUUACAAAACAUGGACCCUCAUGUCUCCUGAUUCUGUUAUUGAAAGAUAUCAUGACUUACAUGCUCAUCACUCUAAUUCUUCAUAUGUAUGUCAUGACACGUUGCAUGGGAUUUGGGUUGAUGUGAAAGGAGGAAGUUUUUGGCAGUUAAUGAUCUGUAUUAUCUGGUGGUUUAUCCAUGAUUCUGUUCCGGCAACUUAGUUGUACUAUAGUGGCUUGACCAAAUGUAACCGAUCUGGCAGUCUUAACUGCAAAAUUUUGGUGGCACCAUUCACAAUUAUCUAUUGGUGUAAUUUGGCCGGAUGAGUUAUGGGGGAACUCUAUUUUGGUUAGUAGCAAAGUUUGGGUAUGAUGUUUUCUGAUAAUUUUGCAUUCUAAUCUAUUUGAAAAAUACAAUAUUUGCAUAACACAUUUUCUACUCUGCUCUAUUCUGUUCUACUCAGUUCUAUUCUGCUUGAUUUAUUAUGUUCUGCUUCAUUCUGUUGUGUUCGGUUCUGUUGGACUGUUGUUGUGAAAAUUUUCGUGAUACUCUAGAUCUAUUCCAUACUGGUUAUAAAUUUGUUAUUAAGUUCUUUGCGUUACUUUGAUUUAUAUAAUAAAAUCUGUUUAUUUGUAUCUAAGUUUCAUUAUACACGACGCUUGGUGUUUCACCCUUUGUCUUAUCUUAAUCUGUUCAAGUGCACAUCUUACUUACGACUAGAUGUACAGGAGCUCAGAUUGUUUUGCAUUGAUAUAACUAUGAUUUGAUCUUUUAGGUUGUAAUUUGUUUUUGGACUUGUCUUGCUUUUCUUUUGAUAAUCUCGUCAAUAUCUGUCAUUUUCUAACACAAAAAUAAAAAACCACCUAAGUCGACUAAAAUGAAUUUCUGGUUUUCAAAGUUGAAAUUUUGAAAAGAAACUAGUUUUCUGCACGUUGGCGUAACUCGUCCAAAUUUGGCUUAAAUUUGUAGGUCGAGUUUGGGGUGUUACAUCUUUCCCUAAUUAACAUGUGAUUAAAUAUUUAUUAGAAGGAUUCAAAAACUCAACUUAAUGCUGGAAAAAUAUGGGCAAGAACCAAGAAACAAAACAACCCCCUUUCUUACACAUAGCCGUACGAACCACCACCCAUGAUGGCCAAAAUUGGGGUUGAAUUUUAAAAUGGUUUGAGAUCUCAUUAAAAAUAUAGAAAAACACAUUUGUGUCGAAACCACUAUUUAUUUUUGAAAAAUGGGAAUCAACUUUAAAAAAUGAAAAUGGGAGUCACCACUGAUCUUUUAUUGAGGUGUGAUCAGAUCACCUUAAAAAUGAUUUUAGGUCUACGAAUUUUAAGAAAAUAGGUUUCGGAGUUGGUUACACACGAGGAAGGGUUAGCACCCUCAUAACGCCCAAAAUUGGUAUCGAAUAGACUGUUUAAUGUCUUAGUGUCGAAAAUUUGAAAACAUUUUAAAAUACGAUCCUUUUUUAAAGAAAAUUUGAAUAAGUUGACUUAGAAGAUAAGACCCUUUUAUUUCGAAGAAGUAAAAUAUCACAUCCAGUGAGUUAGGGUGCAACAUUUCUAAUCCUUAAAAUUAAGUUUGUCUUUUGAUUUUUAAAACUCAUGCAUUUAAAUUUGAAAAGGAUAUUCAGUUAUUUGGGUCAAAUGAAAAAUCAAAACCCAAUAAGUUAGGGUUCAACUUCCAAAAAUUGCUAAAUACCGAAUAUUGCCUUUAUUUUUUUUAGAAAUCCAUAACUCAAGAUAACCAAAUGACAUAUCCAGUAAGUUAGGAUCCAACAUUUUGAAAUCCCAAUAGAGAACUUUUUAUUUAGGAUUUGUAUGGUUUUAUUGCAAAAGAGAUACUUGGCUAUCUAAAUUCAUCGAAGAGAAUUGAAGCCCACUAAGUUAGGGCAAAAUCUUCUCGAAAAUCGUGAAUACCGAGUAUUUUGAAAAUUUACGAAAUAAGAUGAUUUUAAUGCUUUAAGGAAACAUAAUUUUUAAAACAAAUGUAGUGUGAUUGAACGACAAUGUACAAUGCAAAAGGAUAAUUAAAAAAAAACAUGUAUACAUUAGUGAAUAACUAUCAAUCAAUAAAUAUAAAUAAGUAAAAUGAUACAUACGAGAACAAUAAUCUUACAUUCCAGAUUAUGCAAAUACUAAAUUUUAAAACUAAUGAAUUAUAAAUUAAUUUUGAAAGAAAUGCCAAGCAAACUAACACAAAUAAAAUAUAACAAGUUUUAAAAAUAAAAAGAAAUAAAAAAAGUACACAGAAAGAAAUUUAAAAUCAUCAGUACAAACAAUAAGUUAUAUGAAUAAUAUUUCAAAAUAAACAAUAUAUAUAUGAAUUUGAAAUAGUUCAAAAAUAAAGGUAAAAAAAUACUAUGUGAAAAGAAAUAAUAUCUAAAUGAAUUUUAAACAAAUAUUGUAUACAAAGAAAAUCAAAAUAAGUAAUACACAAAAUAAUACACGUAUAUCAAUCUAAAUGAAUAAUACAUAUUAAAAAAUCUUUAAAUCAUAGAAAUAUAAAUAAGUGAAUUUUUUAAAAAAUUUAAUUAUACUGCAAAAUAAAACCAUUAAAGAAUGUGUACAAUUCUAUUGAAUUUAUAUAAAAUAAUAUAUGACAAAUUAUAAUAAUAAUACAUAAUAAAUCUGAAAUAACAAUAUACAAUAAACUUAGAUAAUAUUAAUGAUAAAUUUAAGAUAAUAAUAAGUUUUAACAUUCAAAUAAUAUUAGAUUUAAAAUUAAAAAUAAAAAAUAGCAUAAUAAAAAAUACUUAAAUAAGUAAAAAGCAAGCAAAUUAAAAUAAAGUAAUGAGGAUUAAAUUGAAUUUAAAACAAAAUUUAAAAUAAAAAAAUGAGAAUAAAACAAAACUGAGAGCCAAAAAAAGACGCGCGGAUAACAUGGGGACCAAAUGGGAAAUAUUCCCUUCCUUCAAAACGCAGCGUUUUGACACGGACCAAAUUGGAAUGAAACAUAGAAUGCGUGGCCAAAUCUAAAUAAAAUAAAAGGAUAAAUUUGAAAGAGUUAUAAAAAGAACGGGGACCAUUUGCGCAAAUUUCUCCUACGCUAUAAAACGCGCGGAUACUUCUCCGGGUAGGGUCACCGGGCGCGUAUAGGCCAAUAUAGUGUCGUUUUGAAGCCACUGAAGCAGGCUGAAAAUGACAUCAUCACAAAAUUAGUAUAAGAUUAAAAUUAAAGCAAACAUUAAGCCAUUUAACCACAGAAACCCUAGCCCCUUUCGCCGUUCUGAACUUUGCUAAUUCUUUUAGCCUUGAAACCCUUGCCAAACUCUGAUCACGGCGAAGCAAACAAGGAUUUCGCGGCGGUUUUAUUAAGGUAACUUAUUCUUUUGUUAAUCGCCUCUUUUUUAUAUCUAGUAAUAAACAAAAUAAGGAUUCAAGAGCAGAGAAGAGAACUAUCAAGAGAAAAAGAAAAAAAUGAAAACUCAAAUCACCUUUCGAGAUUUCGUAUUUUUUGCCUAUUAGAUUUCUUUUUCUGAAUCAGUAUAUGUAAUCCUUUUACAAAUGAAUCAAUCGGCUUUAUAUAGCCGAAUAAAACCAAAAAAUUACAAAAUUAUUAUUUUUGUUAUUUAUCACUGCUGCUAUUCUCGUUUUUUCUUUUAUGUUAUUGCCUUCCUUCGUUUGCUUGUUUGUUGCGUCUAUUGUAGGUACCAAACCAGCUGGAGCACACGCAUGGAGGCACAAUGGAUGGGGGGCACACGCGUGUGGGGUUGGAGCUGCUGCGGCGUUGGGGCAACAGGCUAGGGUUUUUGGAAACUGCUUAGGUUUAUCUAGGUUUGGGCUUGUUGGGCCAAAUGGGGUUAGUUUUGGGUACUUUAAGUUAAAAUGAUUUGGGCUAUGUAUUUGGGUAUGGGUUUUAGGCUAAUACUGGACUACUAUUAUUUUUAUUUUAUUUUGGUUUAUUAUUGAUUGGGCCUAGGUUUUAUUAGAUUUGUAAUUGUAUUUGGUUUUUUAGUAUUUGGUUUGGGCUAGGCAAAAUUUGGUAUUACAAUUUGAAUUCAUUUAAAAUCCCCCAAAUUCCAGAUCUAAAAUUUUUUCUUUUUAAUUGACAAGAUUAAUUAAGAAAUUGAAGAGAAAAGAGAUCUUACCCAAGCCAGUUGAGAGAAAUGACGAUGACACUUUCUUUGCAAUGCUCAAGAUCGAUCUUAGGGUUCAAGAUUUUAGAUUUGGGGAUGAUUUAAAUGAGGAUAAAUGAUAGCAAUAGAGUAAAGGAGAUGGUGCACAAUCUUGAUGCAAAAAGAAGAAGAAAGAGAUGGUAAAUGGGAGGUGUAAGCAAUGACAACAAUGGGAGAAAGAAAGAAAAUAAGAGAAAAGUGGGGAGGAAGAUGCUGAACAGAUAGGGUAGGGAAAAAUUGAAUUUUAGGCUAAAAAUAUACUUAGGGUUCAAGGUUAUGGACAGCACACACAUUUAAAAAACAAAGGAUUUUGCAAAAUUUACUAUUUUGCAAGGGAAAGGAUUCGAAAUUGGGACCUCAUUUAAUUUUCAUGUUUUCUCAUAUUUCUUUUAACCAUUAGGAUUUUUCCUCAUUCUUAAAAUCAUUUUGAAAUAUUUAUUUUAAAAAUAAGGCAUGUCACACUAGGGUUUAAGGCAAAAUUAGCAAAAUAAUAAAAAAAAUGAGAGAGAAGGGGGUUUCAAGGAACGCUUCACUAAAACUUAUCCAACAAACCAACACCUCAUUAUUUUCCUAAAUAUGCAUAGGUAAUCAUCAAAAUUAAGGCAUCACCACUCUUUCUCGAUUCACAAACCCGAUUCUACUAACCCUUGAUUUUUGGGAUGUUAUAAGGUGAGUUCGUAGUGUAACAAUAUAUAUGUGUGUGUUUUGGGGAUACGAUUGGCAUGCCAAUAGGGUUAGUUACACUUCAAUGCCUCUCUUUACAAUUUGGUGCCACUGUAUUUGCACUACAGUGCCUCUGUUAGUAUUUCGAUGUUUAGGGGAAACCCGAGUAUCCAAGUCAUUUUAAUAUAGUUCAAAAGGCCAUGAAAUUUUAUGUUUAAAUGUUAAAUUACUCUUGAGUUUGAUUUAUGUAUAAAAUGAUAUAUUUGUGUAUAUACGUAUAUAAGCAUGGAUUGCUUUGGUUUGAGCCAUUGUUUAUAUUGAAUCAUAUGAGACAAAUGUUUUGAUUAGUAUAGUUUGAGAAUAAAUAUUAAUGCUUUGGUGUAAUUAUAUGAUUCAUAUGUCUAUAAACAUGAAUCUAAUUAUGUUUAUGGUGUGUUUAGAGAAUUAAAUGGUUAUAUGAUUAUUUUCCAGGUAUUCGAGGUUGUUUAAUUUGGUUUAAUGGGUAAAUAAAGCUUUAAAGGGUAUGUGAUUACAUGAAAUGAACUAUCAUAUUUGAGUAAUGAUAUGGAUUAUGAUGAAAUGUUUAAUUGAAAAGAAAAUAUGGUUUAGUAUAUAUGUAUGAGUGGUGAAUUAUGAAAGUGAAAUGUAGAUAUGUUUUAUACCAUGUUUUGAUUUGAAUUAUAUAUGAUAUGUUACACCAACUAACCUUGUGAGGUGGUGUGUAUAGGAAAGGAAAGUUGGCUUAAAACAUAAUGAAAUUAUGCUUGGUUUUUUAACUUAAAAUAUUCAAUAAGUUAAGUUUCAUUUAUAUGAACUUACUAAACAUUAAUUGCUUACAUAGUUAUUUUUCUUUAUUUUGUAGUUCAUCAGAAGCUCGGCCGGUUGGAAUCAUGUCAGAGCACGAUCACACUAUCCAUUCAACAUUUUGAUAGUUUUUGGUUAUUUUGGUAAAUGGUUAUAAAUGACAUGAAAUAGGGUUUAAAGGUCAUUCCAGUGAUUUGACUUGUUUUGAGUUGUGUCAAGCUUAUUGUGAUUAAUGUUGUUAGUUGCUGGCAUGUAAAUAAUGGUGUAAAUAUGUGUGGUCGGACCCUUAUGCAUGCUUUAUUGAUUAAAGAUAUCAUAUGUUAAAAUGGCAUGUUUUUGGAAUGGUUAUUUGGCAUGAUUGGUAUAGGUUUAAGUUAUGAUCUUGAGAUGUUGAAUUGAAUUAAGUUUGAUAUGUAUAUUGUGAUGCCUUCAUUGACAUAUUGGUUAGAUAUUAAGGGAUGGUUGAUUUGGUAUGUUUUUGAAAUGGUUGUUGGUAUGUUUGAUCUAAGUUGAUUAAAUGAACUUGUAAUGUUGAAUGGUAUAAUAUUUGUUGGUACAUUCAUUAGUCUUAUAGGUUGAUGGAAUUGGUAUGUUUUAAAUGUGUUUUAAAUGUGUUUUGAUUAUUUGGAUGUUUGUGGAAAUGGUGUCUCUUGGUGUACAAGAUUUGAAAUUGAAACGGCUUGAUUUAGAAUCAACUUAUGCUGCACACUGCCUGGGACAUGGAUUGUCACAUGGCUGUGUCAUAAUUGUUUUAGGUACGGGUUUCACACAAUCUAAGACUCGGCUCACGACACAGUUGUGUAUCACAAGUCAGUAUGUAACACAGUUUUGCACAUGGCCUGCGACACGAUCUUGUGUCUAGACUUCGAAUGUCCACAUGGUCUGGGCUAUGUCACAUGGCUUGGCCACAUGGUCGUGUGACUUUUGUUUUCAAGUUUUCCAAAAUUUUCUAUUUUAUUUCAAAUUGAUCCUAGAAUAUUCUCAAACUAUUUUUAAGGCCCCGUAGGUUCGGAUUAAGGCCCCGUAAGUGUAUGUUUGCUAUAAUUAAGUUGUGCUACUGAAUGUUACUAAUUCAAUCACAUGAAUAUUUUGUUGUAAGUUAAAUGUUUUAAUUUUUACUAUAAUGCUCUGUAACCUUAAUCUUGCGAUGAAAACAGGUUUGGCGUGUUACAAUUUUGGAUUGUAAAUUUGUUUUGGGGCUUUGUUCUUUGGUUCUUGCGAUGUUGGUUAGAUUUUGGUGUUUUAACAUUAAACUGCAAAAUUGUAUAACUUAAUAAACUAAAAAUUAGGUUUUCAAAAUUAAAACUCUGGAAAUUUUUCUUGCAAAGUUUAAGUAAUCACUUAAGUGUUUUUCCAUAAAUAAUUAAAUGGUUUUUAACAAAUGUUUUCCUUAGUUUUGGAAAUGAUCUGCCAAUAUUAGUACUUUUAAAACACAUGAUUUCAAAUUCAAAUUCUCAGUUUUAAAUAAGGGUUUUCACACUUCAGUUUUUUUUAAACAUUUGUGAGAGGUUUUUGCCAAAUUUUAUGUUUUCAGAAUGUGUAACUAAGUUGAUUUUUAAUUAGUUUUUCAAACGAGUCGAGUAAUUCCUCAAAAAUCCAGUCAUAGCGUCUAGGCCGGGUUUGGGAUGUUAUACUGACGUUACUAAAGUUAAUCUUCAUCUAUUUAGUCUAGAUCUAAACAUUAAUAUUCUCUUCCAAGAAAAAUCAAGACUAUCAAUUUGUUAAAACUUGGUAGGCAGACAAUCAUAUUAAAUAUGCAUAAAACUCAAUAAGUAAUUUGCGAAGAUUGAAACAAUCAAAGAAAAAAUUAAUUAAUUAACUAAGAAAUAGGAUACAUUGCUGUUUCAAGGAAACAGGGUUUAGUUCACAUUGAGUUGAGAAAACCAAAAGGGAGAUUCAAAAUGAACUUGUGAUAAGGGGAAUAAUGUCAAUGGAUCAUAUUCAAGUUGUUCAGCUCGAGAAAGAAAGAUUCAGAUUUAACUUGAAAAGAGUAAACCAAAAAGAUUUAGAAAAACAAAGAAAAUAACUAAAAUGAUAAAUUUAAGAAUAAAUAAUCAAUAUUAAAAAUAAUAAAGAAAUUAUAGAAUAAAUAGUGGAAGAUGGAAUGAAUAAACGAUGGAUAUGACAUAUAGAUGGAUAAGUGUCUUAUAAUUCAUGAAAAGAGUUAUAUUUCAUGCCUUUAGACCUAACUAAUUGCUUGUACUUACGUACAUUUUGUUGCAUUUUAAGACAUAUUAGUUAGCAUUUCUAAUAUUGCAUUAGGACUUAGAUUGUGCUGGAAUUAGCUGUUUUUAAUCGCUCGUGGUGGAGUUUUUUUUGUGUUUUGGUAUAGAAGGAACAUGUUUUAGAUCGAGGAAAUAAAUGAGUGAAGUUUUGUCAAGGCAAAACUGCAGAUAGUUUGCCAGCACGGAUGCCGUGACAAUGCCGGGAAGACCAAGUCAACAUUUUUUUGUGCAAUAGUCUCAGUUGAAAUUAAAACUUGUACCAGAUAAAUCUCCCUAAAAGAGGAAAAGAUAAUCACAAGACCCUAGCCUAAUCUAUCUAUAAAAGCCAAUAAAGGGGAUUCUCACAAAUGGCAGAAAAAAGUGGGAAGGAUCCUUAGGUGUGAAUAAGGGUUUAGCUGCGCAAAGGAAAGGAAGUCGAAGGCAGUCCUUUUUAGCCAUCACAGGACAUUGUGUUGCCGAAGUGUGGACUAGGCAAGUGAAAGUUGUUUACCAAAGUUCUUUUGUUAUUUCCAUCAGCGUUCCUUCAAAAUAUUGAAGUAGUUGAACACAAUGUUGGAUAAUAUUUUGCUUUGGAAUUUUAUUUCUCAUCCCACGAGCUAAAUCUCGUAGGGUUGGGAUUACUUUUGAUGAAACCUUAAACUAUUUUUAUGAAUGCAGUAUAUAUCUAAUUUACUUUACUGUUUCAUUUGAUUGUUCUUAUUUCUUAAUUAAAAUGCAAAUGAUCUCUAAACAUAGAAGACUGUUCACAUACUUAUAAAUUGAUUCUAAUUCUGAAAGGGUUGGAUUGGUUGGAUUAAAAUUAAAUGAAAUGAGCAAGUAUUCGAUGGACACUUGUAGUAGACUCUAGACAUAGAGUGGCGAUCAUACAGAAGGAACCCAUGCAAGGUAUCUAAAAAGUCUUUAGACACAAGCAAGGUAACUUGAGGGUUUGCUCUCACGAGAGGCAAGCCAUUUUAGUACUCUUCUGUGCUUUAAAGUAGAUACGAUUUUGCCAAGGCAUUAUUGACAGUAAGAGUCGAUUUUGGGUAAUCAACCUUCCAAAUCCACAUCGUAUAUCCUUUAUUCCUUACCAUAAUAUAUUUGCCACAUCAUUAUUAGUUAUUUAUUUGUUCAUUUACAUAAUAUUCCCGUAGUAAUUCUCAUAAUUGUCAUUACAUUUCUACUCUCGGUUUGCCACAACAUUACCAGUUAUUUAUUAAUUCCACGUAUUGCUUACAUCAUUACUCUACUAAUUGUGACUAUAUAUUUAUCAUUGAGUCUGCCAUAGCAUUAAUCAUAUUUUAUUAUAAUAACUUGAUCAAUUUUGUGCCUCAAUUCGAUCCCCAUGGGAAUGAUUCUCACUCAUCAGUUUAUUACUUGAUUCAACUGUAUACAUGCACAAAUCACAUAUCAUUUCACACACGACAGUGUUCAAUUGAACCCUUUGAGUUAUAAACUCGAACAAACUCAAUUAAUGGAUUUAAUCAACCCACCAAGAAAGAAUCAUUGGAAAAUUGAAGGAUGGAGAAUGAAUUCCCAUGACUCCUUAAAAAAAUUGAGAAGAAAACUACUUCUAAAAAUCACAAGAAACAAAUCUUGCACAAAGAAACUAACUCUCAGAGUUGGAAAUUUUAGUAAUAAACAAAAACAAUUGCGUCUCUAAUGAACAUGAAAGGGCCUUUACAUAGGCUAGAUAAGUACAUCCAAAUAAAAUUGUCAAGUAUCUAGAAACUUUAAUUAAUGUAAGCAAGAAGUAAUUUUAAACUAAAAUAGUCAUAAUUUUCGUAAUAAUCUCGUCCAAAAAUUUUGCUCACAUAGUCAUCAUUAAAAUAGUCAUAAUUUGAUCUUCUAAACUCAAAAUCGAGUGAAUAAAAGUGCGUUUCGAAGUUAAGUGAUAGAUCUUAGAACUCUAUGAGGACAUAUCAAUUGAAAAAUGCCUGGAUUCCAUCCAAAAAUUCACCGCAAGUUAACUAAUUUUUCAAACUUGAAAAUUGGUAGCUUCGGUGAAUGGAAUUUAAUAAAGUUCACCCCAUCUAUUCAUGUAUCAACUUGCAUUGUAAAAAGUAAAAAGAAAUAAUCUAUAGAGAAAAUAGUUGAAGAAUUUAUGACAAUUUAUUCAGAUCUCGUUUUCUUCUAGUCUUUACAAGCUUGAAGUUUCCCUUGGUGUGAGAGAGUUGUUCCUUACCCUCUAAGUGAUUUUUUUUCUUUUUCUUUCUCUUCGAUCUCGUCACCUAAGGGUGUUCAAACGAUUGAUUCAGUUAAUACCCGAACAAAACUAUCAUUAACUAAAAUUUUGAAACCCUUAAUCAUUAAUCAAACCAAAAUUUAUUUGAAACCUAUUAACCAGCCAGAUUGAUUUCGAUUAAUUUGAGCGGUUAACCAGAAUUUAUACACUGUUUGAUUUUGUUCAAACAAUUUUAAAACAAAGAAUAAUCCACAACAAUUUUUUCCGUAUUUUUUAUUCAAAAAAAUUAAAAGAAUUAAAAAAAAUAACAUAAUAACAACACUAAAUUAAAAACGUAAUAGCAUUCAUUACAUUACAAAGCAUAUAUAUAUAUUUACUUUUUCUUGAAUUUUUAGUUUAAUUUUAGUUUUUAUUCAAAUAUUUUUAGUUUUCAUAAUUUUGUUAAGCUUAUUAUAAGAGAACUUAUAAAUCCAUUAGUUUUUAUAUAUUGGGUUUGUAUAAUGUAUUUGACCUGUCUCUAAUAUAUUGGGCCUAUAAUAUAUUUUUAUUGAUUUCGGUUAAUCAAUUAAUUCGGUUAAUUAGUCGAUUUCAAACUAAACUAAUUGGUAAACAAAAUCUUCAAAAACCUUUAACCAACUCCCAACCAAAUUAGAUUCGUUGAUCAACUGCUUAAUCAAAUUAAUUAGGUUUGAUAAAUUAAUUCGUUAAAACCGAAAAAUUGACAUCCCUAUCACCACCUUUGUUUUUAGGGAUUUUAAUCAUGUUACUCCACUUGAUGCAGAAGUUGAGGUGGAACGAAUUGCUUGCUACCAAAAUUUAUGAAUUAUAGACCAUGCUCCACCCGGUGAAUCAAAUUCAGUGGAGUGGAAGACUUUUUCUUCACUACUUUGUGCUCUAUGCUCCAAGUCUUCUAUUCUUCUUCCGAGACCAACAAUGGGAAAAUUAAAAAUAAGAAACAAGUCUGAACUAACUUUGACAAUUAGAAAUUUUCAACAAAAUUGAAAUAAAAUAUAAUUAAUUAAUAAAAACUAUAAAAUUCAACAAAAACGAACCUAAAUACUAAAUUUACCUCCUAAAAUGCUAUGGAAACUAUAUUAAAAUAACUCUAAAUAUGAUAGUUAUCAAAAGCGACCUGAAGAAGCCAAUAUUCGAGUAGAUGAUUUCAACUAUUGCAAAUACCAUCAGUCGAUUAGCCAUCCUCUUGAGAAGAUUAUAGAGUUGAACGAAAAAAAUCAUACAACUCCAUGAAGAAGAAAAAAUCAUGUUUGAAAAAGAAGUGGCAUAAUCAAACUUGACAUCAAUGCUUUGGUUUCUCAAUACAAUAUUAUGGACAGAUUCAUCAAAUUUGGCUCUUUCAAUCCUAUUACACUAGCUCUAAGUAGAAGUAAGAUGGUGAAUUUCGAAAGGAUUGGGGGCAAUCAUCUAUUCUUGGAAUACCAGAAUGGUCAUUAUUGGACUCUAGCCACAUGUCAAAGAAGCCAAUGAAAAGCAUCUCUCCUAGGUAUAAGCUUAUAUUGUCACAUUACUCCUAAGCACGAGCAUAAAUUAGUCAUCCAAAAUGAUGAUGCUUCUAAGCAUGAGCUUAAAUUGUUCAUCUAAUGCUCCUAAGAAGGAGCCUAAACUAUUCAACCCAAAUGGUCAUGCUUUAAGAAAAAUCUUAAACUAUUUUUAAGGCCUUAUAGUUCGGAUUAAGGCCCGUAAGUGUAUGUUUGUUAUAAUUAAGUUGUGUUAUUGAAUGUUAUUAAUUCAAUCACAUGAAUAUUUUGUUGUAAGUUAAAUGUUUUAAUUUGUACUAUAAUGCUCCAUAACCCUAAUCUGGCAAUGGAAACAGGUUUGGCGUGUUACAAUUUUGGGUUCUUGCGAUGUUGGUUGGAUUUUCGUGUUUUAACAUUAAACUGCAAAAUUGUAUGAUUUAACAAACUAAAAUUAGGUUUUCAAAGUUAAAACUCUGGAAAUUUUUGUUGCAAAGUAUAAGUAAUCACUUAAGUGUUUUUCCAUAUAUAAUUAAAUGGUUUUUAACAAAUGUUUUCCUUAGUUUUGGAAAUGAUCUGCCACCAUUAGUACUUUUAAAACACAUGAUUUCAAAUUCAAAUUCUUUGUUUUAAAUAAGGGUUUUCACACUUCGUUUUUUUUUAACAUUUGUGAGAGGUUUUCGCCAAAUUUUAUGUUUUCAGAACGUGUAACUAAGUUGAUUUUUAAUUCGUUUUUCAAAUGAGUCGAUGUAAUUCCUCAAAAAUCCAGUCAUAGCAUCUAGGCCGGGUUUGGAUGUUAUACUGAUAUUACUAAAGUUAAUCUUCAUCUAUUUAGUCUAGAUCUAAACAUUAAUAUUCUCUUCCAAGAAAAAUCAAGAUGAUCAAAUUGUUAAAACUUGGUAGGCAGACAAUCAUAUUAAAUAUGCAUAAAACUUAAUAAAUAAUUAGCGAAGAUUGAAACAAUCAAAGAAAAAAUAAAUUAAUUAACUAAGAAAUAGGAUCCAUUAUUGUUUCAAGAAAAUAGAGUUUAGUUCACAUUGAGUUGAGAAAACCAAAAGGGAGAUUCAAAAAAAACUUGUGAUAAGGGGAAUAAUGUCAAUAGAUCAUAUUCAAGUUGUUCGGCUCGAGAAAGAAAGAUUCAGAUCUAACUUGAAAAGAAGAAACUAAAAAUAUUUAGAAAAACAAGAAAAAACAAAGAAAAUAACUAAAAUGAUAAAUUUAAGAAUAAAUAAUCAAUAUUAAAAAUAAUAAAGAAAUAAAGAAAUUAUAGAAUAAAUAGUGGAAGAUGGAAUGAAUAAAUGAUGGAUAUGACAUAUAGAUGGAUAAGUGUCUUAUAAUUCAUGAAAAGAGUUAUAUUUCAUGCCUUUAGAUCUAACUAACUGCUUGUACUUAAGUACAUUUUGUUGCAUUUUAAGACAUUUUAGUUAGUGUUUCUAAUAUUGCAUUAGGACUUAGAUUGUGUUGGAAUUAGGUGUUUUUAAUCGCUCGUGGUGGAGUUUUUCUGUGUGUUGGCAUGGCAAGAACAUAUUUUAGAAUGAGGAAAUAAAUGAGUGAAGUUUUGUUAGGGAAAAAGUGCAGACAAUUUGCCAACACGGAUGCCGUGACAAUGCUGGGAAGACCAAGUAACAUUUUUUUGCGCAAUAGUCUCAGUUGAAAUUAAAACUUGUACCAGAUAAAUCUCCCUAAAAGAGGAGAAGAUAAUCACAAGAUGUCAGCUGACCCUAGCCUAAUCUAUCUAUAAAAGCCAAUAAAGGGGAUCUCACAAUUGGCAGAAAAAAGUGGGAGAGAUCCUUAGGUGUGAAUAAGGUUUUAGCUGCGCAAAGGAAAGGAAGUCAAAGGCAGUCCUUUUUAGCCAUCAUAGGACGUUGUGCUGCCGAAGUGUGGACUAGCCAAGUGAAAGUUGUUUCCGAAAGUUCUUUUUUUAUUUCCAUCAGCGUUCCUUCAAAAUAUUGAAGUAGUUGAACACAAUGUCGGAUAAUAUUUUUCUUUGGAAUUUUAUUUCUCAGCCCAUGAGCUAAAUCUCGUAGGGUUAAGGUUACUUUUGAUGAAACCUUAAAUAUUUUUAUGGAUGCAGCAUAUAUCCAAUUUACUAAACUGUAUCAUUUGAUUGUUCUUAUUUCUUAAGUAAAAUGCAAAUGAUCUCUAAACAUAGAAGACUGUUCGCAUACUUAUAAACUGAUUCUAAUUCUAAAACGGUUAGAUUGGUUGGAUUAAAAUUAAAUGAAAUGAGCAAGUAUUCGAUGGACACUUGUAGUAGACUCUAUACAUAGAGUGACGAUCAUACAGAAGGAACCCAUGCAAGGUAUCUAAAAAGUCUUUAGACACAGGCAAGGUAACUUGAGGUUUUGCUCUCACGAGAGGCAGGCCAUUUUAGUACUCUUCUGUGCUUUAAAGUAGAUAAGAUUUUGCCAAGGAAUUAUUGAGAGUAAGGGUCGAUUUUGGAUAAUCAACCUUCCAAAUCCACAUCGUAUAUCCUUUAUUCCUUACCAUAGAAUAUUUGCCACAUCAUUAUUAGUUAUUUAUUUGUUCAUUUACAUAAUAUUCCCGUAGUAAUUCUCAUAAUUGUCAUUACAUUUCUACUCUUGGUUUGCCACAACAUUACUAGUUAUUUAUUAAUUCCACGUAUUGCUUACAUCAUUACUCUACUAAUUGCGACUGUAUAUUUAUCAUUGAGUUUGCCAUAGCAUUAAUCGUAUUUUAUUAUAAUAUCUUAACUAAUUUUGUGCCUCAAUCUGAUCCCCAUGGGAACGAUACUCACUCAUCACUUUAUUACUAGAUUCAACUGUAUACUUGCACAAAUCGUAUAUCAUUUCACACACGACAAUGUUCAAUUGAACCUUUUGAGUUAUAAACUCGAACAAACUCAAUUAUUAGCUUUAAUCAACCCACCAAGAAAGAAUCAUUGGCAAAUUGAAGGAUGAAGAAUGAAUUCCCAUGAAUCCUUAAAGAAAUUGAGAAGAAAACUACUUCUAAAAAUCACAAGAAACAAAUCUUGCACAAAGAAACUAACUCUCAGAGUUGGAAAUUUUAGUAAUAAACAAAAACAAUUGCGUCUCUGAUGAACAUGAAAGGGCCUUUACAUAGGCUAGAUAAGUCCAUCCAAAUAAAAUUGUCAAGUAUCUAGAAACUUUAAUUAAUGUAAGCAAGAAGUAAUUUUAAACUAAAAUAGUCAAAAUUUUUGUAAUGAUCUCGUCCAAAAAUUCUGCUCACAUAGUCAUCAUGAAAAUAGUCAUAAUUUGAUCUCUUGAACUCAAAAUCGAGUGAAUAAAAGUGCGUUUCAAAGUUAAGUGAUAGAUCUUAGAACUCUAUGAGACAUAUCAAUUGAAAAAUGUCUGGAUUCCAUCCAAAAAUUCACUGGAAGUUAACUAAUUUUUCAAACUUGAAAAUUGGUAGCUUCAGUGAAUGGAAUUUAAUAAAGUUCACCCCAUCUAUUCAUGUAUCAACUUGCAUUGUAAAAAGUAAAAAGAAAUAAUCUAUAGAGAAAAUAGUUGAAGAAUUUAUGACAAUUUAUUCAGAUCUCUUUUUCUUCUAGUAAUAUAUUGGGCCUAUAAUAUAUUUUUAUUGAUUUCGGUUAAUAAAUUAAUUCGGUUAAUUAGUCGAUUUCAAACUAAACUAAUUGUUAAACAAAAUCUUCAAAAACCUUUAACAAACUCCCAACCAAAUUAGAUUCGUUGAUCGACUGCUUAAUCAAAUUAAUUAGGUUUGAUAACUUAAUUCGUUAAAACCGAAAAAUGCACAUCCCUAUCAUCACCUUUGUUUUUAGGGAUUUUAAUCAUGUUGCUCCACCUGAUGCAGAAGUUGAGGUGGAACGAACUACUUGCUACCAAAAUUUAUGAAUUAUAGAGCUUGCUCCACCGCAGUGAAUCAAAUUCGGUGGAGUGGGAGACUUUUCUUCACUACUUUAUGCUCUAUGCUCCAAGUCUUCUAUUCUUCUUCCGAGACCUACAAUGGAAAAAUAAAAAAAUAAGAAACAAGUCUGAACUUACUUUGAAAAUUAGAAAUUUUCUACAAAAUUGAAAUAAAAUAUAAUUAAUCAAUAAAAACUAUAAAAUGCAAUAAAAACGAACCUAAAUACUAAAAUUACCUCCUAAAAUGCUAUGGAAACUAUACUAAAAUAACUCUAAAUAUGAUAGUUAUCAGAAGCGACCUGAAGAAGCCAAUCGAGUAGAUGAUUUCAACUAUUGCAAUAAUAUUGGUCGAUUAGCCAUCCUCUUGAGAAGAUCAUAGAGUUGAAAGAAAAAAAUCAUACAACUCCAUGAAGAAGAAAAAAUCAUGUUUGAAAAAGAAGUGGCAUUAUCAAACUUGACAUCAAUGCUUUGGUUUCUCAAUACAAUAUUAUGGACAGAUUCAUCAAAUUUGGCUCUUUCAAUCCUAUUACACUAGCUCUAAGUAGAAGUAAGAUGGUGAAUUUCAAAAGGAUUGGGGGCAAUCAUCUAUUUUUGGAAUAUCAGAAUGGUCAUGAUUGGACUCUAGCCACAUGUCUUCGGAACAUCAGAAUGGUCAUGAUUGGACUCUAGCCACAUGUCAAAGAAGCCAAUGAGAAGCAUCUCUCCUAGGUAUAAGCUUAUAUUGCCACAUUACUCCUAAGCACAAGCAUAAAUUGUUCAUCCAAAAUGAUGAUGCUUCUAAGCAUGAGCUUAAACUGUUCAUCUAAUGCUCCUAAGAAGGAGCCUAAACUAUUCAACCCAAAUGGUCAUGCUUUAAGCAAAUAUUAAACUAUUCUUAAAAAAUAAAUGAUGAUCCAAUGAAGCACAAGCUUAAUCUAUUCAUACGAAACAAAUGAUGACCUCCUAAGCAUGAAUUUAAAUUGUUCACACAUAAUAAAUGAUGAUACUCCUAAGCGCGAGCUUAAAUUGCAGUCCAAAAAAUAUUGAACUACGUUAUAACUUGAUCUUUUAAAAUUGAAGGUAAGUAGAUAGCCUGGUUUCAUUGCCAAGUUCAGUCUAUAUGAUAAAAAAAAUUUGAAGGUGAUCUUUGAAACAAAUUCAUCAAAGUAGGAAGCAAAUAAAAUUUCAAGACUUGUCCCCUUUCUACGCCCAACAAAAUUCAGAAUCCAUCAUUUGUUAUUACUGUAAUAAUAUCUCUAACUAAAUUAAUGAAAAGAUAAAUCAAGAAAUUAAAUCCUUUUAGAACUCUCUUAUAAAGAAACCAUAUUAAGGAUUACUUUAGAUCUAAUUAAUUAAAUUAAUAAGAUAUGAAUAAUAAUAAUAGAGUUUAAAUUCUUAUAGAACACUCAAAUGAAAAUGUUAAAUUCUACAAGAACUCUUAUAUGAAAGUGAUUGACACUAAAAAAAUGGGUCACCUCCAAGUUAUUCUACACAUUCACAAGUUCAAGAAGUUGAAAAAUUAUUUACAAAAAUAUUUGAAGAAACUAAAGAAGUAGAAGAAAUUCUAAUGAACAUCAUAUCAAUUGAGAGGAGGAUGUGAACAGAAGAGAAGAUUGAAAAGAGUUUUGUUUGUAAAGAAAUUCAAAACUUGUUAUAAAAUUUGACGCAAAAUUUUCAAGUCAAUUUUCAACUUGAAAUUUGUGUGUACUAUAUAUAUGGGAAAGAAUCCAUUUACAUUAUAUAAAACUAUUGUAUGUAUAAUACAAAAAUAUUUAAUACAUUAUCAAUAAAGUUUUUAAACUAUGCACCUGUGAUUAAAACCAAAAUAAUAAUAUUAAUAACAACCAAUCACUUUAUUUGACUAACUUUUCCUCACAAGUCUUUGGUAUGGAGACAAAUCAGUUUAAUCAGUCUUUGGAGCUAUUAACUGACAUUUCCACCAUUGAUUUGAAAAUCAUAACCCAUCAAUUCACUUUAAAUGAAACGAGAUCCUCAAGUGUUUGGUGUUAUAUUCUUAAAAUGUAUUUAGAUGAUUGUUUAUUAAUUUUAUUUCUUUAUAUUUAAAUCAAAUGUAAUAAAUUGUUGAAUUUAUAUACUUCUUAUUAUAACAAUAUAUGGACUAUCUUCCUACUUCUUUUUUUAAUUUAAUUUUUUGUAACUCUUCACAAUUUAUUUUGAAAAACAUUGAAAAAAAACUAAAUGAUUAAAUUAAGGCUCAACUUUUCACUAAUCUUAGUUUAUUUAGUCUAACUUUUCACAAUUUCAUAUACUCAUUUCAUGUUUCAUACCAACAAUUUUUCUUUUUGGUAAAAAGAAAAAAACAACUAUACUUUCUUUAAUCCCAAAAUUAAGGCUUUAUGAAUGAAAAUAAUAUUAUAUUAACUAUGAUAAUUAAGUUUUUAUUUUAAAUAUGAUUAAUUUUAUAUAUAAUAACUUUAAAUAUAAAUAUAUAUAUAUCUAUAAUUAAAUUUUAAAGAAAUUUAUUGUUAUUUUCUAAACAUAAAACAAAGAAAACUUUUUACCCAAAUUAUAAGUUUGUGGUUAGGCAGCCCACUUUGGGACAGGAUUCAGCUUACGUUUUUAAUCUUGGGCUUUAAAAAUAAUAAAAAUAUAAAAAUAAUGUUCGAUUAAUAUUUAUAAAUUUUAUAAAUUUAAAUUUAAUUAUAUUUUUUAUACAGUAAAAUCAACCAUUUAUAUGGGCUAAAUUGAGUUAAGUUCGGUUUGCAUCAAGCCUUAACUUUGACCAAAUCCAACGAAAAACACCUCUAACCAUAAUCUAGUAUUGUUUUUAUGAAUUGAAUUUUAACUUGUAAUUUUCAAUUUUAUACAAACUUUCUUUGCCUACGAUAAGGAAAUAACAUAUUUGUAACUUCUCCAAUCUGGCGUAAACAUUCAGUCUGAAUUCGGAAGAUUACAUCGGCCAUAAAGAUGGCCUAGCAGGGUUAUCAGAGUUUUUGAAAAUAGACAUCUUUAAAACGUUUGUUUAAUUCAGUAAAAAACUAAUUUAAUUUCCAAAUUAUUUAUUACUUGAAAUCUUAAUUACACUUUAAAAGAAGGAAGUGGUAACUAUUUAUUUUUAAUAAAAAUUAGGGUUCAUGUAUAAUUGAUUAAUAACCAUAAUUCGAAAACAUUAAAACUUAAAUUAAAUGUCAUGCAAAAUAAAACAAGCUUAAACCUAAAUCUCAUGCCACAGUUCAAAAUAAUUUAUUGUAGUCUUCAAAAAUAAAAUAAAUCAUAUAAUCAACCAAAAAUAAGUUUUGUAAUUUAGCAAUGUAUCGAGACCUUCUAGAUGUCAUGCCCGCGUCCUAACUUGGUUAUUUGUAAGUGUAACGACCCGAAUAAUUUAUCUCUAUUUCUGUAAAUAUUUGACGCAAAUACUUGUUUGCUUCAGUGGUUAAAUGUUUUGGGUGUGUUUGAGAGGUCUUGGGUUCAAGUCUCAUUUUUGUAAAAUUUUGUUAUUUUUAUGAUUCAAGCCUUAGCCUUGUUGAGUGGGCUUUUAUGAAAUUGUUUGCUACUUCAUAUUAGAAUGAGCUUGCUAGUUCAAGUGGUAAGGAGUUGGUGUGAAGGAGGUUCUGUGUGUGAAUCCCUGCACGAGCGUGGGUAUUAUUUUUUUGCUCAGUUAUAUGGUAGAGUUUCGGUGCUUUUGGGAUUAUAGGGUAGUUGGAUGUGAAUUAGUGGGGAGUUAGGAUAUUAGUGGGUUUUUAAUUAGAUUUUAUUUAAUUUUUAUUCUUUUUGUUUUUCCCAAUUUUUCUCUUAGCUUUUGACGUUCUGUUUCCCUUUUCUCCUCUGCUGAAUUUUUGCCGCUCCCUCUCAUUUUUGAUUUUUCCAAUUCGUCUCCUUUUUGUGCAAUGUUUGAUUGCAUUCGUUCGGUAAGUCUUGUAUUGUUACGAUCUUAUUGUUUGGUGGUUAAUGUUUUAAUGGGGGUUUUGUGUUUACUCUCGAUUAAGGGAAGGGCAAGAAGAGUUGGUACUCCUGCAAGAUUUGAGCGUUAAGGGUGUCUGUUCGUUGGCGGUAAGUUUUCAAAUUCUUUGUUGGUUAUUGUAAGGCUCCGUUUGUGGAAUGGUUUCGGAUUGAGUUUCGUAAGUGUGUAUCGAAUUUGGGCUUCUGGAUACUGUUUCUUAGGUUCGGUGGUCUCAGGGGUGCUUGUGCAUCAAAAUGAUAUCAGGUGUGUACCCGAAACGUAGAAAAUCGAGUUUCGAUGAAAGGUAAAAAACCUUAUUUUCGAUGCCACACGGGCGUGUGCAUGGCCGUGUGGUUGGCCGUGUGCAGGACACAGUCAUGUGUUCGACGAGGGUAGGGCCGUGCGCAAGACACGGCUGUGUGACGAUGUGGGUGUGGCCGUGUGGGCCACAUAGGCUAGGCCAAGUUGGGCUUGUGGGUUUUGGGCCACACGUGCAUGUGCCUUUUAAACAAGUCCGUGUGGACCACACGGGUAGGGCUAAUAUGGGCGUGUUGGCCACAUGGGCAUGUGGGCCGAAAAUUCUAAAAUUUUCCUUAAGGUCGCACAGGUCGUUCUAGUCGACUGUGGGCCUACCGUAGGGUCGGUAAGGGCUAACCAAACCCUAAAACUAUGUGAUCUGUUAGUUUGAUAUUUUGUUCUGAAUAUGAUACUGCUAUGCAUGUUUGAUUAGUUUGGUGUAUGUAUAUAUAUAUAUAUCUGAUAUCUAUGUAUGAGCAUGUGAGCAUGGUAACUCUAAUUAUCUAUAUCUGAUUGGGGUGGGAUUUGUAUAUGUGGAGGAAGUGUUCUGUAUGGCGGUCAUCGCUUAUAUUCUGGCAGCUUGGCUGCACAUUAUCUGACAUGUGUCGUAAUGGCACGAUAUGGUGUGUAGGGAUGGGUGGGUGUUUUUAACCCCACAUGAUGUGAUGGGAUAGUUGGAGUUGGUGUGUAGAGGAUGGAGUUAGGAUUUUGUAUUUCUGAUCUGAUCUGCAUAUCUGUUAUGUUAUCUGAAUCUGUAAAGGACUUAGGUCUGAAUCCGAAUCUAAAAUUGUAUCUGACUAUGUAUGAGUUUACUGCAUGUAUUGCAUGCAUUUUUUUAUUGGCUUACACACUAAGUUUACAAAAACUCACAUUUGUUUGUCUGUUAUGUUCAGGUAAUCCACAGAUUUAGGCGGGUCGGUGUGACGGAGGCUCAGUGGUGACCACCUGAUUGAGAACUAUUUUACUUAGUAAAUUAUGUUUUAUUUAUAAUUUCUAUUUCAUUUGAGAGUUUUUAAUUUUUGAGACUCUCAGUACUGCUGGUUUUUAUUUUGGUUUUGGAUGCGAUUUUAGACUAUUUUGUUGCGAUGCAUGAUGGAAAACACGAUUUUAUGAAAAAAAGUUAUUCUGAAAAUACGAACUGGAUUUCUAAAAUAUAACGGUUCAAAAACUUUCACUAAAAAUCACGUUUUGGUAAAUAAAUGAAUUAAAUAAUACUUUCAAAAAUGGUUAUAAAUAAUUAUGAACUAUGAAUCUUUAAUGAUUUGAUGAAACGACCUUAUUUUCAAAACCAUACCUUGUGACCACUCCGGAUUCAGCCAUAACGUCUGGGCUGGUUUGGGGUGUUACAGUAAGGAUGAAAAUUUAAGGGAAUGAGCUAUGACGCUUACUAUGAGUUCAUUCACAAUAAAUUCAACGCAAACGGUUGGUAGGACACAUUAAAUAAUAUCGCAUAAAAUAAUCACAAUUAGAUAAUAGUUCAGAAUGUCGGUUUUACAAUUUAACCACCAAUAUAAUCACAGUAUUCACAGUUGUAAUUUUAGAAUAUCAAAUUUCCACAUCAUUCACAAUAUUCAGAUAUAUAUAAAUAUAUCAUAACAGAAUUCUGGAUUUGUAUGCACAUGAUUUAGAAGAUGCCAUACAAUUUCAGGUUUUAACAGAAUAAAUCCUACCCCACGUUACAUACCAUAAUGGGAGUUCCCCUAAACUCCCUUCUGCAACACACUGGGUUAUGGAUAAACCACUACCGGUUUACAGAUAAUAACUAUCAUUUGGUUGUGGACACACAGCAAGUCUCCACAAUUGGAUUCUAGAUUUGGUUGUGGGUUCACAGCAAAAAAAAUCUACAAAUGAAGCCUGCUUUUGCCUGUAGAUUAUACAACAUAUACCCAUAGUUGGAAUCUGCCUUCGGCUAUGGAUGCACUGUAACACCUCAAACCUGACCUGGACGUUAUGACCGAAUCCUGAGGAAUUACUUUAACUCACUAGAAAACCCAAGAGUUUACUAUGAAAUCAUGUGGUUAAACUAGUGUUCACUUUGAUAAAUCGUUUUCCAGUUUUAGGGAAAAUUAUUGUUAAAACUGUUACUUUAUUACAAUAAAACAUUAAAGUGAUUAUAUCAUUUUGUAACGGAAUCUACUGAGCUAUAAGGUUAUGAAAAUCGUGGUUUAAUUUGCAACAAAUCAUUUUGUAAAUAGAAAUUUAAUACUACUUAAUUUGGAAAAGCAUGCUAAAACGAAAGCAAAGUCCAAACUAAUUUAUGAUUUAAAAUUCUAAAAAGUCCAAAUUAAACAUAAAGUCAAUUUAAACCAGUUUAUCGAACGUGUAACACCCCAAACCUAGCCUGGAUGUUAUGGCUAAAUCUGGAUGUGUUACGAAAAAAAAGUUUAUAAAACGACUUCCUUAUUAUUGGCAAAUCAUCGCAACCAUUAUUACUUAGUAUGCUCGAUUUGUUUGGAAAACUUAUUGAUAUACUUAUUUGAUUUAAAAUCAUUGCUCGCUUAUGCCUUUCUAUUAAACUGAAUGUUUUGUAGUGGAGUUUCUUUAAAACACCAUAUUUUGGCAAAUCAAUUUGUUUCUUGAAAAUCGUUAUUUCAAAAAAAUUGUCAUUUUUAGAAAAAACUAUUUUAUCAGUUGUUACGCUUAGAAACCAAAAUAAAAUCCAAAACCAAAAAUAGUCCCAAAAAGUCCAGAGAGUCCCGAAAUUACAAAACUCUCAAAACCAGAAAAGUUUGAACUAAUUUAAAAAGAAUGAAAUUUUACGGAAAUAUGGUUAACACUGAGCUUCCAUCACACCGACCCACCUAAAUCUGAGGGUUACUUGAAUAGAACAAACAAAUAGAGAGAGUUUUGAAACUCAGUGUGUAACGCGAAUAUAAACAAAAAUUCAGAAUCAAUCUCAUGCAGAACAUAUACAAAUGUAAACCAUUUAUAGAAUAAGAAUUAUACAGAUACAAAUAUGCAACAUCCUACCCUCAUCCUAUACACACCAAUUCUGACCAUCCCAUCACACCACGUGGGGUAUAAAACACCCACCCAGCCCUACACACCGUAUAGUGUUUAUACAACACUUUUCAAAAUAAUCGCAGCAGAGUUGCCAGUAUAUAGGUGAGAUAUCGCUUCACACAGAACACUUCCUCCUCAUAAUACAAAUCCCGCUCCAUAGCCAGAUACAGAUAGAAUAUCAGGUAAAACAAAUUAAUAGAUACCAGAGUUAACAUAUCACGCGUGAGCGUAUAACAGAUAUUACACAUGCUUAUACAUAACAGAACAAAUCAUACAUACCGUAUUCCAUAAUACUCAUAUAAAUGUUAUUUUUUAAAUUGUAACAAAUAUUAUUAUUAAGAUGUUUUUCUUUUUAUAUUUUUUUAUAAAAUAUAUUAAAAAACAAUUAGAAUAAUUUUAAGAGAAAAAACACUCAUAAACAGUAGAAUUUAAUCUAAAAAUAUCAAAGUUUUAAAGCCUCAACUUUAACAUUUCAACCAAAAUUCCAUUAGUAUAUAAAUAUUUUAUAAAUAUAGAUUUUAUAUAAAAAAAUUUUAUGUAAACUUUUUUUUAACCCACAUCACAAGUAUACCAUAUUUAGAGAUAUUCAUAGCUAGGCAGCCCACUUUGGGUCAAACUUGAGCUUAGGUUUCAUCUCAAGUUGGCCCAAUUUAACCUAUUUUACUAUUUAAAAAUAUAAAUAUAUGUUAUAUUGAUAUUUAUAUAUUUCUAUAAUUAAAUUUUAAAUAAAUUUAUUGUUAACUUUUAAACACAAAACAAAGAAAACUUUCACCCAAAUUAUAAGUUUGUGGUUAGACAGCCCACUUUCGGGGCAGGAUUCAGCUUACGUUUUUAAUCUUGGGAUUUAAGAAUAAUAAAAAAUAUAAAAAUAAUAUUGUAUUAAUAUUUAUAUAUUUUAUAAAUUUAAAUUUAAUUAUAUUUUUUAAACAGUCAAAUGAACCAUUUAUAUGGGCUAAUUAGAGUUAAGUUUGGUUUGAAUCAAGCCUUAACUUUGACCAAAUCCAACUAAAAACACGUCUAACAAUUAUCUAGUAUUGUUUUUAUGAAUUGAAUUUUAACUUGUAAUUUUCAAUUUUAUUACAAAAUUUCUUUGCGGACGAUAAGAAAAUAACAUAUUUGUAACUUCUUCAACCCGGCGUAAAGGUUAAGUCUGAAUUUGGAUUACAUCAGCCAUAAAGAUGGCCUAGCAGGAUUAUCGGAGUUUUUAAAAACAAACAUCUUUAAAACGUUUGUUUAAUUUAUAGAAAAGCUUAUUUAAUUUCCAAAUUAUUUAUUACUUGAAAUCUUAAUUACACUUUAAAAGUAGGAAGUGGUAACAAUUUAUUUUUAAUAAAAUUCGGGGUUCAUGUAUAAUUGAUUAAUAACCGUAAUUCGAAAACAUUAAAACUUAAAUUAAAUGUCAUGCAAAACAAAACAAGCUUAAAUCUAAAUCUCAUGCCGCAGUUCAAAAUUAUUUAUUGUAGUCUUAGAAAAUAAAAACAAUCAUAUAAUGAACCUAAAUUUUUUAUUUUACUUUAAUAAUGUGUCAAGGUCUUACAGAUGUCACGCCUGCGUUCAAUCUUGGUGGGUUAUCUGUAAGGAUGAAAAUUUAAGGGGGAGUGAGCUAUGACGCUUAGUGUGAGUUCAUUCACAAUAAAUUCAAUGCAAACGGUUGGUAAGACACAUUAAAUAACAUUGCAUAAAGUAAUCACAGUCAGAUAACAGUUUAGAAUGGCGAUUUUACAAUUUAACUACCAAUAUUAUCACAAUAUUCACAGCUGUAAUUUCAGAAUAUCAAAUUUCCACAUCAUUCACAAUACUAACAUAUAUAUAAAUAUAUCAUAACAGAAUUCCAGAUUUGUAUGCACAUGAUUUAGAAGAUGCCAUACAAUUUUGGGUUUUAACAGAAUAAAUCCUACCCCACAUUACAUAUCAUAAUGGGAGUUCCCCUAAACUCCCUUCUCCAACACACUAGGUUGUGGAUAAACCACUACUCGUCCACAGAUAAUAACUAUUAUUUGGCUGUGGACACACAACAAAUCCCCACAGUUGGAUUCUAGCUUUGGCUGUGGGUUCACAGCCAAAAGUCCUGCAAAUGAAGCCUGUUUUUGCAUGUAGAUUAUACAACCUAUACCCGCAGUUGGAAUCUGUCUUUGGCUAUGGAUGCACUAUAACACCCCAAACCCGACCUGGACGUUAUGGCUCAAUCUUGACGUAAUGCCCCAAAAUUUCUAAUUUCGUUAUUGUGAAAAUAUGACACAAAAUAUUUGUCUGCUUUAGUGGUUAUGUGUUCUGGGAGUGUUUAGGAGGUCCCAAGUUCACGCCUUCACAUGGGAAAAUUUUGGUAUUUUGAAUGAAUUAGGUAUUACUCUUAUUCAGUAGGCUUUUAUUUGAUUGUUGGGUAAAUUAUAUUAGAAUGGGCUUGCUGGUCUAGUGGUUAAAUGGUUUAUUAUUAUGGUGGAGGUCUUGUGUUCAAGUCCCUAUGUAGGCAAGGGUAUUAUUAUUAUUAUUAUUUGCUCAAAUUUCUGGAUAGAGUUGUGUAAUAGGGGGAUUCUGAGUAGUAGAUGUGUAGUGGGAAUUAGGGGAGAAGAUUAAGGAGUUUCAGGGGUUAUCGAGAUUUUAUUUUAUUUUUUCCCAUAACCGAAUUUUGACUUUCUUUUUCCAAAAAAAAUCUGCCAUCUAUUCUUCUCCCUCUCCUCUUGUCGAAAUUCUCUUAGUUUUUUCACCUUUCUCUUCUUUUUCUUCUUCUUGAUUUUUCCCUAAUCCAUUUAUUUUUCUUCAUUUUCGCACGCGGUUAGUUUUCGCUUAGUUUCGAUAAGUGUUUCUCUUCGUUUCUAUCAUGAAUCUCCUAGCGACUAAAGUGGUAACUUUUUUUCUCUGUGAUUUGGGUGUAGGGGAAGGCUCGAACUGUUGAAUUCAGUAUUCUCGUCUUAACAAUAGUUAAAUGGAGGGUUAUCGUUGGUGGUAAGUUGGGUUUCUGUUCAUUCUUAGUUGUCAAUUUGCUUGUAAAUCUGUUAAAUUGAUGUUGAGUAUCUUGAUUAUAGGCUUUGGAGUGCUUGGGGACUGUUUUAGCAUCAAACAAAACCAGAUGUGUACCCGAAACGCAAAAAAAAAGGGAUUCGAUCGAAAGCCGAAAUUGUUUGCUGUUUGGACAGUAGCAGUAGGCUAACUUUGAAAAAUCGCCAUAAAUUGUGGAAAUCGAAUUAGAGGAUGAAAAAAAUAUGAAAUUAAAUCUUAUUGAGUCUAGUUUCUCAUAGAAGAACGGUGUAAGUAAUGGAAUUUUAAAUCGUGAGAUAAUAAACUAUGUGAGACAAGGUUAGAAUAAAUUCGGGUUCCCUUGUUCUGACUUUGGAAAAUCAUCAAAAAUUGGAUAAAAAUAAUUAGGAAUUAAAAUUUACAUGUUUAAAUUAUUAAUUAGUCUUUUUUCAAUAGAAACAAAUGGGAACUUCAUCCAAAAUUUUUACUAAGAGAUAAUUAAUUUUUAGCAAUGAAGGGUCGAAGCUGUCAAACAGCAGAACAAGGGUAAGUUUGAAGAUUUUACCAUACUUAUUGGCUGAGCCAAAAAUUUAAAAAUUUUAUGGUAGAAAGGUAUUUGAGUCUAUUUUCAAAUACAUCAAGUGAAUUUUAAUUAGGAAUUCUUUAGCUCAAGAUAUAAAUAAUUUAGUUACAGUGAGUCAAGUAGAAAGCUUUGAAGGAACACAUAAGUAAAUUGUGAUAAGAUAUAUGAAUAUUUAGCUAGCACAGGUUACAUUGAAAAUGGAUCACGCAGCCAAGGCCAAUUUGGGCUGAGUGGGCCACAUGGGCAUGUGAGCCCAUUUUUCUGAAAAAUUCUGUAAGGUUGCACGGGUCGCCCAAGUCGACUAUGGACCUACUGUAGGGUCGGUAAGCUUUACUUAGACGCCUAUAUGUGUGAUCUAUCUGGCUGAUUUCUAUACCGAGCAUGACUUAUGAUAUUUGAAUGUAUGUACUUUUAAUUACAUAAUGGCAUGACAAAUUUUGUAUGUUGCAUUGCAUCGGAGUGGGUUGAUGAUAUUUGGAGGAAGUGUCUAAAAGGCUAUUAAGCCUGUUAUCUGGCAGCUCAGCUGUAACCUUCUGAUUAUGUGCGCAUUUCAGUACAACAUGGUGUGUAAGGAUGGGUGGGUUGAUUUAACCCCCACAUGGUGUGUAAGGUUGGACAAAGAUGUGCGUAGAGGCUGGUGGGUAGGAUUCUGAUUUCUGUAUCUACAUUAUGUAUCUGAUAUGGGCCAAGGCUCUAAUGUAUUUCUGAGACUGUAUCUAAACGGGCUAAGGCCCAAACUGAUUGUGUGAUGGGCCUAGGACCCAGACUGUAUCUAACUAAAUUCUGUUGAUUAUUUGUAUGCAUGAUUUCUAUGGGGAUUACACACUGAGUUUGCGAAAACUCACCCUUUCUCUAUUUAAUCUGUACAGGUAAUCCCCAGACUUGAUGGGUCAGUGCAACAAAGGAUUCGACAGUGGCCACACGUAAAUUAUGGAUUGUUUUCCGUUAAUACCUAGAAUUUAUUAAUUAUUUGGGGUUUUUGAUGUAUCUUCUGGACUAUGGACUGGUUGGCUAACAUACCUUUUUGCAUUGCAUCAUGUGCACGACAUAUUUGAAUAUUAUUGGUUUAUGCUACGUAGUGUAUUUUGUUGUAUUGAAUGGUAUCAAAAUUAAUGAUUGUCACUCGAAUGAAUUAUGACCUAUGCUCAUACACUGUUUGACAUCAAUUUGAUAAUGGCUAUGUAACGAUAUGAAAUUCCUAUAAUGGUUCUAUUUUCUUCUGUUAAAGCUAAUUAGUUUUACUGUAUUUGAUAUUUAUGUUUGUUUCAAUAAUUGUUCGACUCACGCUGAGCUUUUCAUAAGCGCACCCCUAAUAUGUUAAACUUUUCAGGUAAACCUCGAAAUUAAGACCAGACUUGGCAUUCGAAGAAUCACCUUAGACCUUGAAUUAUUUUUCUAAUAAGUAUUAAUCAAUCUCUAAUGGUUUUCGUUUGUAAUUUUUAAUUAUAUCUAGUCUGUGGCUUGAUAACUUUUCUUCUGGGAUUUUUGCAUGCAUGGAUUACUCAAGCAUAGUAACCGGAUAAUGCAUGAUAUUAGGCUUAAGUAAAAUUUGAUAUUGUUCCCUAGAUUCCGCUGCAUUGCAAAGGAUUUGUUUUUGAAAAACAAAUUGAUAAGGUAACUAAGUUUUCAAAAUGACUUGAAAAAUGGUUUUUCCCCUGCAUUAGUUUAACAUCGAAUUUUUUUUAAAGGAGAGCAACAAGCAAAUGAUUUUUCUAAAACAACACUAUCAACAAUAAAAUGAAUUCUAAGUAUACACAACCUAAUGAAUGAAUGCUUUUAAGCUAACUUAAAGUACAACUAUGGUUUUCUCUAAAAUGAGUUUAUUUAAAGUUUUCAUAAGUAAUGUAAGUUAGCUUAGCCAUUUCGGUGGCUAAUGUAGCCUUCUCAUUCUAGCCAUAACGUCUAGGCCAGGUUUGGGAGGUUACAGUAUUGAUAGGAACUGUGGUAUAAAUUUUAUUUUGGACAUUCUUAAAUUGUUAUUUGGACUAAACUUUAGAAACUAUGGAUUUUAUACUGAGCCUAAAUUUACGAAGUUCAUGCGUGGUUUUUACGAAAAUGAAACUCAUAUGAAAUUUCAAAACCGUGAUGUUUUUUUUAACGCUCCAAUUUGAAAUUGUACAAGAAAUGUCAAUUUGAAUUAUUUUUGAAUGUUUUUUAUGCCAAUUAAAUAUUGUUUCAAAACAUAGCUAAGUAUUAUUUAAUUUCGUAAAGAUGAAGCAAACUCCGAACAAUCUAAAACUUCAAGGACUAGUUUGCAAUUUUUUUUUCCUCAAUUGUCUCCGGUUUGAUUCAAUUCUUGAUCUAUACAAUUAUUCCAUUCAAUUCAUCAAUAUUAAACAUUUAUACAUUAUGUCAUGUCAUGAAUGAACCUAGAUAAAUUCAUUUUUUGAUACCCUUAAAGUUUUACAUUUAUUUCAAUUUAGUCUCUAAAAUCGAAAUAGUCAUAACUUUAAAUUCUGAACUUCGGUUUGAAAAUCGACCUCAAUUUCAUUAUAGACUCUCUACUAUCCAUUAUUAUCAAAAUUUCACAUCAAUUUCACAAUUUAUUUACUUUAGUUAUUAUGUACAAAAUUAACAACCAAACAUCACAAUUUAGUCAUUUUUCAUAAUUUAAGCUUAAAAUCUAUCAAUUUAAUACCAAUUUCUUCAAGAAAUCAACCAUGAUAACUAUAAAAAAAAAUUAACAGUUUUGCAAAUUGAUACAUAGGUCAUUUAAAUCAAACUUUCAUGACCUCAGAAACACAAAAAAAAAUUAUACGAAAAUGAUUUAGAAAUGCAUACCAAUUGAGGACCGAAAGCUUGAAGCUCAAAAUGGCUUUUUCCCUUGAGGUUUUAUGUUGAUUAAAUGAUGAAGAAGAAGAAAUAAAGAUGACAACUUGCACUAAGUCACCUUUAUAUACUUAGAUUAAAUCUUAAUUAAUCAAAUUUAAUUAAUUAAAUCUUAAUUAAUUAACCUUAAUCACAAUUAAAAAAAAUUAGUGGAUGUUAACAUCAUCCUACACUAUUUCAUAUAACCAAAUGAUCUAUUUACCAUUUUGAACCUUUAGCUAAUUAGAAAUCUAUAGCGAUAAGACUUUUAAAAUUUAGUUUCUGUAUCUUAAUUAUGCAAUUAAUAGACAAAGUUGAAGGUUUAAAAUUUAAUGUUCUAUUAUACCAACUCUGUAAAUAUUCAUAUUUAAUAUUUACAGACCCGAAUUACGAAAAUGAGAUUUUGAAAUUGUAUUUUCCAAUACCACUGAAAAUCGAACAAUUAUGUAACCUAUUUGCACCAAAGGGCCAAACAUGGCAAAUACUUGACAUGUAUGUCUUAAUAUCCUCAUCUAUUCUCUUCAAUAUAAUAACAUCCAAUAAUUGUUUCAUCCACUGUAACUAUCACGAAGAUUAGAUUUACCAAUACAGCCUACAAUUUGCAGAAGCGCGACAUUUUCAUUCUAGAGAAAGGUAUAAUUGAAACAAAAUUGAAAUAAAGAUUUCAAUACAGAAUCAACAGACAUUCCAGCUAAUACUUAUCAAUUAUUUGCAGCUUCAUUGCUCCAACUAAGAUGGUUUUUAGUCGAAUAUGGUAAAUGAAAUCAAUGAACACCAGCUACUUGAUGAACGAGUGAAUCAAAGUCCUGAUAUGUGCCGGCUUAUUGGUGAAAAAAUACAUGGGUUAGUUUUGCAGCAAUUCAUGAUCUUACAUUUUAUAACCUUUGCUUACAAUUAUUCACUGACUAAUCAUUCAAUGAAUGUAGGCCUCAAAUUUAGCCACUAAACUUUGUUCUUUAUUUUUAGAUACAUAUUAUUUGAUCACUUCAUACAGCCUAUUACUCAUAAUAACUUCCAAUUUCCCUUCUUUAGGUUAGUUGCAAAUGUACAGCUUUUUCUAGAAGAAGAAAAUUGUCAAGAGCCACCUGUUCAAGAGAGGCGCAAACAGAAUGUAACAAUACCUGACCUACUUACGGUACAGCCAAGUAAUCAUGUGUUUCUAUGCUAGAACAUUAAAUCAAUGACUACAAAUUUCAUGUCAUGGUUGUGUAUCAUUUAUGCCACUGAUGCUGCUAUUUUCUAUUCUAAUGCAUAAUAGGGAUUUAGUGUUUUUACCGUUAAAAUUGUGUCCUUUAAUUUUGGCUUUUUUCAAUUGUUGAUCAUGUCCACCUAUGCUUUAUUUUACUACUAUUGCUUUCUUCAAUGAUAGAUGAUUGAAUCGGUAGAAUUUUAUUAAUCCUCUACAUGUUUUAGCUUGAUAUGUGGAUCCUAAGCAUUCCUUGGAUUGUGCCCUCUUUGUUCAUUUAUUUUUUUUCCUGGAACCUUAUUACAUGUUGUAACACUCCAGUUUUUUGGAGACAUUGAAGACGACUAACUGCUGAAUUCUUUCUUCUGCAGAGGAACCAAUGGCAAGAGACUCUAAAACUCCUACUCUUUUUUAUACCUUCCUCACCUCUUUGUGACAUUAUAGCUGAAAAAUGAUGUAUGCUAAUACAUGAAAUGUUUCCUCUUGCCUUUCUUUUUGUAGUACUAAAACUACAAAUAGUGUCUGUAAAUCUCUUUUCCCGUAAUCUUAUCUUUUCCUCAUUGUAAUAGUUGGAAAACAGCUUUGUUGAAGACAAUGUCAACUACUGGGAUAAGUUACAAACACUGUUAUUGUUUAUUUUGUAGUCUAAAUUAUGAUAAUUUCUGCACAAAAUUCACAUAAAUGGUUACCCUCCCGAAGCGGAGCGAGGGUGAUGCUUACUAGUUAUUAAGAAAACAGGACCUUGUAGGGCUUAACUGUUGAAUCGAGAAAGAAAUUUCUUUUAAUGCCUUCAAUUUUUUUUAAAGCUGAUUUUUUUUUACAAAUUAAAGUUUUGAUUGUAUGUUAAUUGCUUGAGGGAAGGUCGGAUACUUUAUUAUCCCUAUUUUUAUUUGUUAUAUAUUUUAACCAUAAUGAUUUUUUUGGCCCUACAAUUUUACCAAAAAAAUCAUAUUAGCUUUCAUUUAAUUUUCGUCUCUUUUAACCCUUUAACUUGUAUUUUUUUUGUCAAAUCACCCCAAAAUGGAUCGAAAACUUUAACAUUUGUGAACUUUGAUUAUGUGACAUACACAUGAAUUGUCACAUGGAUGACAAGUCAACAUUUCUUUUAAAAAAAAACUUAAAAAAUAUUAAAUAAAAUAUUUUUGAUAUUUUUUAAUGAUUUUUAAAUUAAAAAAAGUUUUUAAAUAUUUUUUAAUUUUUAAAAAUUAAUUAGACGCAGGCAUGGAAAUUCACAUCUAUGUGUCACAGGCCGUGGAUUAAAGCCUGUGACCAUUGCGCAUAGAACACCCCAUAGAAUUUUGGCUUUUUAUUUGGUCAAUCAUGUCCACCUAUGCUUUAUUUUACUAUUAUUGCUUUCUUUAAUGAUAGAUGAUUGAAUCGGUAGAAUUUUAUUAAUCCUCUAUGUAAUAACCAAAUUUUGCCCGGGCCCAAUGCCAAACAAAUAAAACCCAAACCAAAUAAAUAAAAUAAGAGUCCAAAUUACAGUCCAUUAGAGCUCAAUUCAGACCAGCCCACUAUUCAAUCAGACUGGCCCAACACCCAAAUAACCUAACAACCCUAGCCCAACAAAAUCAGAAAAAUGAACAGCAAAAAAACCUUAGGUGCGCCGCACCUAGGUCUUUUGGCCUAACCGCCGCUGUUCGCCUAUCACCAGCCUCCUCGCUGCCACCGCCGCAUGCGCACCAGGCCUCCUCCAUGUGUGUCUGACACCUGCAAAGAGAGUCACACGCAACAGUAGAAACAAAAACAAAAAACAAAUAGCAAAACGACAAAAAAAAUAAUGAUUAAGGAGUUCGUAAUCCGACUAUAAAAGCCCUAAUCUGUGACUUGUAAUUUUUUGACACACAUUAGAAAAUAAAAACCAAAAAAAAAAAACUUUAAGGUGAUACUCAUUUCAUUUUAUUUUUGUUUUAUUUUAUUUUAUCAUUUUUAUCUUUUUAUUUCGAAAUAACAUAAAUAAAAAGGGGAGGCUGGGUUGCCGUUGCCAGAGCAUAUUUUGUGCUAAAGGGGGUUGCGCAGGAGGAAAAGAGGAAACUUUUCAGUUUCCCGCCGCCGUGAUGGCCGAACCUCUGACUGGCGCUUGGAGAAAGAAGGGGAGAGUUUGAGAGAAUUUUAGGUUUUUUGUUUAAGAAAAGUGAAAAAUGAAGAAUUCUGAAAAAAUUAAUAUUUAUAGCACCUAGAAAUGGCGUCGUUUUGGCCAGUUUCAUUUGGCCCCAAAAUGACACCGUUUAAUGGCCUAUACCGGCACAGUGACCCGACCCGGGGAAGGAUCGGAGUGUUUUGUGCUAUUGGGUAAUUUUCGCAUUUGGUCCCUCUUAUUUUGUAGUGUUUUCAAAUUAGAUUUUAUUUAUUUUAAAUUUCAACAUACAUUUUUGUUUUUGUUUCACUUAGAUCCUGAACAAUGCGCAGCGUUUUGGGGGCGAGGAAAUAUUUCCAAUAUGGCCCCAUGUAAUCUGCAUAUUACACUUUAACCCCUCGUCUUGUUUAUAAUUCUAUUCUUUUCUUGUUAAUUUAGAUUCAAUUGCGAUUUAAUCUUUUGUUAAAACAUUUGUUUUCUUUAUUAAUUUAUUAACUAUUUUAUUAUUAUUUUAGUGGUAUAUUCGGUCAUAUUUUCAUUAUCUUAUUAUAUAUUAUCAUUUUGAGUUUUACUUAUAUUAUUAUUAUAAUUUUAUAAUGUGUUAUUUUAUUAACUCAAUAUAACAUAUAUAUAUAUGUAUUUUUUUGUGGUUUUAUUUUUAUAAUAUAUUUUUUUAAAUCCAUUUUUAUGCACUUUAUAUUUAAGUAUUUAUACAAUAAUAUUCUUAUAAUAUUUUUAUACAUGUACAAUUUAUAUAUAAUUAUUUCUUAUACGUGUAUAUAUACAUAAUAAAUCAUCGAUUACAUGUUAUUAUAUUAUUUCCACUUAUUUCAUAUAUAAUUUAUUUCUUUUAAAAUACUCUAUUAUAUACUUCAUUUAUUUCAACCUUUUAUGUGUAUCAUUAUAGAUAUACUAUUAUAUGAAGUUUUUCAAUCCCUAUGCAUUACUUAUUUAAAUUAAUAUAUGUAUAUUAUUUUAUGUAUUUAGAUUUAUUUUGUAUAUAAUAUCUACUUUUAAAUUUAUUUGGAUACUAUUAUUUUAAGUGGAAUUUAUUUUUAACUAUAUUUUUUUAUUUAUUUCAAUUUUUCAUAUAUGUAUAUAUUAUUUAUUUUAAAUUUAUUUUAAUCAUAAUUUCCCUUCUUUCAUAUUUCUUAAGUUUAAAAAAAAAAACUUGUACAAUUUCAUGUGCGUCAAUUUGUUUGGUGCUUUGAUUGUUUUUUAAUUCAUUAGCCUUUGAAUGUUAGCAUAAUACAUUAUGUGAGAUUAUUGCUCUUAUACGUAUUAUAUUGCUUAUUUUUAUUUACUAAUUAUUCGUAGAUCAUUAGAAUACAUUUUGGUUUACAAAUUAUCGCUUUGUAUUGUACAUUAAUAUUCAAUUGUUUUUUUAUUCGUUCGAAAGAUUACGUUUAAUAUCAUUUAAGUAUCAAAAUCGAUUUAUUCAAAAACUUUCAAGAUAACGUAAUAUUCUGUAUUUGGGAUAUUCGAGAGAAUUGAGCCUUAAUGUAUUGGGUUCCAAUUUUCCUCGUUGAAUCUAGAUAAUCGAGAAUAAUCUUCAAUCAAAAUACAUACAUAAAAAGCUCAUUAUCGGGAAUUCGAUACAUUGUGUCCUAACGCAUUGGAUACGACAUGUUGUUUUCUCGAGAUGAGGAUUUUUCUAAAAAAAAUAAUAAAGGCAAUAUUCCGUAUUUGGGAAAUUUGAGAGAUCGUGCCCUAACUUACUGGGUUUCGAUUUUUCUCCUUUAACCCAAAUAAUCAAAUAUCCUUCUCAAAAUGCAUAGGUUUUAAAAGUCAAAAGAUAAACUUAAUUUUGAAGAUUAAGAAUGUUGCGCCCUAACUCACUGGGUGUGACAUUUUAUCUCUUUGAAAUAAGAGUGUCUUAUCAUUUAAUUCAAUUUAUUCAAGGUUAAAAGGAUCGUAUUUUAAAACCUUUUCAAAAUUUCAACACUAAGACAUUAAGUAAUCAACUAGGUACCAAUUUUUGGGCGUUACGAGGGUGCUAAUCCUUCCUUGUACGUAACCGACUCCCGAACCUAUUUUUUUGAAUUUCGUGGACCAAAAUCAUUAUUUUAAUAAAAUCAAACCAUUUAUUAAAAACAACCACUUUUCGAGGUGACCCGAUCACACUUCAUCGAAAAAGAUCGGUGGCGACUCCCAUAUUCAUUUUCAUUUUCAAAAUCCAAAUUGACCCUGUUUUAUCAAAAAAUGGUGUCAACACUGCACAUGUUUUAUCUUGACAUAUGGAUCCUAAGCAUUCCUUGGAUUUUGCCCUCUUUGUUCAUUUAUUUUUUCUUGGAACCUUAUUACAUGUUGUACCAUUCCAGUUUUUUGGAGACAUUGAAGACGACUAACUGCUGAAUUCUUUCUUCUGCAGAGGAACCAAUGGCAAGAGACUCUAAAAAUCCUACUCUUUUUUAUACCUUCCUCACCUCUUUGUGACAUUAUAGCUGAAAAAUGAUGUAUGCUAAUACAUGAAAUGUUUCCUUUUGCCUUUCUUUUUGUAGUACUAAGACUACAAAUAGUGUCUGCAAAACUCUUUAGAGAAAAACAAAUGUCUGUAAAUCUCUUUUCCCGUAAUCUUAUCUUUUCCUCAUUGUAAUAGUUGGAAAACAGUUUUGUUGAAGACAAUGUCAACUACUGGGAUAAGUUAUUGUAAGCAUCUUUUCUUUAAGUGUUUCAUAUUAAAAACAAACACUGUUAUUGUUUAUUUUGUAGUCUAAAUUAUGAUAAUUUCUGCACAAAAUUCACAUAAAUGGUUACCGUCCCGAAGCGGAGCGAGGGUGAUGCUUACUAGUUAUUAAGAAAACAGGACCUUGUAGGGCUUAACUGUUGAAUCAAGAAAGAAAUUUCUUUUAAUGCUUUCAGUUUUUUUAAAGCUGAUUUUUUUUACAAAUUAAAGUUUGGAUUGUAUGUUAAUUGCUUGAGGGAAGGUCGGAUGCUUUAUUAUCCCUAUUUUUAUUUGUUAUAUAUUUUAGCCAUAAUGAUUUUUUUGGCCCUACAACUUUACCAAAAAAAUCAUAUUAGCUUUCAUUUAAUUUUCGUCUCUUUUAACCCUUUAACUUAUAUUUUUUUGUCAAAUCACCCCAAAAUGGAUCGAAAACUUAACAUUUGUGAACUUUGAUUAUGUGGCAUACACAUGAAUUGUCACAUGGAUGACAAGUCAACAUUUAGUUUUUUUUUUAAAAAAAAAAACUUAAAAAAUAUUAAAUAAAAUAUUUUUGAUAUUUUUUAAUGAUUUUUAAAUUAAAAAAAGUUUUUUAAUAUUUUUUAAUUUUUAAAAAUUAAUUAAAUGCAAACAUGGAAAUUCACAUCUAUGUGUCACAGGCCGCGGAUUAAAGCCCGUGACCAUUGUGCAUAGAACACCCCAUAGAGGUCAACUUAUUAAACAAGGUUCAUUUGACCCGCAUGAACUGGCCCGACCCAUGGAACCCGUGGAGAAGCCCAUCUACUUGAAGCCUUGGUGGUCUAGUGAAAUAUAGUUUAAUUUUUUUUAAACAUAGGGUAAGGGAAGAAGAAUGCCUUAAAAUUAAUUUUUGUUAGAAAACUAAUAAGAAUGAGUUUGUUGGUUUAGUGUUAAGGCCUUAUCCUAUCCAUAGAUCCCAAGUUUGAAUCCCUUGGUGAGCAUUCAACCAAAAUAUUUUUAUUUCCUUGUUUUUACCACACUAAAAGUGACAAAUUUUAAAAUAACCCAGCCCAAAAACUAUUUUUUUUUAAUUUUAGUCCUUAAUUUAAAAUUUUCCCAAACCUACAUAAAUUUUUAAAACCUAUUCCAAUUAGGAAAAAUAAGUAUUAUAAAUAGACAAUUUCAAAACAAACUCUAGAAUUUCAUCUAGCAAAUUUUCAAGAAAACAUCCAUAAACACUUUCUUUUCCAAAUCAAACUUUCAAGCUAAAGAAAUCAGAAUCUUCAAAAUCAUCCCUCAAGUAGAUCUUCAAUCUUUUCUCCAGCACUAAGGUUUCUAAGUAUUCAAAAUAGGUGUGGGAACUAAACCUAAAUCUUUGUGUAUAAUUGAAUCUAAUAGCAAGUAGAGAACCAGUAUAGGCUAACCCUAGGAGAAACCCCCUGUAUGUGCAAUCAUGUAGGUGUGAGCCUAUAGAUGCAAAACCCAUUGUACAUGAAAACCCCAUGCAUGCAAACCCUUACGUGAAACCCCCCUUUCAUGCGAACCCUGUAUGAAUACCAUGUGAACCCUAGAUUAUAGUUGCGAACCCUAGGUUGUUAUGUGGAUACCCAUACUGUGAACCCAAGUGCACAAACAUAUAGGAAUAUUCAUGCGAGCCCCCUUGCAUGCGAACCCUAGUUAGUGUACAUACGGGUCUCAUAUUUACAUGCAAACCACUACUAGUGCGAGUCAAUUAUAUGAUAUCACAUACGAACCCUACUAUUACAUGCAAACCUUUAUACAUGUUAUAUUCGAACCUUUUUUUGUUAAAACUGGUGAGACUUGUCUAGUAUUACAUACGACCUAAUUUGCGAACUCAUAUGUUAAAAGUAUGUGAACCUAUCUAUGUUUGUUAUGCGAGCUCACAUGUUAGCAGUAUGUGAACCUAUAUAUAUCAGUUAUGCAAACUCACAUGUUAGCAGUAUACGAACCAUAAGUCUGUUAUGCAAACUCACACGUUGGCAGUAUGCGAACCCUAUAUACACCUUUAUGCAAACUCACACAUUAACAGUAUGCGAACCCUAUAUACGCCUUUAUGCAAGCUCACACGUUAGCAGUAUGCGAACCCUAUAUACGCCUUCAUGCAAACUCAUAUGAUUUGCAGCAUGCGAUCUCUAUAUUUAUGCGAACCCUUGUAAUAAAAAAUAUGCGAACCUUAACUUGCGAACCCUUGGCAGGAACCCUGCACUCGCAAAGCCUUCUUCCGGACCUGUACAUAUGCUAGAUAACCAAGCCUAUUAGUUUACAUUAAAUCACUGUACAUAUGAGACUGUUUGUUUACUUGCACAAGUUAUAUGUGUAUUUACUAUUCGAUACAAGAGUACCUAUCGACCUUUUGAUGAGAAUUCAGAGAUUAACGAUGAUAAUUCCAACAAUCGGUGUAAGAACGAGUUAAAUCGAGAGUUGAUGUAAUUUAAGGUAAUAAAGUUAAUUUUUCAGUAAUAAAUGUAAAAUUGUUAUGGAAAGAAACGAUGGGUAAAAAAAAAAAUGAGAGUUUUAAAGAAAAGAGAGGAAAACUUCAAUUUAGGGUUGAAGAGGAACUAAAAAUCUACGUGAAAUUAGGAAAAAAUAUAAAAUACCUAGGAUUAAGAAAUUUGAGGGGGUUGAAUGGUAAAAUACCCUUUUUUCUUAAAAAUGAAAAAAAUGGAAAUGGGUAUUAAGUUUGGCACGACUUGAAACUUGGAAGCAAAGGAAAAAAUUACAAAGGCCUUACCAUUUGGGUUGCUACCCACAUUUGGCAUAUUUUUACACUAUUUAAAAUAUAUCCUAGCUUAGUUUUGAUCAUAGGUUGUUGAAAAAAAAAAACAAGGGGUAAGAGUGUGGCUUCAACCUUAAUUCUCUAGUUAGUAUACUAAGCUCUGAACCAUUAAAAUUAAGGCUCAUGUCUUAGUCAAUUAAUUCAUCUAACUCUAUAUAUUUUGAGGUAUUACAUCUUGAAUUAGAAAAACCCAUAAAAUGCAUGUAGACUUGUAUUGCUCGGUACUUGGUACUAUAUAUGUAGACUUGUAUGUUGAUUAAGCUAGCUUAAUUAAGACCAAUGUGUUAGACUUGUCUAUGCAUUGAACAAUCUAGAAGAAAAUGAAGAAAAAGACUCUGAAAAUACUUGAAAACAGAUAAAACUCAUAUGUCAUCGACUAGUUAAACUAUGAUCACCCAUAAUAGACCUUGUAUUUGACUUUUUGUUGAGGGAGAAGUUUCGUGAGUGUUGUUUGUCAGGGAGUCAGUGUUGCCCUAAACAACUAAAGGUAUUGUCCCCAUGUCGAGAUUUUACCCCCAGCCUCUGCAAAAUAAUCAUGAAGAAUACGUGCGAAGGAAUUCAAACACCAACCAAUGCAUGUGUAGCCUUUACCUUCCCACUAUCUUUGGGAACUCAUAAGGAUAAAAUCCCAACAAGAGAAUUGUAUCAGAGGGGUCUGUCAACACAAUGAAUGAAAUUUCAUACUUUUUUUUUAAUGAAAGUAAAUAUCAUAUUUAGUUAGAGAAAAGCAACGAAAAAUCUAACAAUAAAAUCCUUAGCAAAAGAUUAAAACACAAUUGUACCAUAAAUUAAAUAAGAAAUUAAAAAAAUUCAAAUCUAACAAAGACAGUAACUUGAUUCCUCAAAGCUACCACAAACAGUAAUUCAUAGGAAGGCCUGCUGCUCAUUUAUAACACAAACUUCAUGGUGACGGAUACCAACAUACUAGAUACUAUGAUUAAAAUGCUAGAAUAGAUUAAAAAUGUUGAAUUAAUGAUAAAAUUAAGAGUGAAUUAACACAAAGUACUCAUCCUCUCUUUUUAAUGAAUCAACAUCUGCAAUUUCUAUCACUCCUUUAGACAGUGAACUUUCCAUCCAAUGCCUUAUAGUCACUUCUUCAGCAAAAUAAUUAUCAGUUGGCUUUUUCUUUGUGAAAGUUUCUAUAAGGACAAUCCCAUAACUAUAGACAUCACAUUUUCUAGAAACAAUUCCUGCUGAUCCAAAUUCUGCAUUUCAAGCAUAAUUAGAGCAUCAUUAAUCCUUAAUUAUUUCUAAAAUGUUUAUUCAAAUAUACACAUGAAACAAAAAUAUAAAAUGAAAAUCAAGAAAAUAAUCAUAAAAAGAAUUCACCUGGUGCCAUAUACCCGAUAGUUGCAAGAGUCAUGGUUUGCUUCACUACAUCACCUUCUCCCAAAAGGUUGGAAAAGCCAAAAUCUCCCACAUGUGCAACCAUGUCUUUAUCUAGUAAAAUAUUGCUUGGUUUGAAGUCAGAAUGAAUCAUAGGUGUUGGAUGUCCGUUGUGGAGAUGUUCUAUAGCUGUCGCAACAUCUAUCAUUAUGUCAACCCUUUGUAUGAUAUCAAGGAAACAGUUUUUACAAUGUAGCCAUUUCUCAAGAUUUCCAUUUGACAUGUAAUCAAGCACCAAGGCUUUUUUAAAAAUAAAAUAAAAUAAACUUGGUAUCCAAAAUGUUUUUGUGUUGACAUGGCAUUUUUAAAAAUAAAAUAAACUAGGUAUCCGUGUAACAAAAAUAAAAUUGUAAUAUAUAGGCCUAAUUUUAGUAAAGAAUGUUAAUGAUGUUAAGAAUUCUUUAAAUUUCACAUAAUCAUUUUUAUUAGAAUAAAGUAUUUAGACUAACUAAUUAUAUUAUAAAAAUUAAGAUACCAAAUUAUGUCAAAAUUAAAGUUAUAGAUUAAAUCUCAAUUUUAACAUUCUUAUAAUUUAAAAAAGUAGAAGAUUGGAAUUAAAUAAAUUUAUAAUCCUUAAUUGUAAAUUUGAUAAUUCCUAUUAAUCUAAAUUAUUACAAUAAUGUGCUUACUAUGCUUGGUUUUACUCAAUGAGUGAUAUUAAAUUAAUUAAAAAAUUAGAUAAAAAUCAAAUAUCUUAUUUCUAAUAAUAAUAUUAUUACUCCCUCACAAAACUAUAUUUCACUUGAAAGAAAUUCUAUUCCCUUCAAAAAAAAAUUACCAUCUUAAAACACUUCCAUCUUUUAAAAAAUCUUAAUGCACACUUUAAUCCUUGAAUUAUAUCACUUUUUCAACUUUAGUCUUAAAUUUUUUUUAUUGAUUUUAGUCCCUAAUAUUAUUAAACGUUUCCAAUUUAGUUCAUUGGACAAUAAAAAUUGAUUGUCGUUGGGAUAUCCAACCAAUCAUACACUACCAAAUAUUGUACGAUGAUAUCAUUAUGACAUCAUCAACAAAAAAACCUUAAAAAUCUUUAAAAAUGAAAAAAAUUAUUAUAAUUAUUUAAAAAUAGAAAAAAAAUAAAAUUGUAAAAAUAAAAAAUCUAUGUAAAAUAUAAAAAUUUACAUAAAAUUUAAAAAUAUAUUAGAUAUUUUAAUAUCUUUAAAAUUUUAUAAAUCACAUUUACUAGAGUUUGAACCUAUGAUUAUUGUCAACAAUUGUUUUAUGACUCAAUUAAUCAUAAUUUAUAAUUGGUAGAUCUUUUUAUGUGAUAAACUUGGAUAAUUUUUUUUUCAAAUUAUUUAAAUAAUGAAAAGUAAUAUUAUUUCAAAUAAAUAAUAAAUUAUAUAAUAUUUAUAAUUAUUCCAAAUAUUUUUUUUUACUAUCUUAAGAUAAAUUAUUUGUCUCUAGACCAAUAUCUUAAGAACUAUUGUCGUGUGUUUAACUAUUCUAAAGAACUUUGGUAUAAAAUAGAAAAAGCAUGUGCACAAUGGUAAAUAGGGAGUCGAGUCAAAUAAACUUGUUGCCAGUAACGCUGGUAAAGUACUAAAAAUUGAUGUAUUUUAAAAUAUUAAAAUUUUGAUAUAAAAAUUUAUUCAAAUUUUUAUUAUAAUAAUUUUAAAUAAUUUUUUAUAAAAAUUGAUUGUAUUACAAUAUACAAUUUCAAUAUCAAAUUUUUAAUAUUUUAAAUGUGAUUAGCGAAUGUAUACUUUAUUUCAAGUUACAUAAUUUUUACCAGUAUUUUAAAUUUUUUAUUUUUUUACAAUCUUUUAUUAUUUCUAAUAUUUUUUAUAUUUUUUACAAUAUUUAAAAAUUUAUAAUAACUUUUAAUAAUUUUAUUGUUUUUAGAAAUUAAAAGAAUUAACAAUUUUUUAUUUUUUAAAAAAAUUAUAAAUUUAUAAUGUAGUUAAUUUUAUUUAAGUUUAUUUGAAUUUUAUGAUAUUUUUAAAAAAUAUUUUUUUAUUUUUGCAAUCGUGACAUCAGCAUAUGACACGUGGUAAUUUAUGAUCAGAUGAAUUUUUAGUUUUUUUUUUAACGUCCAAAGGAUUAAGCUGAGAACACCUGGUAACGUUAGGGACUACACUAAGAGCAUUUGAUAAUAUUAGGUACUAAAGUGGGCCAAAAAAACAUUAAGGACCAAAGCAAAAAAAAUGCUAUACUUGAACUUUCAAAAUUAUCUUUCAUUUAGUUAGGAUUAAUAUUUAAUGAUUUACUUAAAAAAUAGAAAUUUAAAAAUUUGUAGUAUUGAGGUUAAAAAAUGAGUAAGAGGUGGUGGAUGGUUCAUACAAUGGUGAGGCACAAAGAACCAUUUUAAAAUAAGAGAAGGGAGGGGUGCUUAUUCUUGAGGUUAAGAAUGAGUAUUUAUAGGUGAGGUUAAUCAUCCUUGAUCAUUAGACCUUGACAAGUGUUUGAUGCCAGUCUUAUCGUGGUUGGCCACUAAGGGAAUGAUGGACCUCUAGGUAGUGAUGGAAUUGACAUGAAUUAGAUGAGAUUAGGAUGACAAUUUGGAUUUUGAAUUCGGAUAAUAUUGGAAUUAAAAUUUUGAAAUUACUAUCUGUUGCAUAUUUGAAGUGAAUGCGGAAAGAUAUUUCAGAAUUAUAUUAGUCGAAUCUACUUUACUUAUUCGAAUAGAUGUAGAUUGGAAUUUAGAUAUCUGAAUCAACUAGUCACGAAAUGUGUAUAGUUUUGAUUAUAUAUAAAAAAAAUUUGGUGGAUUCAAUUUUGAAUUUUCGUGGAUUUGGAUAUCCAAAACAUGAUUGAAAUUUUUAAAAUUACUCCUUUUCUGUUGAUUCAGAUAUUUGACGAAUAAUAGUACUUAACUUAAGCCAAAUUUAGACAGUAAUACUCGGAUAAUUUGUAUAUAAUAAAUAAAUUUUGAUUUUCAAGCAAAUAUGCAUAUUCUAAUUCAAAAAAUGUAGUUACUAACCUAUUGCCAUUCCUAGGCAAGAGUACCCUACGUGUGAUCCAUGCACAGAAGGAUCCAACAUCUUUCACUGACGAGGUAGAUUAGAAGCGUCACGUACCAGGCAUAUAUGUAUCAAUGAGGUCUAUAGCUGGCAAAGUGUAGCCCACAACUGAAAUCAUAGUUGACGAGGUAGUAGUUGGGCGACAUGAUGGUGACAAAAGCCACUCUGGUAAAAUAUUAAUAGCAAUCACCCUCCAAUUAAUGAGAAGUUAUAAAAUGACCUAAUUAAAUGGUAGCAUAGUUUACCAUAAGUGUCAUAUGUGUUGUAAGGCAUGAGCUCAAACCCUACCAAACUCAAAUGAUCAAAUUUCCUUGGUAGGUGGUCAUACGUCACGUACCGUUUGUCCCAACAAGGCGCUCCCACUCUGUUGAACCUGUCACCUCUUUAGGUAGCUUUAGGCACUUGAGAUCUUUACAAAGUCGAGAGGUAAAAUUAUUGGAAAAAAAAAACUCGGUUUGAAAAUAGUUUUCUUACACAGUAGAAAAAUAAAAUUUUGAAAAUCGACCUGGUUUGUGAUAUUUAUAACAAAAAAACCUUAACUGAAUUCAUACAUGUGUUUUUGGAUAAGUGGAUCCUUGAUGUUUUCAGGCUUUCAACCAAAUGAUCUUUUGCACUAUUCUCGUACCACGAACUGCUUCGAGUGUGGCCUCGAACCAAUUGAAUCAAAACACAAAACUAGAAAAGGUUUUCCUUUUUGGGUGAAAACCAAAAUUCUCUCUUCUUUAAUAGAAAUCAGUAAAAUUAUUAUUAUGAAAAAUAUGUUUAUAAGUUGAGAAUAAAUUCUCUCUAUUUUUCGACAGAAUAAAAAUCUCUCAAAAGUUGUGUAAAUAGCUCUACUGGUGCCAUUUAUUUAUAGGAAGAGAAAGUAGAACCCUUGUAGAGUUGUAAAAGUUUAUAUCCACUAGAAAAAUAAUAUCCUAGCCUAUCUAGGAUAUAGGGAGCAACAACCGUAGUUAAUGAUACUAGGGUUUUGUCAUCCCACCUCUUUAUAUGAGGGGUUUUAGGCCUCUCUCACAUCAGAUCCAAGUACAAGUACUUCUUAAAUAUAAAUUUGAAUUUGAUAUAUUGAUUACAUAUGAAUUUAUAUAUUGUGAGUAAAAUUUUUAUUUGAUAUAUUAAUAAUGUAUAAAUUUAUAUAUUGUUAAUACAUCAUAUGUUUAAAAAAUCUAAUAAUUAUAUAUUAUUUUCAAUAAUUUUUAAAUUUAUUAAUUGAUUUAUUGGUAUAUUAAUAUUAUUUAUUAGUAAUAUGUAAAUUUAUACCCUGUCAAUUUAUGAAAUAACAUUUAGUGAGUGGAAUAUAUAUAAAAGAAGAUAUUCUAAAUCUUUCUAAAUUCUUCCUUAAAAUAGAAAAAGAAAUAAAUUGUUGAUAUAGAUAUGUUGAUAAGAUUUUCAUGUAGGGCUUUUCUGUAAUUCAUGAUUUUGUUACAUGCAUAAAUUGUAAUUGUGAUAUUUUAUAUUUUAUUUAUAUAAAUCAUGUUAAAUUUGAUUUAAAUUCCUUUUUUAAUUAUUUAUUCUUUUAAGAAAUUUCAAGUAUUCAAUAAAUAUUAAUGUAUACUUUUUCUUAAAUUGAUAUAAUAGUGAUAUCAGAUUAGUUUAAAAUUUUGCGUGUAUGACAAGUACAAUUAUAUCGAUAGAUUCAAUAGUCGGAUUAUUCAAAUAUUACUCCUACAAAUAUAUAUAUGAAGAAGUAUAAACUGCUUUAAUUUUACAUUGGUAUAAGUAGAUCUCUCUCUUACAUCUGUUGUAUAUAUGAAAUUUUGAUUUUGAUUCAAACGUACUCAUUUAAAGAAAUAAAUACAUCAAUUUAUUUUUAUAUUGAAUAAGUAUAAUUAUUUGGAUAUGCUAUAUAUAGAUGUAAAAUGAUGGUAUAUAAAUAACGAUGUUAGAUGUUUGUAAAAAUUGAAUCAAAUCAAUAUUUCAUGUAUAAAAUUGCACAAUGGACCAAAGUUCAUGUACAAUUUUGAUCUUUAUAUCUGAAAUUUAUUAAUGCAAAUUAUUUUCCAAAAGAUCACAUUGAGUAAGAUUAAUUUAAAUUUCAAUAUUUAAAUUUUUUCUCAUAUAGAAAUAUAAUUUUUUUAAAAGAAGUGUAUACUAAUUGUUGAAAGAUUUCCGACUCUUUUGGAAAGUCUUCGAAGUGGCAUAUUUUGAAGAUGGUGGACCCUCAACACGUCCAAUAUUAUCAUUGGUUAAGGUUUUUUUUGGAUCUAGUGUCCUAAGUGUAGUACUUUUCAUCAAUAUACAGUUGUAAAUUUUUUUAACAAAUUGGUUAAUAAAACAAAUUUAUUGAUUAUAUUAAUAUACUUUAUAUAAUUGUCCUAACAUAGUUUUUGCACGCAAAGCAAAAUGGAAGUAAAUGUUGCUCAUUGGUUGCCUAAAUAUUUAAUUAAUACUAAGCGGUAUUAUGUGUAUAAAAAGACAGCUUGUAUUAGUAGACAAACCUAAACAUGUCCUUAGCAUAAUUGGAAAUUAGUAAAUUGAUUGAAAGACUAAUAUGUCGUCUAUCAAGUGUAUUUGGGGAGAUGCCUUGUCUUGGGCAUCGAAGCAGAUGACUCCCAAAAGGUAGAGACAUAGAUGUGACUGACUGGACUGGUAGUAAAUUGGAUAGCACACAAACAGAAUAGAUCCUGAAUUCGUUUAUGGACUUAUUCACUUGUGAUGUCCAUAGUGUGGCAUACAUAAAUCUUGAAUGGAUAGCGGAGUACGUAUGUGUGACUUUUACACUUUGAUGUAAGUAAAAACAUAAGUUCAAUUAGAUAAGGAACCAGAAUCUGGUACAUUUGGUUUACGACUUCUAUAGUAUGUAGCAUCAUUCAUAAUAGUGAAAUUCAUAGCGCAAAACAUGGGUAAAUGAUAUCCUCUCAUUGACAUUACAUGGUUAAUGAAAAGUAAACGUGGCCACGGGUUGUCCGUCUUUGUGAUGGAAACUUGAUCACUAAUUGAUAAUGAUUGAUUUUUCACGAAAGAAGAUGUAAUGGCUACCAUGAGAUAAAAUAUGAUAUAUUGGGAGAACAAAUAUUAUCCCAAAGAGAUCAAGGAUAUCCUAUGAGGGUAACACACUAAUGACAAGGUUAUUGGACGAGCAUUAAGUAGUUGCUUUCGUAAUGGUAUGUCGUUGGGGAUAUUUCAUUCACGACACUAUAGUGGAAUGACUUCAUCACUAAAUGAUUUUAUAAUUAAUAGGUGAAAAAAAUAGAAUUUAAAUAUAAAUCAUUUGAGCCUCAACUUUAUAUGUCUACUCGGUCCCCCAACUGUUAGUUCAUUGAAACCAAAAAUUAAUUGCACGUUUGAAUGGAAAUCAGCGAAAUGGAUAGAAAAAGAGAAAUGAGAAACAUUCAGGAAUGAUUAUGGUUUCCUCUAAAAUGGAGAAAUGGAAUAAUUUGAAAAUGAAUGUAGGUUUCCAAAAACGGAAAUAGAAAUGAAAAUGGAAACUUGCAAUUUUAUAUAUGAUUACUUAAAAAAUGAUGGAAGAAUGAGUUUAUAUUUUUGGACUAUUUUGAAGCUCGAAAAUGAAAAUAAAUCAUUCAGUCAUAGUGAACAUAUUGAGUUGUGUCAUAUUAAACGAAUUUUCUUGAAAUUUUAUUGGAGGUAAAAUUGCCAAAAUUUUACUGGGUAAAAUUGUCGUGAGAAAAUAAUUUAAUAUGUAAAUAUUAAAAUUUAUUUUGGAAAUAGAAAAAUUGAAUCGGGUUGGACCAUAUUACAAAGUACUAGAUCAAAAAGGCCCAGAAAGUACUCGUACUUGGACCCGAUGUGAGAGAGGCCCAAAACCCCUCAUGUAAGGUGGGACGGCAAAAACCUAUUAACUAGGGUUGUCGACCCUUAUAUCUUAGAUAGGCUAGGAUAUUAUUUUUCUAGCGGAAAUAAACUUUUACAACUCUACAUGGGUUCUACUUUCUUCUCCUAUAAAUAGAUGGCACCAAUAGAGCUAUUUAUACAACUUUUGAGAGAUUAUUAUUCUACCGAAAAGUAGAGAGAAUUUAUUCUCAACUUAUAAACAUAUUUUUUAGAAUAACAAUUUUACCGAUUUCUAUUAAAGAAGAGAGAAUUUUCGUUUUCACCCUAAAAGGAAAACCUUUUCUAGUUUUGUGUUUUGAUUCAAUUGGUUUGAGCCCACACUCGAAGCAGUUCGUGGUACGAGAAUAGCGCAGAAGAUCGUUUGGUUGAAAGCCUAAAAACAUCAAGGAUUCACCCAUCUAAAAACACAUGUAUGAAUUCGGUUAAGUUUUUUUUGCUACAAAUAUCACAAACUGAGUUGAUUUUCAAAAUUUUAACUUUUGAUGUGCAAGAAAACCAUUUUCAAACUGAGUUUUUUUUUUCAACAGUUUUAUCUCUCAACUUUGUAAAGAGCUCAAGUGCCUAAAUCUACCUAAAGAGGUGAUAGGUUCAAUAGAGUAGGAGUGCCUUGUUGGGACAAACGGUACGUGAUGCAUGACCACCUACCAAGGAAAUUUGAGCAUUUGAGUUUGGCAGGGUUUGAGCUCAUGCCUUACAACAGAUAUGACACUUAUGGACAACUGCUACCAUUUAAUUAGGUCACUUUAUAAAUUCUCAUUAAUUGGAGGGCGAUUGCUAUUAAUAUUUUUCCAGAGUGGCUUUUGUCACCAUCACCUCGGCCAACUACAACCUCGUCAACUAUGACUUCAGUUGAGGGCUACACUUUGCCAGCUAUAGACCUCAUCAAUACAUAUAUGCCUAGUACACGAUACUUCUAAUAUACCUCGUUAGUGAAAGAUGUUGGAUCCUUCUAUGCAUGGAUCAUACGUAGGGUACUCUUGCUUAGGAAUGGCAAUAGGUUAGUAUCUACAUUUCUUGAAUUAUUAGAAUUUGGAUAUGCAUAUUUGCUUAAAAAUCAAAAUUUGCUUAUUAUGUAUAAAUCAUCUGAGUAUUACUAUCUAAAUUUGGCUUAAUUUAAGUACUAUUAUCUGUCAAAUAUCUGAAUUCGCAAAAAAAGAGCAAUUUUAAAAUUUUCAAUCAUUUUUUGGAUAUCCAAAUUCACGAAAAUUCAAAAUUGAAUCCACCAAAUUUUUUUAUAUAUAAUCAAAAAUAUACACAUUUCGUGACUAGUUGAUUUAGAUAUUGAAAUUCCAAUCUACAUCUGCUAUUCGAAUAAGUAAUGUUGUAACACCUUAAAUAAUUUAAGUUUGUUUUUGUGAAAUUUAACACAAAAUGUGUACUUGCUUCAGUGGUUAAGUGUUCUAGGUGUGUGUGUGAGGUAUUGGGUUCAAUUCCCACUUUUGGCAAAACUUUGUUAUUUUAUAUCCAAGCCUAACUCUUAUUGAGUAGGCUUAUGUUAAAUUGUUUGUUAAUCCAUAUCAGAAUAAGCUUGUUGGUUUGAGUGGUAAGGAGUUGGUGUGUAGGAGGUCCUGUUUUUGAAUCCCUACGUGAGCGUAGGUAUUAAUUUUUUCUCGGUUGUCUGAUAGAGUUUGAGUGGUCUUGAAAGUCUGAGGUUGUUAAGGCUGGGUGUUAGUCUGAAGUUAGGAUAUUGUGGGGGGGAUUUUUAUGUUGAUUAUUAUUAUUUUAUUUUAUUCCUUUUUCAAAUUUUCCUCUCUCUUUCCAAAAUUUCCCUUUAAUGUUAUUCUUCAAGUUUUUUUUAUUGUCUCUGAUAUUUUUCCCCCUUUUCAUUAAAUCUUUGUUUUGUUCUUCUUUUUUGAUUAUGUUCGUCAACCUAUCAUUCGAUCGUGCCAUUGGAGUUGUCGGGUUAUCUAAUCGGUUGGUAAGUAAAACUUUGCUUCCCUUUAACUUUUGAUUUGGGAUUAUAGUGAUUUCAAUAUGUAGCAAUUGAUUAGUGGAACUUCGUGUUUAGGAGAAGAUUAUGGAGCAAUGAAUUGCACUCCAACAGUUUAGUGUGCAUUGAAGUGGUUUGUCAUCGACGGUAAGUCAGUUUCGUGUUGUUUCUUGUUGUCAAAUUCAUUAAUCAAACUACUAAAUCAAUGUUGGGUACUUUAAUUUUAGGAUUUGGAAGGCUCGGGAGUAUUUUUGCAUUAAAAUCGUAAUAGGUGUGUCCCCAAAACAUAGAAAGUCAGGUUUCGAUAAAAGUCAAAAAUGCAUUUUGUCGAUGCGACAAGGGCAUGUGCCUGGUCAUGUGGCUAGUCGUGUGUGAGACACGGCCGUGUAUUUGACGAGGGUGUGGCUGUGCGCAAGCCACGGUCAUGUGGUAGUGUAAGUGUCGCUAUGUAGGCCAUACGGGCUAGGCCAGUCUAGGUUUGUGGGCCUACAUAGGCAUGCCACACGGACGUGUAGGCCCAUACGGCCAUGUAGGCCCACAAUUUUGAGAUUUUCCCUUAGGUCGCACGGUUCGUUUCGAACGAUUGUGGACCUACCAUAGGGUCAGUAAGGGCUAAUCAAACCCUAAAUUAUGUGAAAUGAUAUUUUGAUAGUUCGCCUUGUGUAGGAUGUCGAUAUGUACAUCUGUUUUAUUUACGUAUAUAUAUGCUAUCUGUAUAUGAGCAUGUUAUGCAUGAUAUUACUGUAUCUGUUAUUUCUGUAUUAUGUAUUUGUAAAUGGGGUGGGUUUUGUAUAUGUAGAGAAAGUGAUCUGUACGAUAACACUUCCAUUAUAUUUUGACAGUUGACUGCAUAUUAUUUGUAAUGUGUCGUAUUGACACUAUAUGGUGUGUAGGGAUGGGUGGGUGCUUUUAACCCUAUAUGGUAUGAUGGGAUAGUCGAAGAUGUUGUGUAGAGGAUGGGGGUAGGAUUCUGUAUAUCUGUACUACUUAUCUGAUUUUGUUAUCUGUAUCUGGAAUGGAUAUAAGUCCGGAUCUUGAUCUGACUGUAUAUAAGACUUCUAUUUGUAUUGCAUUUCUAUUUUUGUUAGGUUACACAAUAAGUUUACGAAACCUCACAUCUGUUUGUCUGUUCUGUUCAGGUCUAUAGACUUAGGCGGAUCAGUGUGACGGAGCCUCACAGUAACCACGAGAUUGUAAACUAUUUAAUAUUACGGUUUUUAUUUAAUUUAAGGAUUCUUUCUGGAAGUUUGUAAUAAUUGGACUUUCUAGAAUAUUUGACUUUUAUUUCAGUUUUGGAGGUGUUUUAACUUUUAUGGCCACGUUUGACCAAAUUCACGGUUUUACUAAAAUAAAGGAUUUUCUGAAUACACGAAUUAGAUUUCCAAGAUUCAAUGCUUUUUGAAAACUUCCGCUAUAGAUUAUGUUUUGGAAAAUGAAUGAAUUAAAUAACGCUUCUAGUAACAGAUAGUACACUUGGGGUGAUUUAUUGAACGACUAAACAAAGCUUUAUUAAAAGAUCACUAUUUUAAAAACCCUUCCAUGUAACACUCUUAGAUUAGGCCACAACGUCUAGGCCAGGAUUAGGGUGUUACAUUUAAUGGUAUCAGAGUUAGGUUACAAAACUCGAGCUGUGAAUUUUGGGUUUCAAAAUUAUGUUUUGAAAAAGAACAGGUUUUCAAAUAAUUUGGAUCAUUUUGAAUAAGUAUGUGGUACACUGAGUCUCCGGCAUUGAUCCUAUAAGUACUUUUGAACUUAGAUAAAACUUUCUGAAAACACUAUAGUUAGUACUUUCUGAAACUGUACUGAGUUAGUUAAAAAAUAAAAACUUUUGAAAUAUGUUCGAACUUCUGAUAAUUUGAGCAUGAAAUAUAUGUUAAUAAACAUUGGAGCUGAUGCAUAAAAUUUUAUAAUGUAGAUAAAUUUGAAAAUAUACGAUGAGCGCUUAUGGAACUUGCGGUCAUGGUAUUCGUGGGCUCAGUGGGAGCCGUAAGGGGCUGGAGCUGAGUCUUUUUCUCUGGGCAGUAUGCCAAACUUAGAUAUGAGUAAGCCACCAGUGUCACUUGCUACUGAGACAAGGUCUCAAAGCCACUUUGGUGGGGACGACGCACUAUCCCAAGCCAUGUUGAGGGUGUUGGAGAGGGUCAUUGGACCCCAUUCUGGAUCUGUGGGCCGUAGGACGGUAACUGAACGACUCUGGUCCAAUAGAGCUGAGUUGUUUAGGGGUGUCAUUGAAGUCGCCCCUAUUGUGGUCGAGUAUUGGUUGGAGGGCACAAAGAGGAUUAUGAACGACAUCGAUUGUACUCUUAAGUAGAAAUUUAAUGGUGCAGCCUCUCUACUUCGCGAUGAGGCAUAUCAGUGAUGGUUGUCGGUUGAGGAGGGUACUCAACGGGACUGUCUGAACUGGGAUUAUUUUAAGACUACCUUUCAGGGGAAGUAUGUGGGUGCAAGCUAUCUUGAUACUUGUAGGCGUGGGUUCAUGAAUCUCACGCAAGGUGAUAAAUCUGUGGCUAAGUAUGAGGCCGAGUUUCUAAGGUUAAGCCGCUACGCUUAAGGCAUGGUGGUGACUAAAUAUGAGAAAUUCAUCUAUUUUAAGGAUAGCUUGAGGUAUAAUCUGAGGGUAUUGAUUGCUCCACAGAGGGAAUGAGAGUUUGAGUUCUUGUGGAUAAGGUGAAGAUCGCCGAGGAGAUUAAGUGCGUGGAGCGCUAAAAUAGGGAUCGUGAGUGAGGCAAGAAUAAGAGGGAUUCAGAGCCCUCUAGUUCUGUUUAGAGGGCUAUUAGAGUAGGGGUUCCUAUUACUUCUAAUAGGAUUCAGCCACGUGAUGAUUGUGGUAGGCACCAUCCGGGUGAGUGUUAGAGGAGGUUGGGGGCUUGUUUGAGGUGUUGGUCUUUGGAGCACCACAUUAGAGAAUGUUCACUCCAUGCGGAUUAGAUGCAAGCUGUAGGAUCAAGUUUUAUACAACCUUAGAGGGCAGUUCAGCAGCCAUCUAAGGGUCGUGGUCCUACUAGGGGUGGUAAUGGUAUGGGUCGAGGACAUAGAAUAUCGGGAAAAGGUGUUAGUUAGAUUGAAUCCUAAAUUAGAGUUAAGUUUGGUUUGAAUCAAGCCUUAACUUUGACCAAAUCCAACUAAAAACACGUCUAACAAUUAUCUAGUAUUGUUUUUAUGAAUUGAAUUUUAACUUGUAAUUUUCAAUUUUAUUACAAAAUUUCUUUGCGGACGAUAAGAAAAUAACAUAUUUGUAACUUCUUCAACCCGGCGUAAAGGUUAAGUCUGAAUUUGGAUUACAUCAGCCAUAAAGAUGGCCUAGCAGGAUUAUCGGAGUUUUUAAAAACAAACAUCUUUAAAACGUUUGUUUAAUUUAUAGAAAAGCUUAUUUAAUUUCCAAAUUAUUUAUUACUUGAAAUCUUAAUUACACUUUAAAAGUAGGAAGUGGUAACUAUUUAUUUUUAAUAAAAUUCGGGGUUCAUGUAUAAUUGAUUAAUAACCGUAAUUCGAAAACAUUAAAACUUAAAUUAAAUGUCAUGCAAAACAAAACAAGCUUAAAUCUAAAUCUCAUGCCGCAGUUCAAAAUUAUUUAUUGUAGUCUUAGAAAAUAAAAACAAUCAUAUAAUGAACCUAAAUUUUUUAUUUUACUUUAAUAAUGUGUCAAGGUCUUACAGAUGUCACGCCUGCGUUCAAUCUUGGUGGGUUAUCUGUAAGGAUGAAAAUUUAAGGGGGAGUGAGCUAUGACGCUUAGUGUGAGUUCAUUCACAAUAAAUUCAAUGCAAACGGUUGGUAAGGCACAUUAAAUAACAUCGCAUAAAGUAAUCACAGUCAGAUAACAGUUUAGAAUGGCGAUUUUACAAUUUAACUACCAAUAUUAUCACAAUAUUCACAGCUGUAAUUUCAGAAUAUCAAAUUUCCACAUCAUUCACAAUACUAACAUAUAUAUAAAUAUAUCAUAAUAGAAUUCCAGAUUUGUAUGCACAUGAUUUAGAAGAUGCCAUACAAUUUUGGGUUUUAACAGAAUAAAUCCUACCCCACGUUACAUAUCAUAAUGGGAGUUCCCCUAAACUCCCUUCUCCAACACACUAGGUUGUGGAUAAACCACUACUCGUCCACAGAUAAUAACUAUCAUUUGGCUGUGGACACACAACAAAUCCCCACAGUUGGAUUCUAGCUUUGGCUGUGGGUUCACAGCCAAGAGUCCUGCAAAUGAAGCCUGUUUUUGCAUGUAGAUUAUACAACCUAUACCCGCAGUUGGAAUCUGUCUUUGGCUAUGGAUGCACUGUAACACCCCAAACCCGACCUGGACGUUAUGGCUCAAUCUUGACGUAAUGCCCCAAAAUUUCUAAUUUCGUUAUUGUGAAAAUAUGACACAAAAUAUUUGUCUGCUUUAGUGGUUAUGUGUUCUGGGAGUGUUUAGGAGGUCCCAAGUUCACGCCUUCACAUGGGAAAAUUUUGGUAUUUUGAAUGAAUUAGGUAUUACUCUUAUUCAGUAGGCUUUUAUUUGAUUGUUGGGUAAAUUAUAUUAGAAUGGGCUUGCUGGUCUAGUGGUUAAAUGGUUUAUUAUUAUGGUGGAGGUCUUGUGUUCAAGUCCCUAUGUAGGCAAGGGUAUUAUUAUUAUUAUUUGCUCAAAUUUCUGGAUAGAGUUGUGUAAUAGGGGGAUUCUGAGUAGUAGAUGUGUAGUGGGAAUUAGGGGAGAAGAUUAAGGAGUUUCAGGGGUUAUCGAGAUUUUAUUUUAUUUUUUCCCAUAACCGAAUUUUGACUUUCUUUUUCCAAAAAAAAUCUGCCAUCUAUUCUUCUCCCUCUCCUCUUGUUGAAAUUCUCUUAGUUUUUUCACCUUUCUCUUCUUUUUCUUCUUCUUGAUUUUUCCCUAAUCCAUUUAUUUUUCUUCAUUUUCGCACGCGGUUAGUUUUCGCUUAGUUUCGGUAAGUGUUUCUCUUCGUUUCUAUCAUGAAUCUCCUAGCGACUAAAGUGGUAACUUUUUUCUCUGUGAUUUGGGCGUAGGGGAAGGCUCGAACUGUUGAAUUCAGUAUUCUCGUCUUAACAAUAGUUAAAUGGAGGGUUAUUGUUGGUGGUAAGUUGGGUUUCUGUUCAUUCUUAGUUGUCAAUUUGCUUGUAAAUCUGUUAAAUUGAUGUUGAGUAUCUUGAUUAUAGGCUUUGGAGUGCUUGGGGACUGUUUUAGCAUCAAACAAAACCAGGUGUGUACCCGGGACGCAAAAAAAAGGGAUUCGAUCGAAAGCCGAAAUUGUUUGCUGUUUGGACAGUAGCAGUAGGCUAACUUUGAAAAAUCGCCAUAAAUUGUGGAAAUCGAAAUAGAGGAUGAAAAAAAUAUGAAAUUAAAUCUUAUUGAGUCUAGUUUCUCAUAGAAGAACGGUGUAAGUAAUGGAAUUUUAAAUCAUGAGAUAUAAUAAACUAUGUGAGACAAGGUCAGAAUAAAUUCGGGUUCCCUUGUUCUGACUUUGGAAAAUCAUCAAAAAUUGGAUAAAAAUAAUUAGGAAUUAAAAUUUACAUGUUUAAAUUAUUAAUUAGUCUUUUUUCAAUAGAAACAAAUGGGAACUUCAUCCAAAAUUUUUACUAAGAGAUAAUUAAUUUUUAGCAAUGAAGGGUCGAAGCUGUCAAACAGCAGAACAAGGGUAAGUUUGAAGAUUUUACCAUACUUAUUGGCUGAGCCAAAAAUUCUAAAAAUUUUAUGGUAGAAAGGUAUUUGAGUCUAUUUUCAAAUACAUCAAGUGAAUUUUAAUUAGGAAUUCUUUAGCUCAAGAUAUAAAUAAUUUAGUUACAGUGAGUCAAGUAGAAAGCUUUGAAGGAACACAUAAGUAAAUUGUGAUAACAUAUAUGAAUAUUUAGCUAGCACAGGUUACAUUGAAAAUGGAUCACGUAGCCAAGGCCAAUUUGGGCUGAGUGGGCCACAUGGGCAUGUGAGCCCAUUUUUCUAAAAAAUUCUGUAAGGUUGCACGGGUCGCCCAAGUCGACUAUGGACCUACUGUAGGGUCGGUAAGCUUUACUUAGACGCCUAUAUGUGUGAUCUAUCUGGCUGAUUUCUAUACCGAGCAUGACUUAUGAUAUUUGAAUGUAUGUACUUUUAAUUACAUAAUGGCAUGACAAAUUUUGUAUGUUGCAUUGCAUCGGAGUGGGUUGAUGAUAUUUGGAGGAAGUGUCUAAAAGGCUAUUAAGCCUGUUAUCUGGCAGCUCAGCUGCAACCUUCUGAUUAUGUGCGCAUUUCAGUACAACAUGGUGUGUAAGGAUGGGUGGGUUGAUCUAACCCCCACAUGGUGUGUAAGGUUGGACAAAGAUGUGCGUAGAGGCUGGUGGGUAGGAUUCUGAUUUACUGUAUCUACAUUAUGUAUCUGAUAUGGGCCAAGGCUCUAAUGUAUUUCUGAGACUGUAUCUAAACGGGCUAAGGCCCAAACUGAUUGUGUGAUGGGCCUAGGACCCAGACUGUAUCUAACUAAAUUCUGUUGAUUAUUUGUAUGCAUGAUUUCUAUGGGAAUUACACACUGAGUUUACGAAAACUCACCCUUUCUCUAUUUAAUCUGUACAGGUAAUCCCCAGACUUGAUGGGUCAGUGCAACAAAGGAUUCGACAGUGGCCACACGUAAAUUAUGGAUUGUUUUCCGUUAAUACCUAGAAUUUAUUAAUUAUUUGGGGUUUUUGAUGUAUCUUCUGGACUAUGGACUGGUUGGCUAACAUACCUUUUUGCAUUGCAUCAUGUGCACGACAUAUUCGAAUAUUAUUGGUUUAUGCUACGUAGUGUAUUUUGUUGUAUUGAAUGGUAUCAAAAUUAAUGAUUGUCACUCGAAUGAAUUAUGACCUAUGCUCAUACACUGUUUGACAUCAAUUUGAUAAUGGCUAUGUAACGAUAUGAAAUUCCUAUAAUGGUUCUAUUUUCUUCUGUUAAAGCUAAUUAGUUUUACUGUAUUUGAUAUUUAUGUUUGUUUCAAUAAUUGUUCGACUCAUGCUGAGCUUUUCAUAAGCGCACCCCUAAUAUGUUAAACUUUUCAGGUAAACCUCGAAAUUAAGACCAGACUUGGCAUUCGAAGAAUCACCUUAGACCUUGAAUUAUUUUUCUAAUAAGUAUUAAUCAAUCUCUAAUGGUUUUCGUUUGUAAUUUUUAAUUAUAUCUAGUCUGUGGCUUGAUAACUUUUCUUCUGGGAUUUUUGCAUGCAUGGAUUACUCAAGCAUAAUAACCGGAUAAUGCAUGAUAUUAGGCUUAAGUAAAAUUUGAUAUUGUUCCCUAGAUUCCGCUGCAUUGCAAAGGAUUUGUUUUUGAAAAACAAAUUGAUAAGGUAACUAAGUUUUCAAAAUGACUUGAAAAAUGGUUUUUCCCCUGCAUUAGUUUAACAUCGAAUUUUUUUUAAAGGAGAGCAACAAGUAAAUGAUUUUUCUAAAACAACACUAUCAACAAUAAAAUGAAUUCUAAGUAUACACAACCUAAUGAAUGAAUGCUUUUAAGCUAACUUAAAGUACAACUAUGGUUUUCUCUAAAAUGAGUUUAUUUAAAGUUUUCAUAAGUAAUGUAAGUUAGCUUAGCCAUUUCGGUGGCUAAUGUAGCCUUCUCAUUCUAGCCAUAACGUCUAGGCCAGGUUUGGGAGGUUACAGUAUUGAUAGGAACUGUGGUAUAAAUUUUAUUUUGGACAUUCUUAAAUUGUUAUUUGGACUAAACUUUAGAAACUAUGGAUUUUAUACUGAGCCUAAAUUUACGAAGUUCAUGCGUGGUUUUUACGAAAAUGAAACUCAUAUGAAAUUUCAAAACCGUGAUGUUUUUAUUAACGCUCCAAUUUGAAAUUGUACAAGAAAUGUCAAUUUGAAUUAUUUUUGAAUGUUUUUUAUGCCAAUUAAAUAUUGUUUCAAAACAUAGCUAAGUAUUAUUUAAUUUCGUAAAGAUGAAGCAAACUCCGAACAAUCUAAAACUUCAAGGACUAGUUUGCAAUUUUUGUUUUUCCUCAAUUGUCUCCGGUUUGAUUCAAUUCUUGAUCUAUACAAUUAUUCCAUUCAAUUCAUCAAUAUUAAACAUUUAUACAUUAUGUCAUGUCAUGAAUGAACCUAGAUAAAUUCAUUUUUUGAUACCCUUAAAGUUUUACAUUUAUUUCAAUUUAGUCUCUAAAAUCGAAAUAGUCAUAACUUUAAAUUCUGAACUUCGGUUUGAAAAUCGACCUCAAUUUCAUUAUAGACUCUCUACUAUCCAUUAUUAUCAAAAUUUCACAUCAAUUUCACAAUUUAUUUACUUUAGUUAUUAUGUAAAAAAUUAACAACCAAACAUCACAAUUUAGUCAUUUUUCAUAAUUUAAGCUUAAAAUCUAUCAAUUUAAUACCAAUUUCUUCAAGAAAUCAACCAUGAUAACUAUAAAAAAAAUUAACAGUUUUGCAAAUUGAUACAUAGGUCAUUUAAAUCAAACUUUCAUGACCUCAGAAACACAAAAAAAAAUUAUACGAAAAUGAUUUAGAAAUGCAUACCAAUUGAGGACCGAAAGCUUGAAGCUCAAAAUGGCUUUUUCCCUUGAGGUUUUAUGUUGAUUAAAUGAUGAAGAAGAAGAAAUAAAGAUGACAACUUGCACUAAGUCACCUUUAUAUACUUAGAUUAAAUCUUAAUUAAUCAAAUUUAAUUAAUUAAAUCUUAAUUAAUUAACCUUAAUCACAAUUAAAAAAAAUUAGUAGAUGUUAACAUCAUCCUACACUAUUUGAUAUAACCAAAUGAUCUAUUUACCAUUUUGAACCUUUAGCUAAUUAGAAAUCUAUAGCGAUAAGACUUUUAAAAUUUAGUUUCUGUAUCUUAAUUAUGCAAUUAAUAGACAAAGUUGAAGGUUUAAAAUUUAAUGUUCUAUUAUACCAACUCUGUAAAUAUUCAUAUUUAAUAUUUACAGACCCGAAUUACGAAAAUGAGAUUUUGAAAUUGUAUUUUCCAAUACCACUGAAAAUCGAACAAUUACGUAACCUAUUUGCACCAAAGGGCCAAACAUGGCAAAUACUUGACAUGUAUGUCUUAAUAUCCUCAUCUAUUCUCUUCAAUAUAAUAACAUCCAAUAAUUGUUUCAUCCACUGUAACUAUCACGAAGAUUAGAUUUACCAAUACAGCCUACAAUUUGCAGAAGCGCGACAUUUUCAUUCUAGAGAAAGGUAUAAUUGAAACAAAAUUGAAAUAAAGAUUUCAAUACAGAAUCAACAGACAUUCCAGCUAAUACUUAUCAAUUAUUUGCAGCUUCAUUGCUCCAACUAAGAUGGUUUUUAGUCGAAUAUGGUAAAUGAAAUCAAUGAACACCAGCUACUUGAUGAACGAGUGAAUCAAAGUCCUGAUAUGUGCCGGCUUAUUGGUGAAAAAAUACAUGGGUUAGUUUUGCAGCAAUUCAUGAUCUUACAUUUUAUAACCUUUGCUUACAAUUAUUCACUGACUAAUCAUUCAAUGAAUGUAGGCCUCAAAUUUAGCCACUAAACUUUAUUCUUUAUUUUUAGAUACAUAUUAUUUGAUCACUUCAUACAGCCUAUUACUCAUAAUAACUUCCAAUUUCCCUUCUUUAGGUUAGUUGCAAAUGUACAGCUUUUUCUAGAAGAAGAAAAUUGUCAAGAGCCACCUGUUCAAGAGAGGCGCAAACAGAAUGUAACAAUACCUGACCUACUUACGGUACAGCCAAGUAAUCAUGUGUUUCUAUGCUAGAACAUUAAAUCAAUGACUACAAAUUUCAUGUCAUGGUUGUGUAUCAUUUAUGCCACUGAUGCUGCUAUUUUCUAUUCUAAUGCAUAAUAGGGAUUUAGUGUUUUUACCGUUAAAAUUGUGUCCUUUAAUUUUGGCUCUUUUCAAUUGUUGAUCAUGUCCACCUAUGCUUUAUUUUACUACUAUUGCUUUCUUCAAUGAUAGAUGAUUGAAUCGGUAGAAUUUUAUUAAUCCUCUACAUGUUUUAGCUUGAUAUGUGGAUCCUAAGCAUUCCUUGGAUUGUGCCCUCUUUGUUCAUUUAUUUUUUUUCCUGGAACCUUAUUACAUGUUGUAACACUCCAGUUUUUUGGAGACAUUGAAGACGACUAACUGCUGAAUUCUUUCUUCUGCAGAGGAACCAAUGGCAAGAGACUCUAAAACUCCUACUCUUUUUUAUACCUUCCUCACCUCUUUGUGACAUUAUAGCUGAAAAAUGAUGUAUGCUAAUACAUGAAAUGUUUCCUCUUGCCUUUCUUUUUGUAGUACUAAAACUACAAAUAGUGUCUGUAAAUCUCUUUUCCCGUAAUCUUAUCUUUUCCUCAUUGUAAUAGUUGGAAAACAGCUUUGUUGAAGACAAUGUCAACUACUGGGAUAAGUUACAAACACUGUUAUUGUUUAUUUUGUAGUCUAAAUUAUGAUAAUUUCUGCACAAAAUUCACAUAAAUGGUUACCCUCCCGAAGCGGAGCGAGGGUGAUGCUUACUAGUUAUUAAGAAAACAGGACCUUGUAGGGCUUAACUGUUGAAUCAAGAAAGAAAUUUCUUUUAAUGCCUUAAAAAAAAGAAAUUUCUUUUAAUGCCUUCAAUUUUUUUUAAAGCUGAUUUUUUUUUUACAAAUUAAAGUUUUGAUUGUAUGUUAAUUGCUUGAGGGAAGGUCGGAUACUUUAUUAUCCCUAUUUUUAUUUGUUAUAUAUUUUAACCAUACUGAUUUUUUUGGCCCUACAAUUUUACCAAAAAAAUCAUAUUAGCUUUCAUUUAAUUUUCGUCUCUUUUAACCCUUUAACUUGUAUUUUUUUUGUCAAAUCACCCCAAAAUGGAUCGAAAACUUUAACAUUUGUGAACUUUGAUUAUGUGACAUACACAUGAAUUGUCACAUGGAUGACAAGUCAACAUUUCUUUAAAAAAAAACUUAAAAAAUAUUAAAUAAAAUAUUUUUGAUAUUUUUUAAUGAUUUUUAAAUUAAAAAAAGUUUUUAAAUAUAUUUUAAUUUUUAAAAAUUAAUAAAACGCAGACAUGGAAAUUCACAUCUAUGUGUCACAGACCGUGGAUUAAAGCCUGUGACCAUUGCGCAUAGAACACCCCAUAGAAUUUUGGCUUUUUAUUUGGUCAAUCAUGUCCACCUAUGCUUUAUUUUUACUAUUAUUGCUUUCUUUAAUGAUAGAUGAUUGAAUCGGUAGAAUUUUAUUAAUCCUCUAUGUAAUAACCAAAUUUUUCCCGGGCCCAAUGCCAAACAAAUAAAACCCAAACCAAAUAAAUAAAAUAAGAGUCCAAAUUACAGUCCAUCAGAGCUCAAUUCAGACCAGCCCACUAUUCAAUCAGACUGGCCCAACACCCAAAUAACCUAACAACCCUAGCCCAACAAAAUCAGAAAAAUGAACAGCAAAAAAACCCUAGGUGCGCCGCACCUAGGUCUUCUGGCCUAACCGCCGUUGUUCGCCUAUCACCAGCCUCCACGCUGCCACCGCCGCAUGCGCACCAGGCCUCCUCCAUGUGUGUCUGACACCUGCAAAGAGAGUCACACGCAACAGUAGAAACAAAAACAAAAAACAAAUAGCAAAACGACAAAAAAAAUAAUGAUUAAGGAGUUCGUAAUCCGACUAUAAAAGCCCUAAUCUGUGACUUGUAAUUUUUUGACACACAUUAGAAAAUAAAAACCAAAAAAAAAAACUUUAAGGUGAUACUCAUUUCAUUUUAUUUUUGUUUUAUUUUAUUUUAUCAUUUUUAUCUUUUUAUUUCGAAAUAACAUAAAUAAAAAGGGGAGGCUGGGUUGCCGUUGCCAGAGCAUAUUUUGUGCUAAAGGGGGUUGCGCCGGAGGAAAAGAGGAAACUUUUCAGUUUCCCGCCGCCGUGAUGGCCAAACCUCUGACUGGCGCUUGGAGAAAGAAGGGGAGAGUUUGAGAGAAUUUUAGGUUUUUUGUUUAAUAAAAGUGAAAAAUGAAGAAUUCUGAAAAAAUUAAUAUUUAUAGCACCUAGAAAUGGCGUCGUUUUGGCCAGUUUCAUUUGGCCCCAAAAUGACACCAUUUAAUGGCCUAUACCGGCACAGUGACCCAACCCGGGGAAGGAUCCGAGCGUUUUGUGCUAUUGGGUAAUUUUCACAUUUGGUCCCUCUUAUUUUGUAGUGUUUUCAAAUUAGAUUUUAUUUAUUUUAAAUUUCAACUUACAUUUUUGUUUUUGUUUCACUUAGAUCCUGAACAAUGCGCAGCGUUUUGGGGGCGAGGAAAUAUUUCCAAUAUGGCCCCAUGUAAUCUGCAUAUUACACUUUAACCCCUCGUCUUGUUUAUAAUUCUAUUCUUUUCUUGUUAAUUUAGAUUCAAUUGCGAUUUAAUCUUUUGUUAAAACAUUUGUUUUCUUUAUUAAUUUAUUAACUAUUUUAUUAUUAUUUUAGUGGUAUAUUCGGUCAUAUUUUCAUUAUCUUAUUAUAUAUUAUCAUUUUGAGUUUUACUUAUAUUAUUAUUAUAAUUUAUAAUGUGUUAUUUUAUUAACUCAAUAUAACAUAUAUAUAUAUGUAUUUUUUUGUGGUUUUAUUUUUAUAAUAUAUUUUUUAAAUCCAUUUUUAUGCACUUUAUAUUUAAGUAUUUAUACAAUAAUAUUCUUAUAAUAUUUUUAUACAUGUACAAUUUAUAUAUAAUUAUUUCUUAUACGUGUAUAUAUACAUAAUAAAUCAUCGAUUACAUGUUAUUAUAUUAUUUCCACUUAUUUCAUAUAUAAUUUAUUUCUUUUAAAAUACUCUAUUAUAUACUUCAUUUAUUUCAACCUUUUAUGUGUAUCAUUAUAGAUAUACUAUUAUAUGAAGUUUUUCAAUCCCUAUGCAUUACUUAUUUAAAUUAAUAUAUGUAUAUUAUUUUAUGUAUUUAGAUUUAUUUUGUAUAUAAUAUCUACUUUUAAAUUUAUUUGGAUACUAUUAUUUUAAGUGGAAUUUAUUUUUAUCUAUAUUUUUUUUAUUUAUUUCAAUUUUUCAUAUAUGUAUAUAUUAUUUAUUUUAAAUUUAUUUUAAUCAUAAUUUCCCUUCUUUCAUAUUUCUUAAGUUUAAAAAAAAACUUGUACAAUUUCAUUUGGUGCUUUGAUUGUUUUUUAAUUCAUUAGCCUUUGAAUGUUAGCAUAAUACAUUAUGUGAGAUUAUUGCUCUUAUACGUAUUAUAUUGCUUAUUUUUAUUUACUAAUUAUUCGUAGAUCAUUAGAAUACAUUUUGGUUUACAAAUUAUCGCUUUGUAUUGUACAUUAAUAUUCAAUUGUUUUUUUAUUCGUUCGAAAGAUUACGUUUAAUAUCAUUUAAGUAUCAAAAUCGAUUUAUUCAAAAACUUUCAAGAUAACGUAAUAUUCUGUAUUUGGGAUAUUCGAGAGAAUUGAGCCUUAAUGUAUUGGGUUCCAAUUUUCCUCGUUGAAUCUAGAUAAUCGAGAAUAAUCUUCAAUCAAAAUACAUACAUAAAAAGCUCAUUAUCGGGAAUUCGAUACAUUGUGUCCUAACGCAUUGGAUACGACAUGUUGUUUUCUCGAGAUGAGGAUUUUUCUAAAAAAAAUAAUAAAGGCAAUAUUCCGUAUUUGGGAAAUUUGAGAGAUCGUGCCCUAACUUACUGGGUUUCGAUUUUUCUCCUUUAACCCAAAUAAUCAAAUAUCCUUCUCAAAAUGCAUAGGUUUUAAAAGUCAAAAGAUAAACUUAAUUUUGAAGAUUAAGAAUGUUGCGCCCUAACUCACUGGGUGUGACAUUUUAUCUCUUUGAAAUAAGAGUGUCUUAUCAUUUAAUUCAAUUUAUUCAAGGUUAAAAGGAUCGUAUUUUAAAACCUUUUCAAAAUUUCAACACUAAGACAUUAAGUAAUCAACUAGGUACCAAUUUUUGGGCGUUACGAGGGUGCUAAUCCUUCCUUGUACGUAACCGACUCCCGAACCUAUUUUUUUGAAUUUCGUGGACCAAAAUCAUUAUUUUAAUAAAAUCAAACCAUUUAUUAAAAACAACCACUUUUCGAGGUGACCCGAUCACACUUCAUCGAAAAAGAUCGGUGGCGACUCCCAUAUUCAUUUUCAUUUUCAAAAUCCAAAUUGACCCUGUUUUAUCAAAAAAUGGUGUCAACACUGCACAUGUUUUAUCUUGACAUAUGGAUCCUAAGCAUUCCUUGGAUUUUGCCCUCUUUGUUCAUUUAUUUUUUCUUGGAACCUUAUUACAUGUUGUACCAUUCCAGUUUUUUGGAGACAUUGAAGACGACUAACUGCUGAAUUCUUUCUUCUGCAGAGGAACCAAUGGCAAGAGACUCUAAAAAUCCUACUCUUUUUUAUACCUUCCUCACCUCUUUGUGACAUUAUAGCUGAAAAAUGAUGUAUGCUAAUACAUGAAAUGUUUCCUUUUGCCUUUCUUUUUGUAGUACUAAGACUACAAAUAGUGUCUGCAAAACUCUUUAGAGAAAAACAAAUGUCUGUAAAUCUCUUUUCCCGUAAUCUUAUCUUUUCCUCAUUGUAAUAGUUGGAAAACAGUUUUGUUGAAGACAAUGUCAACUACUGGGAUAAGUUAUUGUAAGCAUCUUUUCUUUAAGUGUUUCAUAUUAAAAACAAACACUGUUAUUGUUUAUUUUGUAGUCUAAAUUAUGAUAAUUUCUGCACAAAAUUCACAUAAAUGGUUACCGUCCCGAAGCGGAGCGAGGGUGAUGCUUACUAGUUAUUAAGAAAACAGGACCUUGUAGGGCUUAACUGUUGAAUCAAGAAAGAAAUUUCUUUUAAUGCUUUCAGUUUUUUUAAAGCUGAUUUUUUUUACAAAUUAAAGUUUGGAUUGUAUGUUAAUUGCUUGAGGGAAGGUCGGAUGCUUUAUUAUCCCUAUUUUUAUUUGUUAUAUAUUUUAGCCAUAAUGAUUUUUUUGGCCCUACAACUUUACCAAAAAAAUCAUAUUAGCUUUCAUUUAAUUUUCGUCUCUUUUAACCCUUUAACUUAUAUUUUUUUGUCAAAUCACCCCAAAAUGGAUCGAAAACUUAACAUUUGUGAACUUUGAUUAUGUGGCAUACACAUGAAUUGUCACAUGGAUGACAAGUCAACAUUUAGUUUUUUUUUUAAAAAAAAAAACUUAAAAAAUAUUAAAUAAAAUAUUUUUGAUAUUUUUUAAUGAUUUUUAAAUUAAAAAAAGUUUUUUAAUAUUUUUUAAUUUUUAAAAAUUAAUUAAAUGCAAACAUGGAAAUUCACAUCUAUGUGUCACAGGCCGCGGAUUAAAGCCCGUGACCAUUGUGCAUAGAACACCCCAUAGAGGUCAACUUAUUAAACAAGGUUCAUUUGACCCGCAUGAACUGGCCCGACCCAUGGAACCCGUGGAGAAGCCCAUCUACUUGAAGCCUUGGUGGUCUAGUGAAAUAUAGUUUAAUUUUUUUUAAACAUAGGGUAAGGGAAGAAGAAUGCCUUAAAAUUAAUUUUUGUUAGAAAACUAAUAAGAAUGAGUUUGUUGGUUUAGUGUUAAGGCCUUAUCCUAUCCAUAGAUCCCAAGUUUGAAUCCCUUGGUGAGCAUUCAACCAAAAUAUUUUUAUUUCCUUGUUUUUACCACACCAAAAGUGACAAAUUUUAAAAUAACCCAGCCCAAAAACUAUUUUUUUUUAAUUUUAGUCCUUAAUUUAAAAUUUUCCCAAACCUACAUAAAUUUUUAAAACCUAUUCCAAUUAGGAAAAAUAAGUAUUAUAAAUAGACAAUUUCAAAACAAACUCUAGAAUUUCAUCUAGCAAAUUUUCAAGAAAAAAUCCAUAAACACUUUCUUUUCCAAAUCAAACUUUCAAGCUAAAGAAAUCAGAAUCUUCAAAAUCAUCCCUCAAGUAGAUCUUCAAUCUUUUCUCCAGCACUAAGGUUUCUAAGUAUUCAAAAUAGGUGUGGGAACAAAACCUAAAUCUUUGUGUAUAAUUGAAUCUAAUAGCAAGUAGAGAACCAGUAUAGGCUAACCCUAGGAGAAACCCCCUGUAUGUGCAAUCAUGUAGGUGUGAGCCUAUAGAUGCAAAACCCCUUGUACAUGAAAACCCCAUGCAUGCAAACCCUUACGUGAAACCCCCCUUUCAUGCGAACCCUGUAUGAAUACCAUGUGAACCCUAGAUUAUAGUUGCGAACCCUAGGUUGUUAUGUGGAUACCCAUACUGUGAACCCAAGUGCACAAACAUAUAGGAAUAUUCAUGCGAGCCCCCUUGCAUGCGAACCCUAGUUAGUGUACAUACGGGUCUCAUAUUUACAUGCAAACCACUACUAGUGCGAGUCAAUUAUAUGAUAUCACAUACGAACCCUACUAUUACAUGCAAACCUUUAUACAUGUUAUAUUCGAACCUUUUUUUGUUAAAACAGGUGAGACUUGUCUAGUAUUACAUACGACCUAAUUUGCGAACUCAUAUGUUAAAAGUAUGUGAACCUAUCUAUGUUUGUUAUGCGAGCUCACAUGUUAGCAGUAUGUGAACCUAUAUAUAUCAGUUAUGCAAACUCACAUGUUAGCAGUAUACGAACCAUAAGUCUGUUAUGCAAACUCACACAUUGGCAGUAUGCGAACCCUAUAUACACCUUUAUGCAAACUCACACAUUAACAGUAUGCGAACCCUAUAUACGCCUCUAUGCAAACUCACACGUUAGCAGUAUGCGAACCCUAUAUACGCCUUCAUGCAAACUCAUAUGAUUUGCAGCAUGCGAUCUCUAUAUUUAUGCGAACCCUUGUAAUAAAAAAUAUGCGAACCUUAACUUGCGAACCCUUGGCAGGAACCCUGCACUCGCAAAGCCUUCUUCCGGACCUGUACAUAUGCUAGAUAACCAAGCCUAUUAGUUUACAUUAAAUCACUGUACAUAUGAGACUGUUUGUUUACUUGCACAAGUUAUAUGUGUAUUUACUAUUCGAUACAAGAGUACCUAUCGACCUUUUGAUGAGAAUUCAGAGAUUAACGAUGAUAAUUCCAACAAUCAGUGUAAGAACGAGUUAAAUCGAGAGUUGAUGUAAUUUAAGGUAAUAAAGUUAAUUUUUCAGUAAUAAAUGUAAAAUUGUUAUGGAAAGAAACGAUGGGUAAAAAAAAAUGAGAGUUUUAAAUAAAAGAGAGGAAAACUUCAAUUUAGGGUUGAAGAGGAACUAAAAAUUUACGUGAAAUUAGGAAAAAAUAUAAAAUACCUAGGAUUAAGAAAUUUGAGGGGGUUGAAUGGUAAAAUACCCUUUUUUCUUAAAAAUGAAAAAAAAUGGAAAUGGGUAUUAAGUUUGGCACGACUUGAACCUUGGAAGCAAAGGAAAAAAUUACAAAGGCCUUACCAUUUGGGUUGCUACCCACAUUUGGCAUUUUUUUACACUAUUUAAAAUAUAUCCUAGCUUAGUUUUGAUCAUAGGUUGUUGAAAAAAAAAAAAAGGGGUAAGAGUGUGGCUUCAACCUUAAUUCUCUAGUUAGUAUACUAAGCUCUGAACCAUUAAGAUUAAGGCCCAUGUCUUAGUCAAUUAAUUCAUCUAACUCUAUAUAUUUUGAGGUGUUACAUCUUGAAUUAGAAAAACCCAUAAAAUGCAUGUAGACUUGUAUUGCUCGGUACUUGGUAGUAUAUAUGUAGACUUGUAUGUUGAUUAAGCUAGCUUAAUUAAGACCAAUGUGUUAGACUUGUCUAUGCAUUGAACAAUCUAGAAGAAAAUGAAGAAAAAGACUCUGAAAACACUUGAAAACAGAUAAAACUCAUAUGUCAUCGACUAGUUAAACUAUGAUCACCCAUAAUAGACCUUGUAUUUGACUUUUUGUUGAGGGAGAAGUUUCGUGAGUGUUGUUUGUCAGGGAGUCAGUGUUGCCCUAAACAACUAAAGGUAUUGUCCCCAUGUCGAGAUUUUACCCCCAGCCUCUGCAAAAUAAUCAUGAAGAAUACGUGCGAAGGAAUUCAAACACCAACCAAUGCAUGUGUAGCCUUUACCUUCCCACUAUCUUUGGGAACUCAUAAGGAUAAAAUCCCAACAAGAGAAUUGUAUCAGAGGGGUCUGUCAACACAAUGAAUGAAAUUUCAUACUUUUUUUUUAAUGAAAGUAAAUAUCAUAUUUAGUUAGAGAAAAGCAACGAAAAAUCUAACAAUAAAAUCCUUAGCAAAAGAUUAAAACACAAUUGUACCAUAAAUUAAAUAAGAAAUUAAAAAAAUUCAAAUCUAACAAAGACAGUAACUUGAUUCCUCAAAGCUACCACAAACAGUAAUUCAUAGGAAGGCCUGCUGCUCAUUUAUAACACAAACUUCAUGGUGACGGAUACCAACAUACCAUCAACUGAAGUCAUAGUUGACGAGGUUGUAGUUGGCCGAGGUGAUGGUGACAAAAGCCACUCUGGAAAAAUAUUAAUAGCAAUCGCCCUCCAAUUAAUGAGAAUUUAUAAAGUGACCUAAUUAAAUGGUAGCAGUUGUCCAUAAGUGUCAUAUCUGUUGUAAGGCAUGAGCUCAAACCCUACCAAACUCAAAUGAUCAAAUUUCCUUGGUAGGUGGUCAUACGUCACGUACCGUUUGUCCCAACAAGGCGCUCCCACUCUGUUGAACCUCUCAUCUCUUUAGGUAGCUUUAGGCACUUGAGAUCUUUACAAAGUCGAGAGGUAAAAUUAUUGGAAAAAAAAACUCGGUUUGAAAAUGGUUUUCUUGCACAGUAGAAAAAUAAAAUUUUGAAAAUUGACUUGGUUUGUGAUAUUUAUAACAAAAAAAAACCUUAACUGAAUUCAUACAUGUGUUUUUGGAUAAGUGGAUCCUUGAUGUUUUCAGGCUUUCAACCAAACGAUCUUUUGCACUAUUCUCGUACCACGAUCUGCUUCGAGUGUGGCCUCGAACCAAUUGAAUCAAAACACAAAACUAGAAAAGGUUUUCCUUUUUGGGUGAAAACCAAAAUUCUCUCUUCUUUAAUAGAAAUCGGUAAAAUUAUUAUUAUGAAAAAUAUGUUUAUAAGUUGAGAAUAAAUUCUCUCUAUUUUUCGACAGAAUAAAAAUCUCUGAAAAGUUGUGUAAAUAGCUCUACUGGUGCCAUUUAUUUAUAAGAAGAGAAAGUAGAACCCUUGUAGAGUUGUAAAAGUUUAUAUCCACUAGAAAAAUAAUAUCCUAGCCUAUCUAGGAUAUAGGGAGCAACAACCCUAGUUAAUGAUACUAGGGUUUUGUCGUCCCACCUCCUUAUAUGAGGGGUUUUAGGCCUCUCUCACAUCAGGUCCAAGUACAAGUAAUUCUUAAAUAUAAAUUUGAAUUUGAUAUAUUGAUUACAUAUGAAUUUAUAUAUUGUGAGUAAAAUUUUUAUUUGAUAUAUUAAUAAUGUAUAAAUUUAUAUAUUGUUAAUACAUCAUAUGUUUAAAAAAUCUAAUAAUUAUAUAUUAUUUUCAAUAAUUUUUAAAUUUAUUAAUUGAUUUAUUGGUAUAUUAAUAUUAUUUAUUAGUAAUAUGUAAAUUUAUACCCUGUCAAUUUAUGAAAUAACAUUUAGUGAGUGGAAUAUAUAUAAAAGAAGAUAUUCUAAAUCUUUCUAAGAUUUCUAAUUCUUCCUUAAAAUAGAAAAAGAAAUAAAUUGUUGAUAUAGAUAUGUUGAUAAGAUUUUCAUGUAGGGCUUUUCUGUAAUUCAUGAUUUUGUUACAUGCAUAAAUUGUAAUUGUGAUAUUUUAUAUUUUAUUUAUAUAAAUCAUGUUAAAUUUGAUUUAAAUUCCUUUUUUAAUUAUUUAUUCUUUUAAGAAAUUUCAAGUAUUCAAUAAAUAUUAAUGUAUACUUUUUCUUAAAUUGAUAUAAUAGUGAUAUCAGAUUAGUUUAAAAUUUUGCGUGUAUGACAAGUACAAUUAUAUCGAUAGAUUCAAUAGUCGGAUUAUUCAAAUAUUACUCCUACAAAUAUAUAUUUGAAGAAGUAUAAACUGCUUUAAUUUUACACUGGUAUAAGUAGAUCUCUCUCUUACAUCUGUUGUAUAUAUGAAAUUUUGAUUUUGAUUCAAACGUACUCAUUUAAAGAAAUAAAUAUAUCAAUUUAUUUUUAUAUUGAAUAAGUAUAAUUAUUUGGAUAUGCAAUAUAUAGAUGUAAAAUGAUGGUAUAUAAAUAACGAUGUUAGAUGUUUGUGAAAAUUGAAUCAAAUCAAUAUUUCAUGUAUAAAAUUGCACAAUGGACCAAAGUUCAUGUACAAUUUUGAUCUUUAUAUCUGAAAUUUAUUAAUGCAAAUUAUUUUCCAAAAGAUCACAUUGAGUAAGUUUAAUUUAAAUUUCAAUAUUUAAAUUUUUUUCUCAUAUAGAAAUAUAAUUUUUUUAAAAGAAGUGUAUACUAAUUGUUGAAAGAUUUUCGACUCUUUUGGAAAGUCUUCGAAGUGGCAUAUUUUGAAGAUGGUGGACCCUCAACACGUCCAAUAUUAUCAUUGGUUAAGGUUUUUGUUGGAUCUAGUGUCCUAAGUGUAGUACUUUUCAUCAAUAUACAGUUGUAAAUUUUUUUAACAAAUUGGUUAAUAAAACAAAUUUAUUGAUUAUAUUAAUAUACUUUAUAUAAUUGUCCUAACAUAGUUUUUGCACGCAAAGCAAAAUGGAAGCAAAUGUUGCUCAUUGGUUGCCUAAAUAUUUAAUUAAUACUAAGCGGUAUUAUGUGUAUAAAAAGACAGCUUGUAUUAGUAGACAAACCUAAACAUGUCCUUAGCAUAAUUGGAAAUUAGUAAAUUGAUUGAAAGACUAAUAUGUCGUCUAUCAAGUGUAUUUGGGGAAAUGCCUUGUCUUGGGCAUCGAAACGGAUGACUCCCAAAAGGUAGAGACAUAGAUGUGACUGACUGGACUGGUAGUAAAUUGGAUAGGACACAAACAGAAUAGAUCCUGAAUUCGUUUAUGGACUUAUUCACUUGUGAUGUCCAUAGUGUGGCAUACAUAAAUCUUGAAUGGAUAGCGGAGUACGUAUGUGUGACUUUUACACUUUGAUGUAAGUAAAAACAUAAGUUCAAUUAGAUAAGGAACCAGAAUCUGGUACAUUUGGUUUACGACUUCUAUAGUAUGUAGCAUCAUUUAUAAUAGUGAAAUUCAUAGCGCAAAAAAUGGGUAAAUGAUAUCCUCUCAUUGACAUUACAUGGUUAAUGAAAAGUAAACGUGGCCACGGGUUGUCCGUCUUUGUGAUGGAAACUUGAUCACUAAUUGAUAAUGAUUGAUUUUUCACGAAAGAAGAUGUAAUGGCUACCAUGAGAUAAAAUAUGAUCAUAUUAGGAGAACAAAUAUUAUCCCAAAGAGAUCAAGGAUAUCCUAUGAGGGUAACACACUAAUGACAAGGUUAUUGGACGAGCAUUAAGUAGUUGCUUUCGUAAUGGUAUGUCGUUAGGGAUAUUUCAUUCACGACACUAUAGUGGAAUGACUUCGUGACUAAAUGAUUUUAUAAUUAAUAGGUGAAAAAAUAGAAUUUAAUUAUAAAUCAUUUGAGCCUCAAGUUUAUAUGUCUACUCGGUCCCCCAACUGUUAGUUCAUUGAAACCAAAAAUUAAUUGCACGUUUGAAUGGAAAUCAGCGAAAUGGAUAGAAAAAGAGAAAUGAGAAACAUUCAGGAAUGAUUAUGGUUUCCUCUAAAAUGGAGAAAUGGAAUAAUUUGAAAAUGAAUGUAGGUUUCCAAAAAUGGAAAUAGAAAUGAAAAUGGAAACUUGCAAUUUUAUAUAUGAUUACUUAAAAAAUGAUGGAAGAAUGAGUUUAUAUUUUUGGACUAUUUUGAAGCUCGAAAAUGAAAAUAAAUCAUUCAGUCAUAGUGAACAUAUUGAGUUGUGUCAUAUUAAACGAAUUUUCUUGAAAUUUUAUUGGAGGUAAAAUUGCCAAAAUUUUACUGGGUAAAAUUGUCGUGAGAAAAUAAUUUAAUAUGUAAAUAUUAAAAUUUAUUUUGGAAAUAGAAAAAUUGAAUUGGGUUGGACCAUAUUACAAAGUACUAGAUCAAAAAGGCCCAGAAAGUACUCGUACUUGGACCCGAUGUGAGAGAGGCCCAAAACCCCUCAUAUAAGGUGGGACGGCAAAACCCUAUUAACUAGGGUUGUCGACCCUUAUAUCCUAGAUAGGCUAGGAUAUUAUUUUUCUAGCAGAAAUAAACUUUUACAACUGUACAUGGGUUCUACUUUCUUCUCCUAUAAAUAGAUGGCACCAAUAGAGCUAUUUGUACAACUUUUGAGAGAUUAUUAUUCUACCGAAAAGUAGAGAGAAUUUAUUCUCAACUUAUAAACAUAUUUUUUAGAAUAACAAUUUUACCGAUUUCUAUUAAAAAAGAGAGAAUUUUCGUUUUCACCCUAAAAGGAAAACCUUUUCUAGUUUUGUGUUUUGAUUCAAUUGGUUUGAGCCCACACUCGAAGCAGUUCGUGGUACGAGAAUAGCGCAGAAGAUCGUUUGGUUGAAAGCCUAAAAACAUCAAGGAUUCACCCAUCUAAAAACACAUGUAUGAAUUCGGUUAAGUUUUUUUUGCUACAAAUAUCACAAACCGAGUUGAUUUUCAAAAUUUUAACUUUUGAUGUGCAAGAAAACCAUUUCCAAACUGAGUUUUUUUUCAACAGUUUUAUCUCUCAACUUUGUAAAGAGCUCAAGUGCCUAAAGCUACCUAAAGAGGUGACAGGUUCAAUAGAGUAGGAGUGCCUUGUUGGGACAAACGGUACGUGAUGCAUGACCACCUACCAAGGAAAUUUGAGUAUUUGAGUUUGGCAGGGUUUGAGCUCAUGCCUUACAACAGAUAUGACACUUAUGGACAACUGCUACCAUUUAAUUAGGUCACUUUAUAAAUUCUCAUUAAUUGGAGGGCGAUUGCUAUUAAUAUUUUUCCAGAGUGGCUUUUGUCACCAUCACCUCGGCCAACUACAACCUCGUCAACUAUGACUUCAGUUGAUGGCUACACUUUGCCAGCUAUAGACCUCAUCAAUACAUAUAUGCCUAGUACAUGAUACUUCUAAUAUACCUCGUUAGUGAAAGAUGUUGGAUCCUUCUAUGCAUGGAUCACACGUAGGGUACUCUUGCUUAGGAAUGGCAAUAGGUUAGUAUCUACAUUUCUUGAAUUAUUAGAAUUUGGAUAUGCAUAUUUGCUUAAAAAUCAAAAUUUUUUUAUUAUCUAUAAAUCAUCUGAGUAUUACUAUCUAAAUUUGGCUUAAUUUAAGUACUAUUAUCUGUCAAAUAUCUGAAUCCACAAAAAAAGGGCAAUUUUAAAAUUUUCAAUCAUUUUUUGGAUAUCCAAAUUCACGAAAAUUCAAAAUUGAAUCCACCAAAUUUUUUUAUAUAUAAUCAAAACUAUACAUAUUUCGUGACUAGUUUAUUUAGAUAUUGAAAUUCCAAUCUACAUCUGCUAUUCGAAUAAGUAAUGUUGUAACACCUUAAAUAAUUUAAGUUUGUUUUUGUGAAAUUUAACACAAAAUGUGUACCUGCUUCAGUGGUUAAGUGUUCUAGGUGUGUGUGUGAGGUAUUGGGUUCAAUUCCCACUUUUGGCAAAACUUUGUUAUUUUAUAUCCAAGCCUAACUCUUAUUGAGUGGGCUUAUGUUAAUUGUUUGUUAAUCCAUAUCAGAAUAAGCUUGUUGGUUUGAGUGGUAAGGAGUUGGUGUGUAGGAGGUCUUGUUUUUGAAUCCCUACGUGAGUGUAGGUAUUAAUUUUUGCUCGGUUGUCUGAUAGAGUUUGAGUGGUCUUGAAAGUCUGAGGUUGUUAAGGUUGAGUGUUAGUCUGAAGUUAGGAUAUUGUGAGGGGAUUUUUAUGUUGAUUAUUAUUAUUUUAUUUUAUUCCUUUUUCAAAUUUUCCUCUCUCUUUCCAAAAUUUCCCUUUAAUGUUAUUCUUCAAGUUUUUUUUGUUGUCUCUGAUAUUUUUCCCCCUUUUCAUUAAAUCUUUAUUUUGUUCUUCUUUUUUGAUUAUGUUCGUCAACCUAUCAUUCGAUCGUGCCAUUGGAGUUGUCGGGUUAUCUAAUCGGUUGGUAAGUAAAACCUUGCUUCCCUUUAACUUUUGAUUUGGGAUUAUAGUGAUUUCAAUAUGUAGCAAUUGAUUAGUGGAACUUCGUGUUUAGGAGAAGAUUAUGGAGCAAUGAAUUGCACUCCAACAGUUUAGUGUGUAUUGAAGUGGUUUGUCAUCGACGGUAAGUCAGUUUCGUGUUGUUUCUUGUUGUCAAAUUCAUUAAUCAAACUACUAAAUCAAUGUUGGGUACUUUAAUUUUAGGAUUCGGAAGGCUCGGGAGUAUUUUUGCAUUAAAAUCGUAAUAGGUGUGUCCCCAAAACACAGAAAGUCAGGUUUCGAUAAAAGUCAAAAAUGCAUUUUGUCGAUGCGACAAGGGCAUGUGCCUGGUCGUGUGGCUAGUCCUGUGUGAGACACGGCCAUGUAUUUGACGAGGGUGUGGCUGUGCGCAAGCCACGGUCAUGUGGUAGUGUAAGUGUGGCUGUGUAGGCCAUACGGGCUAGGCCAGUCUAGGUUUGUGGGCCUACACAGGCAUGCCACACGGACGUGUAGGCCCAUACGGCCAUGUAGGCCCACAAUUUUGAGAUUUUCCCUUAGGUCGCACGGUUCGUUUCGAACGAUUGUGGACCUACCAUAGGGUCGGUAAGGGCUAAUCAAACCCUAAAUUAUGUGAAAUGAUAUUUUGAUCGUUCGCCUUGUGUAGGAUGUCAAUAUGUACAUCUGUUUUAUUUACGUAUAUAUAUGCUAUCUGUAUAUGAGCAUGUUAUGCAUGAUAUUACUGUAUCUGUUAUUUCUAUAUUAUGUAUCUGUAAUUGGGGUGGGUUUUGUAUAUGUAGAGAAAGUGAUCUGUACGAUAACACUUCCAUUAUAUUUUGACAGUUGACUGCAUAUUAUUUGUAAUGUGUCGCAUUGACACUAUAUGGUGUGUAGGGAUGGGUGGGUGCUUUUAACCCCAUAUGGUGUGAUGGGAUAGUCGAAGAUGUUGUGUAGAGGAUGGGGGUAGGAUUCUGUAUAUCUGUACUACUUAUCUGAUUUUGUUAUCUGUAUCUGGAAUGGAUAUAAGUCCGGAUCUUGAUCUGACUGUAUAUAAGACUUCUAUUUGUAUUGCAUGUCUAUUUUUGUUAGGUUACACAAUAAGUUUACGAAAACUCACAUCUGUUUGUCUGUUCUGUUUAGGUCUAUAGACUUAGGCGGAUCAGUGUGACGGAGCCUCACAGUAACCACGAGAUUGUAAACUAUUUAAGAUUACGGUUUUUAUUUAAUUUAAGGAUUCUUUCUGGAAGUUUGUAAUAAUUGGACUUUCUAGAAUAUUUGACUUUUAUUUCAGUUUUGGAGGUGUUUUAACUUUUAUGGCCACGUUUGACCAAAUUCACGGUUUUACUAAAAUAAAGGAUUUUCUGAAUACACGAAUUAAAUUUCCAAGAUUCAAUGCUUUUUGAAAACUUCCGCUGUAGAUUAUGUUUUGGAAAAUGAAUGAAUUAAAUAACGCUUCUAGUAACAGAUAGUACACUUGGGGUGAUUUAUCGAACGACUAAACAAAGCUUUAUUAAAAUAUCACUAUUUUAAAAACCCUUCCAUGUAACACUCUUAGAUUAGGCCACAACGUCUAGGCCAGGAUUAGGGUGUUACAUUUAAUGGUAUCAGAGUCAGGUUACAAAACUCGAGCUGUGAAUUUUGGGUUUCAAAAUUAUGUUUUGAAAAGAACAGGUUUUCAAAUAAUUUGGAUCAUUUUGAAUAAGUAUGUGGUACACUGAGUCUCCGGCGUUGAUCCUAUAAGUACUUUUGAACUUAGAUAAAACUUUCUGAAAACACUAUAGUUAGUACUUUCUGAAAUUGUACUGAGUUAGUUAAAAAAUAAAAACUUUUGAAAUAUGUUCGAACUUUUGAUAAUUUGAGCAUGAAAUAUAUGUUAAUAAACAUUGGAGCUGAUGCAUAAAAUUUUCUAAUGUAGAUAAAUUUGAAAAUAUACGAUGAGCGCUUGUGGAACUUGCGGUCAUGGUAUUCGUAGGCUCAGUGGGGGCCGUAAGGGGCUGGAGCUGAGUCUUUUUCUCUGGGCAGUAUGCCAAACUUAGAUAUGAGUAAGCCACCAGUGUCACUUGCUACUGAGACAAGGUCUCAAAGCCACUUGGCUGGGGACGACACACUAUCCCAAGCCAUGUUGAGGGUGUUGGAGAGGGUCACUGGACCCCAUUCUGGAUCUGUGGGCCGUAGGACGGUAACUGAACGACUCUGGUCCAAUAGAGCUGAGUUGUUUAGGGGUGUCAUUGAAGUCGCCCCUAUUGUGGUCGAGUAUUGCUUGGAGGGCACAAAGAGGAUUAUGAACGACAUCAAUUGUACUCCUAAGUAGAAAUUUAAUGGUGCAGCCUCUGUACUUCGCGAUGAGGCAUAUCAGUGGUGGUUGUCGGUUGAGGAGGGUACUCAACGGGACUGUCUGAACUGGGAUUAUUUUAAGACUACCUUUCAGGGGAAGUUUGUGGGCGCAAGCUAUGUUGAUACUUGUAGGCGUGGGUUCAUGAAUCUCACGCAAGGUGAUAAAUCUGUGGCUAAGUAUGAGGCCGAGUUUCUAAGGUUAAGCCGCUACGCUUGAGGCAUGGUGGUGACUAAAUAUGAGAAAUUCAUCUAUUUUAAGGAUAGCUUGAGGUAUAAUCUGAGGGUAUUGAUUGCUCCACAAAGGGAACGACAGUUCGCAGUUCUUGUGGAUAAGGUGAAGAUCGCCGAGGAGAUUAAGUGCGUGGAGCGCUAAAAUAGGGAUCGUGAGUGAGGCAAGAAUAAGAGGGAUUCAGAGCCCUCUAGUUCUGUUUAGAGGGCUAUUAGAGUAGGGGUUCCUAUUACUUCUAAUAGGAUUCAGCCACGUGAUGAUUGUGGUAGGCACCAUCCGGGUGAGUGUUAGAGGAGGUUAGGGGCUUGUUUGAGGUGUUGGUCUUUGGAGCACCACAUUAGAGAAUGUUCACUCCAUGCGGAUUAGAUGCAAGCUGUAGGAUCAAGUUUUAUACAACCUUAGAGGGCAGUUCAGCAGCCAUCUAAGGGUCGUGGUCCUACUAGGGGUGGUAAUGGUAUGGGUCGAGGACAUAGAAUAUCGGGAAAAGGUGUUAGUUAGAUUGAGGCAAGGCAGCCUGCACUGGUUUAUGCUACUCGAUGCCGAGAGGAUAGAGACGCUCCUGAUGUUAUCACAGGUACUUCUUUAUUUUUGGUGUUCCAUAUACUGCUCUGAUAGACAUAGGUUCUACUCAUUCCUAUGUAGGUAGUACUAUUUCUAAAAAUUUAGGGAUUUUUGGUGAGGGUACUUCUAGUGAAAUUAUUGUACUGAGUUCGUUGGGGCAGUCUGUUCAAGUAAGUAGGCUUUAUAGGAAUGUAACUUUGGAAGUACAAGGGAUUGUGUUUUCGGCAGAUCUGAUGGAGUUACUGUUUAGGGAGUUUGACUUAAUUUUGGAUAUAGAUUGGUUGGUUGAGCUUCGAGUUAGCUUGGAUUGCACGACUAAGAGGGUCAGUCUAAGGGCUGUGGAUGAAAGAGAGAUAGUAGUGAUCGGUGAGCAUCGAGAUUAUCUACUUAAUGUGAUCUCUGCUAUUGUGGCUGAAAAAUUGGUUCAGAAAGGGUGUGAGGCGUAUUUAGCUUACGUCAGUGUUCCAGUUUUUGGGGACUCUUCUGUCCGGGAUAUCAGAACAAUAAGGUAAUUUUUGGAUGUAUUUCUUGAGGAAUUAUCGGGUUUACCUCCGAAUUGAGAAGUUGAGUUCGAUAUUGAGCUUCUACCAGGUAUAGCUUCAGUGUCCAUCGCUCCCUAUCGAAUGGCAUCGAAGGAGCUUACAGAGCUUAAGGCUCAACUUCAAGAGCUUUUGCAUUGUGGUUUCAUCUAUCCUAGUGUGUCUCUAUGGGGGGCACCGAUUCUGUUUGUAAAGAAAAAGGAUGGUACCACAAGGAUGUGUAUUGACUACCUGCAGUUGAAUAAACUAACAGUAAAGAAUAAGUAUCCACUUUCGAGGAUUUAGGACUUGUUUGAUCAGUUCCGAGGGGCUGCAGUGUUUUCAAAAAUAGACCUUCGUUCUGGGUAUCAUCAGCUUAACAUUAGAUUUUCAAAUUUAAAAAUUAUUUUUUUUACAGCUGCAUAAUUAAUAAGAUAUCAAUUUUGAGUGCUGUAGAAGUGUUAUAACCUUCUCAACGCAUAACCAACUCUUGAAUUCACUUUUUUCUCUAAAAUUCUACAUAGAACACAAAUUUAUUUUUUAAAAGAAUUUUAAAUCUCACAAUUUUUUUAGGUGAUUCACCAAAGAAUAAAAAGAUAGGAGGUGAUUCCUCCUUUUUCAUAAAACCUUGUGCUUUUGCAAACACCAAAUUAUUGCUAAGCUUUACAUUAAUAGACAUGAUUUAUUUGUUCGUUAUUACUAUUUCUAUGAUUAUAAUACUAAACUUAUCGGACUACAAUCAUAACCAUGUUUAUUAUAAUUCAAUAAAAAGAAAUAAGUGUUGGGUGUAAUGGCAAGGUUCAUUACACUCUUAAUAAGAGAUCAGGGUUUUGGACAAAGGAAGAAUAUGAUUCGAAUUUUGGAGAUGCCAUUCUUAAAAUGAGCAACCACGAAGCCCGAUUAUGAACCAUAAAAUGAACAAGAAAAGUACAAAAAAUACGUCUAUUAUCAAAUUAGUAAUCCAUCCCAAGGCUUAAAUUAACAAAAUUCACCAUGCAACCGUGUAGACUAUUUUACGUAUAUACUAUAUUCAUUCUUCAUGCAAAAUGUUUAUUAUAUUUAAAAAUUAAAAUAUAUGGUUGAUUGAGUUUUAGUUGAGUUAAUAUUGAUAUUGUUGUUAGUGCAGAAGAAUGUGAGUUCAAUCAUGUUUAAACGCGUUUUUCUUUCAAUUUAGGAGUUGGAAAGGGUUCUCAAUAGUUAAAUUAUAUAAGUUUUUUUGUCUAUUUAAAAUUGAUUUAUAAACAAUAUAAAUAAAAAGAUUUAAAAUAUAUAUAUUCAUAUUGAUGGGCUUUUUCAUUAUUAGACUUUUUUCCUUACAGGUAAAAGUAUAUAUGGACAUGAUGAUGUAAAAUUAUGACCUGAAUAAUUUUAAACCUUUCAUCACUGCAAAAAUGAAAAUAAUAGAAAUGAAAGACUAGCCAUUGUAUGAAAUUUAUAAUUGAACUGCCAACAAAAUUGGGAGAAAUUUUUAAAUUUUAUGAAAUUUUAAAAUUAAACUAUCAAUAAUAGAAAAUUGCCUGAGUGACUUGGGAUUAGAGGUUGAACAUUUCUGGACCACAAUACAUUUAAGAUGGGUCUUUAAAGUUAUACUUUAGUUAUUGAGAACAUUUUCCACAAAUUGUCAUUAUUGUUUACUGCAGCAAAACAGGCUUUUAGCAUCGUUUUUUUAGGCCUAUAGCGGCGUUUUCACAAGAGUCGCAAAAAAUGCCACUAUAAAAAACGCUGUUAAAUUUUGCGGCGUUUUAGAACAUGACCUUUAGCGGCACUUUACCCACAAAUGCCACUGAAGAACAUGAUCUUUAGCGGCGCUUUCCCAUAAACACCACUAAAGAACUUGAUCUUUAGCGACACUUUUAUCACAAACGCCGCUAAAGAACAUGACCUUUAGCGGCGCUUUUAUCACAAACGCCGCUGAAGAGCAUGGCCUUUUGUGGUGCUUUUAUCACAAACGCCGUUAAAAGUACCAUUCUUUAGCGGCGUUUAUGAAAAAACACCACUAACUUUGGCAGAUUUGUAACAUCCAAUUUUCAUCCAUAUACAACCCUUCCUGUAGCAUGAAAUCCAACCAAAAACAACAAAUCUAAAUGAUACUUCAAAUUCUACAAAAGAUAUAUGAUAUAAAUUGAUAACUGAAGUAUAAUUCAAAAUAUUCUUACAAUAAUGUUAAAAGUUACAACGUUAAAAAUAUUCUUACGAUAAGAAAGCAAUGUCUAAGAUGGCGGAUUUUGCGACUGCUGAAACAUCUUCAUCAUAUUCUGAAGCUGUAGCUGGAGUGCGUAGUACUUUUUGACUGAAUAAACACAAAUCUAUUUUUCGACAGCUAUAUCAAAUUAGCUAUAAACCUUCAACAGGACCAGUACUUGCAAAAACCUCUUGGAGUAGUGGUUCAGCCCACCAACCUGCAGUUUCUCAAAAAUUAAAAUAAAAAAUUAAAAGUUAAAGAAAAAAUAGAAAAAAGAAGAGAUAAAUAAAACUAUAUAAGUAACUUUCUAAGUUGUUAAAAAGAUGCAAGAACAUGCAAGCAUCUAUCAGAUUCCAAAAACCAUUUAACUAGCAAUUAAAAGAGCCAUUAGCUUAGAAUUUUGCACAGAGGGUCAUAGCCACAUAUCCAAUCAGCAACUCAUGAAGGAAAGUGUCUCUAAUUCAUGCAGUUAUAAGCACAAAAGUGACUAGGGUAUGUGCUUAAGCAAGAAGGGGAAAUAAGAGACUCACAAUAUACAAAUAAAACAAAAUGGAAAAAAGGGGAAAAAGAAGUAAAAAAAACCUAGGCAAACACUCACACACUGCGGCAAGUACUUGGAUCAAAACCAUGAGGCAAAUUUCCACUUGGUAUUGGCUCUGUUUGUAGAAUAGAAAAGUGAAAAAUAAAAAAGAGGAGAAAAGAAGAAACGAUGUACAAAAAAUUCAAAUCCCACUCAACUCAAUUCUAAAGCCUCCAUAUCCAAGAAAAAGGAUGAGUUUUUGAAGAAAUCCAAUAGUCAACCUAAAUGAACAAACAAGAUGCUAACUACGACCAUGACAAAUGUAAGCAUCACUUCUCCUACUUUGGAAACACUUUCCACUUGAAAAGACAACAGACUUCCUUGCUUUUACUAUUAUCACAUUUUCCCCCUUCAUUUUUUUAGUGCCGACCAGAAAAAAAAUAUUUUAGCCUCAUCUAAAUAAGACAAAUUUCAGCAGAACAAUAGACAGUAGAUCAGACCCAAUUCAAGGGUAAUGUAGUCCAAAGUUCCUUGAACUCCCUCCUUCAAAGUGAAAAACAAAUCUAUAUCUUUCUGCAUGAUUCAAACAAAAAUGACUGUUGGACAUGUAACUCAGAAAGAAUGCAAAUACAUUGAAAGCACCACAGACUUUAUAAAUUAGCUUCAUGCUGCUAAAUUUCAACACUAUAAACCUAACAAAGCCCAGAAUGAAAUGCGGGAAUCAUGUCUUAAACUCUAAUACUCAAACAAGAGACAGAUAAAUUGCACGUUUUUUUAUAUAAUAUUUACAAACUAGAGAUAAAGAUAUAGAAAAAUAUAAACAUGGACAUGGACAAAAAGACUAAUUGACUGUGCAUGUGUGCCAAAGAGAUGGCAACUAAACAUUAUCCAAACACAAUCAUUUCUCAACAUUUGCAAAACAAAAUGAAGAUUAAGAUUAGCGGUAAACUAAAUAAAACCAAAGAAAUGAGAACCACAAGUAAAUGAGAAAGAAAACAAAAUAGAGAACCUAAUAGCUUUCCCAUUGAACUUCGUAUAAAAGAAAUAACAACAUUCGAACUUCAAGCAAAUAAAAAUGUAAAAUAUUUAGAAUCAAAACAAUCUUUUAUCAAAAUUCAAACCAAAAACAAUGAGCUUCACUCUAUACAAGAAGCAUGUUAACCUCAUAGGCUUUCUGAUUUCUGGAAACCAAAUCCAGAAACGUCUCCCACCAAAAAUCAAGAAAAUAAAUUUUGUUUUUAAAAAUUACAUUCAAAUCGUGAAAUAGGAGCAAGGUCCUUCGAAUUCAAGCAAAGUUGAUGGUAAAAGCUUAGCUUUCAAAGGUCAAACAUCACAGCAUUAAAUAUAAAACUAACCCAAUCUCCACCAAUUCAAAAACAAGAAACCAAACACGAACCAGAAGAUCCAAACACGAUUUCGAAAAAAAGAAAAAUAGAUAUUCCUGAAAACUGGAUCAAAAACUAGCAUAUACUUAAUAAAAAGAGAAAUUGACGGAAAAUCAUAGGAGAUCUGCAUGCAAAUAGAGGCACACUUUUGCUUGAUUAUUCGCUUAAAAAAGUAACAAUGGAAAAUAAGAUGCAAGUUCUAGGUAAAACCAUCAUGUCUUCUUACUCACCACAAACAAAGGCCCUCUAGGACCUUCAUGAAUUUUUGUCUCAUAAGUGCUUCUAUUGUGAGCCCGAACAGCUUGAUAGCCCACAAGAUAAGGAUAUCGAUCUUCAUCCUACAGAUUAACAAGGUUAAAUCCACUUAAAUGAAACACCAUUAGUCCAUAACAAUUUACUUCAAUUUUCUGCUGUUAGUUCAAAUAUGUAUUUUUUUUAAUUUGACAAAACUUGUUAGGAUCGAAUAUUCGGAAUUCCUAAAUUUCAAUUCAAAUUUACACCAUACUUGCAGAAAAAUAUACUACUAUUAGAGACACCGGCAAUCAACCAGAGUUCUUUAGUUUUCAAUCAAGUUAUUCGGCAGGAAUCUAUAUUGAUUACACAAAAAAAAAAUCAUACACCGUGAGAAUGUCGAGUAAAUUGCAAAUAGAAAAGCAAACGAACCCUAGAGGAGCUCCAAUACUUCUUCUCCCAAGGGCCUUUGUAUAGAGAUCCAAUGGAAAUGAUCUCUAGAUCGUCUAAUUUCGCUGUUUGUUCUGCUUCUUUAGUUUUUGCCAUUCAAAGAAAUGAGAAGAAAGCAAGAUUUCCAAACAACUAACAAUAAGCGAGUAGACAGAAUUUUCAAGAUAGAUGAAGAGAUGGCAUUUUAAAAUAGCGGGAACUAAAAUCUUGAAAUGCGUCAUUUCCCUCAAAAUUCUAAAUAAAAACUUUAUUUAAUUAGGAAAAAUGUGAAUCGAUUUUGGGAAAAAUAAGAGGAAAAAAAAAGAAGAUAUUUCAUUUGAAAUUUUGGGAUAAAAAAUAUAAUUACAAAACGACGCUGUUUUGCAAAAUAUAUAUUCGUGGCAUUUGGACCAAAAACGCUACUAUUGUUCAACUUUUUUGCGACGAUUGCAACAAAAACGCCGCUAUUGCUUACCUUUUGUGGCAUUUUUUUUAUAAACGCAGCUAACGCUCGACUUUUUUACAAUUUUUAUAUUGAAUUAUUGUAUCUUUCAUAUAAAUUUUAAAUAAAUAAUUUUUUAAAUUUUACGUAAUAUUUAAAAGAAUUAGAUAAAAUUAUAAUUUUUUAUUUUUUGUAUUUCAUUUUUAUUUUUGUAUUUCAUUUUUAUUUGUUAUAAUUUGGUCCUAUCCAAAAUAGAUAGUUACCUAUCCAUAUCAAUCUGUUACUUUUUUUAUUUAUUUAUCAAUGUUUUUUUAAAUCUAAUAUUUAAAUAUAUCAAAUGGUUUAGAUUAAAUAUUUUUAAAUAUAAAAGCAUUAAUUGAUUGUAUAAAAUUUCAUCAUUUAACAAAUCUCAAGUAAACCUUAAAUCCUAAACCAUUUAAUAUUUAUAAAGUUUAUCUAUUAUCUCUUAUAUAAUUUAAACUAUAAUCAUAAUUUUAAUAUAUUAAAAUUAAUAUUAUCUCUUUUACAAUUAUAUAAGAAAUGAUUUAAUAUAUAAAUUAAAAAACACUAAUUAAUCUAAACUCUAAACCCCUAUCCCCUAUCCCCUAAACCUUAAAUCAUAAAACAUAACCCUUAACCCUUAACCCUUAACCCUUAAUCCUUAAUCCUUAACCCCUAAACCUUAAACCCCAACCCUUAAACCAAAAAUCAUAAACCAUAAACCAUAAUCCCUAAACCCAUAAUCCAUAAACCUUAAAAUAGUAACUCCUAAGCCAUAAACCAUAAACCAUAACCCUAAACCCUAAACUAUAAUGAUAAUUAAUUCAAUAUUUUAAAAUUAAUACUAUCUCUUUUACAAUUAUAUAAGAAAUUAUUUAAUAUAUAAAUUAAAAAACAAUAAGUCAUGAACCCAAAAAACUUUAAAAUUAUUUUAAAUAAUAGUAUUUUAAUUUUUUUCAUUUUUAACAAAUAUUUUCUAUGUUUUUACUUCCAAAAAUUGUCUACAUGUCAUUAUUUUUUUUUGAAGAAUUUAAAUAUUCAAUUAAAAAUAAAUUUUAUUUUAAUUAUAUAAAUAAACCAGUUAAAUAAUAAAUAGACAAAUAAAAUAUUUUUUGCGGCAUUUUUGAUAAAGUGCCGCUAAAGCUCGAUCUAUAGCAGCGUUUUACAAAAAAGCGUCGCUAAUGCCACUAAAGCUCAUUACUGAAUUUUUUGCGGCAUUUUUCAAAAAGCGCUGCUAAUGCUCGACCUAUAGUGGCGUUUUUCAAGAAGCGCCGCUAAUGCCACUAAAGCUCAACAUAAAGGUACUUGAGUCUAGUUUCAAAGACAUCAAGCGGAUAUUAAUUCGGAAUUCUGUAGCUCAAGAUAUAAAUUUAUGUUAAUCUUGUUAUCUUUCUUAUUUUAGAAUUGAUUACAUGAAAGUUAAUUGCUAAUACUAUUAGUUAAUUAUUAGUUUUCUUCAAAUCAAAUUAAAACCCGAAAGGUCCCUCUUUUUUUAUAUUAGUUUUAGUUUUCCAUUAAAUUUGUUUCUUUGUAAUAAAAUUAAAUUAUAGAAAUAACAUUAAAAUUUUAAAUAAAAAUAGUUCACAAUAAUUUAUUAUUUAAAAAACUCCCUGAAAUUUAAAAUUAUUGUUAUAAGUAUACCAUUAAAUUAUACAGAAUUUAAUUUUUCUUUCAAAUACUACAGUUAAUAAGGAAAGAGAAUAUAGUUCAUAUCAAUAAAACUUUAAAAAAGAAAUAUUGUUUAAUUAGUUAAUUUAAAAAUCAAUAGCGUCUAAAAACGGUCAGAAUGAAAUAUUAGAUUUUGUAAGAUUUCAUUAUUCUAAAAAAUAAAAUAUGACCAUGCUUAAAAAUUUUAUUAAAAAAGUUUUAAAUUUUAUAUAAAAAUAAAAAAAUAGUACUAAAAAUUUUUAUAAGCAAAUUUAAAUAUUAAUUAGUAAAUUUUUUUUGUAAUAUUUAUAUGUAUUUUCAUUCUUAUAAAUACUAUUAAAACUUUUUAAAAAAAUUUGAAUGCUAUUUAAAAACAUUAUUAAAAAUAAAAUAUUAUAUGAAAGUUAAAAUGAUCUAAAAACAUAUUUUAAAAAUUUAAAUACUUUAUAAAAUAUUUAAAACUGUUUAAAAAUUUCUAAACCCUAAAAAAAUAAUAAAAUAUAAUUCUUUCUAAGAAAUCAACAAAAAUAUAUUUAUAAUUGAACUCUCAACAAAAUUGUGAGAAAUAUUUAAAUUUUAUGAAAUUUUAUACUUAAACUGUCAAUAAUAGAAAAUUGCCUGAGUGACAUGGGAUAAGAGGUUCAACAUUUCUGGAUCACAUUGCAUUUAAGGCGGGUCUUUAGGGUUAUACUUUAGUUUUUUAGAACAUUUUCCACAAUUUGCCAUCAUUACUUGUGAGUGAUUUGUGGGGUAAGAGGUUGAACACUUCUGGAUCACAUUGCAUUUAAGACUGGUAUCAUUCAUAAAUUAUAUAUCUACAACAAGAAUGGUAGCCUCUUAUAUUAUAUUCAUGUAUCUAUUUUGCAUCUUUCAUUAUAAUAUGAUUUAGUAAUUUUAAUAUUUUUAUAGAAUAAUAUGAUUUAAAUUUUUUUGUAUUUUUCGUAAAAAUUAUAAUAAACUUACAAAAUGAUUUAAUGAUAUUUAAUUAUUAACGGAAAAAUUAUAUCAUAUAUAUUCUGUAUAUAUUAAGAUUCUGAAUUAUUAAUUAUAUAUCUACAUAUUAUAAUAAAUUCAUCUUUCAAAAUUUUCCUAAACUAUAUUCACAAUAUUAUAAAUAUAUUAUAUCAAAAAUAUUCUUUCAAAUGUUUUUUAAUGUUUAAUAAUAAAUUAAUUUAUAAAAUAUUCUUUCAAUAAAUUAACGUGAUGAGAUCGUUAAUUAGGUGCUUGGAUUUGGUGAUGGGGACGAAGAGAAAAGGGAUGGAAGUGAAGACAAAUGUUGGGAAAUUGAAAGGGUUAGCGAGGGAGGCCAGCGUGAAAGGUGGUUCUACGGAUAUGAACCUUCAAGCUUUUGUGGAUGAUGUUACUAAAGGUUAUUGCAAGUAAAUUUAAAAAUGUUUUUUAAUUAUUUUUUGUUAAAAAAUAUUUUUUUUUCUAUGUGGCUUUCCACAUUAGCAUGCUACCAUGUGGUAACUUCUAGUGAUUUCCGUCUGUAAUAUUAGACAGGUUAACAGUUAAACCAUUCAACUGACAAAUUUCGUUAAAGGAAGAGGUCAAUUAAUUUUUUUUGGACUCAUUGAGUACUCAAUUGGUGCAUUUUUUUAUAAAGACUAAAUUAAUUUUUUUAAUUUGUUAUUGCUGAGGGCUACAGUAAUAAAAAGUUUUGAGGUAAAAUUGGAAUAACGUCCCAAAAAUCUAAUACUUAAUUUUUAAAAUUUUAUCAUUAAUAAAUAUUUGUCUUAGUGAUUAAGUAUUUGAGUCGUGUUUAUAAGAUAUUGUAUUCAAGUUCCUACGUGAAUGGAUUGUUAUUAUUAUUAUUUUUUAAUUUUUGAGUUUGAGUCCAUUUCGAACUCUGGAAAAAGGUGGUUACUUAUCUGAGAUGGGGUUAGUGCUUAGUAGAUUUGGAUUUGGUUUAUUUUAAAAUUUAUUAAUUAAUUUGUUAAAAAAUUAAAUUAGUUUUUUCCUAAUUUUUGGCUCACCGUUCUUUCUCUUGUUUUUCUUUAUGCUUUCUUUUUCUUUUCUUUUUCUGUUACCUUUCAAAUCACGUCGAUUUGUUCCUAUUUCGCUUUUGAGUUUUUCUUUUCUUUCCUUUACGCUCCUCUACGAUCGUGUCUUAAUUCCUUCAUUAUUUUCUCUUUGUUGGCGUUGCUCGUUCGUAAGUGGGUUAGUUUCCGUUUUGAUGUAUUUUUACGUGGUUAGUAAAAGAAAUGUGUUAAUUUUUGGAUUAUGGAGUUGAUCGUUUUUAAUCAAUUCUCCAGUAAGUUGACUCGUUCGCUGUUAUUAUGUCCUAGGGUAAAGGAUUAACUCUGAUUUGGGCCCGUGUGGUUGUGUAGAUUUUUCAUGUGAAUUCGUUUGGUAUUUUUAGGAUAAAUCAUUCUUUAAGUCGUAUUGCUACCAUCGCUAAUGUGAUGUUUUAAUUUAUGCAUUUAGGAUUUGAUAGUCUUAUGGGUGUUUUCGUAUAAAAAUCAAACCAAGUGUGUAACGAAAAACCCGACAACAACGAGCGACGAAAGUCAAAAAAUUGCACUGUCGACACCACACGGCCGUGUGUCGGGCCGUGUGACAAGCCGUGUUUCAGACCGUGUGCGACAUAUUGUUUGGGCUAGUUGAGCCGUGUGGAACACACAGGUGUGUGUGAGGAUGUGUGCCACGCCAUGUGAGCCACACGGGCUGGCCAUUUAGGCCGUUUGAGACCAAAAUACUAAAUUUUUCCCUAGGGUUAUACACAUCGUUAUGAUCGAUCGUAGGCCUUUCGUGGGGUCGAUAUAUAAUCAAAUAGACUGUAAAGUAUGAAAUCCGGUCAACUAAUAGUAUAAAUUCUGAUAUCUGUUCAUAUAUUUGAGAUGUUAUUUGUUCAAUAAACCUUGUAAUAGGCUAUGAGAAACUUGAGAAAUAUUAUGUAUGCUUUGUAUCUGUUAUGUCAUACAUGUAUAACUGUAUUAUGUCUGAUUUUGUUCUAUUCUUUUCUGUAUUUGCAUUUGGGGUGGGUUAUAUUAUGUGGAGGAAGUGUUUCUUUGAAUGGCGAUAAUUCGCCUAUUACACUGGCAGCUCAGCUACAAAUAUUCUGAAAAGUGUUAUAUCGACACUAAAUGGUGUGUAAGGUUGGAUGAGUGUUUCAUACCCCAUAUGGUGUGUUGAGCUGGUCGGAGAUAGUGUGUAGCAGAUGGGGGUAGGAAUAUAUGUUUGUAUCUGUACUGCUCUGAUAUGAAUAUGUUCUGCUAAAUCUAUCUGAUAUAAAUUAACUGUUUAAAGUUAUUUGUUAUACAUUGAGUUUUGUAAACUCACUUUCUGUUUGUUUGAUAUUUUUAGGUAACCCUCAGACUUUGGCAAAUUGGUGCGAAGGAGCUCGGUUAAAUUGAUUUAGUUUCAUCAUCUAUUAUAAUCAAAUUUUGUGUUAUUGUGUUUCAUUAUUUUUGAACUUUUGGGACUUUUUGGACUGUUUUGGUUUUUGAGAUUUUAUUUUCAAUUUUUGCAUGAUAUUAUUAAAAAUGUUUUAUCGGAAAUGUCUGUUUUCUUGAAAAACAACUGAUUUCAAAAAAAUAAACUUAGUUUUCCAAACAUAAUGAUUUGAGAAUUUCCGCUGCUAAGUAUUCAUUUUAGAAAAUGUAAGCAAACAUCGUUUUCAACUACAAAGUUAAGUUAGAUGUAUUUUCUCUUAAAUCGAGGUUUAAGUAAUAAAAGAUUAUGUCAUUUUUCCAAAUUUUACGAAAAAUUGGAUUUACAAUUGUUUUAUGUAACAUCUCUAGAUUUGGCCAUAACGUCUAAGUCGGAUUUCGGGCGUUACAUUUUGUGAUAUCAGAGUCAGGUUGCAAAACUCGGGCUGUGAAAUUUUCGGUUCAAAAUUUUGUGAAAACUAUUUUUCGAGUAAAGUUCAUUUCUGCAUUAAUUUGAAAAAUUAAUUAUAUGAAGUAUCGAGUCUCUAACGUUGAUCCUGUAAGUACUUUUGACUUAGAUAAACUUUAGUUUAGAAAACUCUGAAAUGAUUAGAACUAUACUUGGAUAGUUAGAGACUGAAACAUCUUUAUAAAUUCUUUUGAUAACUUUUUGAGAACAAAAUAUCUGCUAAUAAAUACUAAAAUUGAUACAUAAAAUUCGUAAUGUAAGUAAUAUAUACGAUGAGUACUUGUGGAACAUGUGGAUGCGUUACCCGUAGGCGUGGCGGGCGCCGAAGAGGGGCUCGAGCUGAGUCAUCCUCGAUGGGUACCUGAUAGGCUAUUGCUGGAGAGAGCAAUAGUCUUGAGAGAAGAAAUGUUGAAGAUCGAAGUCAAAAUCUGACCUAUAAAGCCUUUAAUUGCUUGAAUGAUAAGCAUUUCUAAACUAAAAAGAUUACCGAUUUUUUCAGGAAUUUGACCUGCAGACAUAGUUGAAACAUCAAGGUGUUAAAUUACCUAUUUUGUUAGUGUAAAUCAAAGAGGCGUUUUAUUUUUUUCGUUUUGAAAUAAUAUGGAUAUGUUAGAUUCUAAUCAUAUUUAAGUAUAUAUUAGUUCUUGAAAGAAAGAGUUCUUAUUUUUGGUAUUUAUAUUGCAAAUAUAUUUUUUUAAAUUUAAAAAAGGGGGGGGGCAAAUGUGUUUAAAACUAAAGACAUCAAGGAAAAGGCAUACCUUCUAGGUUAUUUAACCCCAAGUAUAAUUGUUUAAGUUGUGUCAAAUUCCCAAUGCUUUUUGGAAUGAUCCCACUAAAUUGAUUAAUAGACAAUUCCAAAAUUUGAAGGUUGCAGCAUUUGUCUAUACUUGAUGGAAUAGAACUUGAUAAUUCAUUUCUACUCAAGUAAAGCUCUUUAAGCUUGGGAAGAUGGACACACUAAAUUGAUUAAUAGACAACUCCAAAAUUUAAAAGAUAUUCUGGCUUCGCCCUUAAUAAAAUUUUUGGAAAAAGAUUAAAAAAAAGUUAUACGGUAAAUGAAAAAAAGAAGAAAAUAACUUGAUGUCCAAAAGCUACCAUAAACAGUAAUUCGUGGGAAGGCUUGUUGCUCAUUUUAUUGGUUUCCAUUUUGAUUUUGCAAAAGAAGUUUGAAUUUUGAAGAGAGCAUACUACGUGAGAGCAAAAGAAAAAAUAUAGUUUAUUAAUUUUUACGAAUACCGACAUAUUAUAUAUACGAUUAAAAUUCAGAAUAGAUUAAAAAUGUUCAAUUAAAGAUAAAAUUAAAUGUGAAUUAAUAACCACAAGUCUACUCAUUACUCAUUACUCACCGUCUCUGUUAAAAAUGUUGGAUGUUGUUCAGCAACCUUUGUUUGAUUUUCUUCAGCUCAACCACAACAUCUUUCAUAUCUUUUCUUUCUUCUGGUAACUCAGCUGAACAAUUCAAAGCCAACUCCAUGAUAGAUGAAAUGCAAUUUGCUUUAACAACAAAGUACUCAUCGUCUCUUCUUAGUAAAUCAACAUCUGCAAUUUCUAUCGCUCCUUUAGGCAAUGAACUUUCCAUCCAAUGCCUUAUAGUCUCUUCUUCAACAAAAACAUUAUCAGUUGGCUUUUUCUUUGUAAAAGUUUCUAUAAGGACGAUCCCAAAACUAUAGACGUCAGAUUUUAUAGAAACAAUUCCUGCCGAUCCAAAUUCUGCAUUUCAAGUAUAAUUAGAACAUCAUUCAUCCUCAAUUAUUUCUAAAAUGCUUAUUCAAAUAUAUAUCCUCAUACACAUGAAACAAAAAUAUAAAAUGCAAAUUAGGAAAAUAAUCAUACAAAAAUAAAAAUGAAUUCACCUGGUGCCAUAUACCCGAUAGUUGCAAGAGUCAUGGUUUGCUUCAUUACUUCACCUUCCCCCAACAAUUUGACAAGGCCAAAAUCUCCAACAUGUGCAACCAUGUCUUCAUCUAGUAAAAUAUUGCUUGGUUUUAUGUCACAAUGAAUUGUAGGUGUUGGAUGUCCAUUGUGGAGGUGUUCUAUAGCUACCGCAACAUCUAUCAUUAUGUCGACCCUUUGUAUGAUAUCAAGGAAACAAUUUUCAGAAUGUAACCAUUUCUCAAGGUUUCCAUUAGACAUGUAAUCAAGCACCAAGGCUUUGAAGCCAACACUUGAGCAGCAAGUAACGACCUUCACAAUAUUACGAUGAACUACAUUACGCAUAGCAUCACAUUCAAUGUCAAAACUCCUAAAUGCUCCCUCUGUUUGCAAAUUGAAAACUUUUAUUGCAACUUCCAUUCCAUCCGAAAGCCUCCCUUUAUAUACAUAUCCAAAACUCCCUGAACAAAGCAUAUUGCUUUCCUUAAAUCCAUUAGUUGCUCGUGAAAGUUCAGCAUGUGAAAUUCUUCUCGGUGUUUUCAAAGACAACAAAUCAUCUUUAAUUGGUAGAGUUGUACUCCUUCUUUGGCAUCUUCUAUACAUAAUAGUUAAGACUAUUAGUACUACGACAACACCAAUUGUUGGUAAACCAUACCUAAAAGCAUGCAAUAUAAUCAUUUGGGAGUUUUUGUGGAUGUCGUUUUUGCAAGGUGGAACUAGAAAUCUAUGUGGACCACAAAGUGCAUAAUUCUUCAUGAAUGAUGUGCUAGAAAAGUUUGAAAAACAUCCUUUGCUGGGAAUUUCCCCUUCAAGUCUAUUGAAAGACACAUUAAAAUACUUUAGAUAUAAAAGCUUUUCCAAAGAUUUGGGAAUGACUCCAGAGAGAUUGUUAUUGCAUAAAUCCAAGAAUUCCAAACUAAUCAACCCAUCAAAUGAUUCAGGGAUAUGACCAUGUAGUAUAUUAUUUGAUAAAUCUAAUGAAACCAAAGUUUGAAGACCCCCAAAUGUGGAUAAGAUAUCACCCGUGAGAAGAUUCCUAGAUAAAUUUAGUUUCAGUAGACUCCUCAAAUUUCCAACAUCAAUAGCGUGUGAAUUGUGAAGAUGGUUUGAUGAUAAAUCUAUUUCUAAGAUAUCUUUAAGAUUCCACAAAGUUGAGGGAAUUGCGGAACUCAAUUUGUUGGAAUCUAAGCAAAGAUAUCCCAAAGAAGUAAUAUUACCUAAACAAGAGGGUAUGGAUCCAUGCAGCUUAUUCAACCCUAAACACAAGUUGUAUAGUCUCUCCAAACCACAGAGGCUUUCUGAGAUGGGCCCUCCUAAUUUAUUAGAGGAAAGAUCUAGACCUUGGAGAUUUCGCAGUCCUCCUAUUGAUGUUGGAAUGAAUCCACUUAAUUUAUUAGAGCCAAGUUCUAAACCGAACAUAUUGGUUAAGUUACCUAUUUCCAUAGGAAUAAUGCCUUGAAGCUCACACUCUUCGGCAUAAAAGUAUUGAAGGGAUUUUGAAAGGUUCCCAAUAUAAGUAGGAAGAACGCCACUCAAUGGAUUUCCUGAAACUUCUAUGUCUUUCAAAUUCUUACAAUUCGUCAAAGAAGAAAGAAAGCUCCACUCAUGAUCAGUAGCAGAUCCUGUGAUCAAAUUAUUGUCAAAGAUUUUGAGCACUUCAAGGUGUUUUAAGCUGCAAAGCAUUCUAGGGAUUGGGCCAGAGAAUAAGUUUUGUGACAAUUCUAGUUCCUUAAGCAUGGAAGCAUUGGAGAUAGAGUUGGGAAUGUUUCCGCUAAGUUUAUUUCUCCACAAUAAAAGAAUCUCAAGCUUUGGAGCAUUGGUGAUGGGUGGUAAAUUACCUGUAAAAUAGCAUCUUUUAGUAUACAUAUUCAUUGAAUACCAAAUUUACAAAAUAUAUAAUACAUUAAAAUAAAAACUGUACAACUUUAAAUCAAUUAAGAAUAGAAUUUUGGCAUGGAAAAAUGUGAUGAAAUCACUUAGAAAGUUGAGACAUAAUAAGAAGUUUUAAGUAGUAAUUAUUCCUUGUGAUUUGUAUAGAAAAAACAUAUAAUACACUAACAAUUUUUUAAAAAUAAAAAUAAAAGUUUGGCAUGAGAAUGUGGCAUCUAAUCCAUCUUAAAAAUGAGUCUGACACUGAAUAAUAAUUAGUUAUGAUUUGGGAAAAAAAUGUUAAAGCCAUUGUUUUUAAUGUAAACUGGUAUGAUUUUUAUCUAUUGGGUAUAUUAUUUAUUUUUAUUAAAUUAUAGUGUAAAAUUUAAAGAUUAUUAUUUGCUCAAAAUUUUUGUAUUUUUCGUAUAUUUGAAAUUUAAUCUUUAUAUUUUUUAUUUUCUGUGAUUUAGUCUCUCUACUUUUUGAAUUGUAAAUUUUAGGUUUAUUUAUUAAUGCUGUUAAAAAGUUUUUGUGUUAGUAUGGCAUUUUGAAAAAUAAAAUAAACUUGAUAUCUAUGUUUUUAAUUAUUCCAAAUAUUGUUUUACUAUUUCAAGAUAAAUUAUUUGUGUCUAGACCAAUAUCUUAAGAACUAUUAUUGCAUGUUUAAUUAUUCUAAAGAAUUGUCGAUUGAGUCUUAGCUUGAUUGGCAUGUGCAUUGUUGCCAAUGUAGGAGAAUGUGGGUUCAAGUAUGCUGAAGUGUAUUAUCCUUCUAUUUAUGAAUCAAGGAGUUGGCAAAGUAUUAUAUUUUGAUAUAUUUUAGAAUAUUAAAAAAUUAUUAAAAUAUUUUUUUAUAAAAAUUGGUUGUACCACAAUAUACAUCAAAUUUUUAAUUUUUUUAAAAAUAUUAGCGAAUUUAUAUUUUAUUUCAAGUUACACAAUUUUUACUAGUUUUUAACUUUUUUUUAAAAAUUUUUAUCGUCUUUCAUAAUUUCUAAUAAAUUUUUAUAUAUUUUUGACAAUAUUUAACAAUUUCUAACAAUUUUUAAUAAUUUUAUUAUUAAUUACAAAUUUAAAAAUUAACACAUUUUUAUUUUUUAAAACAAUUUUAUAUUUAUAAUGUAGUUGUUUUUUUUAUAAUUUUAUUUGAAAAUUUAAAGCUUUUUUGGUUUUUUUAAGAUAAUGAUGCCAUCAUGAUGUCAUCAUAUGCCACAUGGCAAUUUAUGAUUAGUUGGAUAUCUCAAUCUAUUUUUUUAACGUCCAAUUGACUAAACCAAGAACACCUGAUAAUGUUAGAGACUACACUAGAAAUGCUUGAUAAUAUUAGGUACUAAAGUGGGCAAAAACUCAUUAAGGACCAAAGUAAAAAAAAAAAAAGAGCAAUAUGCUGUAGGGAAUAAAUGCAUGAAUUUUGAGAAACUUUUGAACUAAUAAUUACAUAGUAAUUAUUAGUGAAUUUGUUAUUUUAAAUAUUUUUAUUACUUUUAGGAUUUAUCAUAUGUAUGGAUAAGAAUUUUGGUUUUACUAAAAUAUUUGGUUAAAUAAAUUCAUAAAAAAAUUUAGCAUCCUUAUAAAUAACAAUUUUGAUUCUAUUAAAAAAAUCAUUUUAAAAAAUAUAUAAUAAAAAUUUAAAAUUUAUAUUGAAUUACUUUAUACGUAAAUUAUUAUUAGAAACGUUAUCAUACACAUAUGUAUAUGAGAACUACGUAUUUAGAACAUAAAUUUAUGUUUGAAAAUAACUUAUGAUAAAUAAUGAAAUGUAUAAUUUGAAACUAUUUAAUAAUAACACAUGGCAUAUCUACCAUAUUAAAAAUAAAAAUAGAUUAAAUUGUAAGUAAAACAUAAUUUAAACAUAUGGAUACAUCAAAUUAAGAAUACUAAAUGAAUACAGUUAUUUAUGAUGAUGUUGUUGUCAAUUCUUAAGUUGGUGUCGAGUUAAUUUGUGACAUCAUAAUUUUAAGUGAUAAAUUUAAAGUUUUAUGUAUUGAUGUGGAUUCAAAUAUCACCAUAACUUUUUUAAAAUAAAAAAUUAAAUUCAACACAAUAAAAUGAAACAAAUUCAACACAAUGUUUUUGGAGUUUGCAAAAAAUUAAAGUGAAAAACAUACCUUCUAAUUUGUUGUCAUAUAGAACUAUUUCUUCGAGCGUAGUUGAAUUAAAAAUACUUGAUGGAAUCUGGCCUGCACACAUAGUCGAAAAUUGAAGUGAAAAAUACACCUUCUAAACUGUUCAACUAAAAAUACUUUAAGCAUAUUUUUUUUUCCAUCAAAUUAACUAUUUUGCCUUGAAUGAAAUAAAAUGCUCUUACUUUUGUUAUCUAUUACAAAUCAAACUCUUUUGUGAAUAAAAUAUUACCAGAUAAUUCAUUCCAACCCAGGUUAAGCCCUUCAAGCUUGGGAAGUUGUUGACACAUAUCAUUAGGCAAACUACCUGAUAGGCUAUUGCUGGAGAGGUCAAUGGUCUUCAGAGAAGAAAUGUUGAAGAUCGAAGUUGGAAUUUGACCUGUAAGGCCUUUAGUUGCUUCAAUAUCAAGCAGUUCCAAACCAAGAAGAUUACCGAUUUCCUUAGGAAUUUGACCUGCAGACAUAGUUGAAAAAUCAAUGUUUUUUAGCAUAUAUUUUUCAUCAAAUUAACUAUUUUUCUUCGAAUGAAAUAAAAAGUUCUUCCUUUUGUUAUCUAUUACAAAUUAAACUCUUUCAUAAAAAAAUACUUUAAAUUCAAGAAAUUAAGGAAAUUGAUUACCUUUUAGAUUAUUAAACCCUAAAUAUAAUUCCUGGAGUCGUGUUAGAUUUCCAAUACUUCUUGGAAUGAUCCCCAUAAAUUGAUUACCGAACAAUGACAAAUUUUUAAGGUUGUUGCAUUUGCCCAUGCCAAAUGGAAUGUAACCAGAUAAUUCAUUCCAACUCACGAAAAGCCCUUCAAGCUUGGGAAGAUGUUGACACAUAUCAUUAGGCAAAGUACCUGAUAGGCUAUUGCUGGAGAGAUCAAUAAUCUUCAGAGAAGAAAUCUUGAAGAUGGAAGAUGGAACCUGACCAGAUAAUUGAUUGAAUCCUAAGUUCAAGAUCCCUAGAUUAGACAUGUUAACAAGUGUUUCAGGGAUUGUGCCUGUAAAGUUAUUAUUUUUCAUUUGCAGCCUUCGAACUCUCUGUAAAUUCCCAAGCCAUGAUGGAAUUUCCCGAUUAAGACGGUUGUAGCUUAAUUGAAGGAUCCUCAAACGAUGCAAUUGGCCCAAUUCUUUAGAGAGAUGGCCAUAGAAAUGGUUGCUACUCAAGUCGAGAGAGACUAGAAAUGAAAGAUUUCCAAGGUGUGGAGGGAUAAUACCCCUAAGAUUCAUGCUUGUAAGAUUCAAUGCUAUAACUCUUUUAUGGAGGAUGCCACAAGAAACACCAAUCCAAUUGCAAACAGAGGUUGAGGCUGUCCAAUUGUCUGCCAAGACAUUUUGAGGACCGGCAAUGCGAUCCUUAAACUCGAGAAGUGCAAACUGAUCAGAGUUGAGAUUCCUGGCUGUCAUAGCCAAGCGAAGUACGGAACAUGGUAUGAAUAAAGCUAAGAGAAGAUGAAAGCAAGUGUUGUAGUUCAUGAUUGCAAGACGGAAUAAGGCAAGAAAAAAGGAAAAAAAAAGUAGGAAAAGGGAAGUUAAGUUGAUAAAAUAGUUUGGAUGAUGAAGAAAAGCCCAGAGAGCAUGCUUUAAUAUGUUUCAACCCUCGCACACUUGAUAAACUUGAUAAAUUUAAGACUACCCUAAAAAUUAAAAAGGAAAACAAAGUUUUGAUGAGAUUUCAAAAAAAAUGUCAAGUAUUCUUCUUUUAAAAAUACGUACAAAGAAGCGAAUUUUCAAAAUUUCUCCUAAAUUUUCUUCAAAUUACUCCACAUAAUCCAUUAAAAAAACUUAAAAAAUAUAUUUUAUUAAUUACUAUAUAUUCUUUUGUUUUCAUAAUAAUAAAUUGUUUAAAAUAUGCUAUUAGUGGCCGUAAUUUAAAGUUUAAAAAAAAAUCCAAUCCUCCUUUUUUUUAAUUUAAAAAUUCUAAUCCAAUCAUUUUUAAUUCCAUUAAAAAGUUUUCAACUUAAUAGAUUUUUUAUUAUCAAUCUUAUGCAACAUUAUAUGAAGGCAGUCUACUCAGCAUAUAUCCAAGUUUACAGAUUUUAAUAGAAAAUACUUACAAUCCUAAUGGUAGGACUAAGUUUUUUAAACUAGAAAAGUAAAAAAAAAAAAAACUUAAUUUUUAACUUUUUUAAGUACAAGGAUUAAAUUUUAAAUGUUGUCAAAGUACAAGCACUAACAAAAUAUUUUGAUCUAAUAAAUGUAAAAAAGCAUUUUAAACAAAAGAAGGUUGAAAUAAUCUAUUUGUCCUUAUACUUUGAUAAAAUUUGAGAUACCAUAAAAUUUGUAUCUUUUUUCGAAUUAUUUAAUGACAUUUCAACAUUUUCAUUCAAAAAAAAAUAUCAUUUUGAAUUUGAUCUUUUUCAAGAUGAAAUAUUGAAAUGAUGUUAAAUUAUUAGAAAGAGAUACAAGUUUCAUGGUGUCCCAAAUUCAUUUAAUCUUAUCUCUCUAAGAAAGCUGAAUUAAGAUAUUAAUGACAUCAUUUGAAACAAAGUUUUAGGUCAAAUUAUUCAUCUAUUCCUUGUAAUUGUUCUUUAAGGUGAAUUUCAUUAUUAUUCUUUUAUUUUCUUUGGCUUAAAUACACAAUUACUCCUAAUUUUAUCACAUUCUCCUUAAUUGGUAUUUAUAGUUUAUAAAAUUUUAUAAAUAUAUUAUUUUUUAAGAAAUUAUAAGAAGAUUACAAAAAUUCCAAAAUAAUAUAAAAAAGCUAAGAAAAACCUAGAAAUUCAAAAAAAAAAAUCAUGUUUUUACAAAUUGGAAAAUACCUAAAUUUACUUUUCAGCCCGUCCGAUGCUAUGAAAGAAGAAGAAAGAGAGUCUUUGCUAACAUUUUUUUUUCUUCGUCAUCUCUAUGUUUCUUGGCAAAUACAAUGAAAGAAGAACAAAGAAAACUGUUGGCUAUUUAUUUCCCAAUAAUCCUGAAAUUACUUGCCAUAGGCGUAGAAUUUGCUAACCAAUUUUCAAGCAAUCUGACAUGAAUUCUUGUUAAGUAUGACUCCUAUUUUCAGUCAAAUUUGAGAAAUAAUCUUCUAGUUAAUUCUGUUUAUUUGUUUCAAUCAAACACUGAUUAGUUUAGAUUAUUUUAUUAUUAUUUGACAUAUGAAUUUAGCCUAUAAAUAGGUUAUUUUACAACCUUAGAAAAUACACCCAAUAGAGUUUAGAACUCAUAACAUAUUUAGAGAAUUUUGUGUUUACGUUUUGAGAGUUCUUUGUUUUCGGAUUUUCGGGGUUUAGUUUUUAUCUCCAUCUCUUGUAUUCUUUGUUCUUUUGCCAUUAUAAUAAAAUUAUCUUUACCCGUGGUUUUUUAUCCUUUUUGGAGGAGUUUUUUCACGUUAAAUUUGUGUGUUCAAUUUCUCAAUUUAUUCCGCUAUUUUGUUACUUGUUGCUUAAUCGGGUCGAUCCCUAACAAUUCUCAAUCACAAUUAAUUGAAUUCAAGAUAUAUUUGGAUGAGAACACAAAUAUUUCAAUUUUACCACAAUCCAAUGUUUGGGAUGAUUUGGGAUAAGAACUCCAACAUUUUAAGAUCACAUUUUCUUUUAUAAUUUCAGGCUUAUCAACUAUUUUGAAAACAACAAAACGUCUUACACCAAAAACUAAAAAAUUAAAACGUCGACAUUAAAUUUGUUGGUAUGCAAUCAAUUUUAAGAUGGGUCUUGGAGUUAUAUAUCACUUUAGCAUUGACUUACUUUUCUACUCUUAGUCUUCUCCAAUAAGUUAAAUAUUUCAAUUUUAACAGCACUGACAGGUCUUUGGGGUAGGGUCCAGCAAAACUCAAUAGAAACAGAUGAUAUAGGCAGAGUUGGCUCGGCCAAGUCGAGUCGACUUGUUCAAAUUAGUUAAAUUAGUAAAUUUUAGGGUGCAGUUAGAACUUUUUUUUUUUUUUUGAGAUGCUAAUAUUAAAAAAUUUUAGUUGCUAAAACAAAAAAUUUAUAUUUAAAAAGGAAUAAAUUAAAUUAUUAAGUUUUUCAAGUUUCCAUUUAAUCAAAGGUUAAAAGGACUAAAUUGAAGCUUUUUAUUUUAAAGAAAGGCUGAAUGACAAAUUGCCCAAAGCCCAUGCCCCUAGCUAUAUGCCCCUGGUAAAAUCAAUUUUAAAAUUAGUUAUAAUAGUUGAAGCGAAUUGAUUAUUGAGUAUUGAAAUACAUAGUUCAACAAAAUAAACAAACUGACAAAUUUUGACCAAAAAAAAAAAUCAAAGGUGAUAAUAAUUAAAUUAUAAAAUUUAAAUUGAGAAAAUAGGGGAUUGAAUUUAUAAUUUUUAAAGUAUAAAGAAUGAAUUUAUAACUAACAUCAUAUUUUAACCACAUAAUAAAAGUAGUUAUGGAGAGGAUCAUGUAAAAUAAUGACCUGAAUAAUUUUAAACGUCUCAUCCUUGCAAAAAUGAAAUAAUAGAAAAGAAAGAGUAAAGAGUAGCCAUUUUAUGAAAUCUAUAAUUCCAACUGUGAAUAAAAUAUAAAUUUUAUGAAUGUGGACAAGCCAUUUUAUUUAUAAUUUUCUGUGUUUUUCUGACUUUUUUUUAAGUCAUUUUCUUUGUUUCCUAACCAAAAAGUUUGCCCAUCACUUUCAAUAUAAAUUUAAAUCUAAAUUUUCUUUUUAAAAUAUAAGUUACUCGUCACAAUUCAUCUUUCGAAAACAAUUUGCCAUCACUUUAACAUACACUAACUUUUCUAUGAUUAGUCCUUGGUUUGCUUUGGGUGCAAUCUUCCAACUAGCCACAUCCUUGGUUUUACUUUCCAACAAUUAGUGUAUCACGGGUUUUGUUUUCUUUAAAAAAAUAUUUUUGUGGAUAUUAGGAGAUAAUGAAAAUUAUUUUACUAUUAAAUUUUAAUAAAACUGGAAAAUAAGUAAUGUCUUUUAAGUGAUCACAAUUAAACAUUAGAUUUUUAAUUUUAAAAUUUUAAAAUUUUUUGAUAAUUGCAUAAUUAAUAAGGUACCAAUUUUUUGAUAAUGCUAUAAUCUUCUCCACACAUAAUCGACUCUUGAGCAUGAUGGAUCUAGACCUUAUCCUGUAUUCUCGUACCACAAAUUGCUUCGAGUGUGGGUUCAAACAAUCACAAAUUAAACACAAAAUCAGAAAUGAUUUAUUACUUUCAAUAGCAAAGUAAUUCUCUCUCAAUAGAAACCAACAGAAUUGUAAUUCCGAAAAAUAAAAUUUAUUUUUUGAAAAUAUAUUCUCACUACUUCCUAGCAUAAUAACAAUAUUUAAAACUUAUGUCUUGUGUUAAUAGCUCUACCAGUACUAUCCAUUUAUAGAGAGAGACACAAGAAUCCUGGUUGAAUUAGUAAAACACGAGUAAUAUUUAUUUCAUAGAAAACAAUAUUCUACCCUAAGUAGAUCAAGUUUGGAUGACGCAUGGGUCGAAGUUCAAUCUAAGAGAAAAAAAUAAAGGAAUUUUCUUUGUAAAGAAAAUUUGAGAUUGUACUAUUUUCGAAGUUAUAAAUAAAAUUAUAAGCCAAACUUUCAAGUCAAUUUUUGACUCGAAUUUUGUACGUACAAAUUUCUAAUACACUUGGUGGGACAUUCUUUGACUUUUAUCUAUUCUCUCAGAAAGUUAAAAGUUAAAAGUUGCAUUAAACUCAAAGAAGAUAAUCAUUAGUAAACCAGCUCACAAGCCUGCUCAAGCUAAUCCUACAACUCGUUCCACUUCAUCAUCAAACACCAAUGUUCUUGCUUAUCCUUAUGGAAUUAAACAAAAGACAAAAGCUCUUUAAGAGUUAUUUGAACAGACAAAAGAUUCAGACGUGUUGAGAUGGAAAGUGACAAUGCAAUGUUGAUUGAAGCUAUUCGUAACCGGUUGGCUACAAUAAGUAGUGUUGCUGAAGUAAGACAGAUUCACGAUUGGUGUUCUAAAAAUUGGGAAGUCAAAUUUUGAUAUAUUUAGUAGAAUGCCAAAAAAGUUGUUGAUUGCAUAGCUAAGGCAGAUGGAGGAGUAAUUGAGCAGCUAGUUUUUUGGAAGAUCCUCCGCAUUUUGUGAGAUGUUGGCUUGAAGAAAAUAUUAGACAAUCGCUGGUGACUUAUGAUAAUUUUCAUUUGGACUGAUGCUCGCUUAGUUUUCUAAGGUUAUGUUCAACCAAAAAAAAAUAAUUUAAAUAUGUCUAUAUUAUCAUAGAGUUAGCAUUUAGUGUAUAAAAAAAUAGUGUAUAAAAUUUUUUCAAUUGCAGUUUAGUUCCACAAAUACUGACGAUGAACCUUAAAACGAAAAUGAAAAUUACAAAAAGAAAAACAAACCACAUCUAUUAUCAAACCAGCAAUCCGUGUCUAAACUUAAAUUAACAAAAUUCAUCAUGCAACUCGGUACACUAUUUUAUAAUAUAUAUAUUAGAUUUAUUCUUGAUGCACAUGUUUUAUUAUAGUUAAAAAUUAAAAUAUAUGAUUAACUGAGUUUUAGUUGAGUUAGUAUUGGUAUUAUAUCAGUGUAGAAAAAUGUGAGUUCAAUCGUACUUAAAUAUGUAUCCUCCAACUCAACAGUUGGGAAAAGGUUAUUGAUAAUUAAAUUACACCAAUUUUUACAAUAUCUAAAAAGCAUUCAUAAACAUAUUCAUAUUGAUGGGCUCUUUCAUUAUUAAACUUUUUUUCUCUCACAAGUAAAAGUACUUGUGGUGAGGAUCAUGUAAAAUAAUAAACUGAAUAAUUUUAAACGUCUCAUCAUUGCUAAAAUGAAAUAAUAGAAAAGAAGACAUUUUAUGAAAUUUACAAUUCCAACUGUGAAUAAAAUAUAAAUUUAUGAAUGUGAACAAGCCAUUUUAUUUAUAAUUUUCUGUGUUUUUCUUCUUUUUCUGACUUUUUUUUAGUCAUUUUCUUUGUUUCCUAACCACCAUGAAAUUACUUGUCACAAUUCAUCUUUUUAAAUGAGAAGCAUUUUCCACAAUUUGCCAUCACUUUAACAUACACUAACUUUUCUAUGAUUAGUCCUUGGUUUGCUUGUCACCAUGAAAUUACUUGUCACAAUUUUCCACAAUCUUCCAACUAGCCUCAUCCUUGGUUUUACUUUCCAACAAUUAUUGUAUCCUUCUCAUUACUUGUACUUACCCGACUGAUAAAAAAUUCACUGAUCAAAUUAGUUCAAAGUUUUUUUUUUUUUUCUAAAUCAUGUGAAUUCACGAGUUUUUUUUCUUUAAAAAAUAUUUUUGUGGAUAUUAGGAGAUACUGAAAAUUAUUUUACUAUGAAAUUUUAAUAAAACUGGACAAUAAGUGAUUUAUUUAAAGGGAUCACAAUUAAACAUUAGAUUUUUAAUUUUUUAAUUUUAAAACUUUUUGACAAUUGCGUAAUUAAUAAGGUACUAAUUUUGAGCGUUGUAGGAGUGCUAUAAACUUCACUACGCAUAAUCGACUCUUAAAUCCACCUUUUUCUCUAGAAUUAUAACAAAUUUACAAAAUGAUUUAAUGAUAUUUAAUUAUUGACCGGUAAAAAAAUUAUAUCAUAUAAAUUCCGAAUUAUUAAUUAUAUAUCUACAUAUUAUAACCAAUUCAUCUUUCAAAAUUAUUUCCUUAUAAUUAAAGCAAAAAUUAUAUUUAUAAAAUUCUAAAUAUAUUAUAAUUCUUGUAAAUAUAUAUAUUUAUAUAUAUAAGUUCAAAUUGUAAUAGAGUUAACAUUUAAUGUAUAAAAAAUGUCUUGAAAAUUAUUAUUUUUUUCAAUUCCAAAAGAACUAUUCCAUUUAUAGAACCAUAAAACUUUAAAAAUAUAAACUCUAUUAAAUAAAAAUAAUAAUAUAUUUAAACAAUAAAUAUUGACUUUAUUUUAAAUUGACAUUAUCUAAUUCUUUUUAAUAAAUAUAGCUAAGCUUUACAUUAAUAUACAUGAUUUAUUUGUUCGUGGUUGUUAUUAUUAUUAUUAUUAUUAUUAUUAUUAUUUCUAUGAUUUUUAUAUCAUACUUAUCGGACUACAAUCAUAACCAUGUCUAUUAUCAUUUGAUAAAAAAAAUUAAGUGUUGAGUAUAAUGACAAGGCACGUUACACUCUUAAGGGGAGAUCAAGGUUUGGACAAGGGAAGAAUAUCAUUUAAAUUUUGGAGACAACAUUCUUUAAAUGAGCAACCACAAACCCCGAUUAUGAACCAUAAAACGAGCAUGAAAAGUACCCAAAAAAACAAGUUUAUUAUCAAAAUAGUAAUCCAUCCAAGGAUUAAAUUAACAAAAUUCACCAUCCAACCGUGUAGACUAUUAUAUAUAUAUAUACCAUAUUUAUUCUUCAUGCAAAUGUUUAUUAUAUUUAAAAAUUAAAAUAUAUGAUUGAUUGAGUUUUAGUUGAGUUAAUAUUGAUAUUAUUGUCAGUGCAAAAGAAUAUGAGUUCAAUCAUGUUUAAAUACAUUUUAUACUCCAAUUUAGGAGUUGGAGAGGAUUCUCAGUAGUUAAAUUAUAUCAGUUUUUGUCUAUUUAAAAUUGAUUUAUAAAUAAUAUAAGUAGAAAAUUUUAUAAAAAUAUACAUACUCAUAUUGAUUGGCUUUUUCAUUAUUAGACAUUUUUCCCCAUAGGUAAAAGUAUUUAUCGAAUUCAAAUUUUGGGUUUUAAAUAAGGGUUUUCGGAUUUUUUUUUAACAUUUGUGAGAGUUUUUGCCAAAUUUUAUGUUUUCAAAAACGCAUAACUAAGUUGAUUUUUAAUUAGUUUUUCAAAUGAGUCAAUGUAAUUCCUUAAAAAUCUAGUGAUAGCGUCUAGCCUGGGUUUGGGGGUGUUACACUGACGUUACUAAAGUUAAUCUUAAUCUAUUUAGUCUAGAUCUGAACAUUAAUAUUCUCUUCCAAUAAAAAUAAAGAUCAUCAAAUUAUUACAAUUGUGAAGCCAGACAAUCAUAUUAAAUAAGCAUAAAACUUAAUAAAUAAUUAGCGAAGAUUGAAACAAUCAAAGAAAAAAUAAAUUAAUUAACUAAGAAAUAAGGAUCCAUUAUUGUUUCAAGAAAACAGAGUUUAGUUCAUAUUGAGUUGAGAAAACCAAAAAUUAGAUUCAAAACAAACUUGUGAUAAGGGGAACAAUGUCAACAGAUCAUAUUCAAGUUGUUCGACUCGAGAAAGCAAGAUUCGGAUUUGACCUGAAAAGAAGAAACCAAACAGAUUAGGAAAACAAGAAAAAAACAAAGAAAAAAAAAUAAAAUGAGAAAUUUAAGAAUAAAGAAUAAAUAUUAAAAAAUAAUAAAGAAAUAAAUAAAUUAUAGAAUAAAAAGUGGCAGAUGGAAUGAAUAAAUGAUGGAUAUGACAUAUAGAUGGAUAAGUGUCUGAUAACCCUUGAAAAAAAGUUAUAUUUUGUUAGGGAUCGACCCGAUUAAGCAACAAGUAACAAAAAAAGGGAAUAAAUUGAGAAAUUGAACACACAAAUUUAACGUGAAAAAAACCUUCCGAAGAGGAUAAAAAAACCACGGGAAAAGAUAAAUUUACUAUAAUGGCAAAAGAACGAAGAGUACAAAAGAUGGAGAUAAAACUAAACUCCAAAAACCCGAAAAUAAAGAACCCUCAAAACGUAAACACAAAAUUCUCUAAAUGUGUUAUGAGUUCUAAUCUCUAAUGUGUGUCAACUAAGGUUGUAAAAGAGCCUAUUUAUAGGCUAAAUUCAUAUGUCAAAUAAUAAUAAAAUAAUCUAAACUAAUCAGUGUUUGACUGAAAUAAAUAAACAAAGUUUAACUAAAAGAUUAUUUUUUAAAUUUGACUGAAAAUAGGAGUCAUACUUAACAAAUCUCCACCUUGACUCAUAUUUCUACAAUGCCAUCUUUGCCAAAGCCCGCUACGAGCCUAUCUUGAACUAUACAGGGAAUUAACUGAGUCGAAUCUGUGCUUAGAAACUGGAAGACUUCUAGCUUUCGACUUGUACACUGCCAAAUCAAAACUAACCCGAGUUUGAUUUUCACGAACACAGUGUCCUAACUUUUCAAAACCUGCAUCCAAAAGAGAACCUCUCUUCAAUGAAACGGUCAUACAUUUUUCCCUCCUAUGACCAAGUUGCCUCUGCUCCAAACGAGUUGACUUCGACUCUGUAACAGACGAGGGAUGUCCGAUUUCACCGGUCAUUGUAGAACCUUCCAGAAUAUAAAGACUGCCAUUUCUUUUACCUUUGAACAAAAUGAGAGCUCCACGAGAUACUUUAAUGCUGCUCGACUCGAUGUUGAUUCUGCAUCAUUUCAAGUCUAAAAUACUCAAGGAGAUGAGAUUCUUUCGUAAAUUAGGUACAUACCUGACAUCUGAGAGUGUCCUAAUCGUCCCAUCGUGUGUCCUAAUUUUAACAGUACCAACACCAAUUACCUUACUAGAUGAAUUGUUUCCCAUGCGCACAACUCCACCUUCAACCGAACUGUAUGUGGAGAACCAUUCUCUAUUGGGACACAUGUGGAAAGAACAUCCCAAAUCUAGGAUUCACUCGAACGUGAGCUUGGAGUUAUCACUCGUUGACACUAACAAGAAAUCAUCACCACUUUCAUCGAUCAAAUUAGCACUAGCUACAUCUUCCUCGUUACUCUCAGCAGCUCCUUUAUUUCGCAGUUUAUAACAAUUUGCUUUGACAUGACCUAACUUUUUACAAUAGUGACACCUUUUGUCUCGUUUCUUUGAUGCCAUCAAAAUGGAAGAUUGCCUAUCUGCCUUGCUAUCUAAAUGAAACUCAUUUUCGAGUUUGUCUCUACUCAACAAAUGACCCUUCACAUCUUCGAACGAGAGUUUGUCUCUGCCAUAGGGUCUCCUUGAAAGAUUUGUAUGAAGGGGGUAAAGAGCAUAAUAAUAGCAUAGCUUGAUCUUCAUCAUCAAUAUGAACCUCAAAGUUCUUUAAAUCAUUUAAAAGAAUAAUGAAUUGACUGAUGUGAUCUCUAAGAAGCUCACAUUCGUUCCUGCGAAACGUAAAUAGACGUUGUUUCAACAGUAAACGGUUAGCCAGAGACUUAGUCGCAUAAAGAGUUUCUAACCUUUUCCAUAAGGUGGAUGAGGUCUUCUCCAUCAAUACCUCCUGCAAUACCGUAUUCGCGAGGCACAACUGGAUUGCAGACAAGGCAUUUUCAUCAAGCUCUUCCCAUUCUGUUUUAUUUAGAUUCUCAGGCUUUUUUUGGUAACAACCUUUUUCAAACCGGAUUGAACUAGAAUUGCCAUCAUCCAAACUUGCCAUAGAUUGAAAUUGGUCUCACCAUCGAACUUCUCAAUUUCAAACCUUGUUGUUGCCAUAUCUGAAUGGGCUGAUUUAUGAAAAUUGAACUAGCUCUGAUACCACUUGUUAGGGAUCGACCCGAUUAAGCAACAAGUAACAAAAAAGGAAAUAAAUUGAGAAAUUGAACACACAAAUUUAACGUGAAAAAAACCCUCCGAAGAGGAUAAAAAAACCACAGGAAAAGAUAAAUUUACUAUAAUGGCAAAAGAACGAAGAGUACAAAAGAUGGAGAUAAAACUAAACUCCAAAAACCCGAAAAUAAAGAACCCUCAAAACGUAAACACAAAAUUCUCUAAAUGUGUUAUGAGUUCUAAUCUCUAAUGUGUGUCAACUAAGGUUGUAAAAGAGCCUAUUUAUAGGCUAAAUUCAUAUGUCAAAUAAUAAUAAAAUAAUCUAAACUAAUCAGUGUUUGACUGAAAUAAAUAAACAAAGUUUAACUAAAAGAUUAUUUUUUAAAUUUGACUGAAAAUAGGAGUCAUACUUAACAAAUCUCCACCUUGACUCAUAUUUCUACAAUGCCAUCUUUGCCAAAGCCCGCCACGAGCCUAUCUUGAACUAUGCAGGGAAUUAACUGAGUCGAAUCUGUGCUUAGAAACUGGAAGACUUCUAGCUUUCGACUUGUACAUUGCCAAAUCAAAACUAACCCGAGUCUGAUUUUCACGAACACAGUGUCCUAACUUUUCAAAUCCUACAUUGAAAAGAGAACCUCUCUUCAAUGAAACCGUCAUACAUUUUUCCCUCCUAUGACCAAGUUGCCUCUGCUCCAAACGAGUUGACUUCGACUCUGUAACAGACGAGGGAUGUCCGAUUUCACCGAUCAUUGUAGAACCUUCCAGAAUAUAAAGACUGCCAGUUCUUUUACCUUUGAACAAAACGAGAGCUCCACGAGAUACUUUAAUGCUGCUCGACUCGAUGUUGAUUCUGCAUCAUUUCAAGUCUAAAAUACUCAAGGAGAUGAGAUUCUUUCAUAAAUUAGGUACAUACCUGACAUCUGAGAGUGUCCUAAUCGUCCCAUCGUAUGUCCUAAUUUUAACAGUACCAACACCAAUUACCUUACUAGAUGAAUCAUUUCCCAUGCGCACAACUCCACCUUCAACCGAACUGUAUGUGGAGAACCAUUCUCUAUUGGGACACAUGUGGAAAGAACAUCCCAAAUCUAGGAUCCACUCGAACGUGAGCUUGGAGUUAUCACUCGUUGACACUAACAAGAAAUCAUCACCACUUUUAUCGAUCAAAUUAGCACUAGCUACAUCUUCCUCAUUACUCUCAGCAGCUCUUUUAUUUCGCAGUUUAUAACAAUCUGCUUUGACGUGACCUAACUUUUUACAAUAGUGACACAUCUCGUUUCUUUGAUGCCAUCAAAAUGGAAGAUUGCCUAUUUGCCUUACUAUUUAAAUGAAACUCAUUUUCGAGUUUGUCUCUACUCAACAAAUGACCCUUCACAUCUUCGAACGAGAGUUUGUCUCUGCCAUAAGGUCUCCUUAAAAGACUUGUAUGAAGGGGGUAAAGAGCAUAAUAAUAGCAUAGCUUGAUCUUCAUCAUCAAUAUGAACCUCAAAGUUCUUUAAAUCAUUUAAAAGAAUAAUGAAUUGACUGAUGUGAUCUCUAAGAAGCUCACCUUCGUUCCUGCGAAACGUAAAUAGACGUUGUUUCAACACUAAACGGUUAGCUAGAGACUUAGUCGCAUAAAGAGUUUCUAACCUUUUCCAUAAGGUGGAUGAGGUCUUCUCCAUCAAUACCUCCUGCAAUACCGUAUUCGCGAGGCACAACUGGAUUACAGAUAAGGCCUUUUCAUCAAGCUCUUCCCAUUCUGUUUUAUUUAGAUUCUCAGGCUUUUUUUGGUAACAACCUUUUUCAAACCGGAUUGAACUAGAAUUGCCAUCAUCCAAACUUGCCAUAGAUUGAAAUUGGUCUCACCAUCGAACUUCUCAAUUUCAAACCUUGUUGUUGCCAUAUCUAAAUGGGCUGAUUUAUGAAAAUUGAACUAGCUCUGAUACCACUUGUUAGGGAUCGACCCGAUUAAGCAACAAGUAACAAAAAAGUGAAAUAAUUUGAGAAAUUGAACACACAAAUUUAACGUGGAAAAACCCCUCCAAAGAGGAUAAAAAACCACGGGCAAAGAUAAGUUUACUAUAAUGGCAAAAGAACGAAGAGUACAAAAGAUGGAGAUAAAACUAAACUCGAAAAACCCAAAAACAAAGAACCCUCAAAACGUAAACACAAAUGGGUGUCAACUAAGGUUGUAAAAGAGCCUAUUUAUAGGCUAAAUUCAUAUGUCAAAUAAUAAUAAAAUAAUCUAAACUAAUCAGUGUUUGACUGAAAUAAAUAAACAGAGUUUAACUAAAAGAUUAUGUUUUAAAUUUGACUGAAAAUAGGAGUCAUACUUAACAUAUUUCAUGCCUUUAAACCUAACUAAUUGUUUGUACUUAAGUAUAUUUUUUUCUUUUUAAGACAUUGUAGCGAACAUUUUUAAUAUUGUAUUAGGACAUAGACUAUGUUGGAAUUAGGUGCUUUUAAUCUCUUGUGGUGGAGUUUUUGUGUGUUGGUAUGGCAGGAACAUGUUUUAAAACGAGGAAAUAAAUGAGUGAAGUUUUGUUAGGGAAAAAGUGCAAACAGUUUGCCAACACAGAUGUCGUGGCAAUGCCGGGAAGACCAAGUUCAUAUUUUUUGUGCAGCAAUCCCGGUUCAAACUCAAACUUGUAUGAGAUAAAUCCCCCUAAAAGAGGAGAAGAUAAUCACAUUGCUGUUAGCUGACCCUAGCCUAAUCUAUCUAUUAAAGCCAAUGAAAAGGAUCUCACAAAGGGUAGAAAAAAGUGAGAGAGAUCCUUAGGGAUGAAUAAGGGUUUGGCUGCGCAAAAGAACAGAAGUCGAAGGGAAUCAUUCUUAGCCAUCACAGAACGUUGUGCUGCCAAAGUGUGGACUAGGCAAGUGAAAGAUGUUUCCAAAAGUUCUUCUGUUAUUUCCAUUAGUGUUCCUUCCAAAGAUUGAAUUGAAGUAGUUGAACACAAUGUCGGAUAAUAUUUUGGUUUGAAAUUUUAUUUCCCAGCUUAUGAGCUAAAUCUCAUAAGGUUAGGAUUACUUUCGAUGAAACCUUAAAUUUUUUUAUAGAUGAAGUAUAUAUCUAAUUUACAUUAUUGUUUCAUUUGAUUGUUCUAAUUUCUUAAUUAAAAUGCAAAUGAUCUCUAGACAUAGAAGACUGUUCGCAUACUUAUAAAUUGAUUGUAAUUAUAAAAGGGUUGGAUUAAAAUUAAAUGAAAUGAGCAGGUAUUUGAUAGACACUUGUAGUCGACUCUAGACAUAGAGUCACGAUCAUACAGAAGAAGCCCAUGCAAGAUAUCGAAAAAGCCUUUAGACACCAGGCAAGGCAACUUGAGGUUUUUCUCUCACGAGAGGCAGACCAUUUUAGAACUCUUCUGUGUUGUAAAGUAGAUACAAUUUUGCCAAGACAAUAUUGACAAUGAGGGUUGAUUCUGGGUAAUCCCGACCUUCCAAAUCCACUUCGUAUAUCCUUUAAUCUUUUUCAUAAUAUCUUUGCCACAUAAUUAUUAGUUAUUUAUUUGUUCAUUUACAUAAUAUUCCCAUAGUAAUUCUCAUAAUUGCCAUUAUGUUUCUACUCUCGGUUGGCCAUAGCAUUACUAAUUAUUCAUUAAUUCCACAUAUUGAUUACAUCAUUAAUCUACUCAUUGUCAUUGCAUAUUUAUCAUUGACUUUGUCAUAGCAUUAAUUGCAUUUUAUUAUAAUAACUUGACCAAUUUUGUGCCUCAAUCCGAUUUUCGUGGGAACAAUACUCACUCAUCACUUUAUUACUUGAUUCAACGUGUAUACUUGCACAAAUCGCAUAUCAUUUCACAUGCGACAGUGUCCAAUUUAACCUUUUGAGAUAUAAACUCAAACAAACUCAAUUAAUGGCUUUAAUCAACCCACCAAGAAAUAAUAAUUGGCAAAUUGAAGGAUGAAGAAUGAAUUCCCAUGACUCCUUAAAGAAAAUUGAGAAGAAAACUGCUUCUAAAAAUUACAAGAAAUAAUCUUGCACAAAGAAACUUACCCUCAGAGUUGGAAAUUUUAGUAAUGAGCAAAAACAAUUGUGUCUCUAAUGAACAUGAAGGGGCCUUUACAUAGGAUAGAUAAGUACAUCCAAAUAAAAUUUUGAAGUAUAUUAAAACUUUAAUUAAUGUAAGAAAAAAAGUAAUUUUCAACUAAAAUAGUCAUAAUUUCUAUAAUAAUCCCGUCUAGAAAUUCUGCUCACAUAGCCAUCACUAAAAUAGUCAUAAAUUGAGCUCUUGAACUCGAAAUUGAAUGAAUAAAAGUGUGUUUGAAAGUUAAGUAAUAGAUCUUAGAACUCCAUCAAGACAUAUCAAUCAAAAAAUGUCUGGAUCCCAUCCAAAAAGUCAUUGCAAGUUAACUAAUUUUCCAAACUUGAAAAUUGACAGCUUCGGGGAAUGGAAUUUAAUAAAGUUCACCCCAUCUACUCAAGUAUAAACUUGCAGUGGUAAAAAGUAAAAAUAAAUAAUCUAUAGAGAAACUAGUUGAAGAAUUUAUGACAAUUUAUUUAGAUCUUUUUUUCUUCUAGCCUUUGCAAACUUGAAGUUUCCCUUGGUGUGAGAGAGUUGUUCCUUACCCUCUAAGUUAUUUUUUUUCUUUUCCUUUUUUUUUCUUUCUCUUCGAUCUUGUCACCUAAGGGUGUUCAAAUGAUUGAUUCAGUUAAUACCCGAACAAUGCUAUCAUUAACUGAAAUUUUGAAACCUUAAUCGUUAAUGAAACCAAUUUUUUGUUGAAACCUAUUAACCGGCCGGAUUGAUUUCGGUUAAUUCAGGCGGCUAGCCGGAAUUUAUACAUUAUUUUUUUCAAACAAUUUUAAAACAAAGAACAAUCCAUGACAACUUUUUCCUUGUUUUUUAUUCAAAAAUUAUUAAAAGAAUUUUAAAAAAUAACAUAAUAACAACACUAAAUUAAAAACAUAAUAGCAUUCAUUACAUUACAAAGCAUAAUUUCUUUUUUUUUUUACUUUUUGUUGACUUUUUAGUUUAAUUUUAGUUUUUUUUUUCAAAUAUUUUUAGUUUUCAUAUUUUUGUUAAGCUUAUUAUAAGAAAACUUAUAAAUCCAUUAGUUUUUAUAUAUUAGGUUUGUAUAAUGUAUUGGACCUAUCUCUAACAUAUUGGGCCUAUAAUAUAUUUUUAUUGAUUUCGGUUAAUCAAUUAAUUUGGUUAAUUAGUCGAUUUCAAACUAAACUAAUCGAUAAACAAAAUUUUCUAAAACAUUUAACCAACUCCCAACCAAAUUAGAUUCGUUGAUCGACUGCUUAAUCAAAUUAAUCAUAUGGUAGAAUGGCAUGUUUUUGGAAUGGCUAUUUGGCAUUAUUGGUAUAGGUUUAAGUUAUGAUCUAAAGAUGUUGAAUUGAAUUAAGUUUGAUAUGUAUACUAUGAUGUCUUCAUUGGCAUAUUGGUUAGAUAUUAAAGGAUGGUUGAUUUGGUAUGUUUUGAAAAUGGUUCUUGGUAUGUUUGAUCUAAGUUGAUUAAAUGAACUUGUAAUGUUGAAUGGUAUAAUAUUUGUUGUUACAUUAGUUAGUCUUAUAGGUUGAUGGAAUUGGUAUGUUUUAAAUGUGUUUAAAAUGUGUUUUGAUUAUUUAAAUGUUUGUGGAAAUGGUGUGUCUUGGUGUACAAGAUUUGAAAUUGAAAUGGCUUGAUUUAGAAAGCAACUUAUGCUGCACACCGCCUAGGACAUGGGUUGUCACAUGGCUGUGUGUCAUUAUUGUUUUAGGUACAGGUUUCACACAAUCUAAGACUUGGCUCACGACAUGGCUACGUAUCAUAAGUCAAUAUGUAACACGGUUUGGUACAUGGCCUGUAACACGACCGUGUGUCCAAACUUCAAAUGUUUACACGUCCUGGGCUAUGUCACACGACUUGGCCACAUGGCCGUGUGACCCUUGUUUUAAAGUUUUCUGAAAUUUUCUAUUUUAUUUCAAAUUGAUCCUAGAAUAUUCUCAAACUAUUUUUAGGGCCUCGUAGGUUCAAAUUAAGGCCCACAAAUGUAUGCUUGCUAUAAUUAAGUUGUGCUAAUUAAUGUUAUUAAUUAAAUGGCAUGAAUAUUUUAUUGUAAGUUAAAUUUUUUAAUUUGUCCUAUAAUGCUCCGUAACCCAAAUCAAGUGACGGAGAUAGGUUUGGGUGUUACAAUUUUGGACUGUAAAUUUGUUUUGAGGCUUUGUUCUUUGGUUCUUGCAAUGUUUGUUGGAUUUUAGUGUUUUAACAUUAAACUGCAAAAUUGUAUGAUUUAACAAACUAAAAAUUAGGUUUUCAAAAUUAAAACUCUAGAAAUUUUCAUUACAAAGAUUAAGUAAUCACUUAAGUGUUUUCCCAUAAAUAAUUAAAUGGUUUUUAACAAAUGUUUUCCUUAGUUUUGGGAAUGAUAUGCCAACAUUAGUACUUUUAAAACACAUGGUUUUAAAUAAGGGUUUUCAAACUUUGGUUUUUUAACAUUUGUGAGAGGUUUUUGCCAAAUUUUAUGUUUUCAGAAUGUGUAACUAAGUUGAUUUUAAUUAGUUUUUCAACGAGUUUAUGUAAUUCCUCAAAAAUCCAGUCAUAGCAUCUAGGCCGGGUUUGGGGUGUUACACUAACAUUACUAAAGUUAAUCUUAAUCUAUUUAGUCUAGAUCUAAACAUUAAUAUUCUCUUCAAAGAAAAUCAAGAUUAUCAAAUUAUUACAACUUGGUAGGCAGACAAUCUUAUUAAAUAUGCAUAAAAGUUAAUAAAUAGUUAGCGAAGAUUGAAACAAUCAAAGAAAAAAUAAAUUAAUUAACUAAGAAAUAGGAUCCAUUAUUGUUCCAAGAAAAUAGAGUUUAGUUCAUAUUGAUUGAGAAAAUCAAAAGGGAGAUUCAAAAAACACUUGUGAUAAGGGGAACAAUGUCAAUAGAUCAUAUUCAAGUUGUUCGACUCAAGAAAGAAAUAUUUGGAUCUAGCCUGAAAAGAAGAAACCAAACAGAUUUAGGAAAAAAAGAAAAAAAAGAAAAAAACUUAAAUAAUAAAUUUAAGAAUAAAUAAUAAAUAUUAAAAAUAAUAAAGAAAUAAAGAAAUUAUAGAAUAAAUAGUGGAAGAUGGAAUGAAUAAACGAUGGAUAUGACAUAUAGAUGGAUAAGUGUCUGAUAAUUCUUGAAAAGAGUUAUAUUUCAUGCCUUUAGACCUAACUAAUUGCUUGUACUUAAGUACAUUUUGUUGCAUUUUAAGAUAUUUUAGUUAGUAUUUGUAAUAUUGCAUUAGGAUUUAGAUUGUGUUGGAAUUAGGUGUUUUUAAUCACUUGUGGUGGAGUUUUUGGUGUGCUGGUAUGGCAGGAACAUUAUUUAGAACGAGGAAAUAAAUGAGUGAAGUUUUGCCAAUGCAAAAGUGCAGAUAGUUUGCCAGCACAGAUGCCGUGGAAAUGCCGAGAAGACCAAGUCAACAUUUUUUUGUGCAACAGUCCCAGUUCAAAUUCAAACUUGUACCAAAUAAAUCUCCCUAAAAGAGGAGAAGAUAAUCACAACUUGUUAGCCAACCCUAGCCUAAUCUAUCUAUAAAAGCCAAUGAAGGGGAUCUCACAAAUGGCAGAAAAAAGUGGGAGAGAUCCUUAGGUGUGAAUAAUGAUUCAGCUGUGCAAAGGAAAGGAAGUCAAAGGCAGUCCCUUUUAGCCAUCACAGGACGUUGUGCUGCCGAUGUGUGGACUAGGCAAGUGAAAGUUGUAUCCCAAAGUUCUUUCGUUAUUUCCAUUAGUGUUCCUUCAAAAUAUUGAAGUAGUUGAACACAACGUUGGAUAAUAUUUUGGUUUGGAAUUUUAUAUCCCAGCUCAUGAGCUAAAUCUCGUAGGGUUGAGAUUACUUUUGAAGAAACCUUAAACUGCUUUUAUGAAUGCAAAUGAUCUCUGGACAUAGAAGACUGUUCGUAUACUUAUAAACUGAUUCUAAUUCUAAAACGGUUGGAUUGGUUGGAUUAAAAUUAAAUGAAAUGAGCAAGCAUUCGAUAGACACUUGUAGUAGACUCUAGACAUAGAGUCACGCUCAUACAAAAGGAACCCAUGCAAGAUAUCUAAAAAGCCUUUAGACACAGGCAAGGUAACUUGAGGUGUUGCUCUCACGAGAGGCAGGCCAUUUUAGUACUCUUCUGUGCUUUAAAGUAGAUAUGAUUUUGCCAAGGCAUUAUUGAAAAUAAGGGUCGAUUUUGGGUAAUCUCGACCUUCCAAAUCCACAUCGUAUAUCUUUUAUUCUUUCCCAUAGUAUAUUUGCCACAUCAUUAUUAGUUAUUUAUUUGCUCAUUUACAUAAUAUUCCUAUAGUAAUUCUCAUAAUUGUCAUUACAUUUCUACUCUCGAUUUGGCACAACAUUACCAGUUAUUUAUUAAUUCCACGCAUUGCUUACAUCAUUACUCUACUAAUUACCACUGUAUAUUUACCAUUGACUUUCCCAUAGUAUUAAUCGUAUUUUAUUAUAAUAACUUGACCAAUUUUGUGCCUCAAUUCGAUCCUCAUGGAACGAUACUCACUCAUCACUUUAUUUGUAACAUCCCAAACUUGGAUUAGAAGUUAUGACUGAAUCCGGCGAUAUCACAUGGAAAGGGAUUUGAAGACAAGAUUGUCGAGUUUAAAAACCAUUAUAGAAAGUUAGCUUUUAUUUAAUUCGGGAAAAAAACUAGUUGAUUUUCUUUAAAACUUGUCUCUUAGCAGAAGCUUUUGUAACCAAUUAAUUUACGAAAAAUCGUUUCUAUUUACAAAAAACUUUAGUAGGAAAAACUAUGUUUUGUGGAGUUGCAGUUUUUAAAAGAAACCCAUAAAAAAAGUAUAAAGUCCCAAAUUUAAAACCAACCAGUCCAUAGUCUAGAAGAUACAUCAAAAACUCCAAANNNNNNNNNNNNNNNNNNNNNNNNNNNNNNNNNNNNNNNNNNNNNNNNNNNNNNNNNNNNNNNNNNNNNNNNNNNNNNNNNNNNNNNNNNNNNNNNNNNNNNNNNNNNNNNNNNNNNNNNNNNNNNNNNNNNNNNNNNNNNNNNNNNNNNNNNNNNNNNNNNNNNNNNNNNNNNNNNNNNNNNNNNNNNNNNNNNNNNNNNNNNNNNNNNNNNNNNNNNNNNNNNNNNNNNNNNNNNNNNNNNNNNNNNNNNNNNNNNNNNNNNNNNNNNNNNNNNNNNNNNNNNNNNNNNNNNNNNNNNNNNNNNNNNNNNNNNNNNNNNNNNNNNNNNNNNNNNNNNNNNNNNNNNNNNNNNNNNNNNNNNNNNNNNNNNNNNNNNNNNNNNNNNNNNNNNNNNNNNNNNNNNNNNNNNNNNNNNNNNNNNNNNNNNNNNNNNNNNNNNNNNNNNNNNNNNNNNNNNNNNNNNNNNNNNNNNNNNNNNNNNNNNNNNNNNNNNNNNNNAGUUCUACACUUACGCCCAUAUAAUGCUUCAUACGGUGCCAUUCGUAUACUUGACUGAUAGCUAUUGUUAUAAGCAAAUUCAACCAAUGGUAGAUAUUUCUCCCAACUGCCUUUCAAUUCUAAAAUACAACACCGGAGCAUAUCUUCAAGAAUUUGAAUCACUCUUUCCGAUUGCCCGUCAGUUUGCGGAUGAAACGCAGUACUGAAAUUCAAUUUUGUACCCAAGGCUUCCUGCAACUUUAUCCAAAACCUCGAAGUAAAUCUCAGAUCUCUAUCCGAUAUAAUAGAUUUAGGCACCCCAUGUAAUCUCACUAUUUCAGCAACAUAUAAUUCUGCCAACCUGUCAAGUGAGUAAUCAAUGCGUAUCGGAAUAAAAUGAGCCGACUUUGUCAAUCUAUCAACAAUUACCCAAAUAGCAUCUUUCUUCUUUGGAGUUAAAGGCAAUCCUGUCACAAAAUCCAUCGUAAUACUAUCCCACUUCCACUCUGGAAUCGUUAUCGGUUGAAGUAAACCCGAUGGUACUUGAUGCUCAGCCUUCACUUGUUGACAGAUUAAACACUUUGAUACAAAUUCCGAGAUAUCCUUUUUCAUGCCUGGCCACCAAUACAACUUCUUCAAAUCAUUAUACAUUUUCACACUACCCGGAUGAACUGACAAGUCACCACUAUGUGCCUCACAUAAAAUGGUCUGAAUUAACUCAUCAUUUCUUGGUACACAUACUCUAUCCCGGAACAUCAAGCAAUCAUCUGAACCAAUUUGAAAAUCUGAGUCAACACCUGCUUCACACUGAGCUCUCUUGGCUUGCAAUUUACUGUCAUUCUUUUGAGAUUCCCGAAUUUACUGAAGAAAUAAUGGUCUAGCUCUCAAUUCAACCAACAUUGAGCCAUCAUCAGAUAAAGUUAACAUCGUACCCAUAGCUCUCAAAGCAAAUAAAGAUUUUCUGCUCAAGGCAUCAGCAACCACAUUAGCUUUCCCGGGGUGAUAAUCAAUCACUAGCUCAUAGUCUUUGAUUAGCUCGAGCCAUCUUCGUUGCCGCAAAUUCAAAUCUUUUUGGCUCAUCAAAUACUUCAAACUCUUAUGAUCAGUGAAGAUUCGGCACUUUUCACCAUACAAAUAAUGACGCCAAAUUUUUAAAGCAAAAACAAUGGCAGCCAAUUCUAAAUCAUGCGUCGGAUAAUUCUUCUCAUGCGGUUUCAAUUGUCUCGAAGCAUAAGCUAUUACUUUGCCCUCUUGCAUUAACACACACCCAAGACCAUUCAACGAUGCAUCACUGUAAAUUACAAACUCCUUCCCGGACUCAGGUUGCACCAACACUGGCGCCUCAGUCAAUAAUGCCUUCAACUUUUCAAAACUCUGUUGACAUUUAUUGGUCCAUUCAAACUUGACAUUCUUCUGCAGUAACUUAGUCAUAGGAGAAGCAAUCAUCGAAAAUCCCUUGACAAAGCGUCUGUAAUACCCAGCUAAGCCCAGAAAGCUUCUAACUUCUGUCACAUUCUUUGGUGGCUCCCAAUCAACAAUUGCUGAAAUUUUGCUUGGAUCAACCCGAAUACCUUCACUUGAAACUAUAUGUCCCAAGAAUCCAACCUCACGAAGCCAAAACUCACUUUUGCUGAAUUUAGCAUACAAUUUCUUUUCUCUCAGAAUCUGCAACACAGUUCUUAAAUGUUCUGCAUGCUCAGAUUCAUCCCGAGAAUAGAUUAAAAUAUCAUCUAUGAACACCACCACGAACUUAUCCAAGUACGGCCGAAAAAUUUGGUUCAUCAAGUCCAUAAAAAUAGCUGGAGCAUUUGUUAACCCAAAAGGCAUUACCAGAAAUUCAUAGUGUCCAUACCUUGUUCUAAAGGCGGUUUUCGGCACAUCAGACUCUUUAACUCUUAACUGAUAGUAACCAGACCUCAAAUCAAUCUUAGAAAACACUGUUGCCCCUUUUAAUUGAUCAAAUAAAUCAUCAAUUCUCGGCAAAGGAUACUUGUUCUUUAUAGUCACCUUGUUGAGCUGACGAUAGUCAAUACAAAGUCUCAUAGAGCCGUCCUUUUUUUUCACAAAUAACACAGGAGCACCCCAAGGAGAAAAACUCGGUCUCACAAAUCCUUUAUCUGUCAACUCUUGUAACUGAGCUUUUAAUUCCUUCAACUCAGUCGGAGCCAUUUGAUACAGUGCAAUAGAAAUCGGUGCAGUACCAGGUAACAGAUCAAUAGAAAACUCAACUUCUCUAAUCGGAGGUAACCCAGGCAAUUCCUCUGGAAAUACAUCUGGAAAUUCACAAACUACCGGCACUGAUUCAAGCUUCGACCCAGUAAUAUCCGUGUUUAGCACAUAAGCAAGAUAAACUUCACAUCCCUUUCUCAAGUAUUUCUGAGCAGACAUGUGCGAAAUCACCAUAGGCAACUUAUUCGGCUCCUUUGUUUCAACCCGGAGAAUUUCACCGUUUUCACAAUUUAAUUCAAGAAUUUUCUGUCUACAAUUUCCCUUGGCAUCAUGCAAUAUCAACCAAUCCAUCCCCAAAAUAACAUCAAACUCAUCAAAUGGUAACAACAUCAAAUUAGCCGGGAAACAGUGGCCUUGAAUCAUCAGGGGACAAUUCUUGCAAACCUUAUCGACUAAGACAUAUUUGCCUAAAGGAUUUGAUACUUUAACUACAAAUUCAGUUUUUUCAACAGGCAAUUUCUUACUAGACACCAAAUUCAUGCAUAUAUAUGAAUGAGUAGAGCCGGGAUCAAUCAAAGCAAUAACAUCAAUAUCAUGAAGAGAAAAUGUACCAGUAAUCACAUCGGGAGAUGAGGCAUCCUCUCGAGCGCGUAUAGCAUAAGUCCUAGCAGGCGCUCUAGUUUCUGAUCCUCCAGCUGUAUCUUUUAUCACACUCUUACCACUGGCUUUGCUUCCCACAUUUCUCGGUGGUCUGCCUCUACUGACAACAUCACCCGAUCCAGCUCUUUGUAAUCUUUCUUCUUCUAUUCUCUCAGGGCAGUCUUUUACAUAAUGCUCUUGGGAACCACAUCUGAAACAAGCUCGUUUAAAUCCCCAACACUCACCAGUAUGUCGCCUGCCACACUGUUGACAUUCAGGUCUGGUGUUUCCUACAUUACCCACACUUGCCACUGAGGUAGCUCGAGUUGUAGUUCCGGAAUAUGACCUCCCUCGGUCUCUGCGUGAAUACCCAACUGAACCGGUUGGUCGUGGAUCCAUCCCUUUAAACUUCUUCGGGUGAGAUUGAAAUGUUCUGCCCAUUGACCUCUUCCUUACAUCUCGAGCUUCCAUCUCUGCCCUUCUCUUUUCUCUACUCAGCUCUUCAGCUUUGCAAGCACGAUCAACUAAUACCACAAAUUCUUUUAACUCUAAAAUUCCAACAUGUAAUCUGAUGUCUUCAUUUAGCCCCUCUUCAAAUCUUUUACACAUAAUAGCCUCCGUAGGCACACAUUCCUGGGCAUAUUUACUAAGCCGGACAAACUCCCGUUCAUAUUCUGCUACUGACAUUCGGCCCUGUUUCAAUCCGAGAAACUCUUUGCGCUUCUGAUCAAUAAACCGUUGGCUUACAUAUUUCUUUCUGAAUUCUUCCUGAAAGAAGUCCCAAGUAACUCUUUCUUUUGGAACCACCGUUAUUAAUGUUUUCCACCAACGGUAUGCCGAAUCCUUCAAUAAAGACACAGCACAUUUCAAACAUUCCUCAGGAGUACAAGAUAAUUCAUCAAAUACCUGGAUAGUAUUUUCAAGCCAAAACUCGGCUUUUUCCGGAUCAUCAUCAACAUUGGCCCUGAAAUCUUCAACCCCAUGCUUUCGAAUUCUAUCAACGGGUGGUUUACUUGAUCUCACCAAUUCAGCACUUCGUGGAGCUACGGGGACCGGCGGAGGAAUAGGAGGGGGUGGAGGAGGUGGAACAUUCGGAUUUACACGGACAUAUUCUGUAUACCAAUCACUCAUCAUUCGGAGGAAGGCUUCUCGAGCCUCAUCCUGUCCAUGUGUCUCAUGUCUACUCUCUUCAUGCGCGGUCCCUUGUGUGGGAACCGGCGUGUUACUUUCAACAUCAUCUGCCAUACUUCGAUUAGGAUCCAUUUACUAUAUAAAACAAAAUUUUAAAUUGUCAGAAAUCAUCACACUAUCACAAUAUAUUGAUGGCAUGUAUAGACUGACUUUCACACAUAUUUUAUUGGUCCGAGAACUGACUAAACCGUAGCUCUGAUACCACUAAAAUGUAACACCCCUUACUCGUAUUCCGGCUCGGAACAGAGUAUGAGGUAUUACUAAGUUUUUUAAAAAAAAUUUCGACAGCAUUUCUUCUUAAUUUUGCUUAAACCUCCUGCAAAUUUAAAUCACAAUCCAAUAUAUAUAUAUCAACCAAACUCAUUUAUAAUAAUACUCACAAUUUAACUAUUAAUGAACACCACAUUUUAAAUCAAACCAUAACAUAUAUUUACAUGAUGAUUCCAUAUUUCAUAGGUCGUCUAUACAUGCCAUAAUUUUCCGGAACGAUAGUAGCAAAAUACCCCAAGUGUGAAGGAUAGUGUGGAUGAUUGUCUGACUUCGUUCCAAAUUUCCGAGUUGUCGGAAGUCACUAUAAUCAAGGGAAAAAUAAAAUCGAGUAAGCAUAUAGCUUAGUAAGUAAACACAUGAUAAAUAAGUAAUUACUCACAUAACUACACCAAAAUAUAAACUUAUUCAUGAAUAACUUCAUUGUUUAGGCAAUUUCCAGCAAACUGUUUUUCUGCGUCAUAUUCGCUAAUUUAUUUUUAUCCGGAGCUACAGGGCUCCAAAUUGAGUUUCGUAAAUUUUCCCUGAAACUAGACUCAUAUACCAUUUCACCAUAAAAAUUUCAGAAUUUUUUACCCAGCCAAUUAGUACAUUUUAUUCAUUAAAACUUCCCCUGUUUCACUGCCCAACGGUUCUGACCCUUCCUCAAAAAAAUUCACUUAACUCUCUGUACAAAAUUUUAAAAAUGGUUUCGCUUGUUUCUAUUAAAAAUAGAGUCAAUAAGGAAUCCAGGAAUAUAAAUUUCACACCAUAAUUAUUUUUGUACAAUUUUUGGUGAUUUUCCAAAGUUAGAACAGGGGAUCCCGAAAUCAAUCCAGCCCUGUUUCAGUAAAAUUCAGAUAUCUCCAAAAAUACAACUCUUUUGCUUAUUCUAUUUAUUUCAUAUGAAAAUAGACACAUUCAGCUUCAAUUUCAUAUAUUAUUCAGCUUCCCAUUCAUUUUCCACCAUUUAUGGUGAUUUUUCAAAGUUACCCAUCUGCUGUUGUUCAACACAGUUUAUAACUAAAUCGUUCCUUUUUUCGUUUUUGAUAUUUUCUCCCAUCUCAUACAUGGAUCGAUUUAGUAUCCAACUCAAUAUUUGCCCCAUAAAAAUUUCCACCAUAUGGCAAUAUUCACCUUCCACACUUUUUCGUUGAGCACUCGGAAUGUUAACCGUUAUUGGUGGAUCUCGCACUUAGCACCACCACUUAAUCGGGGAAUCAGCACUUAGCAACCCCUUGGGGGAAUCAGCACAUAGCAACCCCCUUUUUAUUUCAGAGAUACGGUGGAUAUCGCACUUAGCACCACCAAUGAACCGGGGAAUCAGCACUUAGCAACCCCUCGGGGGAAUCAGCACAUAGCAACCCCCUUUCACAUUUCAAAGAUACGGUGGAUAUCGCACAUAGCACCACCAAUGAAUCGGGGAAUCAGCACACAGCAACCCCUUUAUGUACAACAUACUUCGGCUUAUUCCGAGUGUUCAACCCAUAAAUCAUAUAUUGCAACCCUUUACCACAUUUCCCGAUUUAACAACAUUUUUAGGAUAUGGCCAAACAUUUAUUUUAAUUCCAAAUAAAUCUCAACAUAUAUCAAUUAAUGUCAAAAUAAUACAUCAAGUCACGUGUUUACUUACCUCGGUGCAAAAUAUCGUAAUUUUGCACUUCACUUCACUCCACUAUCUUUUCUUUUCCUCGUUUGAGAUAAUCUUCACGUCUUUCUUGAUCUAUAAUAGCAAAUUUAACUCAUUUAAUGUUCACAUUCAUUAAAAUAAUCCACCACCCAACUUUUUGAAAAAUUACAAUUUUGCCCCCAAACUUUUGCAUAAUUACACUUUUGUCCCCAAGCUCGGAAAUUAAACUUCAUCACUUAUUCUUAGGUUUUAUGACAUGCUGAACAUUUUUCCCUUCUAUGGCAACAUCAAAUUCUCACUCUAACAUACACUUAUGAACAAUAAUUAUUUUUACCGAUUAUGCCUAUUUACCCGUUUUCGCUUAAAAUCGCUUAGCAAAAGUUGUUUAACAUAAUUUAUAGCUUCAUAUUCCACCAUAAAACAGAAAAAUAAACACAUUUCACCUAUGGGUAUUUUUCCAAAUAUGAGCCCUAACACGAAUUAUUGCUAGAAUAAGCUAAAUCGAGUUACGAGGAUUCCAAAAAUGCGAAGAACAUUAAAAACAGGGCUAGGAUGCACUUACUAUGAGCUUGAGAAAGCAAAGAAAACUUAGCUAUGGCUUCCUUCAAAUUUCGGCAGCAACUAAUGAGGAAGAUGAUGAUUUUUGUCAUCUUUUUCCCAUUUUAUUUUAUUUUAUUACCAAAUGACUAAUAUGCCCCAUUUAAAAAAAUCUAUUUCUCUCAUUUCUUAUGUCUAUUUUUGUCCAUCAACUAACUAAUGGUCUAAUUACCACAUAAAGACCUCUAAUUUAAAAUUUCAUAUCAAUUAGAUACUUCUACAUAUAGAACUCAACUUUUACACUAUUUACAAUUUAGUCCUUUUGACUAAAUUGAGUGCCCAAACGUCGAAAUUUUCGAACGAAAUUUUUACGAAAAUUUUCCGUGAAAUUGUAGACCAUAAAAAUAUAAUAAUAAUCAUAUUUUCCCUCGUCGGAUUUGUGGUCCCGAAACCACUAUUCCGACUAGGCCCAAAAUCGGCCUGUUACAUAUAGGCUAUUAAAAUGGUGAAAUUAUAUUUUUACAAUAGUAAAAAUUACAAUUUAAUUUCACCCCUAAAAGGAUUUUUUGGCUUCGACCCUAAUAAAAUCUUUGGCAAAAGAUUAAAAUAAAAUUAUACCGUGAAUGGAAAAAGAAACUAAGAAAAUCCAAUCUAACAAAGAAAAUAACUUUGUUUAGCAACCUUUGUUUGAUUAAAAAUGUUGAAUUAAAAAUUCCAGAAUAGAUUAAAAAUUAUACCGUGAAUGGCAAAAGAUUACAAUUUUUUUGGUAAUAUUUUAAAAUUCCAGAAUAGAUUAAAAAUGUUGAAUUAAAGAUAAAAUUAAUAACCACAAGUGUACUCAUUACUCACCAUCUCUGUUAAAAAUGAUCGAUGUUGUUUAGCAACCUUUGUUUGAUUUUCUUCAGCUCAACCACAACAUCUUUCAUAUCUUUUCUUUCUUCCGGUAACUCAGCUGAACAAUUCAAAGCCAACUCCAUGAUAGAUGAAAUACAAUUUGCUUUAACAACAAUGUACUCAUCCUCUCUUCUUAAUAAAUCAACAUCUGCAAUUUCUAUCGCUCCUUUCGGCAAUGAACUUUCCAUCCAAUGCCUUAUACUCUCUUCUUCAACAAAAACAUUACCAGUUGGCUUUUUCUUUGUGAAAGUUUCUAUAAGGACGAUCCCAUAACUAUAGACGUCAGAUUUUAUAGAAACGAUUCCUGCUGAUCCAAAUUCUGCAUUUCAAGUAUAAUUACAACAUCAUUCAUCCUCAAUUAUUUCUAAAAUGCUUAUUCAAAUAUAUAUUCACAUCCACAUGAAACAAAAAUAUAAAAUGCAAAUUAGGAAAAUAAUCAUACAAAAAUAAAAAAUAAUUCACCUGGUGCCAUAUACCCGAUAGUUGCAAGAGUCAUGGUUUGCUUCAUUACUUCACCUUCUCCCAACAAUUUGGCAACGCCAAAAUCUCCAACAUGUGCAACCAUGUCUUCAUCUAGUAAAAUAUUGCUUGGUUUUAUGUCACAAUGAAUAUAGGUGUUGGAUGUCCAUUGUGGAGGUGUUCUAUGCCUACCGCAACAUUUAUCAUUAUGUCGACCCUUUGUAUGAUAUCAAGGAAACAAUUUUCAGAAUGUAACCAUUUCUCAAGGUUUCCAUUAGACAUGUAAUCAAGCACCAAGGCUUUGAAGUCAAGACUUGAGCAGCAAGUAAUGACCUUCACAAUAUUACGAUGAACUAUAUUACGCAUAGCAUCACAUUCAAUGUCAAAACUCCUAAAUGCUCCCUCUGUUUGCAAAUUGAAAACUUUUAUUGCAACUUCCAUUCCAUCUGAAAGCCUCCCUUUAUAUACAUAUCCAAAACUCCCUGAACCAAGCAUAUUGCUUUCCUCAAAUCCAUUAGUUGCUCGUGAAAGUUCAGCAUGUGAAAUUCUUCUCGGUGUCUUCAAAGACAACAAAUCAUCUUUAAUUGGUAGAGCUGUACUCCUUCUUUGGCAUCUUCUAUACAUAAUAGUUAAGACUAUUAAUACUACGACAAUACCAAUUGUUGGUAAACCAUACCUAAAAGCAUGCAAUAUAAUCAUUUGGGAGUUUUUGUGGAUGUCGUUUUUACAAGGUGGGACUAGCAGUCUAGGUGGACCACAAAGUGCAUAAUUCUUUAUGAAUGAUGUGCUAGAAAAGUUUGAAAAACAUCCUUCGCUGGGAAUUUCCCCUUCAAGUCUAUUGAAAGACACAUUAAAAUACUUUAGAUAUAAAAGCUUCUCCAAAGAUUUGGGAAUGACUCCAGAGAGAUUGUUAUUGCAUAAAUCCAAGAAUUCCAAACUAAUCAACCCAUCAAAUGAUUCAGGGAUAUGACCAUGUAGUAUAUUAUUUGAUAAAUCUAAUGAAACCAAAGUUAUAAGACCCCCAAAUGUGGAUAAGAUAUCCCCCGUGAGAAGAUUCCUUGAUAAAUUUAGUUUCAGUAGACUCCUCAAAUUUCCGACAUCAAUAGCAUGUGAAUUGUGAAGAUGGUUUGAUGAUAAAUCUAUUUUUAAGAUAUCUUGAAGAUUCCACAAAGUUGAGGGUAUUGCGGAACUCAGUUUGUUGGAAUCUAAGUAAAGAUAUCCCAAAGAAGUAAUAUUACCCAAACAAGAGGGUAUGGAUCCAUGUAGCUUAUUCAACCCUAAAUACAUCUCGUAUAGUCUCUCCAAAUCACAAAAACUUUCUGAGAUGGGCCCUCCUAAUUUAUUAGAGGAAAGAUCUAGACCUUGGAGAUUUCGCAGUCCUCCUAUUGAUGCUGGAAUGAAUCCACUUAAUUUAUUAUGGCGAAGUUGUAAAAGCAAUAGGUUGGUUAAGUUACCUAUUUCCAUAGGAAUAAUGCCUUGAAGCUCACAAUUAGAGGCAUAAAAGUAUUGAAGGGUUUUUGAAAGGUUCCCGAUAUAAGUAGGAAGAACACCACUCAAUGGAUUUCCUGAAACAUCUAUUGUGCUCAAAUUCCUACAAUUCGUCAAAGAAGAAAGAAAGCUCCACUCAUGAUCGGUAGAAGAUCCUGUGAUCAAAUUAUUGUUUUUGAUUCGGAACCAUUCAAGGUGUCUUAAGUUGCCAAGCGUUUUAGGGAUUGGGCCAGAGAAUAAGUUAUGCGCCAAGUCUAGUUCCUUAAGCAUGGAAGCAUUGGAGAUAGAGUUGGGAAUGUUUCCGCUAAGUUUAUUUCUCCACAAUAAAAGAAUCUCAGGCUUUGGAGCAUUGGUGAUGGGUGGUAAAUUACCUGUAAAAUAUCAUCUUUUAGUAUACAUAUUCAUUGAAUACCAAAUUCACAAAAUAUAUUAUACAUUAAAAUAAAAACUGUAAAACUUUAAAUCAAUUAAGAAUAAAAUUUUGGCAUGGAAAAAUGUGAUGAAAUCAAUUACAAAGUUGAGACAUACUAAGAAGUUUCAAGUAGUAAUUAGUCUUGUGAUUUGUAUAGACAAAACAUAUAGAUUUGGGAAUGUGGCAUCUAAUCAAUCUUAAAAAUGAGACUGGCACUGAAUAAUAAUUAGUUAUGAUUUGGGAAACAAAAAGGUUAAAGCCAUUGUUUUUAAUGUAAACUGAUAUGAUUUUUAUUUAUUGGGUUAAUUAUUUAUUGUUAUUAAAUUAUAGUGUAAAAUUUAACGAUUAUUAUUUGCUCAAAAUUUCUGUAUUUUUCGUAUAUUUGAAAUUUAAUCUUUAUAUUUUUUAUUUUUUGUGAUUUAGUCUCUCUACUUUUUGAAUUGAAAAUUUUAGGUUCAUUUACUAACACUAUUAAAAAGUUUUUGUGUCUAGUAUGGCAUUUUGAAAAAUAAAAUAAACUUGAUAUCUAUGUUUUUAAUUAUUCCAAAUAUUGCUUUACUAUUUCAAGAUAAAUUAUUUGUGUCUAGACUAAUAUCUUAAGAACUAUUGUUGCAUGUUUAAUUAUCUAAAAAAUUAUCGAUUGAGUCUUAGCUUGAUUGGCAUGUGCGUUGUUGCCAAUGUAGGAGAAUGUGGGUUCAAGUAUGUUGAAGUGUAUUAUCUUCUUAUUUAUGAAUUAGGGAGUUGGUAAAGUACUAAAAUUUGAUAUAUUUUAAAAUAUUAAAAUUUAUUAAAAUAUUUUUUAUAAAAAAUGAUUCUACCACAAUAUACAAUUUUAAUAUCAAAUUUUUAAUUUUUUUUAAAAAUGUUAGCGAAUAUAUACUUUAUUUCAAGUUAUGCAAUUUUUACUAGUUUUUAACUUUUUUUCAAAUUUUUAUCGUCUUUUAUAAUUUCUAAUAAUUUUUUAUAAUUUUUUUACAAUAUUUAACAAUUUCUAAAUUUUUUUUAAUAAUUUUAUUAUGUAUUACAAAUUUAAAAAUUAACAAAUUUUUAUAUUUUUAAAAAAAUUAUAUAUUUAUAAUGUAUUUAUUUUUUAUAAUUUUAUUUGAAAUUUUAAAGAUUUUUUUGGUUUGUUUUCUAGAUGAUGAUGCCAUCAUGAUGCUAACAUAUUAUGAUUAGAUAUCUCAAUCUAUUCUUUUAACGCCCAGUGAAUGAAACCAAGAACACCUAAUGUUAAAGUGGGUAAAAACACAUUAAGGACCAAAGUUAAAAAAAGAAAAAGAAAAAGAGCAAUAUGCUGUAGGGAAUAAACUGUGCAUUAAGCCAUUAAAAAUAUAUGUAUAAUAUAUAUAAAUGCAUGGAUUUUGAGAAACUUUUGAACUGAUAAUUAUAUAGUCUUUGUUGUUUACUAUAUUAUUGAAUUUGUUAUUUUAAAUUAAUUUUAUUACUUUUAAGAUUUAUAUAAGAAUUUUGGUUUUACUAAAAUAUUUGCUUAAAUAAGUUCACUUCAUAAGAAAAUUUAGCAUCCUUAUAAAUAACAAUUUUGAUUCUAUUAAAAAACUUAUUUUAAAAAAUUAUAUAAUCAAAAUUUAAAAUUUAUAUUGAAUUACUUUAUACUUAAAUUAUUAUUAGAAACUUUAUCAUACACAUACGUGUAUGAGAACCACGUAUUUAGAACAUAAAUUUGUGUUUUAAAAUAACUUAUGAUAAAUAAUGAAAUGUAUAAUUUGAAACUAUUUAAUAAUAACACAUAGCAUAUCUACCAUAUUAAAAUAAAAAUAGAUUAAAUUGUAAGUAAAACAUAAUUUAAACAUAUGAACACAUCAAAUUAAGAAUACUAAAUGAAUAAAGUUAUUUAUAAUGAUAUUGUUGUCAAUUCCUAAAUUGGUGUCGAGUUAAUCUGUGACAUCAUAAAUUUAAGUGAUAAAUUUAAGGAUUUAUGUAUUGAUGUGGAUUCAAAUAUCACCAUAAGUUUUUUAAAAAUAAAAAACUAAAAUACCUUAAAAUACUAUAACUUAUAUUAAAUACGAAAGAGUAUUUUUGUAAUUUUCCUAACCGAGUUGGUGCCCGGUUGACUCAUGACACCAACUCAAUUAAAAGAUUUAAUAAUAAUAUAGAUAUUCACGUUAAAAAAACAAAAAAAAAGUACUUUAGUUCCAAAUAAUUAUAUAACAAGUAAAUUUAUAAUUGAUGAAUAAAUUUAUAGAUAAUAUAUUUAUAUGAUCUAAUAUAUUAUAUUAAUAUUAAUUAUAUAUCAUCUACAAUCUUUGAAGAUCAAUUUAUUAAGUAUCAAGAAAAGAAAAAAAUGAAAUUGAGUUAACACUAAAUCAAUUUUUAGAUUUUGUACAGAUGAUUUAAUGAUGAUAAAAAAAUUAUUAGCACUAUUUUUGAAUUAACAAAAAAUUAGUGAUAUAUUUUAAUUAUAUUUAUUAUUUAUUAUUUUUAAUAAUAUUUUUUAAAAUUAUAUGAAGUAAAAUUAUACUGUAUACUAAAUAUGGUACAUAUACUUUAAUUGUAACUUGAAAAUUUAUUAUAUAAAUUAAUAUAUUUUAAUUAUAUUCAACCAUUUGAAUAACAAAAUAAAAAAAAACUAAUUAGAAUAAUUUUUAGAAAAAAGAAAAAACAUUAUUUAAAGGCUAGUUAAAAAUCACGUGCAACAGGUGAUAUGAGAAUCUAUGUAUAUAAAUGUGUAUAUAUAUAUCGUUGUUUCAUUUUUUUUUUAAAUAAAUAUAUUUUCCACAUUGGUUUCUUUUCUUGUACAGACAAAGGAUUUCUAAUGAUUUUAAAAAAAAAAAUUUACUUAUAUAAAAUAGAUCAGUUUAUUCAGUAAAAUAAAUCAAUUCAUAUAAAUGUUAUUGUUUAUUAUCAGAUUGAAAUGAUAAAAGUAUAUGACAUAAAUAGAAGAAACAAAUUCAACACAAUGUUUUCCGAGUUUGGAAAAAAUUAAAGUGAAAAACAUACCUUCUAAUUUGUUGCCAUAUAGAGCUAUUACUUCGACCAUAGUUGAAUUAAAAAUACUUGAUGGAAUCUGACCUGCAAACAUAGUUGAAAAUUGAAGUAAAAAACAUACCUUCUAAACUCUUCAACUAAAAAUACUUUAAGCAUAUUUUUUUUCCCAUCAAAUUAACUAUUUUGCCUUGAAUGAAAUAAAAUGCUCUUACUUUUGUUAUCUAUUACAAAUCAAAUUCUUCUAUGAAAAAAUAUUUUAAAUUAAAGAAACAAAGAAAAUUCAAUAUCUUCUAAGUAAAGCACUUCAAGCUUGGGAAGAUCAUUAGGCAAACUACCUGAUAUGCCAGUGUUGGAGAGAUCAAUGAUCUUCAGAGAAGAAAUGUUGAAGAUCGAAGUUGGAAUCUGACCUGUGAGGCCUUUAAUUUCUUUAAUACUAAGCAGCUCCAAACCAAGAAGAUUACCGAUUUCCUCAGGAAUUUGACCUGCACACAUAUUUAGUCGAAAAAUCAAGAUGUCAAACUGCCUAUAUUGUUAGCAUAAGUCAAAGAGGUUUUCGUUUCUGCUCUACAGUAAUUUGGAGAUGUUAGAUUUAAUAUAUUUCAGCAUAUGUUUUUCAUCAAAUGAAAUAAAAAAGUUUUUCCUUUUGUUAUCUAUUAAAAAUCAAACUCUUUUAUAAAAAAAUACUUUAAAUUUAAGAAAUCAAGGAAAUUGAUUACCUUCUAGAUUAUUAAACCCCAAAUAUAAUUUCUGGAGUUGUGUUAGAUUUCCAAUACUUCUUGGAAUGAUCCCCAUAAAUUGAUUAUAGGACAACGACAAACUUUUAAGGUUGCUGCAUUUGCCCAUGCCAAAUGGAAUGUUACCAGAUAAUUCAUUCCAACUCAGGUAAAGCUCUUCAAGCUUGGGAAGAUGUUGACACAUAUCAUUAGGCAAACUACCUGAUAGGCUAUUGCUGGUGAGACUAAUAGAUUUCAAAGAAGAAAUCUUGAAGAUGGAAGAUGGAACCUGGCCAGAUAAUUGAUUCAAUUCCAAGUUCAAGAUCUCUAGGUUAGACAUGUUAACAAGUGUUUCAGGGAUUGUGCCUGUAAAGUUAUUAUUUUUCAUUUUCAGCGUUCGAACUCUCUGUAAGUUCCCAAGCCAUGAUGGAAUUUCUCCAUUAAGACGGUUGUAGCUUAAUCGAAGGAUCCUCAAACGAUGCAAUUGGCCCAAUUCUUUAGGGAGAUAGCCAUAGAAAUGGUUGCUACUCAAGUCGAGUGAGAGUAGAAGUGAAAGAUUUCCAAGGUGUGGAGGGAUAGUACCCCUAAGAUUCAUGCUUGUAAGAUUCAAAGCUAUAACUCUUUUAUGGAGGAUGCCACAAGUAACACCAAUCCAAUUGCAAACAGAGGUUGAGGCCGUCCAAUUGUUUGCCAAGACAUUUUGAGGACCGGCAAUGUGAUCCUUAAACUCGAGAAGUGCAAACUGAUCGGAGUUGAGAUUCUUGACUGUCAUAGCCAAGCAAAGUACGGAACAUGGUAUGAAUAAAGCUAAGAGAAGAUGAAAGCCAGCGUUGUAGUUCAUGAUUGCAAGACGGAAUAAGGCAAGAAAAUAAAAAAAAGUAGGAAAAGGGAAGUUGAGCUGAUAAAAUAGUUUGGAUGAUGAAGAAAAGCCCAGAGAGCAUGCUUUAAUAUGUUUCAACCCUCGUACACUUGAUAAACUUGAUAAAUUUAAGACUACCCUAAAAAUUAAAAAGGAAAGCAAAGUUUUGAAGAAAUUUCAAAAUAAAUGUCAAGUCUUCUUCUUUAGAAAAUACGUACAAAGAAUCGAAUUUUCAAAAUUUCUCCUAAAUUUUCUUCACGUUACUCCACAUAAUCCAUUAAAAAUACUUAAAAAUAUAUUUUAAUAAUUACUAUAUAUUCUUUUAUUUAAUAAAUUGUUUAAAAAUGCUAUUAGUCCCUGUAAUUUAAAAGUUAAAAAAAAAAUCCAAUCCUCCUAUUUUUCUAAUUUGAAAAUUCUAGUCCAAUAAUUCUUAAUUCCAUUAAAAAAUUUCAGCUUAAUAGGUUUUUUAUUAUCAAUCAUAUGCAACAGUAUAUGAAUGCAGUCUACUCAGCAUAUAUCCAAGUUUACAGAUUUUAAUAGAAAAUACUUACAAUCCUAAUGGUAGGACUAAGUUUUUUAAACUAGAAAAGUGAGAAGACUUAAUUUUUAACUUUUUAAGCACAAGGAUUAAAUUUUAAAUGUUGUCAAAGUACAAGCACUAACAAAAUAUUUUGAUCUAAUAAAUGUAAAAAACUUUUUAAACAAAAUAAGGUUGAAAUAAUCUAUUUGUCCUUGUACUUUGAUAAAAUUUGAGAUUUAGUCCUUAUAUUUAAAAACUUAAAAAUUAAGUCUUAUUGUUUUUAUUUAAAAAUCUUAGUCCUAUCCUUAAUUUUAUUUUAUCAAAAUUGGUCAACUUUACAUAUUAAUUAGGUUUCCCUUAUAUGUCGCGGUAUCAAUCAAAACUUAAUUAAUAUCCAUCAAUAUCCAUCAAUACGUCAUACAUAAAAAAAGCAAGCAUAAAAUACAGUUAAAAGUCCUCCUUUUAUUAUUAAAUGUUUUAUUUUAGUUAUUUUAAUCAAAUAUAUCCAAAUUACAAUAGAGUUAACAUUUAUUGUGUAAAAAAUAUUUUAAAUUUUUUUUUCAAUUUUAGUUUAAUUCUAGAAGAAAUAUUUCAUUUAUAAAAUCAUAAAACUUUAAAAAUAUUAACUCUGUUAAAUAAAAAUUAUUUUUUUAAAUAGUAAAUGUUAACUUUAUUAACACAAAUGGGCCUCAGUAAUUGACAAGCUCUUCCACAAACUGUGGAAGAUUUGGGGAUAAAAGCUUCAAUAAUUAUGGAGUUAUAGUGUAAAUUUGCCACUAUAUUAUAAGUGUAUUGAAAUUUAUCACUAUAUUUUAUUUGAUGUUUAUCAUUACACUUUGAAAAUAUAAGUAAAUUUACCAUUUAACUCAGAUUUACCUUUGCAAGUAAACUUAAAAUUUUAUUUAAUUUUGUCACUAAAUUUGAUUUGUUCAAUAUAGAUUUUGGUGACUUAAAACUCACUAAAUUUGAUUUUUUCAAUAUACAUUUUGGUGACUUAAAACAAAAUUAAUAAAUAAUUAUUCUUUUGGAUAUCUUUUUAAUGUUUAAUAAUAAGUUAAUUUAUAAAAUAUACUGUCAUUGGACACAAGCCUCUAAGGCGGUGAACCACUAAUCAAAUUAAUUUGGAGAUAUCUUUUUUUCUAAAUAAAGUGAAUUUACGAGUUUUGUUUUCUUUUAAAAACAUUUUUAAUAUUUUUGUGGAUAUCAAAAAAUUUUUCAAUAAGAAAUUUUAAUUCACUCGAAAAGUUAGUGUUUUAUUUCAAGGGGUCAUAAUUAAUCAUUAGAUUUCCCAAUUUUAAAUUUUAAAUUUUUCGACAAUUGCGUAAUUAAUAAGUACCAAUUUUGAGUGUUGUAGGGCUAGUACAAUCUUCCUUACACAUAACCGACUCUUAAACCUACUCUUUUCUCUAGAAUUCAAUGCAAACAUCGAAUUUAUCUUUUGAAAAGAAUUUUAAAAUAAUAUAAAAGGUGUUUUUUUAUGACUGAUCACACUUAACAAAAAUUUAAAAAUUAUUAAAAAAAUUUCAUUUUGAAAUUUAAAGUGAUCUAAAAACAUAUUUUUAAGUGCUUUGGACCAUCUGUUGCUGAUUUCCUUAUUAUAUUAAAUGUUUGCAAUCACUCCUAAUAUAUUGUGCUUGAGUUGUGACAGAGCAAAUCGCCAACGUGCCAUAUUGAUCUAUUGAUGCUGAAACUGAAGUUUUUGUUAUAUUGAUAGAGCUUGUCCUUCAACGCAUACAACGUGUUUGUUAUUUUUCUCCCUUCAAAUUGUAUGAUCUUAUUUAUUUAAUGAAUUAAUGAAUUUCCCUUUUAAAAAGAUAUAUUUUUAAAAUUAAAUACUUUAUAAAAUAUUUAAAACUACUUAAAAAAUUGUAAGCCUUAAAACAAUCAACAAAAUAUAUUUUUCUCUAAAAAAAUCAAUAAAAAUAUGUUUAAAAUUUUAUAUGAAAUUAAAUUUUUUUUAACAAUAAUAUAUUUUAAAAUUAUAGUAACGCUAUAAAAUAUAUAUAUACAUAUAUAUAUAUAUUUACUAAUUAUAUACACCUUUCCAUACAUCCUUUUUCUACAUAGAAUUUCAAAAGUAAAUGUGAAUUAAUGUAGGCGUAAGAAGACUUACAGGUAAGUCACCCAACGAAAGUGUCCUAAACCGACUUAUGGAAGAAUCAAACAAUAAUUUUGUAUCGUAUAAUAUAUUUAAUUACAUUUAUUAGUUUAUCAAUCAAAACUUAAGUAGAAUCCAUCAAUAUUUCACACAUCAAAACCCAAACAUAAAAUUCACUUUUAAAUUAUUCGGGGAAUAUUUGUAUUAUAGGAAAUGGAUUAAAUUAGACUUUUAUUAUUAAAUGUAUUAUCUUAAUCUUUGUAUUAGGUAUGAAUGAUAUCUCUUAGAUUGAAGCUAGAGCUAUUCUUGAAUGAUUGAAAUUAAGAUUAAGAUGUGUUGAGAUGGAAAGUGGCAACACAAUGCUGAUUGAUGCUAUUUGUAAUGGGUUGGCUACAAUAAGUAGUGCUGCUGAAGUAAGACAAAUUUAUGAUUGGUGUUCCAAAAUUUUGGGAAGUCAAAUUUUGACAUUUUCAGCGGAAUGCCAAUAAAGUUGUUGAUUGCAUAGCUAUGGCAGAUGGAGGCAUAAUUGAGCAGCUGGUUAUCUUGAAAGAUCCUCUGCAUUAUGUGAGAUACUAGCUUGAAGAAGAUAUUAGACGGUCACUGGUGACUGAUGAUAAUUUUCAUUUGGACUGAUGAGCGCUUAAUUUUCUAAGCUUAUGGUCAACCAAAAAAAAUAAAUAAAUGCGUCUAAAUUGUAAUAGAGUUAACAUUUAGUGUUUAAAAAAAUCUUAAAAUUUUUUUUUCAAUUGCAGUUCAAUUCCAAAAAUAUCGAUGAUGAACCCGAACAUAAAAAUUACCAAAAAAAAAAACACAUCUAUUAUCAAACCAACAAUCCAUGUCUAAACUUAAAUUAACAAAAUUCGCCACCCAACCCAAUACACUAUUUUAUAUAUAUAUUAGAUUUAUUCUAGAUGCGCAUGUUUUAUUAUAUUUAAAAAUUAAAAUAUAUGGUUGACUGAGUUUUAGCUGAGUUGAUAUUGGUAUUAUUGUUAGUGUAAGAAAAUUUGAGUUUAAUCGUGUUCAAAUGUGUUUUAUCCUCCAAUUUAAAGGUUAGGAAAAUAUUAUUGAUAAUUAAAUUAUACCAACUUGAUGAUAUUAAAAAAAGGAUGUAUAAAAAAUAUAAGGGAGAAAAAAAAAAGGAGAAACAUAUUCAUAUUGAUGGGCUCUUUCAAUAUUAGACUUUUUUUCUCUCACAAGUAAAAGUAGUUAUGGAGAGGAUCAUGUAAAAUAAUAGCCUGAAUAAUUUUAAACGUCUCAUCAUUGCAAAAAUGAAAUAGUAGAAAAGAAAGAGUAGACAUUCUAUGAAAUUUAUAAUUCCAACCGUGAAUAAAAUAUAAAUUUUAUGAAUGUGGACAAGCAAUUUUAUUUAACUUUUUUUAAAGUCAUUUUGUUUGUUUCCUAAUCACCAUGAAAUUACUUGUCACAAUUCAUCUUUUUAAAUGAGAAACAUUUUCCACAAUUUGCCAUCACUUUAACAUACACUAACUUUUCUAUGAUUAGUCCUUUGUUUGCUUUGGGUGCAAUCUUCCAACUAGCCUCAUCCUUGGUUUUACUUUCCAACAUUUAGUGUAUUACGAGUUUUGUUUUCUUUAAAAAAUAUUUUUGUGGAUAUUAGGAGAUAAUGAAAUUAUUUUACUAUGAAAUUUUAAUAAAACUGGAAAAUAAGUCAUUUAUUUUAAGAGAUCACAAUUAAACAUUAGAUUUCCAAUUUUUUAAUUUUAAUUUUUUUUGACAAUUGCAUAAUAUUUUGAGCGUUGUAGGAAUGCCAUAACCUUCCCUACGCAUAAUCGACUCUUAAGUAUGAUGGAUCCUAGACCUUCUCCUCUAUUCUUGUACCACAAAUUGCUUCGAGUGUGGGUUCGGAAAAUCACAAAUUAAGCACAAAACCAAAAAUGAUUUUGUAACACCCCAAACCCAGCCUAGUCAUUAUGGAUUAAUGUAGACCUGAGAAGACUUAAUUACAUUUAUUAGUUUAUCAAUCAAAACUUAAUUAGAAUCCAUCAAUAUUUCACACAUAAAAAACCCAAACAUAAAAUUCACUUUUAAAUUAUUUGAAGAUAUAUUUGUAUUAUAGGAAAUGGAUUAAAUUAGUCUUUUUAUUAGUAAAUGUAUUAUUUUAAUCUUUUUAUUAGGUAUGAAUGAUAUCUCCUAGAUUGAAGGCAGAGCUAUUCUUAAAAGACUAAAGUUAGGAUUCAGAUGUGUUGAGAUGGAAAGUGACAACGCAAUGUUGAUUGAAACUAUUUGUAACGGGUUGACUACAAUAAGUAGUGCUACCGAAGUAAGACAGAUUCACGAUUGGUGUUCCAAAAAUUGGAAAGUCAAAUUUCGACAUAUUCAGCGGAAUGCCAAUAAAGUUGUUGAUUGCAUAGCUAAGGCAAAUGGAGGCAUAAUUGAGCAGCUGGUUAUCUUGGAAGAUCCUCCGCAUUAUGUGAGAUGCUAGCUUGAAGAAGAUAUUAGACAGUCACUGGUGGCUGAUGAUAAUUUUCAUUUGGACUGAUGAGCGCUUAAUUUUUUAAGCUUAUAUUCAACAAAAAAAAAAUUAAAUACGUCUCAAUUGUAAUAGAGUUAACAUUUAGUGUUUAAAAAAUAUCUUAAAAAUUAUUUUUUCCAAUUGCAAUUCAAUUCCACAAAUAUCAACGAUGAACCUGGACAUAAAAAUUACAAAAAAAAAAAAACACAUCUAUUAUCAAACCAGCAAUCCAUGUCUAAACUUAAAUUAACAAAAUUUGCCACGCAACCCGAUACACUAUUUUAUAUAUAUACUAGAUUUAUUCUAGAUGCACAUGUUUUAUUAUAUUUAAAAAUUAAAAUAUAUGGUUGACUAAGUUUUAGUUGAGUUAGUAUUGGUAUUAUUGUCAGUGUAGGAAAAUGUGAGUCUAAUUGUGCUCAAAUUUGUUUUAUACUCCAAUUCAAGGGUUAGGAAAAGGUUAUUGAUAAUUAAAUUAUACCAACUUUUAUGAUAUUAAAAAAAGGAUUUAUAAAUAAUAUAAGGAAAAGAAAAAAAGAGAGAAACAUAUUCAUAUUGAUGGGCUCUUUCAAUAUUAGACUUUUUUUCUAUCACAAGUAAAAAUAUCAAAGGUGAUAAUAAUUAAAUUAUAAAAUUUAAAUUGAGAAAAUAGGGGAUUGAAUUUAUAACUUUUAAAGUAUAAAGAAUGAAUUUAUAACUAACAACAUAUUUUAACCACACAAUAAAAGUAGUUAUGGAGAGGAUCAUGUAAAAUAAUGACCUGAAUAAUUUUAAACGUCUCAUCCUUGCAAAAAUGAAAUAAUAGAAAAGAAAUAAGUGUUGGGUGUAGUGGCAAUGUACAUUAUACUUCUAAGGGGAGAUCAGGGUUUUAUACAAGGGAAGAAUUUUAAACCUGCUUUUUUCUCUAGAACUCAACGCAAACCUCAAAUUUAUCUUUUUAUAAGAAUUUUAAUAUAUCUAUAUAAAAGGUGAUUUUUUUGCCGAUCACACUUAACAAAAUUUUAAAUUUUUUUUUUUGAAAUUUAAAGUGAUCUAAAAACAUAUUUUUAAGUGCUUUAGACCAUCCUGUGUUGAUUUCUUUAGUAAUUUGAUUUGUUCAAUAUAGAUUUUGGUGACUUAACACAAAAUUAAUAAAAAAUAUUUUUUCAGAUAUCUUUUUAAUGUUUAAUAAUAAGUUAAUUUAUAAAAUAUACUUUCAUAGGACACAGGCCUCCAAGGCGGUGAACCACUAAUGAAAUUAAUUUUGAGAUACUUAAAUUUGUUUUCAUCAAUUAAGAAAUUUGAAAAAUUGUUGAGACCUCAUGAUUAUCUUUUAUAAUUUCAGGCUUAUCACCAAAAAACUAAAAAACAAAAUCGUCGACAUUAAAUUUGUUGGCAUGCAAUCAAUUUUAAGAUGGUUUUUGGAGUUAUAUAUCACUUUAGCAUGGACUUACUUUUCUACAGUUAGUCUUCUCCAACAAGUUAAAUAUUUCAAUUUUAACAACAUUGACAGGUCUUUGGGGUAGGGUCGAGCAAAACUCAAUAGAAAUAGAUGAUAUAGAUUGAGUUAGCUCGGCCAAGUCGAGUCGACUUGUUCAAAUUAGUUAAAUUAGUAAAUUUUAGGGUGCAGUUAGAAUUUUUUUUUGUUUUGAGAUGCUAAGAUUAAAAAAUUUCAGUUGCUAAAACAAAAAAAUUGUAUUUAAAAAAAGGCAUAAAGAAAGGCUGAAUGACAAAUUGCCCAAAGCCCAUGCCCCUAGCUAUACGCCCCUGGUAAAAUCAAUUUUAAAAUUAGUUAUAAUAGUUGAAGCGAUUGAUUAUUGAGGAAUGAAAUACAUAGUUCAACAAAAUAAAUAAGUUGACAAAUUUUGACAAAAAAAAUCAAAAAUAAAAUAAUAGAAAAGAAAGAGUAGCCAUUUUAUGAAUUUAUAAUUCCAACCGUGAAUAAAAUAUAAAUUUUAUGAAUGUGGACAAGCCAUUUUAUUUAUAAUUUUCUGUGUUUUUCUUCUUUUCCUGACUUUUUUUUAAAGUCAUUUUCUUUGUUUCCUAAUCACCAUGAAAUUACUUGUCACAAUUCAUCUUUUUAAAUGAGAAACAUUUUCCACAAUUUGCCAUCACUUUAACAUACACUAACUUUUCUAUGAUUAGUCCUUGGUUUGCUUUGGGUGGAAUCUUCCAACAAUUAGUGUAUCACGAGUUUCGUUUUCUUUAAAAAAUAUUUUUGUGGAUAUUAGGAGAUAAUGAAAAUUAUUUUACUAUGAAAUUUUAAUAAAACUUUAAAAUAAGUAAUUUAUUUUAAGAGAUCACAAUUAAACAUUAGAUUUCCAAUUUUUUAAUUUUACAAUUUUUUGACAAUUACAUAAUUAAUAAGGUACCAAUGUUGAGCGUUGUAGGAAUGCUAUAACCUUCCCUAAACAUAAUCGACUCUUGAGCAUGAUGGAUCCUAGACCUUCUCCUCUAUUCUCGUACCACAAAUUGCUUUGAGUGUGGGUACGAACAAUCACAAAUUAAACACAAAACCAGAAAUGAUUUAUUACUUUUAAUAGCAAAGUAAUUCUCUCUCAAUAGAAACCAAUAGAAUUGUAAUUCCCAUAAAAUAAAAUUUAUUUUCUGAAAUAUAUUCUCACUACUUUCUAGCAGAGUAACAAUAUUUAAAACUUAUGUCUUGUGUUAAUAGCUUUACUAGCACUAUCUAUUUAUAGGGAGAGAGAUGAGAGUCCUGGUUGAAUUAGUAAAACACGAAUAAUAUUUAUUUCAUAGAAGACAAUUUCAUAGAAAACUUAUGUCUUGUGUUAAUAAUGUUGAAUUUGUAUGUACAAGUUUCUAAUACACUUGUUGGGACAUUCUUUGACUUUUAUCUAUUCUCUCAAAAAGUUAAAGUUCAAAGUUGCAUUAAACUCAAAUAAGAUAACCAUUAGCAAACCAGCUCACAAGCCUGCUCAAGCUAAUCCUACAAGUCAUUCCACUUCAUCAUCAAGCACCAAUGUUCUUGCUUAUCCUUAUGGAAUUAAACAAAAGAAAAAAGCUCUUUAAGAGUUAUUUCAAUAGACUUCUUUAAUGGUAAAUGACAAUCCACUCUAUUGAUGCUUCUUCGCCCAACUCAUGAUUUAAAAGAAGUUUAUACUCAUGGAUCAAGUGUAGCUCACCAGUUAUCAUUAAGGAGAAAAAAGAGUCAAUCAAGUGAAAAUUAUAUUCCAACAUCCCCCCUGAACCAAAUUUUAGAGUGAUGAAUGUCAUGACAACUGACACUACAUUCUUAGAAGAAUAAGUAGAUCUCUAGCAAAAACGAUGGAGAGUCUUACUACAAGCAUAAAAGGAAUGGAUGAUCAAAUUGAACAUCUUAGAGGAAGUAACCAAACCUUUUCCUACGAAACUCAACAUCCUCUUCACAAAGUUGUUGGAAUCAAAAUUGUUGAAGGACUUUAAAGUGUUUCUUUAGAUCAAGUUAAGGAGCUCAUUAAAGAAACCAUUAAAGAUCAAGUCAAAAGUGUUGCUCUACCUUCAUAUACAUACUUGAAGCCAUACAUUUGAAGGGCUUAUCAUUUGAAUAUGCCUGAACAUUAUCCACCUCCAAAAUUGCAAUAGUUUGAUGGUAAAGGAAAUCUAUGUAAACAUGUCGCUCACUUCGUGGAAACUUGUGAUUGCGUCGAUGUAACACCCCACUCGCGACCUAAUCGCUGGAUUCGAGAAGAGAGAUACCGAAAUCAUGUUGGAAAAAUCUAGUUUGAAAAUGGUUUUAUUUAUAGAGGAAAAUAAAAAUUUUGAAAACUGACUCGGUUUGUGAUAUUUAUGGCAAUAAAUGUUAAACUGAAAUCAUAAAUGUGCUUUUGAAUAAGCAAAUCCUUGAUGUUUUCUAGCUUUAAACCAAAUUAUCUUCUUCACUAUUCUCAUACCACAAAAUGCUUUGAAGUGUGGACUUGAACCAAUUGAAUCAAAACACAAAACUUGAAAAAGCUUUUUAUUCUUUUCGGGGUGAAACCUAAAAUUUUCUCUUAUUUAAUAGAAACCAGUAGAAAUGUUUAUUUUGGAAAAAUAUAUUUAAUAGUUAAGAAUAAAUUCUCCUUAUUUUUCAAUAGAGUAACAAUCUCUCAAAGUUGUAUAUAAAUCCCUACUGAUGCCAGAUAUUUUUAAGAAGAGAAGAUAGAACCCUUGUGGAAUUGUAGAAGCUUAUUUCAACUAGAAAAAUAACUUCCUACUUAGAGUAGGAGCAGGUUGGAUGGCAUCCCCUGUCGCCCCUUCGUUUUCCAUGAAGGGAUUUUGGAUCUCUCUCACAUUAGAUCCAACUAUGAGUGCUUUUCGAGCAUUUAGACUCAGUACUUUGUAAUUUGACCCAACUCAAUUCUAUUUUUUUAUUUCCCAAAAUAAACUUCAAUAUUUUAUAUUAAAUAAUUUUCUCAUCCAAAUUUUACCCUCAAUAGAAUUUUUGAGAAAAUAUAUUUAAUAUUUCACAAUUCAACUUGUUCAUUAUGAUCGAAUGAUUUAUUUUCAUUUUCUAGAUUUUAUAUAGCUGAAAAACAUAAACUCAUUCUCCUGAUCAUUUUUAAGUAUAUUCAUCUACAUUUGAAAAUGAAUCAUUUCUCAUUUUCGUUUCCAAAUGAUUUCAUUUCUCCAUUUCGAAGAAAUGUAUAAUCAUUCCUGAAUGUUUGUCAUUUCUUUAUUUCUAUUCAUUUCGAUUCAAACAUGCAAUUCAUUUAUGGUUUCAACGAGCUAGUGAAGGGACUAAUUGGACAUAUACAAUUAGGGCUCAAAUGAUUUAUAUUUGAAGUUUCAACUUUUCAUCUAUUAAUUAUAAACUCAUUUAGUCAUGAAGUCAUUCCACUAUAGUAUCAUGGCUGAGCUUGUGGUUCCCCAAACUUGGACGAGACAGUCUGACCCAAAAUUUGAAACUUACAUUAGCCACCAAAAUGAUUCUCUGUUAAAAUACUACAAAACAGACCAACCAACCAUGCAGGCCACACAUUUUCAACAUAAAUCAUAAUACAAUUAAUCCUAAUUGCAUGCCUUUCUAAACAUACCAUAAAAAAUGAAGAAAAAAAAUUCAUAUUUAGGUCACCUGUGAACCCACCCACUUAGAAACCUAGUAGCACGCAUCAACUUGGCGAGCACCAGCUGAAGACCUCCUCGCGACCCCCAGCUCAUUGCUAGCCCUACGAACCACUAGUUUGCUACUACCCUGUGAUCCCUAAAUAUUGGCAAACCUAGACACACAACUCCCCUUUUAUUUUAAUAGACUACUCAAGUCGUUGGCUCACUUGCGAACUCCUCUAUUUAGUGAACCUACCUAAUAAGGCAAACUCACUAUCCUGACGUACGCAUUAACUAUGGAGAACCUUCUAUUGCUUGGCGUACUCCCUCCUAAUGGCAAACACUAGGUUAUAUAGGGCUAGUCUAUACUAGCGGACUCCCUAUACUUUGGCGAACACUCUAUUAGGGAACUUAUGGUUUUUGGUGAACACACUUUUGUUUGGCGAAACCUACCUUUGGUGAACUCACCCCUAUUGUUGAACACUGUGUUAUGGUAAGGUCCUAUUCCCUUAUGACCCCUGUCUCACACUAUGCUAGGUUGGCUCGUAAGUAUUCUUUCAAUGCGUUAUUACUUCUAUAACAUGCAUUCUAUGUUAUCACUUUAUCUCAACCAAAAAAUUGGUUCAAGGGCGUACCUCAAAAUUCGGCGAACUCCUUGUUUUACAUAAGUAUGUUAGUUCAUCAAUUUACCUAGCAAAAUCAUGUAUUAUAAUCCAAACAAUCAAGCAUUCAAUCAAGCACUUAUAAAGUCUAAAAAUCCAAAAUUUAAAUAGUUCGUAAUAUCUGUUUACAACUUGUCAAAGUUUAUUUAAAAAUUCUAGGUCUACAUCUGAUUCCUUAGGAUAGUCCCACAUUGCCUUCAACUAUAGGGUUUGUAAAAACAAAUCACGUACUCGAAUGGAUUUGCCUUAUGUUGCAUCACUAGAUUGCCAUGCUUCACAACUAGUCACGUGAACUACUUAUCUGCAAGAUAUAUGCAAGGAGUGUGAGCUUAUUGAAGCUCAGAGAAUGCUUAAGCACACAACACAUAAAACACAUCAGUCAUGCUAAAAUUUAGACAUGUUGUAACAAUUCACAUAAAAUAUAAUAAUCAUGCUCGUCAUAGUAAAAUAAUGGCAAUUUGUGAAUAUGAAACAUAAUCAUAUUAUAUAUGCAUUGGAUAAGUAGAUCUUUAGAAUACUCCAAAUGACAUAGAGAGUCAUGCGCUAUCUUUGAUAAGUGUAGUAUGAAUGCUCACACUCUCCAAACACUCCAUACUAUCCUCAAAAUUGGAGCUAAGCUCGACAUUCCCUUAUCUCUCCAAUGCUAUCUUCAGGCCAUAAUGCCCCAUCAUAUAGUAAAAAUGGUGAGUACUCACAAUCCUAUGACAUGCCAAUGAUAUCUAACGGUUUCAAGUGUUCACAAUGCCAACAUAUGAUUUUUAUUUCAUUCACUUUACACAAUUUAAAAGGCCCACAAUAUAGUAGAUCUCACAUAUAAUAGUUCUUAAUAACACAACUCACAUUUUUGUAGGGCUCGCAUGAUACAUAAGUUCGUAAUAACAUAGAUUCGCAUAACACUUAUGGCUCACAUAUAUUUAGGGCUCGAAUGCAACAUUUGGGUUUCCAUAUAUUUAAACUAGCAUAAUACAGGGGCUCGCGUAACAUGUUUUGGCUUGCAUGUAAUAUAGGGCUUGAUCACAUAUAUAGGUUUGCAUGAUCUUAGGGUUCGCAUCACAUAUAUAAGUACGCAUGAUACAUGGGUUCACUCAACAUGUAUAUAUAAACUUGCACAUCAAAGUAUAGGCUCGCAUGCAUUAAGGUAAUAGAUUUUGCAAACAAUUUAGAGCUAGCACACAUCUUAGGCUUGCAUACAUACAUGUUAGCAAGGUCUGCAGGUCACAAAUCGGGGCUCGAAUAACUAUAGAGGCUUGCAUAGAAAUAUAACAGUGUUCGCAUAUCAUUUUAAUCAGCUUCACACAUUAAAUCAGAUAGUUUGUAUGCCUUACUUGGCUUUCAUUAGCAUGCGAACUCUUGUUUUUGACGUAGUGUGUAAGGACACUCACUAGUUGUUUGUUGAUACUGUCAAACCUAUACCACAUUUUGCUUGACUUUUUCCUUGCUUGUAGAUGCACCUUUAUAUUGAGAGGCUUUGCAUAAAACAAGAAAAUAUACAGAUUGCUACUUUCACAAACAUAUUAACCUUCUUAACUAACAUAGCAGCUCACCACUUCUAAAUUUACCGAACUCACCUCAUGUGACCUUAAACUUUUAGUUACUUUAUUUUAGUUCAAUUAAAUCCCCAAUUAUUACUUCCUAAUCUCAUAAGUAAGGUUUAAUUAUAGAUCUAGGCCAUUAAUUUUAGUCAAUUCUUAAAAUCAACAUUUUUCAAAAAAUCAUGCUCAUUUUCUAUCUCAAGAAGAAAAAUCACUUGAUUCAUGCAAUUCCUUUAAGGAUUUGUUAAAUCAAGUUUAUAAACCUCUUAAUUAUGCCAAAAUGAGUUAAAAAUUAUUUUAAAAUCAUGACUUAGCUCACUAUUAUGAGAUUCACCAUUUUUUUAUAUAAACCAAGCUUUAAAGCCAUAGAUCCAAUGAUUUCUCUUGAAACUUCAGGUGCAGUGCACUAACUAUGAAUAAUGUGGACUGAAUAUGUUUUUGGUACUCCAUGGAACUCCUCCUUCAACCACAAAAUCCCAACCCAAUUUAUAUGCAAUAUGUCACACAAUCUCAUACAUAAUCCUAUCUUAAUACUUUUCACAUUCAUUUGACAUGCUCAGCAUGUCCUCAAUAAUCACAUACUUUCAUACUUUUAGAAAAUGGAAACAGUGUUCCAAAGUUUCAAUUACCAUUGUGUUGGUAUCAAUCAAUAUCAUUCAAUUACACAUACUUUAUAGAUUUCCAUUGUGUUUAAAUAGCACCCUUUUCAAUACACAAUAUAAAAAAUAUCUCAUGCAUUUAAUCAUACAUAAGCUUUAUAUCUCAACACAUUAUAUCAUUCAGUCAAACAUUCUCAUAUCUUAUAAUUCAAAUAUGCAAUUACAAACUCAAUCAAACAUUCAUACUAUCAAACUAGCAAUUUUGCCAACAUGUUAAUCUUUUAAGGCUCAAAACAUAAUUGGUUCAGCCACUCACAAAAUCAAUAAUUUGGCUAUUAAGCCAAUCCAAUCAACAAGCUAAUUUAUCACAUAUAACAUGAUAUUUAACAUUUUCAAAAAAAAUUAUAAGUUUAGGACCCACGCAUUAUUUUUUGCUUCCUCGCAACAUACUAGCGAAUCUUCCAAUCUUCCUUAAUAAUUCCUUAAACGAACCUAAACCAAAAUGAAGCAUAAAUUCAAUCAAUUUACCAUUAAGCCAACCCCCAAACACCCACUUGUGAGUUCAAACUGAUCAUUGAAAUUAAAACUACUUUAUGAAUCCAAACUAGUUAGAUUCCUUAAACUGUAUCGAUGCAAAUCGUACGUACAAUCGUUCUUCACCUUUAUGGAUGAUUGGGGGUGUUUGGGUCAGCACCUAAUUCAAUAAUAUACUGGAAAAUCAGUAGUUAAUCAAUGAUUAACUUUCUUUAUUUAACCAAUUCAUAACCUUUACCCAACAACUAUGCCAAAAUAACAAACUAGUUUACAAUUAAUCGUACUUAUACUUCUCAAAUUAUAAGAUUCGAAUGGCUAAUUGAUCAAGAAUGUCUUUUGUAACAUCCCAAAAAUUAGGUUAGAAGAAAUGAGAUUUUGAAACCAAGAGUGGUCAUCCCUCGAUUAUGAGUUUAUAUCUUGGAAAAUUUGACAAGUAAAUUGAUCUGGCUUAAUGGUUAAUUGCUAUGGUUAUAUGUGUUAGGUUCUGGGUUCAAAUCUUGUUUUUGGAAAAUUUGUUACUUUUCUUAAACCCUUACCUUGAAUGUUUGGCUUUUAAGUUAAAUUUAGUCAAUUGAGGUCAAGAAUGAGCCUGUUGGUUUAAUGGUUAAGUUUCUGCAUAAUCCUUGGUCUUGUGUUCGAAUCUCAGCGAAAGCAACAGGGAAUGUUUUGUUUUUGAAUUUUUUAUAAGGUAGUUAGUUUCGAUUGGUUAUUUAAAGCCUUCUAGAAACCUCCGUUGCUUUUACUUUUAUUUUGUUCUUUCUUUUUCUACAAUGUUUUCUAUCAUUUUGUUUUCGAUCUUCAGUUUCCUCAUUUUGGUUUUUUAUUUUCAAGCAACCUUCUUUUUGUUAUGUUACGUUACACUAAUUGUGUAUAAGGUUUAACUUCUCCUUCUAGUUAAUUUGCUGGUUGGUAAGUUCAAUUUAAAGUUUUGGUGUCGAAAGUUCUUUAACAUAACUUCAAUUUUGGAAUGUUAGUUUCUAGUGGUUUGACUGCGAAUUAAUCGUUUGUUAGGGAAUUGCUUGUCGUUUAGGGACCUGAAUUUAUCCUUGUUACUCCUACAUCGAGUUCGUAUCAAGUGGGUAUCAAAAAUAUCUUCUUCUUCAAAUUUUAGUCGUCGAAGAAUAGGACUAUCAAUGCCACAUGGUCAUGCGCAAACUAUCUAGGUACAAUCUGUAUUCUAUUAAGUUUGUUGGUAUGCCUCUGCAUUACUCUAUUGAUAAAGAAUAUGUGACAUUUGAUUAUGUUAGAUUGGUUGUUACUGAUUCUAAUUUAUAACCCUCUGUUUUACUUUAUAGAUGUGGAAUACACAAUAUCUGAAAAUGUUAGACUAAUUGUUACUGAUUCUGAUUUAUUGUCGUGCAUGUGACUUCAUGGCAAAUAUGAUAUGAUCUGUUGAGGUUUGAUAGGUCUAUUUUCCAAAACAUGGACUCUCAUGUCUCCUAAUUCUGUUAUUGAAAGAUAUCAUAACUUACAUGCUCAUCACUCUGAUUCUGCAUAUGUAUGUCAUGACACGUUGCAUGGGAUUUGGGUUGAUGUGAAAGGUAAAAGUUACUGGCAGUUAAUGAUCCGCAUUAUCUGAGGUUUAUCCUCAAUUCUGUUUCGGCAGCUUAGUUGUACUAUAUUAACUUGACCACAUGUAACCGAUAUGGCAGUCUUAACUACAAAAUUCUAGUGGCACCAUCCACAGUUAUCUGUUGGUGUGAUUUGGCUAGACGAGUUCUGAGGGAACUCUAUUUUGGAUUGUAGUGGAGUUUUGGUAGGAUGUUUUCUGAUAAUUCUGCAUUCUGAUCUAUUUGAGAAAUACAACAUCUUCAUAACACAUUUUCUACUUUGCUCUAUUCUGUUCUAUUCUGUUCUGCUCUCUUCGGUUCUAUUCUAUUUGAUUUGUUAUGUUCUGCUUCAUUCUGUUGUGCUUGGUUCUAUUGUACUAUCGUUAUGGAAAUUUUCAUGAUAUUCUCGAUCUAUUCCAUACUAGCUAUAAAACUAUUAUUAAGUUCUUUGAGUUACUUUGAUUUAUAUAAUAAAAUCUAUUUAUUUGUAUCUAAGUUUGGUUAUACGCGACGCUUGGUAGUUCUCCCUUUGUCUUAUCUUAAUCUAUUUAGGUGGAUGUUUUACAUUGAUAUAACUAUGAUUUGAUCUUUUAGGUUGUAAUUUGUUUUUGGACUUGCAUUGCUUUUCUUUUGAUAAUCUCAUCAAUAUUUGUCAUUUUCUUACACAAAAAUAAAAAAACCACCUAAGUCGACUAAAAUGAAUUUCUGGUUUUCAAUGUUAAAAUUUUGAAAAGAAAUUAGUUUUCUACAUGUUGGUGUAGCUCGUCCAAAUUUGACUUAAACUUCUAGGUUGGGUUUGGGGUGUUGUAUCUUUCCAUAAUUAACAUGUGAUUAAUCUUUUAUUAGGAGGAUUCAAGAACUCAACUUAAUGAUGGAAAAAUAUAGGUAAGAACCAAGAAACAAAACAACCCCCUUUCUUGCACACAGGCGUACGCACCACCACCCAUGGUGGCCAAAAUUGGGGAAGAAUUUUAAAAUGGUUUGAAAUCUCAUUAAAAUCUAGAAAAAUACAAUUGAAUUCAUUUAAAAUCCCCCAAAUUCCAGAUCUAAAAAUUUUUCUUUUUAAUUGACAAAAUUAAUUAAGAAUUUGAAGAGAAAAGAGAUCUUCCCAAGCUAGUUAAAAGAAACGACAAUGACACUUUCUUGGCAAUGUUCAAGAUUGAUCUUGGGUUCAAGAUUUUAGAAUUGGGGAUGAUUUAGAUGAGAAAAAAUGGUAGGAAUAGAGUAAAGGAGAUGGUGUACAAUCUUGAUGCAAAAAGAAGAAGAAAGAGUUGGUAAAUGGGAGGUGUAGGCGACGACAACAAUAGGAGAAAGAAAGAAAAUUAAAGAGAAAAGUGGAGAGGAAGAUGGUGAACGGAUAGAGUAGGGAAAAUUUGAAUUAAAGGCUGAAAAAUACAAUAAAAAUUUCUAUUUAUACUUAGGGUUCAAGGGUAUGGAUCGCACAUACAUUUAAAAAAAUAAAGGAUUUUACGAAAUUUAAAAUUUCGUAAAGGAAAGGAUUCGAAAUUGGGACCUCAUUUAAUUUUCAUGUGUUCUCAUAUUUCUUUUAACCAUUAUGAUAUUUUCUCAUUCUUAAAAUCAUUUUACAAGAUUUAGUUUAAAAAUAAGGCAUGCCACAUUCUAGGGUUUAAGGCAAAAUUAGCAAAAUAAUAAAAAUAGUGAGAGAGAAGGGAUUUGAACUUGGGUUUCAUGGAAUGUUUGACUAACACUUAUCCAACAAACCAACACCUUAUUGAUUUCCUAAAAAUGCAUAGAUAAUCUCAAAAAUUAAGGCAUGACCACUCUUUCUCGAUUCACAAACCCGAUUAUGCUAAACCCUAAUUUUUGGAAUGUUACAAGGUAAGUUUGUAGUGUAACAAUAUAUAUGUGUGUGUUUUAGGGAUACGAUUGGCAUGCCAAUAGGGUUAGUAUGCAUGCUUGUACUGGAUCACACUUUGGUUCUUCUCUUUACACUUUGGUGCCUCUCUUUGCACUUCAGUGCCACUGUAUUUGCACUACAGUGCCUCUAUUAGCAUUUCGAUGUUUGGGGGAAACCCAAGUAUCGAAGUCAUUUUGCUGUAGUUCAACAUGCUGUGAAAUUUUAUGUUUAAAUGUUAAAUUACUCUUGAAUUUGAUUUAUAUACAAUGAUAUAUUUGUGUAUCUAUGUACAUAAGCAUUGAUUGCUUUGGUUUGAGCCAUUGUUUAUAUUGAAUCAUAUGAGAUGAAUGUUUUGAUUACUAUAGUUUGAGAAUAAAUAUUAAUUCCUUGGUGUAAUUAUAUGAUUCAUAUGUCUUUAAACAUGUUAUCUAAUUAUGUUUAUGGUGUGUUUAGAGAAUUAAAUUAUUAUAUGAGUAUUUUCCAGGUAUUCAAUGUUGUUUCAUUUGGUUUAAUGGGUAAAUAAAGCUUUAAAGGGUAUGUGAUUACACGAAAUGCACUACGAUAUUUGAGCAAUGAUAUGGAUCAUGAUGAAAUGUUUAAUUGAAAAGGAAAUAUGGUUUAGUAUAUAUAUAUGAGUGGUGAAUUAUGAAAGUGAAAUAUAGAUAUGUUAUAUACCAUGUUUUAUUCAAAUUAUAUAUGAUAUGUUACACCAACUAACCUUGUGAGGUGGUGGGUAUAGGAAAGGAAAGUUGGCUUAAAACAUAAUGAAAUUAUGCCUGCCUUUUUAACAUAAAAUAUUCAGUAAAUUAAGUUUCCUUUAUAUGAACUUACUCAACAUUAGUUGCUUGCAUAGUUAUUUUUCUUUAUUUUAUAGUUCAUCAGAAGCUCGACCGGUUGGAAUCAUGUCAAAGCACGAUCACACUAUCCAUUCAACAUUUUGAUAGCUUUUUUUAUUUUGGUAAAUGGUUAUAAAUGACAUGUAAUAGGGUUUAAAUGUCAUUCUAGUGAUUUGACUUGUUUUGAGUUGUGUCAAACUUCUUGUGAUUGAUGUUGUUAGUUGUUGGCAUGUAAAUAAUGGUGUAAAUAUGUGACAGCCCAAAAUUGACCCUAGUCGGGAAGUGGUUUCGGGACCGCUAAACCGAGUCACCGAAAGGUUUGAAUGUGAUGUUUAUUAUCUAGAAUAUGUAAUAAUGAAUGUGUGAAAAUUUCAAGCUUCGAUUUAGUCGAUUGCAUGCGAGUUUAGUCAAUAGGACUUAUAUGAGAAAAACUUUAAAAUGUGAUAGGUCAAUGCAUGAGGACCUAUUAGUGCAUGUGGAAGAAAAAGGGGACUUGCAUGUCAAAUUCCCCCUCCCUAAUAUGUAGUGGCCGGCCAUGCUAUGGGUGGAAACAUGUCACCAACAUGUUGUGUUAGUGAUGUAUGGUAAGGAAAAUAAAAUAUUAAGCAUGAUAAUUAAAAUAAAUUAAAGAAAGGAAUUAAACAAUGAAAAGGAAGGGUGAUGAAAAAAAUGGUCUCAUCCAUACCCCCCCCCCUUGUUGCCGUGAGUUGAGGAAAGAAAACAAAAAAAAAUGUGUGUUCAUUCUUGAACACCUUUGGCCGAAUAGAGGAAAGAAAGGAAGGGGAAGAGCUUGAGAAAAUCGGCUAUGGUGGUUUGCUAGACUAAGGUAUGUUUGAUGUUGUUCUUGAGAUGCAUGCAUGUUUUAGUAGUUGACUUGAGUUCUAAAAACCCAUGGUUCAAUUUUGUGGAUUGAUGAAGAUUUUGUGUUUUGCCAUUGAUGAGUGCUUGAGCUUUUUGAUAGUUGUUGAUGAAAAGUGAAAGAUAUGUUAAAGAUUAAUAUGUUUUGUGUUGAAGUUUUUGGUGAUUUUGAGUAGUUAGGGCUAUAUUACAAAAACAAAUUUUUGAAGGACUCAAAGGUGAAAUAAAUGAGAUGUAUGGACUUAUAUGGGCACUAGGAAGAUUCGGCCCUUAAGGAGUGUGACCAAACUUUGUGUAUUUUGUGUUUUGUGGAAUAAAGACUAAAUUGUGAAAGUGCGAAAUAUUAGGGGUAAAAAUGUAAUUUACCCAUUUAUGCGUUAUUAGACUAAAUUGAAUGAAAAUAUGUUAAAUUAAGGCUUGGCAAGCUAGCUAUUAAGGUGAAAUGCUAAUGUUAGUAUUUGAUUCGGUAAUAAUCUGUUUGGGGACAGCAGCAGUAAGGUGAUUUUGGAAAAUCGCCAUAAUUUGUAGGAGUUGAAUUAGAAGCUGAGUGAAUUAUGCCAUUAAAGCUUGAAGAGUCUAUUUUCUUACAAAAGAAACUAUGAAAACAAAAGAGUUACCGAUCUUGAGAUAUUUGAAGUAUUGUGGGGCUGAGUCAAAAUGACUACUAGAUUCCCUGUUCUGUUUUUAGAAAAUCAUUAUAAAUUGUACAAAAAUUAUUAUAAGAUAAAAUUUAUAUGCUUAGACUCCUUAAUGAGUCUAGUUUCAAAUGAGAUCAAAUACAACACAUUUUGAAUUCUGUAAAAUGAGAAAUUUGAUUCGUAGUGAAGAGUGGUCAGAAUAGUCAAACAGUGAAACAGGGGAAACUUUAAGAAAAAUCUGGUAUUGAUUGGCCAAGCCAAAAAUUCUGAAAAUUUUAUGGAUGGAAGAUAUAUGAGUCUAUAUUCAGGGAAAAUUAACAGCUAGUGAUUUGGAGUUUUGUAGCUCCAGUUAUAAACAAUUUAGCGACUACUGCUCAGGAAAACAGCUCGUAGUGAAUAUGUGAUUUUGUUGUAAACAUUAAUGAAAAUUUGCCAAUGAGUUAUUUAUUGACUAUUACAAAGCUUACUAUAAUCUAUGUGUGUGAAAGUCAAAUCAAUAUAUAUAUUAUUCUGAAAGUAAUACUUGAAUAGUCGAUUAAUGACUAUUUUAAGUUAUUGAUUUGGCUCAAGGAGUUAAAGGAGGUGAAUCGAGCAAAGGCAAAGAAAAGGUUAUCGAGUAGCCGAGUUGGAACCGUCUUACCCAACACGAGGUAAGUCAUUAAGCAUGUAGUUGGUAUUAUUUCAAUGGUCAUAAUGUUUAUGUAUUGAUGCUGAAUGGAAUGAAUAAAUAUACAUAUAUAUAUAUAUAUGUGCAUGUACGUAUGUGAUGAUGAGAUUGUUGAAUGAAAGAAAAGAGGUAAGAUGUACUGAGUUGUUGAUCUCGGCACUAAACGUGCGGGAUAACCAUUUAUGACCAUGAGAUUGGCGCUAAGUGCGCGGGAUUAAAUUGUACAGCACUAAGUGUGCGAUUUGACUAUGUUGCACUAAGUGUGCGAAAUGAAUAUGAUGCACUAAGUGUGCGAAUUGACCAUGCGGCACUAAGUGUGCGAGUUUGACUAUGUAGCACUAAGUGUGCGAUUUGAUUAUGUAGCACUAAGUGUGCGAGUUGAUUAUAUAGCACUGAGUGUGCGGACUCGAUAUACAUUCGUGAAUCAUUAUGGACACUAUGUGUGCGACACUAUUGAGUCGAUCGCGGACAGCGGAUCGGGUAAGUGUCUUGAGUACAUGGCUAAUAGGUGCUAUGCUUAUACUUGGUGUUGAGCUCGGUAAGUUUGAACCUAUGUGACAAAUAUACUUGAAGUCACGUACAUAAAAUUUAUCGUAGGAUUGGUGAAAGGCCGUUUAGUCGUUUGAUUGUAACGAAAAUAAAUUGAUUUAUGAAAAUGCUUCAAUGUCCUAUUGAUGAGUAUAUGGAAUGUGAAUGCAUGAAUUGAUAUGAAAUUGAAUUGAUAGGUUGGAGGAACUAUGGUAUGGUUCGGAAUGGAUGGAGUAAUUAGCCUCGUUCCAUUUUGUUUUCUCUUGUGAUAAUGUUAUUGAUGGAUGGUAGUGCAUAGCUUAUGACUUACUGAGUUAUAAACUCACUCGGUGUUUCCUUGUCACCCAUUAUAGGUUGCUUGGACUCAUCUAUUUUUUUGCGUGGUCGGGCCGUCAUCGAAGUCAUCACACCGGAUAGCAAGUUUUGGUACUUUCUUCUUAGUUGGCUUAGAAGAACAUUUUGGCAUGUAUAAGCUAUUACGUUGUGUUUGAACUUUGGCAUGUAAACUUUAAGCCAUGUGAAAAUGGCACGAAUGUUCGAUUGAGUUGGAUCAAGGGUAGGCAUGAAAUGGACCUAGUUACUUUCGUAACAGAUGCUGGCAGCAGCAGUGUCAUGAGAUUGAAAAAUCAUUAAAAAUAGUAGGAGUGGAAUUAAUUGAUGAAUAAAUUAUGUAAUCGAAGCUCGAUGAGUCUGUUUUCAUGAGGAAGUAACGAAAAGAUCAUAUGGGCAGUAUAUUAAGAGAUAAUCAGAUUUUUGUGGGACAGGGCCAGAACGGUUUCUGGAUUCCCUUCUCCGACUUUGGAAAUUCAUUACAAAUUAACCAGAGAUAAUUAGGGGUCGUACCAUAUAUGUACAGAUUCCUCUCUGAGUCUAGUUUUCAUAGAAAUAAACGGCAUCAGUAUUGGAGCCCCGUGCAGGGAGAUAUCCAAGUCGGAAUGGGAAAAGGUCAGUGUAGUCGACCCCUGCAACUGGGGAGACUUUGACUAAUAAACUGUACUAAUUGGCCCGACCAAAAAUUCUAGAAAAAAAUACAUAGAUGGGCACAUGAGUCUAGUUUCUGGGAAAAAUUACGAAACUGAUUUUCGAGUUAGGAAACUCAAGAUAUGAUUUUUAAAACGACUAGUACACGGAUUGGGCAGUGUCUGGAAAAUAAAUUUUGUAAGGGGUUAAAGCCAGUUAACACCUCGUGUUCGACUCCGGUGUCGGUUUCGGGUUCGGGGUGUUACAAAAUAUGUGUGGUUGGACCCUUAUGCAUGCUUUAUUGAUUAAAGAUAUCAUAUGGUAAAAUGGCAUGUUUUUGGAAUGGUUAUUUGGCAUGAUUAAAAUAGGUUUAAGUUUUGAUCUUGAGACGUUGAAUUGAAUUAAGUUUAAGAUGUAUAUUGUGAUACCUUCAUUGGCAUAUUUGUUAGAUAUUAAAGGAUGGUUGAUUUGGUAUGUUUUUGAAAUGGUUGUUGGUAUGUUUGAUCUAAGUUGAUUAAAUGAACUUGUAAUGUUCAACGGUAUAAUACUUGUUGGUACAUUAGUUAGUCUUAUAGGUUGAUGGAAUUGGUAUGUUUUAAAUGUGUUUAAAAUAUGUUUUGGUUAUUUCAAUGUUUGUGGAAAUGGUGUGUCUUGGUGUACAAGAUUUGUAAUUGAAAUGGCUCUAUUUAGAAGCAACUUCUGCUGCACACUACCUGGGACACGAGUUGUCACAUGGUUGUGCAUCAUUAAUGUUUUAGGUGCAGGUUUCACACAAUCUAAGACUCGGCUCACGACACGGUCUGGGCUAUGUCACACAGCUUGGCCGCAUGGCCAUGUGACCCUUGUUUUCAAGUUUUCAAAAUUUUCUAUUUUAUUUCAAAUUGAUCAUAGAAUAUUCUCAAACUAUUUUUAAGGCCCCGUAGGUUCGGAUUAUGGCCCGUAAGUGUAUGUUUGCUAUAAUUAAGUUGUGUUAUUGAAUGUUAUUAAUUAAAUCACAUGAAUAUUUUAUUGUAAGUUAAAUGUUUUAAUUUGUACCAUAAUGCUUUGUAACCCUAAUCUGGCGAUGAAGACUAGUUUGGGGUGUUAUAAUUUUGGACUGUAAAUUUGUUUUGGGGGCUUUGUUCUUUGGUUAUUGCGAUGUUGGUUAGAUUUUGGUGUUUUAACAUUAAACUGCAAAAUUGUAUGAUUUAACAAACUAAAAAUUAGUUUUUCAAAAUUAAAACUCUUGAAAUUUCAGUUGCAAAGAUUAAGUAAUCACUUCAGUGUUUUUCCAUAAAUAAUUAAAUUUUUUUUAACAAAUGUUUUCCUUAGUUUGGGAAAUGAUUUGCCAACAUAUGUACUUUUAAAACACAUGAUUUCAAAUUCAAAUUCUCAAUUUUAAAUAAGGGUUUUCAAACUUUAGUUUUUUUUAACAGUUGUGAGAGGUUUUUGCCAAAUUUUAUGUUUUCAGAACAUAUUAGUAAGUUGAUUUUUAAUUUGUUUUUUAAACGAGUCGAUGUAAUUCCUCAAAAAUCCAUUCAUAGCGUCUUAGUCUAGAUCUAAACAUUAAUAUUCUCUUCCAAGAAAAAUCAAGAUUAUCAAAUUGUUACAACUUGGUAGGUAGACAAUCAUAUUAAAUAAGCAUAAAACUUAAUAAAUAAUUAGCGAAGAUUGAAACAAUCAAAGAAAAAAUAAAUUAAUUAACUAAGAAAUAGGAUCCAUUAUUGUUUCAAGAAAACAGAGUUUAGUUCAUAUUGAGUUGAGAAAUCCAAAAGGGAGAUUCAAAACAAACUUGUGAAAAGGGGAACAAUGUCAAUAGAUCGUAUUCAAGUUGUUCAACUCGAGAAGGAAAGAUUCAGAUCUAACCUAAAAAGAAGAAACCAAACAGAUUUAGAAAAACAAGAAAAACAAAGAAAAUAACUAAAAUGAGAAAUUUAAGAGUAAUUAAUAAAUAUUAAAACUAAUAAAGAAAUAAAGAAAUUAUAGAAUAAAUAGUGGAAGAUGGAAUGAAUAAACGAUGGAUAUGACAUAUAGAUGGAUAAGUGUCUGAUAAUUCUUGAAAAGAGUUAUUUUUCAUGCCUUUAGACCUAACUUGUAAUGCCCCAAAAAUCCCUUAUAUAUUUAUUUUCGUAAGUUUGUAACAGAAAUAUCUGUUAGCUUUAGUGGUUAUAUGCUUUGGGAGUGUUUAGGAGGUCCCAAGUUGAAACCUUAGCUUGGGCAAUUUUUUUUUGUUUUAAAUGAAUAAAACUCUAUCUUUGAUUAGUAGGCUUAUAAAUAGAUGUUGGUAAAAAAUGUCAGAAUGGUUUUACUGGUUUAGUGGUUAAGUGGGGUGUAAAUAUGCAGGAGCUCUUAUGUUCGAAUCUUUGUGCGAUCAAGAGCAUUUAUUUUAUUACUUGUGUCGUGUAGGUAUUUUGGUCCAGCCAAAAUACUGAAGAGGUUGACUAAGGGUUGGUUUCGGUUGUUGAGAGGUUUAUGGUGGGUUAGUAGAGAGGAUUUUAAGGAGAAAUUUUAGAGAUAUGAAGAGAGAGUUAGUGCCGAAUUGAAUUUCUUUUGCUUUCUCAAAUUUCAGCUGGGGUUUGAUUUUUCUUUUCAAUUUGUUUCUAUUGACUGUUUUCCAUUCUAGAGGGUCAAAUAUUGCUGAGGGUUCCUACUAGUUUCUUUUUUUUCUUUUUCUCUCUUCUCUCUUUCGACUUUGUUCUUCCCAACUGCAAAAGUGCUCUUCCCUAAACUGUUACUACCGUCUACUUUCUCUUUUCCUCCCUUGCUUUUUUUAUUGUCGAAUUUUGGGUUCUUUAUGCAUUUAAUUCUAAUGUCAAUUUAUCACUUCUCUACCAAAAGAUUAUUAUUUUCUCUCAUUGAUUUUCGUUUGGUUCAUCCUUGCUACCAGAAGUGUGGUUGCCCUUCUUUCUUGGUUUCGUUUGUCAUCAUCUGCUACAUGUUCUUUAACACUCUUUUGGUAAGUGUUCGUUUCUUCACCGCUCAGUUACUUGAAGUUAGUUUUUAAAUGGUUGUGUAUUGUUUUGAAUAAGAAUCUGAUAAAUCGUGUGUUCCAACCCUAUUUAGAUCAGUUCAUGGUGGUGUUUAUUGAUGAUAUACUGGUGUAUUCGAGAACUAAGGAUGAGCACGAUGAACACCUCAGAGUGGUUCUACAGAUUCUACGAGAAAAAGAACUGUACGCCAAGUUUAGUAAAUGUGAGUUCUAGUUAAGUGAAGUAACGUUUCUGGGACAUGUGGUUUCUACUGAGGGGAUUAGAGUUGAUCAUCGAAAGAUUGAGGCUGUCUUGGAUUGGAAGCAGCCUAAGACUGUAUAUGAGAUCUACAGUUUUCUCAGAUUGGCAGGGUAUCGACAAUUUGUGUAAAGGGUUUUCUCUAAUUGCCGUACCCUUGACUAAGCUGCUACGUAAAGGCUUACCGUUUAACUGGACUGAUUCAUAAUAAGAGAGCUUUGAGAAGCUCAAGACUGUACUGACUGAGGCCCCUGUUCUAAUAUAGCCAGAGUCUGGAAAAGAGUUUACUAUUUACACUGAUGCAUCACAUGUCUGUUUAGGAUGUGUGUUGAUGUAAGAAGGUAAGGUGGUAGUGUACACGUCUCAUCAGCUUAAGAAUCAUGAGGUGAAUUAUCUUACGCAUGACUUGGAGUUGAAGUGAUUGAGUAUAAUAACAUUUAACAUAUUAGAGCCAAUUGGUUGUCCAUAAACAUAAAAAGGUGACCUUAAUGAGAUACGCCAUAGACUCAAAAGUGUAUCAUUUACACUGAUCACAAGAGCCUCAACUACCUCCUCACUCAUAAGGAGCUGAAUCUUAGGCAACAUAGAUGGAUUGAGAUGCUUAAGGACUACGACUGUACUAUUGAAUACCACCCUGGUGAGGCUAAUGUGGUGGCUGACGCACUAAGCCGUAAAACUAUGACUGAACUGAGGGUGAUGUUUUCUCGCCUUAUUUUAUUUGAUAAUGGUAGUCUGUUGGCCAAACUUCAGGUUAAACCGAUUUGGAUAGAGUAGAUUAAGUGUAUACAAGUAGAGAAUGAGUUGUUGGGUCUUCGUUUUUGACAGGUUGAGAGUGGGAAUACCAAGGAUUUUAGACUGAAUAGUGAAGGGGUGCUCUAUAUCUGUGGGAGAAUCUAUGUAAAGACCUUCGUGAGUUAUACUAGUGGCCAGGUCUUAAAUGAGAAUUUACUAAAUUUUUGGCUAAGUGUCUGACAUGCUAGCAGGUUAAGGCUGAACAGCAGUUACCUUCGGGAUUGUUGCAGCCAGUCAAGAUUUCAGUUUGGAAGUGGGAGCAUGUAACUAUGGAUUUCAUUAGUGGGUUACCCCUCACACCCACUAAAAAGGAUUCGAUGUAGGUCAUCGUGGAUUGAUUGACCAAAUCCGCCCACUUCAUACCAAUUUGUACUGAUUACUCUCUGUAGAAGCUGGCUAAAUUGUAUGUGUCUGAAAUAGUGAGAUUACAUGGGGUACCGAUUUUAAUAAUAUCUUAUAGGGAUCCUCAUUUCACAUCUCGGUUCUGGAAGAAGCUAUAUGAAGCUUUGGGUACAAGAUUGGAGUUUAGUACUGCGUUUUAUCCUCAGACUGACGGUCAGUCAGAGAGGGUGAUUCAGAUACUAGAGGAUAUGUUGAGAAGUUGUGUGAUUGACUUUCGAGGUAGUUAGGAGGAUUACUUACCGCUAGUAGAAUUUGCAUAUAACAACAACUAUCAGUCUAGCAUUCAAAUGACACCCUAUGAGGCAUUAUAUGGUCGUAGGUGUCGCACACCUUCAUGUUAGACUGAGUUAGGCGAGCAGCGUAUUUUGGGGCCUGAACCAGUUUCUGAUACAGAGGAUAAAGUUAGACUAAUUCAGGACCAACUGAAAGCGAUAUCUAAUAGGCAUAAGUCCUACACCGAUCUAAAGAGUCGAGGGAUUGAGUAUUCUGUGGGGGACUUCAUUUUUCUCAAGGUCUCACCAUGGAAGAAGGUAUUAAGGUUUGGUCGUAAGGGCAAGUUGAGCCCUAGUUUAUUGGGCCCUAUCGCAUACUAAAACGUGUGAGAUGAGUUGCCUACCAGUUGGAGUUACCUCUAGAGUUAGAUCGGAUUUAUGACGUGUUCCAUGUCUCUAUGUUGAGGUUACCGCUCUAAUCCUACGCAUAUUAUUCCUAUUAAGGAAAUCAAGGUUAGGCUAGAUCUAACCUUUGAGGAGGAGUCAAUUCAGAUAUUGGAGUGAGAUAUAAAGGUUCUAAGAAGAAAAUUCAUCCCACUAGUUAAGGUUAUUUGGCGUAACCAUAGCACUGAGGAGGCCAUAUGGGAGUCUAAGGAUGUAAUGCUUUAGCAGUAUCCUCACCUAUUCUGAUCAGGUAAAUUUUCAAGGCCAAAAUUUUCUUUUAGGGGGUAGAGUUGUAGCGCCCCAAAAAUCCCUUAUAUAUUUAUUUUCGUAUUUUUUAUACAAAUAUCUGUCAGCUUUAGAGGCUAUGUGCUCUGGUAGUGUUUGGGAGGUCCCAAGUUCAAGCCUUAGCUUGGGCAAUUUUUUAGUUUUAAAUGAAUAAAAUCAUAUCUUUGAUCAAUAGGCUUAUAAAUAGAUGUUGGUAAAAUAUGUCAGAAUGGGCAUGCUGGUCUAGUGGUUAAGUGGGGUGCAAAUAUGCUGCAGGUCUUGUGCUUGAAUCUCUAUGUAUAGAGCAUGUUGUUAAACUGUACUACAUGCAUAUAUGAUACCAUGAUAUGACAUGACAUGAUUGUGUGGUGCAUGGCAUGGGGAUAGGUUAUUAUUGAUCGAAGGAAGUGUACUGGAAGGCUUUGAGCCUAACUUACUGGCAGCUCAGCUGCAUAUUACUGUAUAGUGUCGCCAUUGGUACUACUUAGAGUGUAGGGAUGGGUGGGUUGAUUAUAUCCCCACAUGAAGUGUAGGGUUGGUCGGAGUUGGUGUGUAGAGGUUGGCUAGGUAGGACUUGUAUACUGCAUAAUCUGUUAAUGUACUGAUUGCUAAUAUUGUAAUGGGCCAAGGCCCAAAUGCAUGAUUACUUUUGUACUAAGAUGGGCUAAAGCCCAAACCAAUACUGUCACUGAUACUGGAAAGGGCUUAGGCCGGACUGAGUUUAUUCUGUUUUCUGUCUGAUUAUUUUGUGUACUGUCUAUUUGUUUGCACUAGGAAUAUCACACUGAGUUUUGAAAACUCACCCUUUCUGUUAAUCUGUGUAGGUAAUCCCCAGUCGUAGGUAGAUCGGUGUGGCGGAGGAUUCAGCGGUGGCCACACGACUCCUUUUUAUUGUUUCGUAUCUAAUGAUAUUUAUUUUUAAGUCUUUAUUUGGGGUUUUUAUCUGUAAUAAUUGCUGCUAUGGAUUUUUUAUUUAAAUUUGGAUUUAACACUACUUCAUGUUUACAUCUGCUAGAGGUAGAUAUAGCACGGAUUUUUGAAAAGAAAUGCAUGUGUUUUAGCAAAAUACCCCAAUGUCACAAACUGUUUUAAAAAGCUUCCGCAACGUAUAAUGAUUUGCAAACUAACAAUUGAAUAAAAAUCACUAUUUUGGGAUUAACAAAAGAUAACGACGACCUCUAAUCGAAAAAUGUUUUAAGCAAAGUUACCAUUUUUCAACAUGAGCUUCGGUUUUGAAAAAUACCACCAUGUGACAUCGCCAAAUUCGCCCGUAACAUCCAGGCUGGGUUUGGGGUGUUAGAUAACUAAUUGCUUGAACUUAAGUACAUUUUGUUGCAUUUUAAGACAUUUUAGUUAGCAUUUCUAAUAUUGCAUUAGGACUUAGAUUGUGUUGGACUUAUGUGUUUUUAAUAUGGUGGAGUUUUUUUGUGUGUUGGUAUGGCAAGAACAUAUUUUAGAACGAGGAAAUAAAUGAGUGAAGUUUUGUCAGGGAAAAAGUGCAGACAGUUUGCCAGCACGGAUGCCGUGACAAUGCCAGGAAGACCAAGUAAACAUUUUUUUGCGCAACAGUCUCAAUUGAAAUUAAAACUUGUACCAGAUAAAUCUUCAAAAAAGAGGAGAAGAUAAUCACAAGUUGUUACUUGACACUAGCCUAAUCUACCUAUAAAAGCCAAUAAAGGGGAUCUCACAAAUGGCAGAAAAAAGUGGGAGGGAUCCUUAGGUGUGAAUAAGGUUUUAGUUGCGCAAAGGAAAGGAAGUCGAAGGCAGUGCUUUUUAGCCAUCACAGGAUGUUGUGCUACCGAAGUGUAAACUAGGCAAGUGAAAGUUGUUUCCCAAAGUUCUUUCGUUAUUUCCAUCAGCGUUCCUUCAAAAUAUUGAAGUAGUUGAACACAAUGUCAGAUAAUAUUUUGCUUUUGAAUUUUAUUUCUCAGCCCAUGAGCUAAAUCUCGUAGGGUUGGGAUUACUUUUGAUGAAACCUUAAACUAUUUUUAUGGAUGCAGUAUAUAUCUAAUUUACUUUACUGUUUCAUUUGAUUGUUCUUAUUUCUUAAUUAAAAUGCAAAUGAUUUCUAAACAUAGAAGACUGUUCGCAUACUUAUAAACUCAUUCUAAUUCUGAAAGGGUUGGAUUGGUUGGAUUAAAAUUAAAUGAAAUGAGCAAGUAUUCGAUGGACACUUGUAGUAGACUCUAUACAUAGAGUGACGAUCAUACAGAAGGAACCCAUGCAAGGUAUCUAAAAAGUCUUUAGACAUAGGCAAGGUAACUUGAUGUUUUCCUCUCAUGAGAGGAGAGCCAUUUUAGUACUCUUCUGUGCUUUAUAGUAGAUACGAUUUUCCCAAGGCAUUAUUGACAAUAAGGGUCAAUAUUCGGUAAUCCUGACCUUCGAAAUCCACAUCGUAUAUCCUUUAUUCUUUUCCACAUCAUUAUUAGUUAUUUAUUUGUUCAUUUACAUAAUAUUCCCAUAGUAAUUCUCAUCAUUGUCAUUACAUUUCUACUCUUGGUUUGACACAACAUUACCACUUAUUUAUUAAUUCUAUGUAUUGCUUACAUCAUUACUCUACUAAUUGCCACUGUAUAUUCAUCAUUGACUCUCCCAUAGCAUUAAUCGUAUUUUAUUAUAAUAAUUUGACCAAUUGUGUGCCUCAAUCCGAUCUUUAUGGGAACGAUACACACUCAUCACUUUAUUACGUGAUUCAACUGUAUACUUGCACAAAUCGCAUAUCAUUUCACACACGAUAGUGUUCAAUUGAACCCUUUGAGAUAUAAACCUAGACAAACUCAAUUAAUGGCUUUAAUUAACCCACCAAGAAAUAAUGAUUGGCAAAUUGAACGAUGAAGAAUGAAUUCCCAUGACUCCUUAAAAAAUUGAGAAGAAAAAUACUUCUAAAAAUCACAAGAAACAAAUCUUGGACAAAGAAACUAACUUUCAGAGUUGGAAAUUUUAGUAAUAAACAAAAACAAUUGCAUCUCUAAUGAACAUGAAGGGCCUUUACAUAGGCUAGAUAAGUACAUCCAGAUAAAAUAUUCAAGUAUCUUGAAACUUUAAUUAAUAUAAGUAAUAAGUAAUUUUAAACUAAAAUAGUCAUAAUUUUCGUCAUAAUCCCGUCCAAAAAUUCUGCUCACAUAAUCAUCAUUAAAAUAGUCAUAAUUUAAGCUCUUGAACUCAAAAUUGAGUGAAUAAAAGUGUGUUUCGAAGUUAAGUGCUAGAUCUUAGAACUUUAUGAAGACAUAUCAAUCGAAAAUUGUCCGGAUCCCAUCCAAAGAGUCACAGCAAGUUAACUAAUUUUUCAAACUUGAAAAUUGGCAACUUCGGGGAAUGGAAUUUAAUACAGUUCACCCCAUCUAUUCAUGUAUCAACUCGCAUUGGUAAAAAGUAAAAAGAAAUAAUCUAUAGAGAAAAUAGUUGAAGAAUUUAUGAAAAUUUAUUCAAAUCUCUUUUUUUUCUAGUCUUUGCAAGCUUGAAUUUUCCCUUGGUGUGUGAGAGUUGUUCCUUACCCUCUAAGUGAUUUUUUUUCUUUUUCUUUCUCUUCGAUCUCGUCACCUAAGGGUGUUCAAACAAUUGAUUCAGUUAGUACCCGUGCAAAACUAUCAUUAACUGAAAUUUUGAAACCCUUAAUCAUUAAUCAAACCAUUUUCUUUUUUGAAACCUACUAACCAGCUUGAUUGAUUUGGGUUAAUUUGAGUGGUUAACCAAAAUUUAAACAUUGUUUGUUUUUGUUCAAACAAUUUUAAAACAAAGAACAAUCCAUGACAAUUUUUCCUUGUUUUUUAUUCAAAAAAAUUAAAAGAAUUAAAAAAAUAACAUAAUAACAACACUAAAUUAAAAACAUAAUAGCAUUCAUUACAUUACAAAGCAUAUAUAUAUAUUUACUUUUUCUUGACUUUUUAGUUUAAUUUUCGUUUUAUUUUCCUAAUAUUUUUAGUUUUCAUAUUUUUGUUAAGCUUAUUAUAAGAACACUUAUAAAUCCAUUAGUUCUUAUAUAUUGGGUUUGUAUAAUGUAUUCGACCUAUCUCUAAUAUAUUGGGCCUAUAAUAUAUUUUUAUUGAUUUCGGUUAAUCAAUUCAUUCGAUUAAUUAGUCGAUUUCAAACUAAAAUAAUUGGUAAACAAAAUCUUCAAAAACCUUUAACCAACUCCAACCAAAUUAGAUUCAUUGAUCAACUUCUUAAUCAAAUUAAUUAGGUUUGAUAAAUUAAUUCGUUAAAACUGAAAAAUGCACACCCCUAUCAUCACCGUUGUUUUUAGGGAUUUUAAUCAUGUUGCUCCACCUGAUGCAGAAGUUGAGGUGGAAUGAACUACUUGCUACCAAAAUUUUUGAAUUAUAGAGCAUGCUCUACCGCAGUGAAUCAAAUUCGGUGGAGUGGAAGACUUUUCUUUACUACUUUAUGCUCUAUGCUCCAAGUCUUCUAUUCUUCUUCUGAGACCUAAAAUGGGAAAAAAAAAGAAGAAACAAGUCUAAACUAACUUUGAAAAUUAGAAAUUCUCAACAAAAUUGAAAUAAAAUAUAAUUAAUCCAUAAAAACUAUAAAAAAUACAAUAAAAACGAACCUAAAUACUAAAAUUACCUCCUAAAAAGCUAUGGAAACUAUACUAAAAUAAUUCUAAAUAUGAUAGUUAUCAAAAAUGACAUGAGGAAGCCAAUCGAGUAGAUGCUUUCAACUAUUGCAAAUACCAUUAGUCGAUUAGCCAUCAUCUUGAGAACAUCAUAGAGUUGAAAGAAAAAAUCAUACAACUCCAUAAAGAAGAAAAAAUCAUUUUUGAAAAAGAAUUGGCAUUAUCAAACUUGACAUCAAUGCUUUGGUUUCUCAAUACAAUAUUAUGGACAAAUUCAUCAAAUUUGGCUCUUUCAAUCCUAUUACACUAGCUCUAAGUAGAAGUAAGAUGGUGAGUUUCGAAGGGAUUGAGGGCAAUCAUCUAUUUUUGGAAUAUCAGAAUGGUCAUGAUUGGACUCUAGCCACAUGUCAAAGAAGCCAAUGAAAAGCAUCUCUCCUAGGUAUAAGCUUAUAUUAUCACAUUGCUCCUAAGCAUGAGCAUAAAUCGUUCAUCCAGAAUGAUGAUGAUCCUAAGCAUAAGCUUAAACUAUUCAUCUAAUGCUCCUAAGAUGGAGCUUAAUCUAUUCAACCUAAACGAUCAUGCUUUAAGCACAAUCUUAAACUAUUCACAAAAAAUAAAUGAUGAUCCAAUGAAGCAUGAGCUUAAACUAUUCAUACAAAAUAAGCGAUGACCUUCUAAGCAUGAAUUUAAAUUGUUCAUACAUAAUAAAUGAUGAUAUUACUAAGAACAAGCUUAAACUGUAGUCUAAAAAAUAUUGAACUAUAUUAUAACUUGAUCUUUUAAAAAUGAAGGUACGUAGAUAGCUUGGUUUCAUUGCCAAGUUCAGUCUAAUUAAAUAUGUUUAUGGUGUGUUUAGAGAAUUAAAUGAUUAUAUGAUUAUUUUCCAGGUAUUCGAGGUUGUUUCAUUUGGUUUAAUGGGUAAAUAAAGCUUUAAGGGGUAUGUGAUUACAUGAAAUGAACUAUCAUAUUUGAGUAAUGAUAUGGAUGAUGAUGAAAUGUUUAAUUGAAAAGGAAAUAUGGUUUAGUAUAUAUGUAUGAGUGGUGAAUUAUGAAAGUGAAAUGUAGAUAUGUUUUAUACCAUGUUUUGAUUCGAAUUAUAUAUGAUAUUUAAACCAACUAACCUUGUGAGGUGGUGUGUAUAGGAAAGGAAAGUUGGCUUAAAACAUAAUGAAAUUAUGCUUGGUUUUUUAACUUAAAAUAUUCAAUAAGUUAAGUUUCCUUUAUAUGAACUUACUAAACAUUAGUUGCUUACAUAGUUAUUUUUCUUUAUUUUGUAGUUCAUCAGAAGCUCGACCGAUUGGAAUCAUGUUAGAGCAUGAUCACACUAUCCAUUCAACAUUUUAAUAGUUCUUCGUUAUUUUGGUAAAUAGUUGUAAAUGACAUGUAAUGGGGUUUAACGGUCAUUCCAGUAAUUUGACUUGUUUUGAGUUGUGUCAAGCUUAUUGUGAUUAAUGUUGUUAGUUGCUGGCAUGUAAAUAAUGGUGUAAAUAUGUGUGAUCGGACCCUUAUGCAUGCUUUAUUGAUUAAAGAUAUCAUAUGUUAAAAUGGCAUGUUUUUGGAAUGGUUAUUUGGCAUGAUUGGUAUUUAUGAUCUUGAGAUGUUGAAUUGAAUUAAGUUUGAUAUGUAUAUUGUGAUACCUUCAUUGACAUAUUGGUUAGAUAUUAAAGGAUGGUUGAUUUGGUAUGUUUUUGAAAUGGUUGUUGGUAUGUUUUCUCUAAGUUAAUUAAAUGAAUUUGUAAUGUUGAAUGGUAUAAUAUUUGUUGGUACAUUAGUUAGUCUUAUAGGUUGAUGGAAUUGGUAUGUUUUAAAUGUGUUUUGGUUAUUUCAAUGUUUGUGGAAAUGGUGUGUCUUGGUGUACAAGAUUUGAAAUUGAAACGGCUUGAUUUAGAAGCAACUUAUGCUACACACCGCCUGGGACAUGGAUUGUCACAUGGCUGUGUCAUUAUUAUUUUAGGUAUAGGUUUCACACAAUCUAAGACUCAGCUCACGACACAGCUGUGUAUCACAAGUCAGUAUGUAACACGGUUUUGUACAUGGCCUGCGACACGAUCGUGUGUCCAGACUUCGAAUGUCCACAUGGUCUAGGCUAUGUCACAUGGCUUGGCCACAUGGCCGUGUGACUUUUGUUUUCAAGUUUUCCAAAAUUUUCUAUUUUAUUUCAAAUUGAUCCUAGAAUAUUCUCAAACUAUUUUUAAGGCCCCGUAGGUUCGGAUUAAGGCCCGUAAGUGUAUGUUUGCUAUAAUUAAGUUGUGUUAUUGAAUGUUAUUAAUUCAAACACAUGAAUACUUUGUUGUAAGUUAAAUGUUUUAAUUUGUACUAUAAUGCUUCGUAACCCUAAUCUGGCGAUGGAAACAAGUUUGGCGUGUUACAAUUUUGUAUUGUAAAUUUGUUUUGGGGCUUUGUUCUUUGGUUCUUGUGAUGUUGGUUGGAUUUUGGUGUUUUAACAUUAAACUGCAAAAUUGUAGGAUUUAACAAACUAAAAUUAGGUUUUCAAAAUUAAAACUCUGGAAAUUUUUGUUGCAAAGUUUAAGUAAUCACUUAAGUGUUUUUCUAUAGAUAAUUAAAUGGUUUUUAACAAAUGUUUUCCUUACUUUUGGAAAUGAUCUGCCAACAUUAGUACUUCUAAAACACAUGAUUUCAAAUUCAAAUUCUCAGUUUUAAAUAAGGGUUUUCACACUUCGAUUUUUUUUAAACAUUUUUGAGAGGUUUUUGCCAAAUUUUAUGUUUUCAGAACGUGUAACCAAGUUGAUUUUUAAUUAGUUUUUCAAAGUAGUCGAUGUAAUUCCUCAAAAAUCCAGUCAUAGCGUCUAGGCCGGGUUUGGGAUAUUAUACUGACGUUACUAAAGUUAAUCUUCAUCUAUUUAGUCUUGAUCUAAACAUUAAUAUUCUCUUCAAAAAAAAUCAAGAUUAUCAAAUUGUUAAAACUUGGUAGGCAGACAAUCAUAUUAAAUAAGCAUAAAACUUAAUAAAUAAUUACCGAAGAUUGAAAUAAUCAAAGAAAAAAUAAAUUAAUUAACUAAGAAAUAGGAUCCAUUAUUGUUUCAAGAAAAUAGAGUUUAGUUCACAUUGAGUUGAGAAAACCAAAAGGGAGAUUCAAAACAAACUUGUGAUAAGGGGAAUAAUGUCAAUAGAUCAUAUUCAAGUUGUUCGGCUUGAGAAAGAAAGAUUCAGAUCUAACUUGAAAACAAGAAACCAAAAAGAUUUAGAAAAACAAGAAAAAACAAAGAAAAUAACUAAAAUGAUAAAUUUAAGAAUAAAUAAUCAAUAUUAAAAAUAAUAAAGAAAUAAAGAAAUUAUAGAAUAAAUAGUGGAAGAUGGAAUGAAUAAACGAUGGAUAUGACAUAUAGAUGGAUAAGUGUCUUAUAAUUCAUGAAAAGAGUUAUAUUUCAUGCCUUUAGACCUAACUAAUUGUUUGUACUUAAGUACAUUUUGUUGCAUUUUAAGACAUUUUAGUUAGCAUUUCUAAUAUUGCAUUAGGACUUAGAUUGUGUUGGAAUUAUGUGUUUUUAAUAUGGUGGAGUUCUUUUGUGUGUUGGUAUGGCAAGAACAUAUUUUAGAACGAGGAAAUAAAUGAGUGAAGUUUUUUCAAGGAAAAAGUGCAGACAGUUUGCCAGAACAGAUGCCGUGACAAUGCCAGGAAGACAAAGUUAACAUUUCUUUGCGCAACAGUCUCAGUUGAAAUUAAAACUUGUACCAGAUAAAUCUCCCUAAAAGAGGAGAAGAUAAUCACAAGUUGUUACUUGACACUAGCCUAAUCUAUCUAUAAAAGCCAAUAAAGGGGAUCUCGCAAAUGGCAGAAAAAAAUGGGAGGGAUCCUUAGGUGUGAAUAAGGUUUUAGCUGCGCAAAGGAAAGGAAGUCGAAGGAAGUGCUUUUUAGCCAUCACAGGAUGUUGUGCUACCGAAGUGUGGACUAGGCAAGUGAAAGUUGUUUCCCAAAGUUCUUUCGUUAUUUCCAUCAGCGUUCCUUCAAAAUAUUGAAGUAGUUGAACACAAUGUCGGAUAAUAUUUUGCUUUUGAAUUUUAUUUCUCAGCCCAUGAGCUAAAUCUCGUAGGGUUGGGAUUACUUUUGAUGAAACCUUAAACUAUUUUUGUGGAUGCAGUAUAUAUCUAAUUUACUUUACUGUUUCAUUUGGUUGUUCUUAUUUCUUAAUUAAAAUGCAAAUGAUUUCUAAACAUAGAAGACUGUUCGCAUACUUAUAAACUCAUUCUAAUUCUGAAAGGGUUGGAUUGGUUGGAUUAAAAUUAAAUGAAAUGAGCAAGUAUUCGAUGGACACUUGUAGUAGACUCUAUACAUAGAGUGACGAUCAUACAGAAGGAACCCAUGCAAGGUAUCUAAAAAGUCUUUAGACACAGGCAAGGUAACUUGAUGUUUUGCUCUCACGAGAGUCAGGCCAUUUUAGUACUCUUUUGUGCUUUAAAGUAGAUACGAUUUUGCCAAGGCAUUAUUGACAGUAAGGGUCGAUUUUGGGUAAUCAACUUUCCAAAUCCACAUCGUAUAUCCUUUAUACCUUACCAUAGUAUAUUUGCCACAUCAUUAUUAGUUAUUUAUUUGUUCAUUUACAUAAUAUUCCCAUAGUAAUUCUCAUAAUUAUCAUUAGAUUUCUACUCUCAGUUUGCCACAACAUUACCAAUUAUUUAUUACCUCCACGUAUUGCUUACACCAUUACUCUACUAAUUUCAACUAUAUAUUUAUCAUUGAGUUUGCCAUGGCAUUAAUCGUAUUUUAUUAUAAUAACUUGACCAAUUGUGUGCCUCAAUCUGAUCCCCAUGGGAACGAUACUCACUCAUCACUUUAUUACGUGAUUCAACUGUAUACUUGCACAAAUCGCAUAUCAUUUCACACACGACAGUGUUCAAUUGAAACCUUUAAGAUAUAAACUCGGACAAACUCAAUUAAUGGCUUUAAUCAACCCACCAAGAAAUAAUGAUUGGCAAAUUGAACGAUGAAGAAUGAAUUCCCAUGACUCCUUAAAAAAUUGAGAAGAAAAAUACUUCUAAAAAUCACAAGAAACAAAUCUUGCACAAAGAAACUAACUUUUAGAGUUGGAAAUUUUAGUAAUAAACAAAAACAAUUGCAUCUCUAAUGAACAUGAAGGGCCUUUACAUAGGCUAGAUAAGUACAUCCAGAUAAAAUAUUCAAGUAUCAAGUACAUCCAGAUAAAAUAUUCAAGUAUCUUGAAACUUUAAUUAGUAUAAGUAAGAAGUAAUUUUAAACUAAAAUAGUUAUAAUUUCCGUCAUAAUCCCAUCCAAAAAUUCUGCUCACAUAAUCAUCAUUAAAAUAGUCAUAAUUUGAGCUCUUGAACUCAAAAUUGAGUGAAUAAAAGUGUGUUUCGAAGUUAAGUGCUAGAUCUUAGAACUUUAUGAAGACAUAUCAAUCGAAAAAUGUCUGGAUCCCAUCCAAAAAGUCACCACAAGUUAACUAAUUUUUCAAACUUGAAAAUUGGCAGCUUUGGUGAAUGGAAUUUAAUAAAGUUCACCCCAUCUAUUCAUGUAUCAACUCGCAUUGGUAAAAAGUAAAAAGAAAUAAUCUAUAGAGAAAAUAGUUGAAGAAUUUAUGAAAAUUUAUUCAAAUCUCUUUUUUUUCUAGUCUUUGCAAGCUUGAAGUUUCCCUUGGUGUGUGAGAGUUGUUCCUUACCCUCUAAGUGAUUUUUUUUCUUCUUCUUUCUCUUCGAUCUCGUCACCUAAGGGUGUUCAAACAAUUGAUUCAGUUAAUACCCGUACAAAACUAUCAUUAACUGAAAUUUUGAAACCCUUAAUCAUUAAUCAAACCAAUUUUUUUGAAACCUACUAACUAGCUUCAUUGUUUUCGGUUAAUUUGAGCGGUUAACCAAAAUUUACACAUUGUUUGUUUUUUUUCAAACAAUUUUAAAACAAAGAACAAUCCACGACAAUUUUUCCUUGUUUUUUAUUCAAAAAAAUUAAAAGAAUUAAAAAAAACAUAAUAACAACACUAAAUUAAAAACAUAAUAGCAUUCAUUAUAUAUAUAUUUACUUUUUCUUGACUUUUUAGUUUAAUUUUAGUUUUUUUUUUCCAAAUAUUUUUAGUUUUCAUAUUUUUGUUAAGCUUAUUAUAAGAAAACUUAUAAAUCCAUUAGUUUUUAUAUAUUGGGUUUGUAUAAUGCAUUGGACCUAUCUCACAUAGUCAUCAUUAAAAUAGUCAUAAUUUGAUCUCUUGAACUCAAAAUCGAGUGAAUAAAAGUGAGUUUCUAAGUUAAGUGAUAGAUCUUAGAACUCUAUGAAGACAUAUCAAUUGAAAAAUGUCUGAACUCCAUCCAAAAAUUCACGCAAGUUAACUAAUUUUUCAAACUUGAAAAUUGGUAGCUUCGGUGAAUGGAAUUUAGUAAAGUUCACCCCAUAUAUUGAUGUAUCAACUUUCAUUGUAAAAAGUAAAAAGAAAUAAUCUAUAGUGGUUAGUGUUUUAAUGGGGGUUUUGUGUUUACUCUCGGUUAGGGGAAGGGCAAGAAGAGUUGGUACUCCUGCAGCAAUUUGAGCGUUAAGGGUGUCUGUUCGUCGGCGGUAAGGUUUCAAAUUCUUUGUUGGUUAUUGUAAGGCUCCGUUUGUGGAAUGGUUUUGGAUUGAGUUUCGUAAGUGUACUGAAUUUGGGCUUCUGGAUGCUAUUUCUUAGGUUCGAUGGUCUCGGGGGUGCUUGUGCAUCAAAACGAUAUCAGGUGUGUACCCGAAAUGCAGAAAAUCGAGCUUCGAUGAAAUCUAAAACACCUUACUAUCGACACCACAAGGGCAUGUGCCUGGCCGUGUGGUUGGCUGUGUGUAGGACACGGUCAUGUGUUUGACGAGGGUAGGGUCGUGAGGAAGACAUGGCCGUGUGACGAUGUGGGCCCGCAGGCUAGGCCAAGUUAGGCUUGUGGGUUUUGGGCCACAUGUGCAUGUGGGUUUUGGGCCAAGCCAUGUGAACCACAUGGACAGGGCUAAUCUGGGUGUGUUGACCACAUGGGCAUGUGGGCCCGAAAUUCUAAAAUUUUUCGUAGGGUCUCACAGGUCAUUUUGGUCGACUUUGUGCCUACCGUAGGGUCAGUAAGGGCUAACCAAACCCUAAAACUAUGUGAUCUGUUAGUUUGAUAUUUGUUCUAAAUAUGAUACUACUAUGCAUGUCUGAUUAGUCUGGUGUAUAUAUAUAUAUCUGAUAUAUAUGUAUGAGCAUGUGAGCAUGAUAACUCUGAUUAUAUAUAUCUGAUUGAGGUGGGAUUUCUAUAUGUGGAGGAAGUGUUCUAUAUGGCGGUCAUCGCCUAUGUUCUGGCAGCUUGGCUAUACAUUAUCUGACAUGUAUCGUAAUGGCACGAUAUGGUGUGUAGGGAUUGGUGGGUGUUUUUAACCCCACAUGAUGUGAUGGGAUGGUCAGAGUUGGUUUGUAGAGGAUGGAGUUAGGAUUCUGUAUUUCUAAUAUGCAUAUAUGUUCUAUUAUUUGAAUCUAUAAAGGACUUAGGUCUGAAUCUGAAUCUGAAAUUGUAUCUGAUCGUGUAUGAGUUUAUUGCACGUAUUGCAUGUAUUUUUCUGUUGGGUUACACACUGAGUUUACGAAAACUCACAUUUGUUUGUCGGUUUUGUUUAGGUAAUCCACAGACUUAGACGGGUCAGUGUUACGGAGGCUCAGUGGUGACCACUUGAUUGAGAACUAUUUUACUUAGUAAAUUAUGUUUUAUUUAUAAUUUCGAUUUCAUUUGAGAGUUUGUAAUUUUUGGGACUCUCCGGACUGCUGGUUUUUAUUUUGGUUUUGGAUGCGAUUUUAGACUCUUUUGUUGCGAUGCAUAAUGGAAAACACGGUUUUAUGAAAACAAAGGUUAUUCUGAAAAUACGAACUGGAUUUCUAAAAUAUAACGGUUCAAAAACUUCUGCUAAAAAUCAUGUUUUGGUAAAUAAAUGAAUUAAGUAACACUUUCAAAAAUGGUUAUAAAGAAAUAUGAACUAUGAAUCUUUAAUGAUUUGACAAAAAGACCUUAUUUUCAAAACCAUACAUUGUGACCACUCCAGAUUCAGCUAUAACGUCUAGACCGAUUUGGGGUGUUACAGUAAGGAUGAAAAUUUAAGGGGGAGUGAGCUAUGGCGCUUAGUAUGAGUUCAUUCACAAUAAAUUCAAUGCAAACGGUUGGUAGGACACAUUAAAUAAUAUCACAUAAAAUAAUCACAGUCAGAUAAUAGUUUAGAAUGUCGGUUUUACAAUUUAACCACCAAUAUUAUCACAGUAUUCACAGUUGUAAUUUCAGAAUAUCAAAUUUUCACACCAUUCACAAUAUUUAGAUAUAUAUAAAUAUAUCAUAACAGAAUUCCAGAUUUGUAUGCACAUGAUUUAGAAGAUGCCAUACAAUUUCGGGUUUUAACAGAAUAAAUCCUACCCCACGUUACAUACCAUAAUGGGAGUUCCCCUAAACUCCCUUCUCCAACACACUGGGUACCACUACUGGUUUACAAAUAAUAACUAUCAUUUGGCUGUGGACACACAGCAAUCCCCCACAAUUGGAUUCUAGAUUUGGUUGUGGGUUCACAGCAAAAAAAUCUACAAAUGAAGCAUGCUUUUGCCUGUAGAUUAUACAACAUAUACCCAUAGUUGGAAUCUGCCUUCGGCUGUGGACACACUGUAACACCUCAAACCUGACCUGGACGUUAUGGCCGAAUCUUGAGGAAUUACUUUAACUCGCUAGAAAACCCAAGAGUUUACUUUGAAAUCAUGUGGUUAAACUAGUGUUCACUUUGAUAAAUCGUUUUCCAGUUUUAGGGAAAAUUAUUAUUAAAACUACUACUUUAUUACAAUAAAAAAUUAAAGUGAUUGUAUCAUUUUGUAACGGAAUCUACUGAGCUAUAAGGUUUUGAAAAUCGUGGUUUAAUUUGCAACAAAUCAUUUUGCAAAUAGAAAUUUAAUACUACUUAAUUUGGAAAAGCAUGCUAAAACGAAAGCAAAGUCCAAACUAAUUUACGAUUUAAAUUCUUAAAAGUCCAAAUUAAACAUAAAGUCAAUUUAAACCAGUUUAUCGAAAGUGUAACACCCCAAACCCGGCCUAGACAUUAUGGCCAAAUCUGGAUGUGUUACAAAAAAAAAGUUUAUAAAACGACUUCCUUGUUAUUGGCAAAUCAUCGCAACCAUUAUUACAUAGUAUGUCUGAUUUGUUUGGAGAACUUUUUGAUAUACUUAUUUGAUUUAAGAUCGUUGCUUGCUUAUGCCUUUCUAUUAAACCGAAUGUUUUGCAGUGGAGUUUCUUUAAAAUGUCAUAUUUUGGCAAAUCAAAUUGUUUCUUGAAAAUCGUUAUUUCAGAAAAGUUGUCAUUUUCAGGAAAACUAUUUUAUCGGUUGUUACGCUUAGAAAACCAAAAUAAAAUCCAAAACCAAAAAUAGUCCCAAAAAGUCCAAAGAGUCCCGAAAUUACAAAACUCUCAAAACCAGAAAAGUUUGAACUAAUUUUAAAAGAAUGAAAAUUUAUAGAAAUAUGGUCAACAUUGAGCUUCCGUCACACCGACCCACAUAAAUGUAAGGGUUACUUGAACAGAACAAACAAAUAGAGAGUGAGUUUUGAAACUCAGUGCGUAACGCGAAUAUAAACAAAAAUUUAGAAUCAAUCUAAUGCAUAACAGAUACAAAUGUAAACCUUUUAUAGAAUAAGAAUUAUACAGAUACAAAUGUGCAAAAUCCUACCCUCGUCCUCUACACACCAAUUCUGACCAGCCCAUCACACCACGUGGGGUAUAAAACACCCACCUAGCCAUACACACGGUAUAGUGUUUAUACGACACUUUUCAGAAUAAUCGCAGUAGAGUUGCCAGUAUAUAGGUGAGAUAUUUCCUCACACAGAACACUUCCUCCUCAUAAUACAAAUCCCGCUCCAUAGCCAGAUACAGACAGAAUAUUAGGUAAAACAAAUUAACAGAUACCAGAGUUAACAUAUCAUGCAUGAGCGUAUAACAAAUAUUACACAUGCUUGUACAUAACAGAACAAACCAUACAUACCGUAUUCCAUAAUACUCAUAUAAAUGUUAUUUUUUAAAUUGUAACAAAUAUUAUUAUUAAGAUGUUUUUCUUUUUAUAUUUUUAUAAAAAUAUAUUAAAAAACAAUUAGAAUAAUUUUAAGAGAAAAAACACUCAUAAAUAGUAGAAUUUAAUCUAAAAAUAUCAAAGUUUUAAAGCCUCAACUUUAACAUUUCAACCAAAAUUCCAUUAGUAUAUAAAUAUUUCAUAAAUAUAGAUUUUAUAUAAAAAAUUUAUGUUAACUUUUUUUUAACCCGCAUCACAAGUAUACCAUAUUUAGAGAUAUUCAUAGCUAGGCAGCCCACUUUGGGUCAAGCUUGAGCUUAGGUUUUAUCUCAAGUUGGCCCAAUUUAACCUAUUUUACUAUUUAAAAAUAUAAAUAUAUGUUAUAUUGAUAUUUAUAUAUUUCUAUAAUUAAAUUUUAAAUAAAUUUAUUGUUAACUUCUAAACAUAAAACAAAGAGAACUUUCACCCAAGUUAUAAGUUUGUGGUUAGACAGCCGACUUUCGGGGCAGGAUUCAGCUUACGUUUUUAAUCUUGGGAUUUAACAAUAAUAAAAAAUUUAAAAAUAAUAUUCUAUUAAUAUUUAUAAAUUUUAUAAAUUUAAAUUUAAUUAUAUUUUUUAAACAGUAAAAUGAACCAUUUAUAUGGGCUAAUUAGAGUUAAGUUUGGUUUGAAUCAAGGCUUAACUUUGACCAAAUCCAACUAAAAACACCUCUAACAAUUAUCUAGUAUUGUUUUUAUGAAUUGAAUUUUAACUUCUAAUUUUCAAUUUUAUUACAAAAUUUCUUUGCGGACGAUAAGAAAAUAACAUAUUUGUAACUUCUUCACUCCGACGUAAAGGUUAAGUCUGAAUUUGGAUUACAUCGGCCAUAAAUAUGGCCUAGCAGGAUUAUCGGAGUUUUUAAAAAUAGACAUCUUUAAAACGUUUGUUUAAUUUAUAAAAAAGCUUAUUUAAUUUCCAAAUUAUUUAUUACUUGAAAUCUUAAUUACAUUUUAAAAGCAGGAAGUGGUAACUAUUUAUUUUUAAUAAAAAUCGGGGUUCAUGUAUAAUUCAUUAAUAACCGUAAUUCGAAAACAUUAAAACUUAAAUUAAAUGUCAUGCAAAACAAAACAAACUUAAAUCUAAAUCUCAUGCCACAGUGCAAAACAAUUUAUUGUAGUCUUAGAAAAUAAAAAAAAAUCAUAUAAUGAACCUAAAAUAAUUUUUUUUACUUUAAUAAUGUGUCAAGACCUUACAAAUGUCACGCCCACGUUCAAUCCUGGUGGGUUAUCUAUAAGGAUGAAAAUUUAAGGGGGGUGAGCUUUGACGCUUAGUGUGAGUUCAUUCACAAUAAAUUCAAUGCAAACGGUUGGUAAGACACAUUAAAUAAUAUUGCAUAAAAUAAUCACAGUCACAUAACAGUUCAGAAUGUCGAUAUUACAGUUUAACUACCAAUAUUAUCACAAUAUUCAUAGUUGUAAUUUCAGAAUAUCAAAUUUCCACAUCAUUCACAAUAUUAACAUAUAUAUAAAUAUAUCAUAAUAGAAUUCUAGAUUUGUAUGCACAUGAUUUAGAAGAUGCCAUACAAUUUUGGGUUUUAACAGAAUAAACCCUACCCCACGUUACAUAUCAUAAUGGGAGUUCGCCUAAAAUCCCUUCUCCAACACACUAGGUUGUGGAUAAACCAAUACUCAUCCGCAGAUAAUAACUAUCAUUUGGCUGUGGACACACAGCAAAUCCCCACAGUUGGAUUCUAGGUUUGGCUAUGGGUUCACAGCAAAAAGUCCUGCAAAUGAAGCCUAUUUUUGCAUGUAGAUUAUACAACCUAUACCUGCAGUUGGAAUCUGCCUUUGGCUAUGGAUGCACUAUAACGCCCCAAACCUGACCUGGACGUUAUGGCUGAAUCUUGAUGUAACGCCCUAAAAUUUCUAAUUCUAUUAUUGUAAAAAUAUGACACAAAAUAUUUGUCUGCUUUAGUGGUUAUGUGUUCUGGGAGUGUUUGGGAGGUCCCAAGUUCACGUCUUUGCUUGGGCAAAUUUUGGUAUUUUGAAUGAAUUAGGCUUUACUCUUGUUCAGUAGGAUUUUAUUUGAUUGUUGGGAAAAUUAUAUCAGAAUGGGCUUGCUGGUCUAGUGGUUAAAUUGUGUGUUAUUAUGGUGAAGGUCUUGUGUUCAAAUCCUUAUGUAGGCAAAGGUAUUAUUAUUAUUAUUUUUGCUCAGAUUUCGGGAUAUAGUUGUGUAAUAGGGGGAUUCUGAGUAGUGGAUGUGUAGUGGGAAUUAGGGGAGAAGAUUAAGGGGUUUCGGGAUUUUAUUUUAUUUUUUCCCAGAACGGAAUUUUGACUCUCUUUUCCAAAAAAAUUCUGUCGUCUAUUCUUCUCCCUCUCCUCUUGUCGAUAUUCUCUAAGUUUUUUCAUCUUUCUCUUCUUUUUCUUCUUCUUGAUUUUUCCCUAAUCCAUUUAUUUUUCCUUCAUUUUCGCACGCGAUUAGUGCUCGCUUAGUUUCGGUAAGCGUUUCUCUUUGUUUUUAUCAUGAAUCUCCUAGGGACUAAAGUGGUAAUUUUUUUCUCUGCGAUUUGGGCAUAAGGGAAGGCUCGGACUGGUGAAUUCAGUAUUCUCAUCUUAUCAAUAGUUAAAUGGGGGGUUAUCGUUGGUGGUAUGUUGGGUUUCUGUUCGUUCUUGGUUGUCAAUUCGCUUGUAAAUCCAUUAAAUUGAUGUUUAGUAUCUUGAUUAUAGGCUUUGGAGUGCUUGGGGACUGUUUUAGCAUCAAACAAAACCAGGUGUGUACCCGAAACGCAAAAAAAAAGGGAUUCGGUGAAAAGUUAAAAUUGCUUGCUAUUUGGACAGCAGCAGUAGACUAAUUUUGAAAAAUCACCAUAAAUUGUGGAAAUCGAAUUAGAGGAUGAAAAAAAUAUGAAAUUAAAUCUUAUUGAGUCUAGUUUCUCAUAGAAGAAACGGUGUAAGUAAUGGAAUUGUAAAUCGUGAGAUAUAAUAAACUUUGUGAGACAAGGUUAGAAUAAAUUCGGGUUCCCCUGUUCUGAUUUUGGAAAAUCAUCAAAAAUUGGAGAAAAGUAAUUAGGAAUUAAAAUUUACAUGUUUAAAUUAUUAAUGAGUCUUUUUUUUCAAUAGAAACAAAUGGGAACUUCAUCCAAAUUUUGUACUAAAAGAUAAUUAAUUUUUAGCAAAGAAGGGUCAAAGCUGUCAGACAGCAGAACAAGGGUAAGUUUGAAGAUUUUACUGUACUUAUUAGCUGAACCAAAAAUUCUAAAAAUUUUAUGGUAGAAAGGUAUUUGAGUCUAUUUUUAAAGACAUCAAGCGAAUUUUAAUUAGAAAUUCUGUAGCACAAGAUAUAAAUAAUUUAGUAACAGUGACUCAAGUAGAAAGCUUUGAAGGAACACAUAAGUAAAUUGUGAUAACAUAUAUGAAUAUUUAGCUAACACAGGUUACACUGAAAAUGGAUCACGUGGCCAAGGCCAAUUUGGGCCGAGUGGGCCACGUGGGCGUGUGAGCCCAUUUUUUUGAAAAAUUCUGUAAGGUUGCACGGGUCACCCAAGUCGACUAUGGACCUACUGUAGGGUCAGUAACCUUUACUUAGACGCCUAUAUGUGUGAUCUGUCUAGCUGAUUUCUAUAACGAGCAUGACUUAUAAUAUCUAAAUGUAUGUACUAUUAAUUGCAUAAUGGCAUGGCAUAUUUUGUAUGUUGCAUUGCAUCGGGGUGGGUUGAUGAUAUUUGGAGGAAGUGUCUAAAGGGAUAUUAAGCCAGUUAUCUGGCAGCUCAGCUGCAACCUUCUGAUUAUGUGUCGAUUUCAGUAUAGCAUGGUGUGUAAGGAUGGGUGGGUUAAUUUAAUCCCUACAUGGUGUGUAGGGUUGGACGGAGAUGGUGUAUAGAGGCUGGUGGGUAGGAUUCUAAUUUACUAUAUCUACAUUCUGAAUCUGAUAUGGGCCAAGGCCCUAAUGUAUUUCUGAGACUGUAUCUGAACGGGCUAAGGCCCAAACUGAUUGUGUGAUGGGCCUAGGACGCAGACUGUAUCUAACUGAAUUCUGUUGAUUAUUUGUAUGCAUGUUUUCUAUGGGGAUUACACACUGAGUUUGAGAAAACUCACCCUUUCUCUGUUUAAUCUAUACAGGUAAUCCCCAAACUUGAUGGGUAGGUGCAGCGGAGGAUUCGACGGUGGCCACACGUAAAUUUCAGACUGUUUUCUGUUAAUGCCUAGAAUUUAUUAAUUAUUUGGGGUUUUUGAUGUAUCUUCUGGACUAUGGACUAGUAGGCUUUAAAUUUUAGACUUUAUACUAUUUUUUAUGUUUUUUUUAAAACUGCAACUCCACAAAACACGGUUUUUUUCUAAAAAAUAAGGAUUUUCGUAAAUAGAAAUGAUUUUCCCUAAAUUAAUUGGUUACAAAAGUUUUCUCUAAGAGACAAGUUUUAAAGCAAAUCAACUAGUUUUUUUUCAUAAUUAAAUAAAAGUUAACUUACUAUAACGAUUUUUCUUAAACUCGACAAUCUUGUCUUCAAAUCCCUUUUCAUGUGACAUCACCAGAUUCGGCCAUAACGUCUAGGCCGGGUUUGGGGUGUUACACCUGAUGAGUUACUUUAAAUCGCUUGAAAACCUAGAAAUUUACUUUGAAAUCAUAUGGUUAAACUAGUGUUCACUUUGAUAAAUCGUGAAAGUAUGUGAUUAUUGAGGACAUGCUGAGCAUGUCAAAUGAAUGUGAAAAGUAUUGUGAUAUGACUAUGUAUGAGAUUGUGUAACAUAUUGCAUAUGCAUUGGGUUGGGAUUUUUUGGUUGACGGAGUAGUUCUGUGGAGUACCGUCGGCAUAUUAAGCCCGCAUUAUUCGUAGUUAGUGCACUGCACCUGGAGUACUGAGGGGAUUGGUAAUUUUAUCGCAUAUUAUAUGUUAUUGGUGAUUGUAUAGCACUAUUUGAUAUCCGACAGAUUUUUUGCAUUAUUGAUUAUUCGGUGGUUUUACCACAUUGAGCUAUGCUCAGAAUGUUUUAGAGUUUGGUAGACGGGUUCUAGGGAACACGUGGUGUGUAGCGGAUGGUAUGGGUAGGAACCUUUUUGCAUUGCAUCAUGUGCACGACAUAUUCGAAUGUUAUUGGUUUAUGCUACGUAUUGUAUUUUUUUGUAUUGAAUGGUAUCAAAAUUAAUGAUUGUCACUCGAAUGAAUUAUGAACUAUGCUCAUACACUGUUUGACAUCAAUUUAAUAAUGGCUAUGUAACGAUAUGAAAUUCCUAUAAUGGUUUUAUUUUCUUCUAUUAAAGCUAAUAUGUUUCACUGUAUUUGAUAUUUAUGUUUGUUUAAAUAAUUGUUCGACUCACACUGAGCUUUUCAUAAGCUCACCCCUAAUAGUGUUAAACUUUUCACGUAAACCUCGAAAUUAAGACCAGACUUGGCAUUCGAAGAAUCACCUUGGACCUUGAAUUAUUUUUCUAAUAAGUAUUAAUCAAUCUCUAAUGGUUUUGGUUUGUAAUUUUUAAUUAUAUCUAGUCUGUGGCUUGAUAACUUUUCUUUUGGGAUUUUUGCAUGCAUGGAUUACUCAAGCAUAAUAACCGGAUAAUGCAUGAUAUCAGGCUUAAGUAAAAUUUGAUAUUGUUCCCUAGAUUCUGCUACAUUGCAAAGGAUUUGUUUUUGAAAAACAAAUUGAUAAGGUAACUAAGUUUUUAAAAUGACUUGAAAAAUGGUUUUUCCCCUAGAUUAGUUUAACAUCAAAUUUUUUUUAAAGGAGAGCAACAAGCAAAUGGUUUUUCUAAAACAACACUAUCAACAAUAAAAUGAAUUCUAAGUAUACACAACCUAAUGAAUGAAUGCUUUUAAGCUAACUUAAAGUACAAUUAUGGUUUUCUCUAAAAUGAGUUUAUUUAAGGUUUUCAUAAGUAAUGUAAGUUAGCUUAGCCAUUUCGGUGGCUAAUGUAGCCUUCUCAUUCUAGCCAUAACGUCUAGGCCAGGUUUGGGAGGUUACAGUAUUGAUAGGAACUGUGGUAUAAAUUUUAUUUUGGACAUUCUUAAAGUGUUAUUUGGACUAAACUUUAGAAACUAUGGAUUUUAUACUGAGCCUAAAUUUACGAAGUUCAUGCGUGGUUUUUACGAAAAUGAAACUAAUAUGAAUUUUUAAAACCAUGAUUUUUUUUAAAGCUCCAAUUUGAAAUUGUACAAGAAAUGUCAAUUUGAAUUAUUUUUGAAUGUUUUUUUAUGCCAAUAAAAUAUUGUUUCAAAACAUAGCUAAGUAUUAUUUAAUUUCGUAAAGACGAAGCAAACUCCAAACAAUCUAAAACUUUAAGGACUAGUUUGUAAUUUUUGUUUUUCCUCAAUUGUCUCUGGUUUGAUUCAAUUCUUGAUCUAUACAAUUAUUCCAUUCAAUUCAUCAAUAUUAAACAUUUAUACAUUAUGUCAUGUCAUGAAUGAACCUAGAUAAAUUCAUUUUUUGAUACCCUUAAAGUUUUACAUUUAUUUCAAUUUAGUCUCUAAAAUCGAAAUAGUCAUAACUUUAAAUUCUGAACUUCAGUUUGAAAAUCGACCUCAAUUUCAUUUUAGACUGUCUGUUAAAAAUUAGUGCAUCUUACUGGAUUUUUUAAUUUACUUGUUUUCUUUAUCAAAUAAGUUGGUUCCUAUUAUAUAGGGAUAUGAUCAGAUUAUGUUUUGUUAGUUGAGGUUUUAGUGGGCUAUUAGUUGCAGGUUUUUUAACUUUAACGUUACAUGUAGUUAAGCUAUUUAUAUGUCAUUUUAUCUAAUGUAAUUUUGUGUGUUUUUUUUAGUAAUCAAAAACGUUCUUUAAUACUUUAAGCUUUUCUUGUUAUUAUUUCUUUCAUUACCUCGGUCAUUCUUUUUUGUUUUAUGGUGUCAGUGCCAGGUUAUUCAUUGGUUAAUUGUGUGAAAGGGUGUUUUGCUAGUUGCUGCAAUGGAGGUUUCAAAUGGAGGAAAUAAUCAGAUUGGUAUGGAGAAGCUUGUAGGCACUAACUACAAGUAUUGGAGGAUGUGUAUGGAGGCAUUUCUUCAAGGCUAGGACUUGUGGGGAUUGGUUGUUGACCUGAUGCAACAAUCCCUCCCAAUAUUCUCGAGAAUGCCAAGUCACGAAGGAGGUGGAAGGUCAAAUGCGGUAAAGCUUCAUUGAUCAUGUUCAUGAUGUUAACUCUCCAAAAGAAGUUUGGGAAACGCUUGAAAGGUUGUUUACCAAGAAGAAUACUGCAAGGUUGCAAUUGUUGGAGAACGAAUUGGCCGGGUUAAAACAAUGAGGUAUGUCAGUUUUAGAAUAUUUUUUACGAGUUAAAAAUAUUUGUGCUGAAAUUUCAGAGAUAGAUACGGAUGAGAAAGUUAGUGAAGCUCGUUUGCGUCGUUAUCUUAUCCGCAGUUUGAAGAAGGAGUAUGGGCCUUUUGUCACUUCUAUUCAAGGGUGGUCGACACAGCCUUCGGUGGAGGAGUUAGAGAAUUUUCUCUCUAAUUAAGAAGCUUUGGCAAAGAAGAUGGUGAAAAGUUUCGAAUCUGAUGCCAGUCUCUUCUCAAAAGGGAAGCCAAACAAGAAGAAUGAGUCUGGAAAUAAAGGCAGAUCUGAAGACUCUAGUUCGAAAAAAGAUGGCAACUCACAAAGCAAAAAGUCUUUCAAAUGCUUCAGAUGCAGAAAGACUGGACAUAUCAAGAGAAAUUGCCGUGUGUAGAUUUCCAAGGCCAAUAUCGUGUCCACGGAAGAAACCGAUGAUCGACUCAAAUGGGAGCAUUGCUUUACUGUUGAAGCUAUUGAACAAAAGUCAUCAAAAGCUUUUGUCAAUUAUGCUGAUAACAAGAAGGAGGAGUGGAUCAUUGAUUCUGGUUGUUCUCACCAUGUAACCGGAAAUGAUACUUUGUUCUUAGAGAUGCAUGAACACCAUGGAGAUCGAGUUAUUGUGACUGCAGAUAACUCCACUCAUCCGGUAGCAAAAGAGGGCAUUGUGGUGAUCGAUGUUGUCGACGAUACGAGAACCGAAAGUGUCAAAUUGACUGAUGUGUAUCAUGUUCUAGAUGAAGCUUAUGUGAAGAAAACAAGCCAAACCGAUAACGCUGCUAUUUGGCAUGCUCGAUUGGGUCAUGUGGGGUACCAAAUGCUGCAACAAAUUUAUUCGAAAAGGUUGUUAGAUGGGAUGCCGAUCUUGAAGAGUGUACGUGAAGAUGUGAUUUGUCAAAGCUGUCAAUAUGGUAAAUCUCAUCGUCUUCCUUUCAAAAGCUCAUCAAAUCGGAGAUCUUCUUUGCUCGAAUUGGUUCAUACAGACUUGACGGGACCAACGAGAACACUGAGUUGUAGCAGCCACUGUUAUGUUAUGGUUUUGGUGGAUGAUUACUCAAGGUUCUCUUGGGUGAAAUUUUUGAAAGAGAAGAGUGAAGCAUUAUCCAAGUUUGUGGAGUUCAAAGCUGCUGUUAAAAAAGAGUUUGGAAAGAAGAUUAAGUGUCUUCGAAGUGACAAUGGCGGAGAAUACAUGUCCAAUAAUUUUUUUCAGUAUUGUGUUGACAACGGCAUCUGUCGUCAAAUGACUUGUCCAGAUACUCCAUAGCAGAACAGAGUUGCAGAAAGAAAGCUUGGUUAUCUUGCUUCGAUUUGCCUUUCAUGGCUGCAUGACAAGAAUCUUCCUCGAGAGCUUUGGGCGGAAGCUGUUCUUUGUGCAUGUCAUGUGACAAAUAGGCUGCCUCCUUGGCCAGGUACACAGAAAUCUCCUUUUGAGAUUUUAUAUGGUGAAAAGCCAAAUGUGAAUUAUUUUCGAGUCUUCGAUUCUAUUUGUUAUGUACAUGUUCCGAAAUCGAAAAGAACUAAACUUGAUCCGAAAGCAAAAAAGUGUGUAUUUGUUGGCUAUGAUUCUUAUAGGAAGGGAUGGAGGUGUAUGGAUCCGGAUACAAAGAAGUUUACUACUUCGAGAGAUGUCGUGUUCGAUGAAGUAUCAUCUUUCUACUCCACUCAAAGAUUUGCUGCAGAAAAUAUUAUUCUUGAAGAUGAUGAUGAAAACUUGGAUGAGCUAUUUCCAAGAGUUAAUUUGCAACCAUUCAUUGAUGAUGAGUUGGAAAAUGAAUCUCCAACACCAACUCCAAGUCAAAAUGUUCAAUGACAUGAAGGUGGUUAGCAACAGAGUGAGGAGGUCUACUAGAGAAACGAGACAACCUGAGUAUCUCAGAGACUAUGAGGUGCAGCUUAAUCAUUGUAGUAUCACUUCUUGUUUCUUUGUUUGAGCGUUUGAUGAAGAACCAGUAAGUUAUGAGAAGCCAAAAGCCAUUCAAAAUGGGAGGCAGCCAUGAAAGAAGAAAUUGAAGCUUUAGACAAAAAUGAGACGUGGGAGUUGGUUCUUAAACCAGAAAAUUGUAAGCCGAUCACUUGUAAAUGGGUUUUUUGCGUGAAGAAAAAAUUAGAUGGCACCAUUGAUAGAUUUAAAGCUCGUCUGGUGGCUCGUGGUUUUUCUCAAAAUUAUGGAUUGGACUACGAGGAGACGUUUAGCCUAGUAGCAAAGAUGGUGACGGUGAGAUCGAUUAUUUUGCUUGCUGCGUUUAAAGGUUGGAGACUAUGGCAACUUGAUGUAAAGAAUGCUUUCUUUACGGAGAUUUAGAUCGUGAAGUAUUUAUGGAGCAACCUAUUGGCUUUGUCUCUAAGGAAUUUCAAAAUCGUGUUUGCCGUUUGAAGAAAGCGUUAUAUGGCCUUAAGCAAGCGCCACGAGCAUGGUAUGGUAAAGCUGCUCAAUAUCUCAUUUUUUGUGGCUUUAGAGUUUCUGAAUCAGAUUCUAGUUUAUUUAUAAAAUUGGAAUCAGGUGCACAUCUCUUGGUAUUAUUAUAUGUUGAUGAUAUGAUAAUAACUGGAGAUAAUGAAUCAGAAAUUUGUAAUUUGAGGAAUGACUUGUCUGUUCGUCUUGAGAUGAAAAUUUUGGGGGAGAUUGGAUGUUUUCUUGGUCUAGAAGUGGAAAAAUCAGAUCAAAGUUGUUAUAGCCCGAUUUUGGGUCUAGUCAGAACAGUGGUUUUGGGACCACAAAUUCAACAAAAAGAAAAUGGGUAAAAAAUAUUAUUAAUUUAGUAAGUAUAAGUUAAAUGUGAAGUUAGGAAAAUUUUUUAAAUACUGAAUAGUGCACUAGAAAUAAAUAUUAAAAUAAUUAGAAUCGAAAUGAGGUAUCAAGACCUCGGGGAUUUUAAACCGAGCCAUAAAUAUUUUUAUAAAUAUUUAUGGAGUGUUAAAAAGUUAGUAUUAAAGUUUCGUUAGGAAAUUUUAAAGUUCCGAUAAUUAAUUGAACAAAAAGGACUAAAUUGUAACAAAUGCAAAAUUUUGGGAAAUGAUUAAGUAGCUUAAAUGAUAAAAGGAAGAGGGCUUAAAAGGCAAAUAGACCCAAGGUUUAUUUGGGCUGGACGGCAAAGGCAUGAAAUCAGCAAGAAAGUAAGGAGAAUUAAGGGCAAAAUUGGAAUAUUGCAAAAUUUGCUUAAUAAAGUUAGGACCCAAGUGGAAUUAUCUAGAUUUCUCUUCAUUUUUCUGAAUUCUCAUCAGCAAAAACACCAUGGAAGGGCUUCUUCAAGCUGGUUCUUCAUAUUUUUACUACAAGUAAGUUCAAUUCUUGACUAUUUCUUGAAAUUUUUGUAUUUUUAUGACUUUUACAAUUAGGCUCACUUGUUAAAUUCAUUAGUUUUUGAUUUUAUGAAAGAAGUUGAAAGUUGAUAUGAAUAUGUGCUGGAAUUAUAUGAUGAUUUAGCAUGGAAUUAGAGCUUUAAAUUGUUCAUAUGCUGAUUUUAUUGAAAGAAUUGAAUAGAAAGUGAAUGUUUGGGACCUAAUAGUAAAAGAGUUUGAAGAUAGAAUUAUAUGUGGAAAUUCUGAAUUUCAAUAGUUGUGUAACAACUUAUAAUGUCUAGGUAAAGUAUUAAUUCAGAAAAUUGGAUUAAUUGAGGGGUUAAUUGAGAAAGGACCGAAUUGUAUAAACUGUAAAAUUUGGGGCAAAAUGGAAAUCAACAUUUUGCACUAAAGCAGUUUUGGACAGCAGCAGUAGUGUAACUUUGAAAAAUCACAAAAAAUUGUAGAGAUUGAAUUAGAGGAUGAAUAAAAUAUGAAAUUAAAUCUUAUUGAGUCUAGUUUCUUAUAAAAGAAACGGUGUGAGCAAUGAAAUUGUAAAUCAUGAGAUAUAAUAGAUUUUGUGAGACAAGGUCAGAAUGAAUUCGGGUUCCCCUGUUCUGACUUUGGAAAAUCAUUAAAAAUUUUACAAAAAUUAUUAUGAGUUAUAAUUUAUAUGGUUAGAAUCCUUAAUGAGUCUAUUUUUAUAAGAAACAAACAAAAACAGCAUCCGAAUUCUGUACAAUGAGAUAAUUAAUUUUUAGUGAAGAGUGGUCGGAACUGUCAGACAGCAAAACAGGGAAAAAUUUAAAGAAUAAACUGUACUAUUUGGCUAAACAAAAAAUUCUGAAAAUUUUAUGGAAAUAAUAUAUGUGAGUCUAGUUCCAGGUAAAAUUAACGGAUCUUAAUUUGGAGCUUUUUAGCUCCGGAUAAAAAUAAUUUAGUGACUCUAACUCAGACAGACAGCCUAAAUUUUUCAUACAAGAAAAUAGUGAAAGUAUGAAUAAUGUUGUUUAAAUGUGUUAUACACAUUAAGGAUGAGGAAUGGAGAGGAGGUGGAGGAAAAUUGGGAAAUAUAUGAAUGGUUUAUCAUGUUGUUAGUUCCAAAAAGAGUUAUGUUUCAAUACACUAGCUUGCAACUAUGGUUGAAUGAUAUGUUUAUAUCUUGUGUGAUGUGCAUAGGAAACAAGUGUGGAAAGAUAAUGAAAUAGUAAGUUCAUAUGGCUGAAAUUUAAUGGUUAAAUGUUAAUUCCAUGAAUUAUAUGAUGUAUGAUGAGAUAUUUUUAUUGUUGAAAUAAGAAUAAAAUAAAAGUGCGAAAGCUGAAUAAAUGAUCAAAUUGAGCGGAACGCCGGAUUUGAGUACUUCUGAUCAAGUGACAAAGUGAUAAGUGAUAGCUUUAGCUACACUUAUUUGAUCAAGAACAAGUGAUAAGCGGUGACAAAGUGAUAAGUGGUAGCAUUAGCUACACUUAUCUGAUCAAGUGAGAAAGUGAUAAGUGGUAGCAUUAGCUACACUUAUCUAAUCAAGUGAGAAAGUGAUAAGUGGUAGCCUUAGCUACACUUAUCUGAUCAAGUGACAAAGUGAUAAGUGGUAGCCUAGCUACACUUAUCUGAUCAGGGACAGGUGAUAAGUGAUCAUACGUAAGACCAUAGUUAUACUAUGGCAAAGUGAAAGUGAAGUACUCAAUUUUCCGUGACCGUUCCCUAAUUUGAUUAAGGAUGGUAAGUGACAAAUGAGCCCAAAAGAAUUAAAGUAAAUGGAUAAGUGGUAGUAUAUUUAUAUCAGGACGAUGUUGUUAUUCAAGCUAAAGUGAUAUUUUCAUUGCAAAAUUGAGAAUUUCAUAAAUGUGUUAUUGAAUGGUAUAAUCAAUAAACAUUGAGUUAAAUGGUAAAUACGUAAUAGUGUUGAACUUGAUGUCAUUGAAUUGUAUGUGAAUUAAAUGGAAAUUGCUAGUGAUAUGAUGUAAAUUGUGAGCAUGAGAAAUUGCGACUUGAAUGAAAUGGAAAUGAAGCAUUGAAUUGCAUGAGUAUGUAUCGGGUCUCAUAGGCCCUAAUUAUUAUGAUUAUAAUAUUUCGAGGAUAUAUUGUGAAAAGUUAUAGAAGCAUGUUAAUUAUUUUGAAAGUUUAAAUUUAUAUGAAAUUUUAUAACUCGGUUAAAUAUGCUUACAAGUGCAUAUGUUUUGGUGAUACCUCGUACCCUAUUUCGGCGUUGGAUACGGGUAAGGGGUGUUACAAGGUUACUUUGUUUCUCAAAAAGGCUAUGCAAGGAAUCUCUUGGAGCUUUUCGGUAUGGGGGAGUCGAAAGAAAAAGCUACUCCGAUGGAGCCGAAUUUGAAGUUGAAGAAAGAUGAUGGGAGGCCGUUGGAAGAUGCAAGGAAGUUUCGACAACUUGUUGGAAGCUUAAUCUAUUUGACCAUUACAAGGCCUGAAAUUUCAUACUCUGUUAGUGUUGUUUCUCAAUUUAUGCAAAAUCCAACAAUUAUUCAUAUGGAUGGAGCAAAGAGGAUUUUGCGUUAUGUUAAAGGAACUAUUGGUUAUGGUCUUCUAUACAAGAGAUGUGAUAGCUUUAUGUUGAGUGGAUUUACUGAUGCUGAUUGGGCUGGAGAUACAAACGAUCGUCACUCGACUUCGGGAUAUUGUUUCAGUAUCAAUUCAGCAAUGGUUUCUUGGUGUAGCAAAAAGCAAGGUGUUGUUGCUUUGUUGAGUAUCGAAGCCGAGUAUCUGGCAGCAACUAUGGCUGCACAAGAGUGCAUUUGGUUGAAGAGGUUGAUUGGAGACAUAUGCAAAGUUAAUUAUGCUGUAAAAAUCAAGUGUGAUAAUGAAAGUGCUAUUAAGCUUGCAUCGAACCCGGUUUUUCAUGCUCGAACGAAGCACAUCGAGGUUCGACAUCAUUUUGUUCGAGGAAAGGUUCUAAGUGAAGAGAUUGAGCUUGUAAACAUUCGCACCAACGAUCAAGUGGCUGAUAUUUUCACUAAGGCUUUGGUGAAGCCUAAGUUUCAUCAAUUUAGAGAUGCUCUUGGAGUUCUUGAUCGUAAGCAUGCACUAAGGGGGAGUGUUAAAAAUUAGUGCAUCUUACUAGAUUUUUUAAUUUACUUGUUUUCUUUAUCAAAUAAGUUGGUUCCUAUUUUAUAGGGAUAUGAUCAGAUUAUGUUUUGUUAGUUGAGAUUUUAGUGGGCUAUUAGUUGCAGGUUUUUUAGCUUUAACGUUACAUGUAGUUAAGCUAUUUAUAUGUCAUUUUAUCUAAUGUAAUUCUGUGUGUUUUUUUUUUAGUAAUCAAAAACAUUCUUCAAUACUUUGAGCUUUUCUUGUUAUUAUUUCUUUCAUUACCUCGGUCAUUCUUUUUUGUUUUACUCUCUACUAUCCAUUAUUAUCAAAAUUUCACAUCAAUUUCACAAUUUAUUUACUUUAGUUAUUAUGUACAAAAUUAACAACCAAACAUCACAAUUUAGUCAUUUUUCAUAAUUUAAGCUUAAAAUCUAUAAAUUUAACACCAAUUUCUUCAAGAAAUCAACCAUGAAAUCUAUAAAAAAAAUUUAACAGUUUUGCAAAUUGAUACAUAGGUUAUUUAAAUCAAACUCUCAUGACCUCAGAAACACAAAAAAAAUUAUACGAAAAUGAUUUAGAAAUGCAUACCAAUUGAGGACCGAAAGCUUGAAGCUCAAAAAUGGCUUUUCCCCUUGAGGUUUUAUGUUGAUUAGAUGAAGAAGAAGAAGAAAUAAAGAUGACAACUUGCACUAAGUCACCUUUAUAUACUUAGAUUAAAUCUUAAUUAAUCAAAUUUAAUUAAUUAAAUCUUAAUUAAUUAACCUUAAUCACAAUUAAUAAAAAUUGGUGGAUGUUAACAUCAUCCUACACUAUUUGAUAUAACCAAAUGAUCUAUUUACCAUUUUGAACCUUUAGCUAAUUAGAAAUCUAUAGCGAUAAGACUUUCAAAAUUUAGUCUCUGUAUCUUAAUUAAGCAAUUAAUAGACAAAGUUGAAGGUUUAAAUUUUAAUGUUCUAUUAUACCAACUCUGUAAAUAUUCAUAUUUAAUAUUUACAGACCUGAAUUACGAAAAUGAGAUUUUGAAAUUGUAUUUUCCAGUACCACUGAAAAUCGGACAAUUACGUAACCUAUUUGCACCAAUGGGCCAAACAUGGCAAAUACUUGACAUGUAUGUCUUAAUAUCCUCAUCUAUUCUCUUCAAUAUAAUAACAUCCAAUAAUUGUUCCAUCCACUGUAACUAUCACGAAGAUUAGAUUGACCAAUACAGCCUACAAUUUGAAGAAGCGCGAUAUUUUCAUUCUAGAGAAAGAUAUAAUUGAAACAAAAUUGAAAUAAAGAUUUCAAUACAGAAUCAACAGACAUUCCAGCUAAUACUUAUCAAUUAUUUGCAGCUUUAUUGCUCCAACUAAGAUGGUUUUUAGUCGAAUAUGGUAAAUGAAAUCAAUGAACACCAGCUACUUGAUGAACGAGUGAAUCAAAGUCCUGAUAUGUGCCGGCUUAUUGGUGAAAAAAUACAUGGGCUAGUUUUGCAGCAAUUCAUGAUCUUACAUUUUAUAACCUUUGCUUACAAUUAUUCACUGACUAAUCAUUCAAUGAAUGUAGGCCUCAAAUUUAGCCACUAAACUUUAUUCUUUAUUUUUAGAUACAUAUUAUUUGAUCACUUCAUACAGCCUAUUACUCAUAAUAACUUCCAAUUUCCCUUCUUUAGGUUAGUUGCAAAUGUACAGCUUUUUCUAGAAGAAGAAAAUUGUCAAGAGCCACCUGUUCAAGAGAGGCGCAAACAAAAUGUAAAAAUACCUGACCUACUUACGGUACAGCCAAGUAAUCAUGUCUUUCUAUGCUAGAUCAUUAAAUCAAUGACUACAAAUUUCAUGCCAUGGUCGUGUAUCAUUUAUGCCAUUGAUGCUGCUAUUUUCUAUUCUAAUGCAUAAUAGGGAUUUAGUGUUUUUACCGUUAAAAUUGUGUCCUUUAAUUUUGGCUCUUUUCAGUUGUUGAUCAUGUCCACCUAUGCUUUAUUUUACUACUAUUGCUUUCUGUAAUGAUAGAUGAUUGAAUCGGUAGAAUUUUAUUAAUCCUCAACAUGUUUUAUCUUGACAUAUGGAUCCUAAGCAUUCCUUGGAUUGUGCCCUUUUUGUUCAUUUAUUUUUUCUUGGAACCUUAUUACAUGUUGUACCACUCCAGCUUUUUGGAGACAAUGAAGACGACUAACUGCUGAAUUCUUUCUUCUGCAGAGGAACCAAUGGCACGAGACUCAAAAAAUCCUACUCUUUUUUAUACCUUCCUCACCUCUUUGUGACAUUAUAGCUGAAAAAUGAUGUAUGCUAAUACAUGAAAUGUUUCCUCUUGCCUUUCUUUUUGUAGUACUAAAACUACAAAUAGUGUUUGCAAAACUCUUUAGAGAAAAACAAAUGUCUGUAAAUCUCUUUACCCGUAAUCUUAUCUUUUCCUCAUUGUAAUAGUUGGAAAACUUUUUAUUUGAAAACGAUGUCAACUACUGGGAUAAGUUAUUGUAAGCAUCUUAAGUGUUUCAUAUUAAAAACAAACACUGUUAUUGUUUAUUUUGUAGUCUAAAUUAUGAUAAUUUCUGCACAAAAUUCACAUAAAUGGUUACCCUCCCGAAGCAGAGCGAGGGUGAUGCAUACUAGUUAUUAAGAAAACAGGACCUUGUAGGGCUUAACUGUUGAAUCAAGAAAGAAAUUUCUUUUAAUGCCUUCAAUUGUAACAUCCCGAUUUUGGGCCUAGUCGAAACAAUGGUUUCGGGACCACAAAUCCGAUGAGGAAAAUUUUAUUUUUACUAUAUUAUUAUGGCCUAUAAUUUCACGGAAAGAUUUCUUGAAAAUUUCGUUCAAAAAUUUUGACGUUAGGGCACUCAAUUUAGCCAAAAGGACUAAAUUGUAAAAAGUGCAAAAGUUGAGUUUUAUUGGUUAAAGGUACUUAAUUGCUAUGGAAUUAUAACUUAGGGGUCCUUAUAUGGUAAUUAGACCAUUAGUUAGUGAUGGACAAAAAUGAACAUAAGUGAAAUAGGAUUUUUUUUAUGUAAGGGUAUUUUAGUCAUUUAGUAAAUAAAUAGAAUUAAAAGGGAAAAAUAUGUAAAAAAAAUUGUGUUCAUCAUCUUUGCUAGGUGCCAAAAUUUGAAGGAAGCCAUAGCUAGGGUUUCUUCACUUUCUCAAGCUCAUAAUCGAGAAGAACGAAAUUUGGAGGUAGAUCGGGGAAAGAAAAAAAUUGAGGACUAAAGUGUUAGAUUUGAUCACAUUUUUGUACCGAGGUAAGUUUACAGUAAAUAAAUGCAAUAUUUCAAUAAUUAUUAUUAAUGCUGUAUUUUUUAGCAAUUAUGUAUUUAUUUCAUGAAUAUAUUUAAUGUUGACUCAAGUAUGAGAUGACAGAGAAUUAGUGACACAAGCCUCAUUGAAACACUAGGAAUGUAUUGGAUACAAAUGCCAUGACAUUUGGGUAAAGAGGUCCCAUGUAAGACCAUGUCUGGGACAUGGCAUUGGCACCGAGAUGAGAGGUCCCCCGUAAGACCAUGUCUGGGACAUGGCAUGGGCACCGAUAUGAGAACUCCCAUGUAAGACCAUAUUUGGGAUAUGGCAUUGGCAGUACAGGAAACAUCCCAUGUGAGACCAUGUCUGGGACAUGGCAUGGGCACCGAUAUGAGAACUCCCAUGUAAGACCAUAUCUAGGAUAUGGCAUUGGCAGUAUGGGAAACAUCCCAUGUGAGACCAUGUCUGGGACAUGGCUUUGGCAUGUUAUUAUCAGAUAUGAGACCCAAGUAUCCUUAUUAUUCCAAUGUGACUCAACGGGCUAGAAAACAGAUUAUGUUCUACGAAAGUUCAAGUAAAAGUAUAAUUAGCAACUUCAGGUGAGUUAUAAGAGUUAAGAACAUAUUAUGUUAUUAGUGAGAACCAAUAUUUUAGCAAGAGAAGAGUAAGUUGUAAUCUUAAGCUAUCUAAGUAGAUAAGUAAGUAAACAAGUAAAUGAGAGUCAGUAAAGAGAAAACUUAAGAACAUGAUACUUGUAUAUCAUUAUUUAUGUUAAAUGAUGUCAUUUAUUUAUUUGUAAACUUACUAAGCUUUAUGCUUACUUCUUUUAUUUCUUUUUCUUUCAUAUAGUAUUAUCAAGCAUAGUCGGGAUCUUGAAGACGUCGGAGAGUGUUCACACUAUCAACCACCACAACUCGGUAUUUUAAGACGAUAAAUAUUUUGGGCUAUGGCAUGUAUAGGGACUUGGUCAUUUCAAUUGUAUAUUCUUAAAAUAUGACCAAAAGAUGAUAUGUAAAUGCUUGAUGAUGAAUAGUUAUUAAAAUGGCUAAGUAUGAAGGUGUUUGUGGUUAUAAAUGUCUAGGUUAUAAAUUAUGCAUAGAAAUCAUGAAAGAGUAAAAAUUUGUAGUGAAUCAGUUUUGAGACAGCAGUAGUGACGUGAAUUUGAAAAAUCACCAAGGAUAGUAGAAAAUGAAUUAGAGAGUGGAUGAGAUAUAGAAUUAAAUCUUAUUGAGUCUAUUUUUAUAGAAAAAUAACAGUGUAGACAAAGAAAUGAUAUAUUCCGAGAUAUUUGCAUUUUAGUUAGACAAGGUCAAAGUUGUUUUCGGAAUCCCCUGUUCUGAAUUUGGAAAAUCAUUAAAAAUUGUAAAAAAAUAUUUAUGAGUUUUAAUUUAUAUGUAGAGAUUCCUUAUUGAGUCUAUUUUCUUUAGAAAGAAUUUAGAACACUAUAUGAAGUAUGUACAAUGAGAUAAUUUAAUUUUAGUGACAAGAGGUUAGGACAGUUGAUUAGUGAAACAGGGGAGACUUUAACUAAUAAACUGUACUAAUUGGCUAAACCAAAAAUUCUGAAAAGUUUACAGUAAAAAUUUAUAUGAGUCUAGUUUCAGGGAAAAUUUAUGGAUCUCAAUUUCAAGUUUCAUAGCUCGAGUUAUAAUUAAUUUAGUAACUAUUGUGCAAGUGAAUAGACUUACUAUGAACAGUGAAUUAACUUUUAAAACUAAAUUUUUAUGCCCCGAACUUUUAAGUUAGUCAAGUAACGCCUCAUGCUCGACUCCGGAAAUGGACUCGGUUAAGGGGUGUUACAUCAAUUUUUUUUAAAGCUGAUUUUUUUUUUUACGAAUUAAAGUUUUGAUUGUAUGUUAAUUGCUUGAGGGAAGGUCGGAUACUUUAUUAUCCCUAUUUUUAUUUGUUAUAUAUUUUAGCCAUAAUGAUUUUUUUGGCUCUACAACUUUACCAAAAAAAUCAUAUUAUCUUUCAUUUAAUUUUCAUCUCUUUUAACCCUUUAACUUGUAUUUUUUUAUCAAAUCACCCCAAAAUGGAUCGAAAACUUAACAUUUGUAAACUUUGAUGAUGUGGCAUACACAUUAAUUGUCACAUGGAUGACAAGUCAACAUUUUUUAAAAAAAACUUAAAAAUAUUAAAGAAAAUAUUUUUGAUAUUUUUAAUGAUUUUUUUAAUUAAAAAAGUUUUUAUAUAUUUUUAAUUUUUAAAAAUUAAUUAAACACAAACAUAGAAAUUCGCAUCUAUGUGUCACAGGCCACAAAUUAAAGCCUGCGACCAUUUCGCAUAGAACACCCCAUAGAGGUCAAUUUAUUAAACGUGGUUCAUUUGACCCGCAUGAACUGGCUCGAAUCGUGGAACCCGUAGAGAAACCCAUCUACUUUAAGCCUUGGUGGUCUAGUGAAAUACUCCAAUAAAACUAGAGUUACUAGGGUAAAUAAUGUAAAUCUUAAAUGGAUAAGAUUGUAUAGAGUUUAAAUUCCUUAUAACUCUCAAUUGUAGAUAAGCGGUAACAUUAAUCAUCGAUGUAACUCAAUCUGUAUCGUUGCUUCUAGGAAGCUCAACUAUAACUAGAGGUCUCCCUCUUCAUUUGUAAUCAUUCCAUUCAUAGUUGUGAAUAUAUUUGAGAGCAUUUACUCAAACACCUUGUGUGCAUUGCUUUUCUUUGGCUAUUCUGCUCUUUCGAGCUUCUGUCUUUGAGUGUCACAUCCCAAAAUUGGGCCUAGAAGAAAUAGGGGGAAAAUUGAGUUUUAAUUUUUUUUUAACAUAGGGUAAGGGAAGUAGAAUGCCUUAAAAUUAAUUUUUUGCUAUAAAUCUAAUAAGAAUGAGUUUGUUGGUUUAGUGCUAAGGUCAUAGCCUACCUAUAGGUUCCAAGUUUGAACCCCUUGGUGAGCAUUCAACCAAAAUAUUUUUAUUUUCUUGUUUUUACCGCACCAAAAGUGACGAAUUUUAAAAUAACCCAGCCCAAAAACUAUAUUUUUUUAAAAUUUAGUCCUUAAUUUAAAAUUUUUCCCAAACCUACAUAAAUUUUUAAAACCUAUUCCAAUUAGGAAAGAUAAGUAUUAUAAAUAAACAAUUUCAAAACAAACCCUAGAAUUUCAUCUAGCAAUUUUUCGAGAAAACAUCCAUAAACACUUUAUUUUCCAAAUCAAACUUUCAAGCGAAAGGAAUCGAAAUCUUCAAAAUCAUCCCUCAAGUAGAUCUUCAAUCUCUUCUCCAACACUAAGGUUUUAAGUCUUCAAAAUAGGUGUGGGAACUAAACCUAAAUCUUUGUGUAUAAUUGAAUCUAAUAGCAUGUAGAGAACCAGUAUUGGCGAACCCUAGGAAAACCCCCCUGUAUGUGCGAUCAUGUAGGUGCGAGCCUGUAGAUGCGAAACCCCUUACACAUGAAAACCCCAUGCAUGCGAACCCUUACGUGAAACCCCCCCUUUCAUGCGAACCCUGUAUGAAUACCAUGCAAACCCUAGGUUGUUAUGUGGAUACUCAUACUGUGAACACAUGUGCACAAACAUAUAGGAAUAUUCAUGUGAACCCUACUAUUAGAUGCGAACCCCCUUAUACGUGAAAACCCCCUUGCAUGCGAACCCUAGUUAGUAUACAUACGAGUCUCAUAUUUACAUGCGAACCACUACUAGUGCGAGUCAAUUAUAUGAUACCACAUGCGAACCCUACUAUUACAUGCAAACCUUUAUACAUGUUAUAUUCUAACUUUUUUUGUUAAAAUAGGUGAGACUUGUCUAGUAUUACAGACGACCCUACAUAUACCUAAUUUGCGAACUCAUAUGUUAAAAGUAUGCAAAACUAUCUAUGUUUGUUAUGUGAACUCACAUGUUAGCAGUAUGUGAACCUAUAUAUAUCAGUUAUGCCAACUCACAUGUUAGCAGUAUAUGAACCCAUAUGUCUGUUAUGCAAACUCACACGUUGGCAAUAUGUGAACCCUAUAUACACCUUUAUGCAAACUCACACAUUAACAGUAUGCGAACCCUAUAUACGCCUUUGUUGAUGUUAGUUCCCAUGCAUCUUGUGGUGCAGCAAUCGUGGCCAUGCAGGUCACAUGGAGAAAAGAAGCAGCACAUGAAGGCAGUAACUGGAGCUUGUGGAUGCUGUCCAAAUUCAACUUAUUUUGUUGGUUUGAUUUUAUAGUUUGUAACUUAGUUCUUUUGGAACUUUCUUGGUAAAACUUUCGAUGUAUUUUUUAUGUUGAUUGACUGAAAAUUCAGCAAAGCAACUUAUGCAAGCUAGUUUAGCAAUUUUCAAUGUAUUAAGUGGUGUUAGGUAAGUGUUUAGGUAGUAUUUUGACUUGUAAGCUUAACUCAUGUUUGAUAUAUGUAAUGGCAACUUGCCAAUGCCUUGUUAAUGAAAAAAUUCAGCUUGUUUUCAAUUUCUGUUCUUAAAAACAAAAAGGUUUCUACUUUGUUUCUUCUCCAAGUCACGAGGCUUGCUGACAAAGCAAAGCUAAAUCAGCUUGCUCACUGCCUUUGACUCCAACAGCCUUUAUACAAACUCACACGUUAGCAGUAUGCGAUCCUUAUAUACGCCUUCAUGCAAACUCAUACGAUUAGCAGCAUGUGAUCCCUAUAUUUAUGCGAACCCUUCUAAUAACAAAUAUGCGAACCUUAACUUGCGAACCCUAGGCAGGAACCCUACACUCGCAAAGCCUUCUUCUGAACCUGUACAUAUGCUAGAUAACCAAGCCUAUUAGUUUACGUUAAAUCACUGUACAUAUGAGAUUGUUUGUUUACUUGCACAAAUUAUAUGUGUAUUUACUAUUCGAUACAAGAGUACCUAUCGACCUUUUGAUGAGAAUUCAGAGAUUAAUGAUGAUAAUUCCAACAAUCGGUGGAAGAACAAGUUAAAUCGAGAAUUGGUGUAAUUUAAGGUAAUAAAGAUUAAAUUUUCAGUAAUAAAUAUAAAAUUGUUAUGGAAAGAAAUGAUGGGUAAAAAAAUGAGAGUUUUAAACAGAAGAGAGGAAAACUUCAAUUUAGGGUUGAAGAGGAACUAAAAAUCCAUGUGAAAUUAGGAAAAAAAUAUUAAAUACCUAGGAUUAAAAAAUUUGAGGGGGCUGAAUGGUAAAAUACCCUUUUUGCUUAAAAAUGAAAAGAAAUGGAAAUGGGGAUUGAGUUUGGCAUGACUUGAACCUUGGAAGCAAAGGAAAAAAUUGCAAAGGCCAUACCAUUUGGGUUGCUACCUACAUUUGGCAUAUUUUUACACUAUUUAAUAUAUAUCCUAGCUUAGUUUUGAUCAUAGGUUGUUGAAAAAAAAACAAGGGGUAAGAGUGUGGCUUCAACCUUAGUUCUCUAGUUAGUAUACUAAGCUCUUAACCAUUAAGAUUAAGGCUCAUCUCUUAGUCAAUUAAUUCAUCUAACUCUAUAUAUUUUGGUGUGUUACAUCUUGAAUUAAAAAAACCCAUAAAAUGCAUGUAGACUUGUAUUGCUUGGUACUUGGUAGUAUAUAUGUAGACUUGUAUGUUGAUUAAGCCACCUUAAUUAAGACCAAUGUGUUAGACUUGUCUAUGCAUUGAACAAUUUAGAAGAAAAUGAAGAAAAAGACUCUAAAAGCACUUGAAAACAGAUAAAACUCAUAUGUCAUUGACUAGUUAAAUGUGGUCACCCAUAAUAGACCCUGUAUUUGACUUUUUGUUGAGGGAGAUUGACUCCUUUGGGAGAAGUCUCCUGAGUGUUGUUUGUCAAGCAGUCAGGGUUGUCCUAAACAACUAAAGGUAUUGUCCCCAUGUCGAGAUUUUAUCCCUAGCCUCUGCAAAAUAAUCAUGGAGAAUAUGUGCGAGAGAAUUCAAACACCAACCAAUGCAUGUGUAGCCUUUACCUUGCCACCAUCUUUGGGAACCCAUAAGGAUAAAAUCCCAACGAGAGAAUAGUAUCAUCUAUUGAGGGGUCUGUCAACCCAAUAAAUGAAAUUUAAAUGCAUACUUUUUUUUUAAUGAAAGUAAAUAUCAUAUUUAAUUAGAGAAAAGCAAUGAAAAAUCCAACAAUAAAAUCCUUAGCAAAAGAUUAAAACACAAUUGUACCAUAAAUUAAAUAAGAAACUAAAAAAAUUCAAAUCUAACGAAGACAAUAACUUGAUUCCUCAAAGCCACCAUAAACAGUAAUUCAUACGAAGGCCUGUUGCUCAUUUUAUAGGUUUCCAUUUUGAUUUUGCAAAAGAAGUUUGAAUUCCGAAGCGAGCCUAGUACAUGAGAGAAAAUUGUCGAAACCGUCUUUUUGAAAACAAAAAUUUAGUUGUCGACUUUAAAAAUAAAACUGGAGUCGCCACCGAUCCUUUAUUAGGGUGUGAUCGGCUCACCUUAAAAAUUAUUUUGGUCUACGAGCUUUAAGAAAACGAGUCCGGGAGUAAGUUACGCAUGAGGAAGGGUUAGCACCCUCGUAACGCCCAAAAUCGGUACCAAAUCGAUUAUUUAAUGUCUUAGUGUCGUGGACUAAAAAGAAGUUAAAAAAACCAAAUGAUGAAAUCAGAAAAGGAUAAUCAAUUGUUCAAGACAUGUAAAGAAAUCGAGUCCCAAUACGUUAGGGUACAAUUUCUCAAAAUUCCCGAACUUUGAAUAUCGCUUUUAUUUUAUGCGAAAACAUUCAUUGUGAGAAAGUAACAUGCCACACCCAAUACGUUAGGACACGACAAGUUAAGUUCCAAAAAAUGAUUUUUAUACUCAUGCAUUUUGAAUAAAAAAUAUUCUCGAUUAUUUAAAAUUAACAAAGAAAAUCGGAACCCAAUACGUUAGGGCUCAAUUUUCUCAGAAUUCCAAAUACCGAAUUGUGCCUUUUAUUCGAAAAUUCUUAUUUCGAGAAGUCAAAAUAUCAUGACCAGUAAGUUAGGACUUGACAUUUUUUGAUUCCCGAGAACAAGCUUCUAUUUGAAAUUUGCAUGAAUUUAUUUCAAAAUAAAUACCUGGUUUUCUAAAUUCACCAAGAAAUAAUCGCAAUCCAGUAAGUUAGGAUACUGUUUUUCUCGAGAAUCAUGAAUGCCAAAUAUUUUGGAAUUUUAUAAAAUAUGAUGAUUUUAAUGCUUUGACAGAACCAAAAUAUAUUUUCUUUAAAAAGUGUAGAAAAAUACUAAUGUAUCACAUAAAAUCAAUAUUUUAAUUUUAAAUUAUAUGCAUAUAUGUAUUUUCAAAAUAUAAGUAUGAUACAUAAAUAAAUUUUGAAAAUAUAAGUAUGAUACAUAAAUAAAUUUUGAAAACAUGUAUAUGCACAUAUUAAAACAAGUAUAUAUAAGUAUACACAUAUAAAAUAAAAUAAUGAAUGAGAUAUGUAUAUCAAAAUAAAAAUUAUCAAAAUUUCUACAAAAAAAAAUCAUGUAUGUAUAUACGUAAUGAAAAUUGUAAAAAUAAAAAUAAAAAAUAUGCAGAUGUGUAUAUAUUUACAAAAAAAAAUUUAAGUAUACAUGCUUUAGUAAAACAGAAAUAAUAAUAGUAUAUGAAGAAAUUAGGAAAAUGUGUAUAUAGAUGUACAUAUAUAAAAAAAAUGCAAAAAUAUAUUUACAAUAAUUUUGAAGGGCGUACGUGUAUAUCAAUAUCUAUUUAUGCAUAUAUAUUAUAAAAUAUGAAAGAAUAUAUAACUAUAAUAGAAAUAUAAAUGUAUAUACGUAUAUAUGUAUAUAAAAGCUAAAAAAGAAAUAAUAACAAUAUAUAUAUAUAUAAAUAUGUAUAUGUAUUAGAGAAAUAUUUAAUAUAUAUAUCUAUUAGCAUACAUAUGCGUAUGUAUGUAAGUAUAAUUAUAAUACUAUAUAAUAUAAUAAUAAUAAUAAUAGUAAUAAUAAUAAUAAUAAUAAUAACAAAAACUACAAAAAAAACCUUAAAAAGCACCAUUAAGGAUUAAACUGAGAGCUAAACGAAGUUAAAAGGCCAAAUUUAAAAAUAGAAAACACCAGGAAGGACAAAGUGAUACGCGCGCCAUGAGAGGAGGACUUAAAAAACAAUUUUCCCAAGUCGCUGAAGCACUGUGCAGUGACAUGGAUUAAAUCGUCACGCGAGCAAAAUAUUUGGGCCGAAUUUAAAAAGGAAAAAAAACUUGAUUGAAACACGUAGCAAAAGGGGAAGGGCUAAAAUAUAUAACAAAAAAACACAAAAAGUCAAUCUGGUAAAUCGAUGUUGGGUACUCUAAUUUUAGGAUUCAGAAGGCUUAAGAGUGUUUUCGCAUCAAAAUCGUACUAGGUGUGUCCCCAAAACACAAAAAGUCAGGUUUCGAUAAAAGCCGAAAAUGCAUCCAGUCGAUGCCACACGGACGUGUGCCUGGUCGUGUGGCUAGCCGUGUGUGAGACACGACCUUGUGGUGGUGUGAGUGUAGCGGUAUGGGCCACACGGGCUAGGCCAGUCUGGGCAUAUAGGCCCACAAUUUUAAAAUUUUCCUUAAGGCCACAUGGUUCGUUUCGAAUGAUUGUGGACCUACCAUAGGGUCGGUAAUGGCUAAUCAAACACUAAAUUAUGUGAUAUGAUAUUUUGAUAGUCUGCAUUGUGUAGGAUAUCGAUAUGUACAUCUGUUCUAUUUAAGUAUAUAUAUGCUAUCUGUAUAUGAGCAUGUUAUGCAUAAUAUUACUGUAUCUAUUAUUUCUAUAUUCUGUAUCUGUGAUUGUGGUGGGUUUUGUAUAUGUAGAGGAAGUGAUCUGUAUGGUGACACUUCCCUUAUAUUCUGGCAGUUGAUUGUAUAUUAUCUGUAAUGUGUUGUAUUGACACUAUAUGGUGUGUAGGGAUGGGUAGGUGUUUUAAACCUCAUAUGGUGUGAUGGGAUGGCCGAAGAUGUUGUGUAGAGGAUGGGGGUAAGAUUCUACAUAUCUGUACUACUUAUCUCAUUCUGUUAUCUAGAUUUGGAAUGGAUAUAAGUCCGAAUCUGGAUCUGACUGUAUAUAAGACUUCUGUUUGUAUUGCAUGUCUAUUUUUGUUGGGUUACACACUGAGUUUAUGAAAGCUCACAUAUGUUUGUCUGUUCUAUUCAGGUCUAUAGACUUAGGCGAAUCAGUGUGACGGAGCCUCACAGUGACCACGAGAUCGUAAACUGUUUAAGAUUAUGGUUUUUAUUUAAUUUAAGGAUUAUUUCUAGAAGUUUGUAAUAAUUGGACUUUCUAGACUAUUUGACUUUUAUUUCAAUUUUGGAGGCAUUUUAACUUUUAUGGCCACGUUUGACCAAAAUCACGGUUUUACUAAAAUAAAGGAUUUUCUAAAUACAUGAAUUAGAUUUCCAAGAUUCAAUGCUUUUUGAAAACUUCGACCUUAGAUUAUGUAUUGGAAAAUUAAUUAAUUAAAUAACGCUUCUAGUAACAAAUAGUACACUUGGGGUAUUUAUCAAAUGACUAAAUAAAGCUUUAUCAAAAUAUCACUGUUUUCAAAACCAUUCCAUGUAACACUCUUGGAUUCAGCCACAAUGUCUAGGCCGAGAUUAGGGUGUUACAUUUAAUGCUAUCAGAGCCAGGUUGCAAAACUCAAGCUAUGAAUUUUGGGUUUCAAAAAUUAUAUUUUGAAAAAGAACAGGUUUUCAAAUAAUUUGGAUCAUUCUGAGUAAGUAUGUGGUACACUGAGUCUAUGGUAUUGAUCCUGUAAGUACUUUUGAAAUUAGAUAGAACUUUCUGAAAACAUUGUAGUUAGUACUUUCUAAAACUAUACUGAAUUAGUUAAAAAUAGAAACCUCUGAAAUAUGUUCAAACUUCUGCUAAUUUGAGCAUAAAAUAUCUGUUAAUAAAGAUUGGAACUGAUGCAUAAAAUUUUGUAAUGUAGAUAAAUUUGAAAAUAUACGAUGAGCAAUUGUGGAACUCACGGUCAUGGUAUUCGUGGGCGCGUAGGGUCGUAGGGGGCUGGAGCUGAGUCUUUUUCUCUGGGCAGUAUGCCAAACUUAGAUAUGAGUGAGACACCGGUUUCACCUGCCAUUGAGACAAGGUCUCAAAGUCGCUUGGCUAGGGACGACGCACUGUCUCAAGCCAUGUUGAGGGUUUUGGAGAGGGUCACUAGACCUCAUUCUGGAUCUGUGGGUCGAUAACUGAACGACUCCGAUCCAAUAGAGCUGAGCUGUUUAGGUGUGUCAUUGGAGUCACCCCUACUGUGGCCGAGUAUUGGUUGGAGGCCACUGAGAGGAUUAUGAACGACAUUGACUGUACUCCUAAGUAGAAACUUAAGGGUGCAGUCACUUUACUUUGUGAUGAGGCAUAUCAAUGGUGGUUGUCGAUUGAGGAGGGUACUCAACGGGACUGUCUGAACUGGGAUUAUUUUAAGACUACCUUCUAGGGGAAGUAUGUGGGUGCGAGCUAUGUUGAUGCUUGUAGGCGUGAGUUCAUGAAUCUCACGUAAUGUGAUAAAUCUGUGGCUGAGUACGAGGUUGAGUUUCUGAGGUUGAGCCGCUACGCUUGAGGCAUAGUGGCGACUGAAUAUGAGAAAUGCAUAUGUUUUAAGGAUGGCUUGAGGUAUAAUCUGAGGGUAUUGAUUGCUCCACAGAGGGAGCGAGAGUUUUCAGUUCUUGUGGAUAUGGUGAAGAUCGCCAAGGAGAUUAAAUGCAUAGAGCGCUAAAAUAGGGAUCAUGAGUGAGGCAAGAAUAAGAGGGAUUCAGAGCCCUCUAGUUCUGUUUAGAGGCCUAAGAAACAGGUCAGACCUGAUUGGCUUGUUAGAGUAGGGGUUCCUAUUGCUUCUACUAGGAUUUAGCCAUGUGGUGAUUGUUUUAGGCGCCAUUCAGGUGAGUGUUGGAGGAGGUUAGAGGCUUGCCUGAGGUGUUGGUAUUUGGAGCACCACAUUAGAGAAUGUCCACUCCAUACGGAUUAGAUGCAAGCUUCAGGACUGAGUUUUAUAUAACCUCAGAGGGCAGUUCAACAGCCACCUAGGGGCCGUGGUCCGACUAGGGGUGGUAAUGGUAUGGGCCGAGGACAAAGAGCACUGGGAAAAGGUGUUAGUCAAACUGAGGCAAGGCAGCCUGCACUGGUUUAUGUUGCUUGAUGCCAAGAGGAUAGAGACGCUCUUGAUGUGAUCACAGGUACGUUCUUUAUUUUUGGUGUUCCAUAUACUACUCUGAUAGACAUAGGUUCUACUCAUUCCUAUGUAGGUAGUACUAUUUCCAAAAAUUUAUUGAUUUCUGGUGAGGGUACUUCUAGUGAAAUUAUUGUACUGAGUCCGUUGGGGCAGUCUGUUCGAGUAAGUAGACUUUAUAGGAAUGUACAUUUGGAAGUACAAGGGAUUGUGUUUUUGGCAGAUCUGGUAAGGGUAGUUCUAGUGAAAUUAUUAUACUGAGUCCUUUGGGGCAUUCUGUUCGAGUAAGUAGACUUUAUAGGAAUGUACCUUUGGAAGUACAAGGGAUUGUGUUUUCAGCGUUUUAUUCACAUAAAAGCAGCAAAAUUUAGCGGCGUUGUCUACAGCGGCAUUUUUUACGGUGCUUGUGAAAGCGCCGCUAUAGGCCUAAAAACACCGCUAAAAGCUUGUUUUGCUGCAGUGAAUUAAUAUUAUUAUAAGUGUAUUUUCACCUUUUCAUACUUUUAUAUAAUCUUUAAGUAAAACGAUUGAAAAUUAUUAUUUGAGAAUCAAACACAAGAGUAACAAUAUUCAUAUAGAAAACGCUUACCACUCCACUAAUAAUCAUUUGUUGAUGUAUUUUUGGUAAAAAGACCCCUCCAAUCCCUCUUAAUUUCACAAUUGCUCAAAUUAGUCCCUCUCAUAAAAAUUGGAGCAAUUUAAUCCCUAUCAAUUUUGAAAGUGAGUAACUAAGGACAAUUAAUUAUGGUGUUAAAUUCUUCCAUCAAUUGUACAUAAUUUUGAUUGGUAUAAGAAUAAAUUUAGCCUUCAAUGUUUAUAUAUUUUGUCAUUUUGGCCAUAAUUUAAAAAAAAUUCAAGAAAUUGAACCUCAACAUUUACAUAUUUACACAAACGUUGCGGGAAAAUUUUGUUAAAUUAAGACCAAAUUGCAAGUGUAAGUUUUGAGGGCUAAAUUUAUUAUUAUACCAACCAAAAUCAUGUACAUUUUAUGGGAAAUUAACAUCCUAAUUAAUUAUUCUUAGUUACUCACUUUCAAAAUUAAUAGGGACUAAAUUACUCUGAUUUUUUUAGGGUGACCAAUUUCCUCAAUUUGGAAUUUGAGAGAGACUAUUGAGAUCUUUUACAUAUUUUUUUAUAAAUAUAUAUAUUUAAUAUAAAAUAUAUUUGUUCACACACAUCGUGAGUAUGAUAAAAUAUUUUUAUUGUUAAUUAGUUGGUGUCAAAAAUUAACUCGACGCCAACUCAAUAUUAAUGAUAACAAUAUGAUAAAUAAUUGAUUUAUUUAAUAUUCUUAAUUUAACAUAUUGAUAUAAAUUUUAAGACAUGCUUGUCUUGAAGAAUUGUGAUUAUACUUUUCGAGUAUUGACUCAGUUUUCCACAAUUGUGGGUCUCUAUUUAAGACAAACAAUUUCAACAUUUCUUCAUAUUGUUUAAUCCAAAUGCAUUAAGGAUUUUCUUAUAUCAUUGUUUCAAAAAUGAUAAAAAAAAACAACGUCGACAUUGAAUUUGCUGUUUCACAUUCAAUUUUUGGAGAAGUAGAAUCUUCUAACUUAUUUUCCAUCAACUUCACUUCAAUUUUCAAUCACAAUCAAUUGCAUUCAAGAGCACCACAUAUUUUUUGGAUGAAACAAACCUAUCAAUUUUAAGAUAAACGGGUCUUUAGGGUUAUUAAUUGAGGGCCUUUUCCACAAUUGUCAUCGUUAAGCAUUUUUCAAUCUUGUCUACUGUGAAUAUCGUUUUUAAGCAUUUUUCAUUGAAAUAACGAUUAAUAGACAAAUAAUAUUCAAGUAAAACAAUUUUUGUAUAUUGGUUUGAAAGGUUUUCUAAAUAGUACAAGGACCUGAAACAGAACCACUGGACAAAGCUAACCAAAUCUAAGAGUUGGAAAUAUUUGGGAAUGAAUAGUUUAAAUUGUGAUUAUUUCUUCGGGUUCCUGUCAAAGAUAUCAGCUGAGCAAGAAGGCAGGGUAAUGUGCCAAUGAUAGAACCUUGAUGAACAACGAGCAAAUGUCAACCUAAGCAUUAAAAGGGGAUCAUUCUCAAAAAAUGACAUUCUACAUGUAACGCCCCAAAAUUUUAAUUUUGGGUAUUGUGAAUGUAUGACACAAAUAUCUGUCUGCUUUAGUGGUUAUGUGUUUUGGGUGUGUUUGGGAGGUCUCAAGUUCAAGUCAAUACUUGGGCAAAUUUUGGUAAUUUUAUGAAUAAGCCCUAUCUCUGGUUAUAGGCUUUUAAGUAAAAGUUGGCAAAUAAUUAAUAGAAUGGGUCUGUUGGUCUAGUGGUUAAGUGGAGUGUUGGUGUGAAGAAGGUCAUGGGUUCAAAUCUUUGGGACGGCAAGGUAAGUCGUUUUACUCUCCAUCUUUCUGACGUUUUCUCUCCCCCAUGUCUGCCGAAUUUUUUUUCUUUCUUCUUUACUUGUUACUCGGUUAUCUUUUCUUUUCUUUCCUCUACUACUGUCGAAAUUCCCUUGUUUCCCCUAAACCAUUCUUUCCUCUUGAUUUCGUAGCUUUAAGCAGCACUUGUUCAAAUUUAGUAAGUUGUUGGGUAUCAUUUUAAGAUAUUAUUUUGUAUUCAAUAGUCUAAUUUUGGGGUGUUGACAGUAGCAUUUCACGAGGAUUAAGGCUCUCCUCGUGAUUUUUGCAACGUACCGAUUUUAAGUUUUGCGGUAAGUGUUCAUCAUUUUAUGGGUAAGUAUUUUGGUUUCGGGAUUUUAAUUACUCACAAGGUAAGACUGAUUAUGGUGUUAUUUGCUCAAUUAUACGCUUAGGAGUGCUCGGGGACUAUUUUAGCAUCAAACAAAACCAAGUGUGCACCCGAAUCGCAAAAAUAAGGGAUUCGGCGAAAAGCCGAAAUUGCUUGCUGUUUGGACAGCAGCAGUAGGCUAACUUUGAAAAAUCAGCAUAAAUUGUGGAAAUCGAAUUAGAGGAUGAAAAAAAUAUGAGAUUAAAGCUUAUUGAGCCUAGUUUCUCAUAGAAGAAACGGUGUAAGUAAUGAAAUUGUAAAUCGUGAGUUAUAAUAGACUUAGUGAGACAAGGUCAGAAUGAAUUUGGGUUCCCCUGUUUUGACUUUGGAAAAUUAUCAAAAAUUGGAGAAAAAUAAUUAGGGGUUAAAUUUUACAUGCUUAAACUAUUAAUGAGUCUAUUUUCAAUAGAAACAAAUGAAAAUGUCAUCCAAAUUUUGUACUAAGAGAUAACUCAUUUUUAGCAAAGAAGAGUCAAAGUUGUCAGACAACAGAAAAGGGAUAAGUUUAAAUAUUUUACUGUACUUAUUAGCUGAACCAAAAAUUUUGGAAAUUUAUGGUAGAAAGUUAAUUGAGUCUAGUUUCAAAGACAUCAAACGGAUCUUAAUUCGGAAUUCUGUAGCUCAAGAUAUAAAUUUAUGUUUAUCUUAUUAUCUUUCUUAUUUUAGAAUUGAUUACAUGAAAGUUAAUUGCUAAUAUUAUUAGUUAAUUAUUAGUUUUCUUCAAAUCAAAUUAAACCCCGAAAGGUAUCUCUUUUUUUAUAUUAGUUUUAGUUAUCCAUUAAAUUUGUUUCUUUGUAGUAAAAUUAAAUUAUAGAAAUAACAUUAAAAUUUUAAAUAAAAAUAAUUCACAAUAAUUUAUUAUUUAAAAAACGCCCUGAAAUUUAAAAUUAUUGCUAUAAAUAUAUCAUUAAAUUAUACAGAAUUUAAUUUUUCUUUCAAAUACUAAAGUUAAUAAGGAAAGAGAAUAUAGUACAUAUCAAUAAAACUAUUAAAAAAGAAAUAUUGUUUAAAAUCAAUAGCGUCUAAAAAUUGUCAGAAUGAAAUAUUUGAUUUUAUAAGAUUUCAUUACUCUAAAAAAAUAAAAUAUGACAAUGCUUAAAAAUUUUAUUAAAAAAAGUUUUAAAUUUUAUAUAAAAUUUUAAAAAAUAAAAAAUAGUACUAAAAAUUUUUAUAAGCAAAUUUAAAUAUUAAUUAGUAAAUUUUUUUGUAAUAUUUAUAUGUAUUUUCAUUUUUAUAAAUACUAUUAAAACUUUUUAAAAAAAAAUUGAAUGCUAUUUAAAAACAUUAUUAAAAAAUAAAAUAUUAUAUGAAAGUUAAAAUGACCUAAAAACAUAUUUUAAAAAUUUAAAUACUUUAUACAAUAUUUAAAACUGCUUAAAAUUUCUAAACCCUAAAAAAUAAAUAAAAUAUAAUUUUUUUCUAAGAAAUCAAUAAAAAUAUAUUUAUAAUUGAACUGUCAACAAAAUUGUGGGAAAUAUUUAAAUUUUAUGAAAUUUUAAACUUAAACUGUCAAUAAUAGAAAAUUGCCUGAGUGACUUGGGAUAAGAGGUUCAACAUUUCUGGAUCGCAUUGCAUUUAAGGCGGGUCUUUAGGGUUAUGCUUUAGUUUUUUAGAACAUUUUCCACAAUUUGCCAUCAUUACUUGUGAGUGAUUUGUGGGGUAAGAGGUUGAACACUUCUGGAUCACAUUGCAUUUAAGACUGGUAUCAUUCAUAAAUUAUAUAUCUACAACAAGAAUGGUAGCCUCUUAUAUUAUAUUCAUGUAUCUAUUUUGCAUCUUUCAUUAUAAUAUGAUUUAGUAAUUUUAAUAUUUUUAUAGAAUAAUAUGCUUUAAUUUUUUUUGUAUCAUUCAUAAAAAUUAUAAUAAACUUACAAAAUGAUUUAAUGAUAUUUAAUUAUUAACGGAAAAAAUUUAUAUCAUAUAUAUUCUGUAUAUAUUAAGAUUUUGAAUGAUUAAUUAUAUAUCUACAUAUUAUAAUAAAUUCAUCUUUCAAAAUUUUCCUAAACUAUAUUCAUAAUAUUAUAAAUAUAUUAUAUCAUAAAUAUUCUUUCAAAUGUUUUUUAAUGUUUAAUAAUAAGUUAAUUUAUAAAAUAUUCUUUCAAUAAAUUAACGUGAUGAGAUCGUUAGGUGCUUGGAUUUGGUGACGGGGACGAGGAGAAAAGGGAUGGAAGUGAAGAGAAAUGUUGGGAAAUUGAAAGGGUUAGCAAGGGAGGCCUCCGUGAAAGGUGGUUCUAUAGAUGUGAACCUUCAAGCUUUUGUGGAUGAUGUUGCUCAAGGUUGUUGCAAGUAAAUUUAAAAAUAUUUUUUUAAUUAUUUUUUGUUAAAAAAUAUUUUUUUCUAUGUAGCAUGCCACAUUAGCAUACUACCAUGUGGUAACUUCUAGUGAUUUUCGUAUGUAACAUUAGACAAAUUAAUCGUUAAAUCGUUCAACUGACAGAUUUCGUUAAAGGAAGAGGUCAAUUGAUUUUUUUGGAAUCAUUGAGUACUCAAUUGGUGCACUAUUUUCAUAAAGACUAAAUUAAUUUUUUUAAUUUGUUAUCGCUGAGGGCUACAGUAAUAAAAAAUUUUGAGGUAAAAUUAGAAUAACGUCCCAAAAAUCUUAUAUUUAAUUUGUAAAAUUUUACCAUUAAUAAGUAUUUGUUUUAGUGGUUAAGUAUUUGAGUCGUGUUUAUAAUAUCUUGGAUUCAAGUCCCUACGUGAAUGGAUUGUUUUUUUUGUUUUUAAUUUUUGCAUGGGUCGGGUAGGUGGUUGAGUUUGAGUCCAUUUCGAACUUUGGAAAAAGGUGGUUAGUUAUCUGAGAUGGGUUAGUGUUAGUAGAUUUGGAUUUGGUUUAUUUUAAAAUUUAUUAAUUAAUUUGUUAAAAAAUUAAAUUAGUUUUUUCCUAAUUUUUGGCUCACCAUUCUUUCUCUUGUUCUUCUUUAUUCUUUCUUUUUCUGCUACCUUUCAAAUCACGUCGAUUUGUUCCUAUUUUGCUUUUGAGUUUUUCUUUUCUUUCCUUUACGCUCCUCUACGAUCGUGUCUUAAUUCCUUCAUUAUUUUCUCGUUGUUGGCGUUGCUCGUUCGAGAGUGGGUUAGUUUCCGUUUUGAUGUGUUUUUACGAGGUUAGUAAAAGAAAUGCGUUAAUUUUUGGAUUAUGGAGUUGAUCGUUUUUAAUCAAUUCUCCAGUAAGUUGACUCCUUUGCUGUUGUUAUGUGCUAGGUUAAGAGAUUAAUUCUGAUUUGGGCCUGCGUGGUUGUGUAGAUUUUCCAUGUGAAUUCGUUUGGUAUUUUUAGGAUAAAUCAUUCUUUAAGUCGUAUUGCUACCAUCGCUAAUGUGAUGUUUUAAUUUAUGCAUUUAGGAUUUGGUAGUUUUAUGGGUGUUUUCGUAUAAAAAUCAAACCAAGUGUGUAACGAAAAACCCGACAACAACGAGCGACGAAAGUCAAAAAAUUGCACUGUCGACACCACACGGCCGUGUGUCGGGCCGUGUGACAAGCCGUGUUUCAGACCGUGUGCGACACACUGUUUGGGCUAGUUAAGCCGUGUGGAACACACAGGUGUGUGUGAGGACGUGUGCCACGCCAUGUGAGCCACACGGGCUGGCCAUUUAGGCCGUUUGAGACCAAAAUACUAAGGGCACGUUUGGUUUGCUGUAUUGGAUUAGAGGUGUAUUGGAUUAGAGGUGUAAUGGAAUAGAUGUGUAAUAGCAAAUCAACUGUUUGGUUGAAUGUAAUGGAAUAGAGGCGUAAUAGUAAAACUGUGUUUGGUUGAAUGUAAUAGAGGUGUAAUAGCAUAAUGGAGAAAACUAAAAUGACCAGAAUACCCUUAGCAUAAAUUUGUUUUGGUAAAUGAUUAUUGUUAUUGUUAUUUAAAUUUUAAUAAGAUUAUUUAUUAUCAAAAAUAAAUAAUUUAAUCAUAUUUAAACAUAAUUAUUAUUUAAUAUAUUUUAAUUAAAAUAUAUAAUUUAAUAAAAUUCUUAAUAAUUAGCAGAAAUUUGUUUUGGUAAAUUAUUUUAUUUAAAUUUUAAUAAGAUUAUUAAUAUCAAUAAUAAAUAAUUUACUCAUAUUUAAACAUAAUUAUUAUUAAAUAUAUUUUAAUUAAAAUAUAUAAUUUAAUAAAAUUCUUAAUAAUUAAUAUUCUUAUAUGAAUUUACUCAAAUCAUAAUAUAUGAUACUGUAAAAUAUAAAUUAAAAUAAUAAUUAUUAAAUAUAUUUUAAUUAAAAUAUAUAAUUUAAUAAAAUUCUAAUAAUCAAUAUUCUUAUAUGAAUUUACUAAAAUCAUAAUAUAUGAUACUAUAAAAUAUAAUUUGAAAUAAUUAAUAUUAAAUAUAUUUUUAUUAAAAUAUAUGAUUUAAUAAAAUUUAAAAUAAUUAUCUAGAUUCAAAUUUAAGAAUUAUUUACAUGAACAAAAAUAUAAUAUUUGUUUCUAAGUUAAUUAUUUUAAUAAAAUAAUUAAAUAUUUAUAUAACGGUGUUCUCAUCUUUUGGUAUUUUUAUAUGCAAUUUUAAAGAUUGAAUCCAAACUUAAAAGAAUAUUUAUUUGUAAGCAUUUCACCGGUUUACUUCAACUCAAUUAUUGAUUAAUUUUUAAUAAACAUAAAUUCAAUCACUAAUUCUCUUGGCUCCUCUGUUUCAAUAUAUGAAACAUGACUCAAUCACUAAUCCUCAUAACUCAAAGGUGAGCCAGAUGGUCCAUCAGGGGGUGCAGAAGCAGCAUGAGUCAAAGCAACUAUGGCAUUUUUCCAGAAAGAGGAGCCAAGAGAAUUAGUGAUUGAUCUUAACAAUGGCAGAUCAUUAAGAUCCCGGGUCUGGCUGUCCAACCGAUCAACAUAGACUACAACAUCGGGGGGACACUUCUUUAUGUAUUGCUUUAUAGAAGCUAGGACUUUGUGAUUGGCACCUUGCUCCAUGGCAGAAGAUUUCAAACCUGGGGUAUCAAUGAUUCUCAGUUUAACACCAUCUACCAUUCCAGUAAUCUCUUUCACUACUGUAGUGGCAGGUUCAAAUGCAUGAAUUGAGGUCUUUGACUCACCAAAGAUUGAAUUUAUUGUGGCACUCUUGCCCACCCCAAUCUUCCCAAGCACAAGCAUGUUUAUGGAGAAGCUUAAAUCAUCUUUACCCUCUGUUUCAAGUUCCAAAGCUUUCCUCUUCGCAGAAUCAACACUAAACAGUUCACUGGUUUGUCUCCUUGCAACAUGUGCCAGUCUAUAAAGAACCUGUGCUGCUAAAGAAUCUUCAGUAGAAAGUCCGAGCCUUUGAAGAAUCCUCAAAAAUUUGACUCUUAUAAGCUGUAACUUUUCCAAUUUUAUUUUAUCUUCUUCUGUCAAGUUGUUGUCAGAAUCUCCCCUACUUGUUACAGCAGGACUAAAUAUGUUAGGCCUGUUUGAUCGAGGUGCGGAUGUUGCAUUUUGCAGUGAGGAUCCUAAGCCUGCAGGACGUUCAACAGUGAAAAGCCUAGAUCCAUCUUGAGAGGUUAUAGUAAUGUUGCCGCCAUCAGAGCCAGCACCAGUUGCUGCUUUCAAGAGGGCUGCCAAAGCAGCAGAAUCAAAUAACUCCUUCCCCUCUCCUUCUUCAUCCGUAUCCCCUUCUUCAUCUGAAUCAACAGCAUUUGUCUGUAUAUGAUUAUGAGAAGUAUCAGCACCCGAGUGAGAACCAAUGGCAGAUCCUCGUUCUAGCUCCUCCAAGAAUUGCUUAGCAGCUUCAGCAUUCUUAAAGAACAUACUUUCAGCCUCUCCAUCAGUCUCUGAGCCUUCAUUCUAAUGCUGCUUCUCUUCCAUUUCACCUUCAAAACUAACUUUUCCAGCCACUGUAGUUUGCUCUACUGACUCAGGCCAAUGAGAUUCUUCUCCUGGCAGGGUUACUGACCUUUUGCUUUGAGAAUCACUAUCUAAAUUCUCUGUUUCAUGAGCUGCCAUUAUUUCUGUAGGUUGAGCAGAACUAUCCUUUGCCUGAAUUCCAUCUCCACCCCCUCCAUCUACUUUCUCAGCAAAUGCUUGUUCCAAAAUAUCUAUGAUCUCCUCAUCUUUGAGAUCAUUUAGCUCAGUCCCAGAAUUGUCUUUACCAAGCAUAACCCCACUGGCAAUAUCAGCUUUAUUCUCAGCAUCAACAGCCAACUCGUCUCCGCCGGAAAACUUCGAACCAUCAGCAUGAUUCAAGCCGUUAUCCAAGCUCGCAUUAUCGUCAACUGGAACCACCUCUGUCUCCUUCAUCACCAAUGUCUCAAUGCCUAAAGCAGCUCCAGUCAAAGGUUUCGCAUCGACAGCCAACUCCUCUUCGCCAGAAAAUUUCGAACCAUCGACUUCAACUACCUGAUGAUCUACUGUUUCUACAAUCAUAGGAUUGAAACCCUUAGCUCCACCAUCUAACACCAAAUUAUUCUCAAAAAUCCCAAUUCUACCUUCCUCUCCACUUUCCAUUGAUAAAACAGAUUGGUCGACUUCUCCAAUGGAACCCAUUUCCACCUUAUCGUCCUUUUCACCAUUACCAACACUAUCAACAUCAACCUUCCCCAUCGAACCCUCACCUCUAUAUUCCUCUAAACCAUUAUCGCCAUCCCCAAACGAGUCCUCAUUCAAAAUCACAUUCGAACCAUCAGAACCAACAAAAGGGGCAUCACUAACAUCCCUCACGGUCGGAAUUACUUCAUCAGGGUCAGCCAUAAAUGGCCUCUCGGGUACUGUUUCAAACUUCCCCUCACCAUUCUCGUUACUAUCAUUAGUUUUACCAUUCCCAUUAUCUUCCAAAGUACGUUCACUUACUGAACUAGUUACAAACUCAGAAUCAUCAUUCGAAGUUAAAGAAGAAGAAGAGGAAGAAGAACCUGGAGAGGUAGAGAGCGACUGAGAAGUGAUUUCCGGGGCAGAAAGCAAGGCGUCCAUGGUUGAAAGAGAGGAAAGGGAGAUAGAGAGAAUUGGGUUUUAGGAUAUGGAAUGAAUUUUGAGUGGCACACAGAGGGAGCAAAUCGGCAGAAAGGGUAAAACAGGGAGGGGAAACCGAAGGGGCAACUAAUCUGCAGAAAAGAGGGGGAUUAGAAAUCGGUGGUUUUCACCGAUUAGGAAGGUAAAGGAUUACACCCGUAUUAGAAAUACAUCAAACCAAACGAUGGAAUACAGUCGCAUUAGGUGGGGCCCACCGAUUAGGGGUGUAUUGGCUAUGCCAAUACACCCAACCAAACAUGGUGUAAAUUUUUCCCUAGGGUUAUACACAUCGUUAUGAUCGAUCGUAGGCCUUUCGUGGGGUCGAUAUAUAAUCAAAUAGACUGUAAAGUAUGAAAUCCGGUCAACUAAUAGUAUAAAUUCUGAUAUCUGUUCAUAUAUUUGAGAUGUUAUUUGUUCAAUAAACCUUGUAAUAGGCUAUGAGAAACUUGAGAAAUAUUAUGUAUGCUUUGUAUCUGUUAUGUCAUACAUGUAUAAUGUAUUAUGUCUGAUUUUGUUCUAUUCUUUUCUGUAUUUGCAUCUGGGGUGGGUUAUAUUAUGUGGAGGAAGCGUUUCUUUGAAUGGCGAUAAUUCGCCUAUUACACUGGCAGCUCAGCUACAAAUAUUCUGAAAAGUGUCAUAUCAACACUAAGUGGUGUGCAGGGCUGGAUGAGUGUUUCAUACCCCAUAUAGUGUGUUGGAAAGGUCGGAGAUAGUGUUAGCGGAUGGGGGUAGGAAUAUAUGUCUGUAUCUGUACUGCUCUAAUAUGAAUAUGUUCUGCUAAAUCUAUCUUAUACAAAAUAAAUAUUUAAAGUUAUUCGUUAUACAUUGAGUUUUGUAAACUCACUUUCUAUUUGUUUGAUAAUUUUAGGUAUUCCUCAGACUUUGGCAAAUCGGUGUGAAAGAACUUGGUUAAAUUGAUUUAGUUUCAUUAUCUAUUAUAAUUAAAUUUUGGGUUAUUGUGUUUCAUUAUUUUUGGACUGUUGGGAAUUUUUGGAUUGUUUUGGUUUUUGAGAUUUUAUUUUCAAUUUUUGCAUGAUACUAUUAAAAAUGUUUUAUUGGAAAUGUUUGUUUUCCUGCAAAACAACUAAUUUCAGACAAAUAAACUUAGUUUUCCAAACAUAAUGAUAUGAGAAUUUUCGCUUUUAAGUAUUCAUUUUAGAAAAUGUAAGCAAACAUCGUUUCAACUAUAAAGUUAAGUUAGAUGUAUUUUUCUCUUAAAUCGAGGUUUAAGUAAUAAAAGUUUACGACAUUUUUCCAAAUUUUACAAAAAAUUGGAUUUACAAUUGUUUUAUGUAACAUCUCCAGAUUUGGUCAUAACAUCUAGUCGGAUUUCGGGUGUUACAUUUAGUGAUAUCAGGUCAGGUUGCAAAACUCAGGCUGUGAACUUUUUGGUUCAAAAUUUUGUGAAAACUAUUUUUCGAGUAAAGUUUGUCGAAACCACUUUUUCGAAACAAAAAAUAGCGUCGACUUAAAAAAUGAAAAUUGGAGUCGCCACCAGUCUUUUUUAUUUAGGUGUGAUCGGAUCACCUCCUAAUUUAAUCAUUUAAAUAAAAGUUAAAAUUUACUAAAACGAUUAAUGGGUUUAAAAAACCUUUUUCUUUACAAACAUUAACAAUAAUAAACGAACAUCGAAGAAAUAGAAAAGAAAAAAGAAAUCGAAAAGAAAAAAAAUUAGAUUUCAAAUCACCUCUCAAAAAUUUAAUUGCUUUCUGAUUUCUUUGGUAUCUUUUUUUACUGAUUUCUUAUUGUUCGCGUAAAAAACUUACAAAGGUCUUUUCUUCCGUUUUAUAGGCAAAAUAUGAAAUAAAUAAAAAAAUACAAUAUAUGUUUUUUCUGUGUUGCUUUUCGUCCUAUUUGUAGGUACGAAGACCAGCUAGCGCUGUACAGAGGCGGUGCAGCACGUGCUUGGCUGAGGUGACUAGAGGCGUGCGGUGGCUGGGUCUGCUGUGUAGUUUAGGGUUUCUGUUGAUUUUUGGUUAUUGGGCUGGGGUUUAAUUUGGGCUUGGGAUUGUGUUUGAUUUUUAAUCUGUAAAUGGACUUUUUAAUAUUGGACUUUUAUUUUUUAUUUGGAUUAUUAUUAUUUUUUGUGUAUGCGGGUCCGGGCUCUACAAAGUUCAUUUCUGGAUUAAUCUGAAAAUUAAUUAUGUGAAGUACCGAGUCUCUGACGUUGAUCCUGUAAGUACUUCUGACUUAGAAAAAUUUUAGUUUAGAAAACUCUAAAAUGAUUAGAACUGUAGUUGGAUAGUUAGAGACAGAAACAUUUCUAUAAAUUCUUUUGAUAACUUUUUGAGUAUAAAAUAUCUACUAAUAAAUACUAAAAUUGAUACAUAAAAUUCAUAAUAUAGGUAAUAUAUACGAUGAGUACUCGUGGAACACAUGGACGUGGUAACCGUAGGCGUGGCAGGCGCCGAAGAGGGGCUCGAGCUGAGUCAUCCUCGAUAGGUACCUGAUAGGCUAUCGCUGGAGAGAGCAAUAGUCUUGAGAGAAGAAAUUUGAAGAUCGAAGUCGGAAUCUGACCUUUAAGGCCUUUAAUUGCUUGAAUAAUAAGCAUUUCCAAACUAAAAGGAUUACAAUUUCUUCAAGAAUUUGACCUGCAGACAUAGUUGAAACAUGAAGGUGUUAAAUUACCUAUUUUGUUAGUGUAAAUCAAAGAGGCUUUUUAUUUUUAUUUUUCGUUGUGAAAUAAUAUGGAUAUGUUAGAUUCUAAUCAUAUUUAAGUAUAUAUUAGUUCUUGAAGAGUUCUUAUUUUUGGUAUUUAUAUUGCAAAUAAUUUUUUUAAAUUAAGAAAAAAGGGGGGAGGGGCAAAUGUGUUUAAACUAAAGACAUCAAGGAGAGUUGUGUCAAAUUCCCAAUGCUUUUUGGAAUGAUCCCACUAAAUUGAUUAACAGACAAUUCCAAAAUUUGAAAAUUGCAGCAUUUGUCUAUACUUGAUGGAAUAGAACUUGAUAAUUCAUUUCUACUGAUCAAGUAAAGCUCUUUAAGCUUGGGAAGAUGGACACACAAAUCAUCAGGCAAGCCACCAGAAAGACUAUUAUCACGUAAAUGAAUCCUUUUCAAAGAAGAAAUGUUAAACAUGGUGCAACCUGGCCAGGUAAUUGAUAAAAUUUUGAUUUAAUCCCUUAAAAAAUAUAAAAAUAUAGACUAUUAAAAUGGUAAAAUUACAUUUUUACUAUUGUAAAAAUUACAAUUUAAUUUCACUCCUAAAAAGAUUUUCUGGCUUCGACCCUAAUAAAUUCUUUGGCAAAAGAUUAAAAUAAAAUUAUACCGUAAAUGAAAAAAGGAAACUAUAAGAAAAUCCAAUCUAACAAAGAAAAUAACUUGAUGUCCAAAAGCUACCAUAAACCGUAAUUCAUGGGAAGGCUUGUUGCUCAUUUUAUUGGUUUCCAUUUUGAUUUUGCAAAAGAAGCUUGAAUUUUGAAGAGAGCCUACUACGUGAGAGCAAAAGAAAAAAAAAUUGUUUAUUAAUUUUUAGGAAUACCGAAAUAUUAUAUAUAUGAUUAAAAAUGUUGAAUUAAAGAUAAAAUUAAGUGUGAAUUAAUAACCACAAGUGUACUUAUUACUCACCAUCUCUGUUAAAAAUGUUGGAUGUUGUUUAGCAACCUUUGUUUGAUUUUCUUCAGCUCAACCACAACAUCUUUCAUAUCUUUUCUUUCUUCUGGCAACUCAGCUGAACAAUUCAAAGCCAACUCCAUGAUAGAUGUAAUACAAUUUGCUUUAACGACAAUGUACUCAUCCUCUCUUCUUAAUAAAUCAACAUCUGCAAUUUCUAUCGCUCCUUUAGGCAAUGAACUUUCCAUCCAAUGCCUUAUACUCUCUUCUUCAACAAAAACAUUAUCAGUAGGCUUUUUCUUCGUGAAAGUUUCUAUAAGGACGACCCCAUAACUAUAGACGUCAGAUUUUAUAGAAACAAUUCCUGCUGAUCCAAAUUCUGCAUUCAAGUAUAAUUAGAACGUCAUUCAUCCUCAAUUAUUUCUAAAAUGCUUAUUCAAAUAUAUAUUCACAUCCACAUGAAACAAAAAUAUAAAAUGCAUAUUAGGAAAAUAAUCAUACAAAAAUAAAAAAGAAUUCACCUGGUGCCAUAUACCCGAUAGUUGCAAGAGUCAUGGUUUGCUUCAUUACUUCACCUUCCCCCAACAAUUUGGCAACGCCAAAAUCUCCAACAUGUGCAACCAUGUCUUCAUCUAGUAAAAUAUUGCUUGGUUUUAUGUCACAGUGAAUUAUAGGUGUUGGAUGUCCAUUGUGGAGGUGUUCUAUAGCUACCGCAACAUCUAUCAUUAUAUCGACCCUUUGUAUGAUAUCAAGGAAACAAUUUUCAGAAUGUAACCAUUUCUCAAGGUUUCCAUUAGACAUGUAAUCAAGCACCAAGGCUUUGAAGUCAACACUUGAGCAGCAAGUAAUGACCUUCACAAUAUUACGAUGAACUAUAUUACGCAUAGCAUCACAUUCAAUGUCAAAACUCCUAAAUGCUCCCUCUGUUUGCAAAU
rnacentral:lncRNA from 1 species